GAAGCUGCCAUGGAUGAUGAGUGGGUUGCUCUGUUUCUGUGGGUUUCAAUUCUUUAUCCGAAUAAUUGUUAAAUUUUGGGGAAAUUGGAGAAUGCGUUGAGGUGGUUGUUGAAACUGCCGAGAAAUCGGGGUUUUGAGAAUUUAGAAUACCGUAAUUUGUGGUGAAAUUUUCGCAUUCCGCCCAAUUGCUUGACGACGGUGGGGAAAAAAUUAGCCCCUGAUACAGAGGAAGGUUUUGAAAAUGAUGAACGUCCAUUUGGGGAUUGAUCAAGUCGGCGGCAGUGGUGGCAGCAGUGGAUGAGGAAGAUUUUUUGGAGUUGGUGGUUGGUUUCUUUUUGAGACGCUUGUUUUUACGGCCGCCACCAACAGGGACGUUUCGAAGAGUUCCACCUUUGGUCCAGUGGCGUUUACAAGCUCUGCAAAAAUGGCGAGGUUGAGAUUUGUUGUAAUUGUUGUAGUAACAGAACUUCGUGUUGGUUGAAUCACAUCUGGGGCACUUCAAUUGCUCUAUCUGUGGCUGAAUUUGAAUCUGAUUCUGAUGUUGUGAUCGUUUCACGCCAGAGCUUGGAGCCAAUUUUGGAAGCUCCAGUUUCUGUGCUUGCAUUAGCGCUUUGCUCCAAUCAAAUCCAUCAAUUGAAACCUGUUUUGAACUCAAACCCAUCUCUUAAAAUCACUCAAAGAUCAAAACCCAGAAGGGAAUUCACAGAGAAAAGGAGAAAAGAAAUCUCAACAAAUCAGAUGUUAUAAACGAGCUGAAAAACAGAGAAACAGAGAGCUUUGAGGUUAUAACUAACAAUGGAGGAAGAAGAAGAAGGAAAUGAGAAGGAAGGUGAAAGGCUGUGUAUAAUGGAGAAUAAUUUUGAACGGAAAAACAAGAGAAAAUGGUUUGACUGAGGAUUCAAAGAGAGUGUAAAUAAAAGUGGGGGAAAUUUUCCAUUGGCAUGGCGGAAUUUGGGUGCAAUGCAACUGUGUUCUUGAGGCAACCUUUUUAUUUAUUGCUUUUUAUUUAAUUUAUUUAUUUAUAGAGAGAGAAACUUCAAGACUAAGGUGAAAGUGGGAGAAGACACGUGGAUCAAUCUAGACCGUUUAUAGUGCGUUUGCAAUUUUUGGUUCUGUGUUAAAAUAAAAGAACCAAAGAAAGGUUUGAUAGCCAUAGCCAUGCAUGGCAAAUGCCAAAUGCCAAAUGCCAAUCACAUAUAUUAAAUUAUGUAACGAUCAUUUUAUUUGGUUCAAUUUACAAAUUUUGUCUAUGAAUUAAAGUAACCAUUGUGCCUCAAUCUCCACCAUACCAAUAUGUCUCUUUCGGAAUGGUUCCCUCAUCGAGAAAUAUGAACAUUGAUGUUAGGUUGGAUGCAUUUUUUCAUAAAUAAGGUGAGAAUUUGAACGAGAAGUUCUACGUCGGAUUGAUUUAUAAUGCAACCCAAGUUGUCAAACUUAUGUCCAUCUACGAUGGCAUGGAUGACAUUCACUUUAUCAUAAUGAUGAACAAAUCUAAGAGAUUGUUCAUGGACGAUCUCCUACUUCAUUGAGAGAUAAAUUCAUUGCAGUUGUUAAUUUAAAGUUUGUCUCAUUUCCCCAUAUGAAGCAGUGUCAUUGUUUUUAGCUCAUUAACUAGCAAGAAGGACGUUAGAAAAGCACAAUUUCUCAUCUUCUUUCUCCUUACACAUAUAAUUUGUUUUUAUCUUUUUGAAGUAAUUCUAUCGAUGGAUUGUGGUUUUUCCAAUUGGACAGUUAAAAAAAAUAGAACUCUUUAUUUUAUAUUCAACCAAAAUCUGAAAGAGUAUAUUUAUACGUGUGUGUAUAUACAUUUUAAAAAGAAAUAAGAAUUCAAGAAUCAAAUCUACAAAAUCUGGACAAAAUUUGUAAUUUAAUCUCACCAUGAAAUUAAGAGUUAAAAUAUCAUACCUCUGCUUAUGCACCAUUGGGGAUAUUUUCUAAUCUCACCCUCUAUUUUCCCUCUCGGAAUUUUUAUCUAAACUACAACAAUAAUAAUUAAAUAAUUUUGGUAUGUUAUGAAAAUUAAAUAAUGUUGAUUCACAUUUAAUUUGUUUAUUUGAUAAUAAAGAAUAAUGUAAAAUUAGAUUUGAAUGAAAAAUGAUAAUAAAAUGAAAAAAAGAAAAGAAAAGAAGAAUUGAAUUUGGAGAUGAAAAAUGAGGGGAUGGGUAAAAUAGUGAUAAAAUGAAUGAGAUGAGGAAAAAGGGAAUAGGGAAAAGAAUAAUUUCCAAAACCAUGAAACGAAGUUAGGAACGUAGGUGUGGGGUCCCACAAAUGGGAUGUUGGCGUCACGUGCUCCUCCAAUUUCAGGCCUUUGCUUCCUCUCCCAUGGACCCAUCCGCAUGUGAUUACAUGUUCCACGUUGGCUGUCUUUCAACUCUCAUUAUUCUGCACGUGUGGGCUCCUCCACCCGCACCGUGUCACUCUUAAACCAACUAUAUAUAACAUAUUAUAUUGUUUUUGUUAAUUCUCUCUCACUCACUAACACUCCUACUACCACAGCCCAAUAAGCCCUACAUGAUUAUGUGACAAAUUCAUGUCCCAUUCACAUUUUUUAUUUUCUCUAUUUAUUUAUCUACAUAUAGUUUUUUUUUAAAAAAAUAAUUAUAACCAUGUUUGGGUUGAGAACUUAAUUUAGUGAUACAAUACUAAAUUGACUUUCACCCUUCAAAUAAUUAACCGUAUAAACAGAUGGAUAGGGAGGACUUGAAUUUGAAUUUCACGGUUUUGAUUAUAAGAUGCGGAAACAAAUGAUCACAAAGUAAUAGGAGUGCAUGGAUAGGAUAUUAUAUUUAGAAUGUGAUAGGUGGCCGUGGGAGAAAUAGGGAGAGAAAGGGACCGGGAAAGGCACAUGCUCUAUGAAAUUUAAAUAAUGGAAGAUUAAUAAUAUUAGAAGGAAUGAAAUGAUGAUAACAAUAAUAAUAGAUUAAUGUUGAAAAGAAACAAAUAAAUUAAUAAGGAAUGGAAGAAUGAUACAAUAUAUAUGAUUUGAUUAAGAUAUCAUCCAUCCAACGAAGCAAAGAGCAUAAUAAUGUGAAAAAUCCCAAAUCCAACGUUCUCCCUCAACCACAAAAUCUUAAUUUCAAUUUCCCUCUUGUUUUAUGUUUACUUUUAGAGGUUAAAAUACUAUUUGCAUCGUUGAAUUUUUAAUUAAUUACUGUAAAAUUAAUUAAUAGAUACAACAUUUUAAAAAAGUAAAUUAACAAUCACACAUUGGAAUAAUUAAGGAGGGAUCGCCUACAGAAAUUGCAUCAUAAGAGGAACAUAUAUGGGACACUUUAAAUUAAAAAACAACACAAGUUUGUGAAAUGAGAAUGAGAAUGAAAAUAAAUAAAAUAAACUACAAAGUAAUGAUACCGUACCACCACUUUGGAAUAUGAUAAAAUCAGUUUAAUUAUUAUAAUAAAGUCAUAUCAUAUACAGAUAUUCUCAUAUAUUCCUGUCACAACAUUAAUUGUGGAAAUUGUGCGUACCAAAUAAAAAUAAUUAAACUACAAGAAUGUUUAAUUGGGUAGCAAAAAGCCAUCAAAAUAGAAUGAUGGCGGCAUAUAUAAUAUUUCAUCCUAUUUUAAUUGACCUAAGUUUUGAAUACACAUGCAAGUCAAUGAUGCAUCCACUUUGGGUUUGGGUUGGCUAUAUGGAAUAAAACAUAUUAUUUCAAAUAUAAUUAAUAAUUGAUUCAAAUUUAUCAAAUAUAAAGUAUAUAGACACUAAUAUUGAAAUUAAGAAUAUUAAAAUUAAAUAUAAUAUUUUUAAUUAUAUAAAGUGCAAAUGUAAUUGACACAAUAACCAUAUAGUUGUGUAGCUGUUCUACAUUUUUCUAAUAGAAAAUCCAUAUCAAAUCAAACUCAACCUUUUAGUUUUAUUUUUCACAAUGUGGGGGCUAUCAUGUUAUAUACUUUAAUUAAAAUUUAAGACUUUAUACUAAUAAACAUGUUAGUCAUUUCCUUAUUUGUAUGUUUUCAAUGUUGUCUUCCUCUAGAUUGUGUAAUUAGUUGUAAUUAUAUUUACAUUCUCAAAAAGAAAUAUAGUUGGGUUGUGCAUUUAUAACUCAUUCUUCUUUUUCUUUUCAUUUUUUUCAUUUUCUGUUCACUUUGUUUUAAAAUCUAUUUCAACCAACAUCAAGUUUAAUUUAAAAUUUAUACUAUUAUUGUUAUUUGUCCUAAAAUUGGGAAUUAACAAUGAAUUUCAAUAUACGAAUAAACAUAGUAAUUAGAUAAAAACAUAUAUUUGAGCCACACAAAUGAAUUAAGACUAGAAAUAAAAAAUUUUAAAAAAAAGAAAAUUGAAAGUAAAGUAAGAGUGAUCAUAAAAGGAGAAUGAAGAGUUGGUUGGUAAAUGUGGAAGAAAAUAAAAGAGUGUGUAUGCAAAGAAAGAAAGGGUAAGGAAGAAGUAAGGAAUCUUAAAUAUAAAAAAAGUGUCAAAUGGCUGAAAACUCCCUAUUUCCUAAUUUAGUUUGUGAUGUGUCUUUUGAUGAUGGUGACACCGUCACAUUAUUCAAUAUCAACUCAUACAAUUUGAUAUUAUUUUGUCUUUGCUUUUCUAGUUUUCAUGUAAAGACAAUGUCAAUUUGAAUAUGGAUUCUGCUUUGGGUUUUUAGUUUCUAAAAUUAACUAUUGUAAUUUUAAAGAUUUAACAGGAUUUUGAUUACAUAAUUUAUUUCCUAAACUUGAAAAAAAAUAAUUUGAAUGGAUCGUUCUUAAUAUGUAUUAGUUAUCGAUGGUCAAAAGAGAGGGGUUGUAAUAUGGGUUUCUUAAGGUGGAAGAAGGCAGCAGGCAACACAACAAAAAGUACGACUUUGCUUUUGCCUCUCCCUCUCUCUCUUUUUAACCCCCCUUUUCCUUUUUAAAUUGUUCAUUCAGCCUUGCAAUUUGGGUAUUUAGCUUCAUUCGUAAGAUUGUUUUUUCUGUUAAAAAUACUGCAGAAUUAGUUUCAUCCUUAUAAUUAAAAAGAAAAAAAAGAACAAUCAAUUUUAGUUCUUUGGCCUCUGCAAUGGGAGUUAAUUAAUAGUAGAUAGGGAGAAAUAAAUUUUAAUGAUACCAAAGAUUUUGAAAAAGCAAAUUUGUAAUUUUUAUUUGGUUAGUUGUUUUGAGUUUGUAUGUUGGAAAGAUAUUUGUUUUUGAGAUUUGGGGUUUUCUUUCUUUUUCACAUCAAUUUGAGAUAUGUUUUAAUUACUUCAUAGGGUUAGGAAUUAGGAAUGAGAGAGAGAUGGUAGCAGUCUUUUUAUGACGGUGGUUAUUUAAAAUAUUUGUUUUAAAUUUGAUGAAUCAUAAUUAAUAUUCCAAUAGUGUGUUUUCCAAUUUUUAUAUGGUAAUAAAUAAUCAUUUAACCAUACUUUAAAAUGCACAAUUAAAAUGGAUAAUAGUCCAAACAAAAAGUCUAACUAGCAAAUGAAUCCAAACUCACUUCAUAAAAAUUUAGAGGUGUUUUCUUUCAAGAAUUGACAACGCAGCUAUAGAGUCUAUUACUUUUUUUUGUAAAGUAAAAGACUUGGAAGGUUAGCUCAAAGUUUUGAAAUUGAUAGCCAAACUUGGGAAUAUAUAGAGAGUGUGUAUGUUAGAUUGUUUUUUAAAUUCUUUUAAAAAAUUAAAAAUAGAACAAAGAUAGUUAGGAAAUAAGAUUUAAGCUGUUGGUACAAGGCAAUGCAGUCUUAAAUGACUUAAAUUUUUUCUCUUUUUCUAUUCUAAAUUAAAGGAUUAGAGUGUUGUUGUUGAUAACGAAACCAAUAUCUGAAGUUUACGAAUACAUUGAUAAAAUAUGGCUAACAAAGUAAGAAAAAAAUGUAUAACAAAAUUAAUAAUUAAGUUUUUUACUUCUAGUAGUAAUCUUAUUCAUGUAGGAACUACAUAGAUGACUUUUAUAUGUUUUACGAUCAUUUAGAAAAUGAUAACAGAGAUAUGAAUAGAUCUUACCGAUAUCUGAUCUGAAUCCUCCAGUUAACUGAUGUUUCCAUUAUUGGGUGAAAAUGUAAUCAAUUAUAUGAUAUGUAACUAUUUUCCUUUUACUCCAACCUUUUCAUCCACGUCGUCAACUUUCAAAACUUUGUAUAUCAUAAUAAAUAAAUAAAGCAACAAGCACCGUACAAAAGAGCAACGGUCAAGAGCGUUCAAUGGCUAAUUGCUUUUCUUCUCCUUAUUGUGUUCAUGGUAGAGUCAAAUUUGCUAAUUGUCAUGAAAUGGAAACAAAAUCUACAAUUUCAAUAGGAAUUAGAGGAUGAAAAUUGGUGUAAAAAUUUAACAUUUUUUUUUAUUUUUAAGCAAUUUUAUUAAUCAAUCUGUUCCUGGUUUCUGCUUGGAAUUGUAAUUCCAAGGAGAUGGGUAUGGUGAAGUUCCAAGAACAUGGGGACUCGGACAAAGAGGAACGUGUUUCAUUGUCUCAUCACAGAAUUCCUAAAACCAAUAAUGAUUUUAAUGAAACGCGAAGAUAUGUUUUGACAUGUGCAAUCUUUGCUUCCCUUAAUUCUGUGCUUUUAGGAUAUGGUAUUUGCUCCGUUUUUCUUUAUAAAUAUCCUUCUAUAUGAUUUUCCUGUUCUGUUUUUGUUGAAUUCUAAUUUUUUAUAUGCAGAUGUUGGAGUUAUGAGUGGAGCAAUAAUCUUCAUUCAAGAAGAUCUCAAAAUAACAGAGGUUCAAGAAGAAGUUUUAGUGGGAAUUUUGAGCAUAAUUUCAUUAUUAGGAAGUUUAGCUGGUGGAAAAACAUCAGAUGCCGUUGGAAGAAAAUGGACCAUUGCUUUUGCCGCUAUUGUUUUCCAAGCAGGGGCUGCCAUUAUGGCUUUUGCCCCUUCUUUCGGUUUUCUAGUUGUAGGUCGGCUCUUGGCUGGUAUUGGUGUUGGUUUCGGUGUCAUGAUUGCGCCUGUAUACAUCGCUGAGAUAUCGCCCACAGCUGCUAGAGGAUCUCUUACUUCUUUCCCGGAGAUCUUUAUAAACUUUGGAAUCCUUCUUGGUUACAUUUCAAACUAUGCCUUUUCAGGACUUCCUGUUCAUAUAAGUUGGAGGGUUAUGCUUGGUGUGGGAAUAAUCCCUUCAGUUUUGCUUGGUUUUGCACUUUCUAUGAUUCCUGAAUCACCUCGGUGGCUAGUGAUGCAAAAUAGGAUCGACGAAGCGAGAAUUGUGUUGUCGAAAACAAAUGAGCCUGGUGUCGAUAUAGAGGAGAGAUUGAUGGAUAUUAAGAAAGCUGCAGGGAUUGCUAAUAAUGUGAAUAAGUAUGAAUCUAAGGCUAUUUGGCAAGAUAUAGUGCGGCCAACACCUUCGGUUAAGCGAAUGCUAAUAGCUGGUUGUGGGAUUCAAUGCUUUCAGCAGAUAACAGGCAUUGAUGCAACUGUUUAUUAUAGUCCUACGAUCUUUAAAGAAGCUGGGAUUGAAAGUAACUCAAGACUUCUUGCAGCAACAGUUUGUGUUGGAUUCACAAAAACUUUGUUCAUUUUAGUAGCUAUUUUUCUUAUUGACAAAGUGGGAAGGAAGCCACUGCUCUAUUUCAGCACAAUUGGGAUGACAGCCUGCUUGUUUUGUCUAAGUAUCACUUUAGUUUUUUUGGCUCAUGGAAAACUUGGGAUUGUUUUGUCAAUCUUAGCAGUAUGUGGAAAUGUAGCUUUCUUUUCAGUUGGGAUUGGUCCAGUAUGUUGGGUGUUAUCAUCUGAAAUCUUCCCGUUGAGGCUUCGAGCACAGGCAUCAGCAAUCGGGGCAGUUGGAAGCCGAGUCAGUAGCGGUUUGAUCACAAUGUCAUUUCUCUCGGUCUCCCACACAAUCACAGUUGCAGGAACAUUCUUUCUAUUCUCAUUGAUUUCUAUGGUGUCUGUUGUUUUCAUUCACAAGUUUGUCCCUGAGACAAAAGGGAAGUCCUUGGAACAAAUUGAAAUGGUUUUCCAAGGAGAUGAACAAGGAAUCAGAAUACUAGAAAUGAGUGAUACUGAUCGAUUAGUCCACAAAUAACCUCCUUUUCCUUUCCAAACAAGUCAUUCUUAGUUUGUAUAUUUACUCCAAAUAUAGGGAAGUUUUGUCAAUAUAUUACUUCACGUAUUUUGAUAAGUAAAAAUUAGAACUUUACUUUUACAUGGGGCGGAGAAAUUCAACCUCUACAAUGUUGAACGUACAAAUACCAAUUAAAAUUAAAACUUUGAAGUUUGUAAACUGAUUCUAUACGGUUACGUUGGGAUUUUCUUUUCUUUUCUCGAGAACAGAAACAAACAAACAUGCAUGAAAAUCCAAGAACCAAAAAUGGUAUUUUAACCUAAAAUUUAAAGAGUUUUGGUUGUUAGCAAAAAAGAAUAAACACAUGGGAAUCAUGCAAACAGGGGUCUACUAAAAGCUUAUCUGUGGAUUGGACAAACACAAAAGAAACGAACUGUAGUGUACUGGAGUGGAUUGUAUUCAAAAGGGCUUGAUUAUUGACGCUUCAUUUGAAAGAACUCUGACCUUUUGCGAAUCAAGAAGCUCUGGAUGGAUAAAUUUGAGCACAAAUUCGUAGAAGUCAAAGGCGGAUUGAAAAUCCACGUAGCGGAGAUCGGAACUGGUGAUCAGUUUCUCCGCCGGAUCGGAACUUGCUUUUUCUUUUACUAUUGAAACAUUUUCUCAAUUUCUCCGAUUGUUUGUUUGUUACAGGGUCGAAUGUCGUGGUUUUUCUGCACGGUUUUCCGGAGAUUUGGUACUCAUGGCGCCAUCAGAUGAUUGCUGUGGCUAACGCCGGAUUCCGAGCAAUUGGUCUCGAUUACAGAGGAUACGGACUCUCCGAUCCUCCAGCCGACCCCUCCAAGGCUACUUACAGCGAUCUCAUCACCGACCUCCUUGAAGUUCUUGACUCUCUCGAUAUCUCCAAGGUACUAACCCUUCACUCAAAUUCAAACCCAUGUCCUGUAAUUUUAAUCCACUGUAGAAAUUGGUUUGAAUGUCAGAUGGAUGUUGUAUCCAGAUGACCCAAAUUUACUUUCGCUGAUGCCAAAUGAACUGAAUUCUAAAAAACGAUGAAAACUGACAUUUUACUCGCAUCACAAAGCAUUGGUCAACAUUAGAAUCUGCAAGCAAAUUUGGGUCAGCUAGAGUGAAUUUAGGUAAUUUAAACAGAAUAUAACGUUGGUUGGUGCUUGUGAGAUAAGCCAAAAGUUAGAUUUCAUUGCUUUUCAAAGUUUGAAUCAUUUGACACUAGUGUAAGUAAAUUUUCCAUAGGAUAGUGAUGAUCUAGAAGGAAAAUUAUGGCCGUUGUACCAUUUCAGGACACCGCUGCAUGGUUUCAUUGCAUCCCAUAUGUUUUUCUGGGUUCUGGUGUGAAAUAAGAAUAGUCUAAUAGUAUCAGUGGGAAAUUGGGAACAGGUGUUUCUUGUGGGGAAAGAUUUUGGAGCAAUGCCAGCUUAUUACUUUGCUCUCAAACACCCAGAGAGGGCAUUAGGAGUUGUGACAUUGGGAGUGCCCUUCAUGCCUCCUGCAAGACCUAUCAACUUUAUAGACCACCUCCCUGAAGGCUUCUACAUAUCAAGAUGGCAGGUAUUAAACUCAAGCAUAUGUACAAAUCUUUAUCACGAUGGUUUGGUUGUUUUGAAGUUCAUUUUGUAUGAUUUCUUAUUUAGAAACCUGGGCGAGCCGAGGCCGAUUUUAGUCGUUUUGAUGCAAAAACAGUUGUUAGAAACGUCUACAUACUUUUCUCUAGAAGUGAAAUCCCAAUAGCUCAAGAAAAUCAGGAGAUAAUGGACUUGGUGGAUUCAUCUACUCCUCUGCCUCCUUGGUUUACUGAGGAAGAUCUUGCAGCUUAUGGAGAGCUCUAUGAGAAGUCUGGAUUUCAAACUGCAUUAAAAGUUCCUUACAGGUAAUGUAAUAUCUUUUAUCUUUCUGUUAAUGAAUGUAAUGUAAAAUCUAUUAUCUCUCAUUAAACUUGGAUGGAUGAAUUUACAUGAUAGGUCACUGGGUGAAGAUUGGGGAGUGAAAGAUCCAAAAGUGGAAAUUCCAGCUCUUCUUGUAAUGGGUGAAAAAGAUUAUGUUCUCAAAUUUCCAGGAAUAGAGGAGUAUGUAAGAAGUGAAAUGGUGAAGUAUUAUGUUCCAAAAUUGGAGGUCAUCUUUCUACCAGAAGGAUCUCACUUUGUUCAAGAGCAAUCCCCUGAAGAAAUUAAUCAGUUGCUACUGAAUUUUCUUGCCAAGCAUACAUGAUUAGAAUAUCCCAACACAGAGGUUAAAUCUAAAUAAAGCCUUGUACUAUUAUGUACUUCUGUUGGUUUUCCAAUAUGUGUGGUUGUACUUCGUCUUGUCUUUGUGAGGGAAUCGCGCUUACUUUUAAAUUAACAAUAACUAUUUGUGAGACUGUGCUAAAUUUGAAGUAAAGAAAUAGCAAAUUAUUAGUAUCUCAUCGUCAUUUCAAUACAAUUGUUGUAAGAAAAAGUCGUGUAGUUACGAUCUUUUAUUCUAUGUCAUAAGUUUAUUUGUGAGAUUUUUUUUCUUUCAAAUGCUUCUAAUGUCUUUCAUUAUUAUUUUUUCUAGUAAAAUUAUGUGUUCUUUCAUUACUAAAAUAUGAUAAUUUAUGAUAGAAAACUAACCAUUUAAUUAAAAAUAUAUAUCUAACAAAAUUAAUUUCGUUUAAUUUUCUCCUAAAAGAAUAAACAAUAAAUAAUUAUACGUAUAGAAAUUAAAUCAACUACUACGGACUCGUAUUUUCAUUAUAUUAGUUAGGAAAAAACUUGAAUUUAGUUGCACAUCUUUUGUGUAGUUCGGUUAGCAUCCAAUAAAAAUGUGUCAGAUUAUUUUAUUUUACUUUUGUAGUAAAAUAUACAGCAACAUGUGAUUAGUGUUCACGACGUUUUUGAAGAGCUAAAAUCGUCAUUUUCUAAAAUCAAAUUAUUUAUUUUGGUUUUUGCGGAGACCACGAAAGUCACCCGCCCUCAAAUAACGACUUUUAUUUAUUGUUAUUUUGCUUUAGAAACAGCAAGCAGAAGUUGGUUGGAAAUUUGAAGCAGAGCAGAGUCCGAAAUCUCUUCAUCUUUCACUCACUCAUUUCCCUUACUUCUCAAGAUGGAUCGAAUUCACCAUAAUUUCAUCGAGGUUGGAGCCCUGAAGCUCCAUGUAGCCGAGAUCGGAACUGGUAAUCACUCUUCUCAUCCUCAAUUUCUUCACCGGAACUUGUUUUCCUUACAAAAACAACCUAUUCUCUCUCUCCCCCUCUACUUCUCCUUCUCCUUUUUCCCAUUUUUCUUUCAGGUUCCAAUGUCGUCGUCUUCCUGCACGGAUUUCCGGAGAUAUGGUACUCAUGGCGGUACCAGAUGAUCGCUCUUGCUGACGCCGGAUUCCGAGUACUCGCUCCCGAUUACAGAGGAUAUGGACUCUCCGAUUCCCCCGCCGAGCCGUCCAAAGCUUCAUUCAGCGACCUCAUCAGCGAUCUCCUUGGGAUUCUUGACGCUCUCAAUAUCCCCAAGGUACUACCUUUGAUUUGGUUGUAAUCAUAUUGAAGUCAAUAGAGUUCCACUUAAGAUUGCGUUACAUUGACUGCAAGGUGUUUGAUAAAAUGAACUGAUGGAUGAGUUGAUUAAAUGGGGGAGAAUUUAAAAGUAAAACAUACCGAUGUUCAUUGUAUCAAACCAGGGAUAUUAGCGAUUUAAAGUCAAAGUCAUUCCAAUAUAGCUAGUGGCAAUGAUAAAGCUAACUAAGGAAUCUUCUAACAAUACUUUGUAUAGGUGUUUGUUGUUGCGAAAGAUUUUGGAGCAUGGCCAGCUUAUUACUUUGCUUUGAAACAUCCUGAAAGGGCAUUGGGAAUUGUCACAUUGGGAGUGCCAUUCCUUCCUCCUGAAUCUUUGAAGCAUUCCCAAAGCAACAUCCCUGAAGGCGUGUAUACUUUAAGAUGGCGGGUAUGCAAAUGCUCUAUCAUACAUUGCCUUACACUCUUCCCUUUCAAAAGAAAACUGAAUGGAAAUAUUACAAUCCCGUGUUGUUUCAAUGCUCUGUCUUGACAUGUAUAUAACAAUUGAUGAAAGAAAUAUUUAUUUUGAAGUUGUUUUUGUUGGAGAGUUGAUAUAAUAUCAAAUCUACCCUAGUCUAUCGGUUUAGACUUUUGUGUCAACAGGUGAUUUAACAUGGCAUAUCAUAGCGGAACGUCCAAUUAUGUCUCAUCUAUUCCUCAACUAAUAUUGAUUUUUACUAUUAAGCCUACGAACAAGCUUUUAUGUGUGAAUGAUUUAAUAGUUUUUACUUUUUCUUUUUUAUCAAAUGGACCUUUCCUCUAUUGGUAUUGAUUCUGGAUAGAGAUUUCUGUCUCAUAGCUAAUAAGUAAAUACAUGGUUCUUCUACGAAUAAAUGAAUCUCCUAUAAUGUUAGGUUGUUCGAGUUUUGUAACUUUUUUGUGUCUGUUUGUUCUGUUUUCACCCCUUUAUUAACUUGUUGCUUCAACUUUCACUCUAAUCAAGGAACCAGGGCGAGCUGAGGCAGAUUUCGGUCGCUUUGAUGCGAAAACUGUUGUCAGGAAUGUUUAUAUCCUCUUCUCCAAAAGUGAAAUACCAACAGCUCAAGAAAAUCAAGAAGUAAUGGACUUAGUAGAGCCAUCCACCCCUCUUCCACCUUGGUUCACCGAAGAAGAUCUAGCAACUUACGGAACUCUCUAUGAGAAAUCUGGAUUUGAUACUGCAUUGAAAGUUCCUUAUAGGUAUGUCAUUUGAGUUUUGAAAUGAGCACAUCUUGUUUUACUACGUACUUGGAUAAUUCUAUUACGUUUGAUAUAUGCUGGAUUGAUGCACAUUCAUGAUAGGUCAUUCAAUGAAGAUUGGGGAAUAAAAGAUCCAAAAGUUGAAAUUCCAGCACUGUUUAUAAUGGGUGAAAAGGACUAUGUUUUCAAAUUCCCUGAAAUUGAGGAAUACGUAAGAAGCGAAAGAGUUAAAGAUUUUGUUCCAAAUUUAGAGAUCGUCUACUUACCAGAAGGAUCUCAUUUUGUUCAGGAGCAAUCUCCCGAAGAAGUUAAUCACCUACUACUUACUUUCCUUGCCAAGCAUAUUCGACAAUGAACUCAUAAUUAGUCAAAACUAGCAUGACUACGAAGGAAUCUCUCUACUUUUAUUGUACUUAAAAAAAAAAUCUGAAUAAAUAAAACUGUGACUAGUUUCUGAUCCUCAUGACUCUUUGAGUGUGCUGUUGUUCUUAAAUUCAAUCAGUGGCUACAUAGUUAAGUUUACCAAAUAACAUCAACAAUGUGCUUUUGCAAUGUGUCAACUACACCAUCUAAAUGUUGAGUUGUGAGAUAAAUACAUUCAUAAUGUUUAAUUAUAUUUAGUGUAGUAUUAACCUAGUAAUUUUAAGCCUUUGCUAUUUAUUUUUUAAACUCAAAUUAAAAGUUUUGAUCAUUCAACGUGAACGUUUAUGUCUAUUUGGUCUUGAACUUUAAAAAAAUUUCAAAUAUAUCCUUAACUUUUAAUAUGUAUUUAAACUUAAAUUUUGUUAUUGAAAUAUAAUUUAAACAUAUAUAGAAUUUAAUAUUUAAAAACAUCCAUACCUAGAUUACAACCAACAAAUAAACAAAAUUUGAAAUUGGUUAAUCUUAAAGCAUAUUUUAUAGCUAACUUUUCUAAAAGCAUAAUAAUUAAUAUGAUUAAGCUUAAUAAUAUAGAAUAUGAUUAGUCAAUCAUUGAUCAAAUGUGUUACAGUAUUGUAGAGUAGUGAAUGUUGUAGUAGACUUAUCUAUCACAACAAUACUUCGAUAAGUAGAUCUACGCCAAAAUUAUCAAUCAAUAAAGAGACAAAUUAAUUUAUCAAAUAAUCAUGGUUUGGUUAUUUAAUAUAAUUUAUUCACUUCGUCAACGAGCCUCGCAAAUAAAUACGUACUCCCUAUGUUUGAGGUUGGAUAUUUAAAUAUGAAACAAUAAUUAUAAUAAAAUAAUCUUAAAAGUCUUUUUUUAUAUAUAUAUAUAGAACAUUGUUUUUCUUAAAUAGUACUAUAGUAGCACUUUUUUUUCACAAUAUUGUACAUUUUCUUAAAUUAUUUGUAGACAUUUUCUAACUUAUCAUGUUCGUCUACUUAUUUAUUGUUUCUAGAAAAACAUAAAUUAGAAACUAUAAUGUAAAUAUACAUUUCAUAAAAGAUUUUUUUUUUUUUUGUUAUCUAUUUUUAAAAUGAUAAUUAAAAAUGUUGGUAAGAACCUGUUGUAAUGUUUUGCCUUAAAAAUAAAAAAAGCAAUCGAUCGAGUCAAUCAAUUGGAAGUUAAAUACUUGACAUUUCGAAACUUAACGUCGAAGUGUAAUGUUUCAUUUGGAGGGUAAAUAGAUCAGUCUCUCCUUCCCUCAGCCACAGCUCUCCGAUUCAGAUCUCUACCUCGUCGCUCAAUUAACUCAUCAAUUCCACAAAUUCCUGGUUUGAAUCACUCUCUCUCUCUCUCUCUCUAUCUGCUGUUUGUUUAUCUCCCUACCAAUCUUGCAAUUUUGUACUGCUUUGUUUCUUUUCUUUUUUAAUUUUGUGAGAUGGAUUUGGAUUCUGCAUGCAAUUUCCGUUGUUUCGUUGCCGAUAUGAUCUGUACAUUAUAAUGCUUGCAAAUUUGGAUUUUCUGUAAUUUGUGAAUUUUUGACAGUGUCUGGAUUGCCUACAUGACUUUGAUUGUUGAUUUAUAAUUGAUGUAGUUUGUGGGAAUUAAUAACGGGAGUUUCUGCUUCGGAUCCCUUACUUUUCUUCUUCGUCCUUUCCCCUCCCCGCGAAUGUCGGCCUGAUCUCAAAGACCUUCCGUGGUCUAAGGUCUUUCGUAGUAAUGUAGUUUUAAGUGAAGUUUGAUUUAUAGCAUGGCUAUACAUAAAUAAUUAGGGCAAAGAAUGUAGAAAAGAAACUUUGUGUAUGCAUUUUAUUUCAAGGUGAUUGAUGUUGAUAGUUUCAUAUUUCACGCACUUUAAUUGAUAUUUCAUAUUCAAACAUUCUUUAUCAAGCUCUUGAGGUUUUAUUUUUCUUUUUUUUCCUUACAAGUAUUAUUUCAUUCCUAGGUGCGGAAGACAAAAUCUCUCCUAUCUGAAGUUACUGAUUGUUGGUUUGCAUUCUCAUACAGUUAAAAAUGGUAAAGGAAUUUAUGUUAUUGAACCAUUUAUUGUCUCUUUUUGUCCGCGUUCUUUUGUAAAUUUAUUGAAAUUAUCAACAAUAUUUUAUUUUAUUUUAUUUUUUAAUUGCCUCCCCAUUAAUUAAUUUAUUAGUGCUUUCUUGUUAUAACGAGUUGAAGUUUAUGAACGUUGAGGGGUGAAUUCAGCAAUGCUAUUAUAUGAAAUUUUGUAUGGAUACAAUGUUAUAUACUAUCAGAAUUAUUCAUUACUGUAAAUAAUCAAGAUGCUGGAUACUUCCUAACUUUGACUGUGUCAUUCAGAAACUCUUGUGAAAGCGUUUGAGAUUAAUGGAUCGGGCUACAUAUAUAUUUUGUUUGGUGUCACUGAAAUAUCAUGCACACUUUAGUUUACUUUAGAAUUGUGAUGGGAAUUAGCUUGAGCAUCUUGCUCGUGAAGAUUAUUAGUGAUUUCUCUUUUUUUUAAGCUGGAUUUUAUCGUGUAUUUGAUUGCAUAUUGUUUCUUGUUCUUGCUCUUUCUCUCUCCCGGUGGCAUACUUUUGACUCUGGGUUUCAUGAAUUUAUCUUUUCCCCCCUUUAUUUUGACAAAUGUUAUAUAUGUUGCAUAGGUUGUUCUUGCUGCAUCCAUUGUUAGCAAGUCUGGGAAAGGUGAGAUACUUCCUUUACCCAUUCUUCAACAAUACUCUUUAUUUUUAUUUUUAUUUUUCAUAAUGAUGGUUUUCAUAGUUAGCUUCUUACACUUUAUACUCGUUAGCCCCUCUCACAUGGGCACAAACACACACCUUUUCUCCCUUAAAAUUUUAUUUUCAAGUCUUUGAUAAAUUUUAGCUACUAUUUACAAGGCUGCCCUUUUGGAUGCAUUCUUUUUGCAGUUCUUAUUUCCAGACAGUUUGUUGAUAUGUCUAGAAUCAGAAUUGAGGGCCUUCUUGCUGCUUUCCCAAAGUUGGUUGGAACUGGAAAACAACAUACAUAUGUGGAGACAGAAAAUGUUCGCUAUGUUUACCAUCCAAUAGAAGCUCUGUACUUGCUUCUUGUUACAAAUAAACAGAGCAACAUCCUUGAAGAUUUGGACACCUUAAGGCUCCUUUCUAAGCUUGUAUCCUUUUUUGAGCUGGCCUAUGCUUAUUUUUAUUGUUGUUAAUGUUGAUCUUGUGUUGAAUUUGGGUAUGUUGGCUCGUGAUCUUUCAUGGGGACUAGCAAAGUUUGCAUACGUUAGAACAAAGCAAACGCUUAUUGACGAUGUAUUGUAUAAUGAAGAGAUGAACUCUAGACUGCAAAGGAAAAUAAAAUGUUAUAUAGUUCAUCUUAUAUGAAACAAAAUCAAGUCUUUUCUGGUAAGAUCAUAUGUUUUUCUUUUAAGAAUAAGAAUAUUUUUUCAGGUCUGCUAAUAGGGGUACCCUCCAUCAUGUGUAUGUGUAUACUCUCUUAGGUGUGUAUGUGUGGGAUUUUUGUUUGCAUGGUAAGAUGGUGCUUUACAAAUGUUUGUGUUAAACGCUCUGAGAAUGGAGUUAUGUUGGAGUCCUUAAGUGAUUCUAGGUGCCUGAAUAUUCACUCUCUAUGGAUGAAGAGGGAAUCUGCAAGACAGCUUUUGAUUUGAUUUUUGCUUUCGAUGAAGUUAUUUCUCUUGGGCACAAGGAAAACGUGACUGUUGCCCAGGUUAAGCAGUACUGUGAGAUGGAGAGCCACGAAGAGAAGUUGCACAAGUUGGUACUGCAGAGCAAGAUCAAUGAAACUAAGGAUGUCAUGAAGCGGAAAGCAAGUGAGAUUGACAAAAGCAAGGUCUUCUUUACGUGCCCUUCAUCAUUUUUUUUCCGCAACUAAUUUUUUUUUUUGAAAACAACAAUUUGUUUUCUCAAAAAUAACAUAAAAUUUGAUCAUUUGUCAUAUGUAUUGCAGAUUGAAAAGAAUAGGGGUGACAAAGGAGGCUUUAUGUCUUUACAGUCUAUGGGAUCAGGAAAGAUUGAUAAUGGCCUCAGUGACAUGGGCAUAUCAUCAGGUGGUGGAGGUGGUUUUGGUAGCAGUUCUGGUUUUGGAUUGGGUGCAGAUGUUGAGUCCUUUUCUAGCAAGCCUAAAGGUUGCUCUUUGUUUAAAUGCACAUUUUAUGAAUGUUAUCUAUGAUGAGUUGUUGGUUUGUUACACAUAUUUGUAAGCAGUCACUUGUCCUUGCAUCAACGUCAUAUACGCUACCAACGUUCUCUCAGUAAUUUGUCAUAUAUUUUAUGGCCAAUGAAUAUUGUCACGUAUUAAGUGGACGCUUACCGUUCUACCUUUUAUGUUUGUUAUUAGGCCGUCCACCUUCAUCUGCUACUGCUCCCCCCAAAGGCCUUGGCAUGCAGCUUGGUAAAUCCCAAAGGACAAAUCAAUUCUUGGAAUCUUUGAAGGCAGAAGGUGAAGUAAUAGUUGAAGAUGUACAGCCAAGUGUUGGUCCGUCUAAAUCAGCUGUCCCACCCCCAACUGAUCCUGUUACUCUAUCUGUUGAGGAGAAACUCAAUGUGUCCCUGAAACGAGAUGGUGGAGUUAGUAACUUUGACCUUCAGGGAACAUUGUCCCUUCAAAUUCUCAACCAAGAAGAUUCCCACAUUCAAGUUCAGGUACUUUGGUUCACUUUACAUCAAGGAUGCUGUAUAAUAAACACUACAACUUCUCUAGGUGAUUGGUAUCCCCAACACAUAUCCUACAAUUUCCACUGUUUGACUACUUAUAUUAAUUGAUUUCUUGCACACCUUAUAAACUUUCCUUCAAAUGUGUAUGAAGCUAAAAGAUUUUCAUCGUUGGAUUGUUCACAAAUUUGGCACUUGGGACAAUUUUGAUUUUAAGGUUGUUCCUAUAGGAUUUUGAACCAUCUCUCGGGCACUGCCUUUUGUCUCAUCUUUUUCUUGUAGUGUUAUUUUGAUUUGAUUUACAUUGCUGAUCUUGUUAUUUGUUUCACGAUCUUGAUUCGUUACCUUGUUUUCAGAUUGAGACUGGUGGAAACCCUGGCAUCCUUUUCAAAACUCAUCCUAACAUGAACAAAGAGUUAUUUUCCAAUGAAAACAUUCUAGGCCUGAAGGAUCCCAACAGGCCAUUUCCUACGGGUCAAGGCAGUGAUGCUGGAGUUGGUCUCUUGAAGUGGAGAAUGCAAAGCAAUGAUGAAUCAAUGGUACCAUUAACAAGUGAGUCUGAAUCUUUUUCAUACAGUUUUCUAUUAUAUAUAUUUUUAAAAAGUUAUACUAUACUUAUGAUGAGGCUUCCGUUGUUGCAGUCAACUGCUGGCCCUCUGUUUCUGGAAAUGAAACCUAUGUUAGCAUUGAAUAUGAAGCUUCAUCAAUGUUUGACCUGCGGAAUGUCGUCGUCUCAGUGCCUCUUCCCGCUCUUCGUGAGGCACCCAGUGUAAGGCAGAUUGAUGGAGAGUGGAGGUAUAGAUUGAUCUCUAGUCUCUUAAUUUUCACCUGAUUUAUAUUCUUUCGUUACAUCAAUUCUUUGAUCGAAAUGGGACUGUCCUUGUUGAACUAUGAAAUACGUUUUACUAAAGUAAUAAAGUAACUUUUUAAAGCUCGCUUGUGUUCAUUAAAAUGGGACAUGGAAAAAAGAAACAAUUUCGUAAAAUUUUAUUUAACAAGUCUCAAUGUUGAGAACCUUCUGAAAGGCAAAACUUGUAACGAUUUUUUGAAUAUAUCAAUUACAUGACCCUAAUGAAGCGGAUCCAAACAGAUAUCCUUUUGAAUUCAAAGACCCAUUUAACACCUGUUUUUCCUCAACCUGCAGGUUCGAUUCCAGAAAUUCUGUCUUGGAAUGGUCUAUAGUUCUCAUUGAUAACUCAAACCGCAGGUAUGUUGUGUUUGGAUUCUCUCUUCGCUAGACGUUGUUACCCUAUUAUAAUUGCAUGCUUGUGUUUAUUAAUCUGCUCCAUCAUCUUGACAGUGGAUCCAUGGAGUUUGUUGUUCCUCCAGCCGAUUCAUCAGUAUUUUUCCCCAUUUCUGUUCGGUUUUCAGCAGCUAGCACAUUUAGCGACCUGAAGGUUUUUUCUUGUUCUGUCCUCUACUUGAAAUCGGAUAUUAAUUACAAACCUCUCAAUAACCGUUAUAUCCUGUCCUUGUGUGUGGAAUAAUCUCAUUAAUAAUUGCACUGACACCUAGAUUUUAAGUGGUAAUCACAACUAAAUUGACAGUUGCAUUAGAGUGGAAAUAACAGUGAAUUUGAGAGUUCCCGUAAGAACUAGUGUCGAUGGAACUGGAUGUGAUUUAAUUAGAACAGAAAGUUUAUUAGACUAACCAAACACUUCUACGAUCUAGAAACCCGUCGAACUAAACUGACUUCUUCUCUCAUUCACUCGCAUCAUUUUAUUCUGUAGAGAGAAAAUGAGAUUUUAACUACGCUUAUUCUCAUUCUUGAUUCGAUAUUUCCAGCAUUUACUAAAGCAUUGGUUUGUAAACUCCCUUGUUUCAGGUUGUCAACAUUUUGCCUCUUAGGGGCGGGGCUCCUCCCAAAUAUGUUCAGAGGACACAGUUGAUUGCGGAAAAUUACCAAGUUGUUUGAUUGAUGAGGUCUUCUUUAUUGAAUUUUUCCUUACAUUUUGCACUGAUAAUUUUUUUAGUGAUUUGGCCUGAUAAAUUACUAGUUCGAAACAACUAAGGACUAAAAUAAUCCAUUUCAAGCCAUGGUUACAAGUCUUGGUCUAACAAACGAUAAAAUUUGUUAAAGAAAUUAAUUUUUUUGGUACAUAUUUACCCAAAUUUGUGGGUAAAUCAUCAUAUUCCGAAUUUAGUGAAAUUGUAUCGUUUGUGUUAAUAUUUCGUGGUCUUUUAUUAUACUUGAAAAGACCCAACAGAAACAAGAAAAAAAAAGAAAACCUAAAUACGUCAAAGACAUGCAUGGUGAAGAAACUAAUAUAUAAAAUCAUUUGAUUUUGUUUCAAUGUCUUCUUCCACGUGAAUUCAUAAUCUUCGUAAUUAUAUUAAAAUUACAAGUUGAUUUUCAAAAUUAAAAGAUUGUAUAAAUCACUUUCCAAAAAAUAUCACGUGAAUGAACCACUUAGGAUAUAUAGAAGGAAUAAAGGACGACCAUAGAUUUCUCGGUUGAAAAGUUUGUGAUGGGUUGAAUAAGUCACAUCGAUUAUAGUGACAACAUCAUAUUAUUUUCAGAUAAUCGAAUAUACGUACACUUGUUUUAACAAUUUGGAAGGCAAUUCAUGCAAAUUGGGCAGAUUUGGUAUUUUCCAUUUGAUUCUCGUCGGGUAAUUAUUUGAUUUUCGGCUUUUUUUUAUUUAUAAAAUUAAAUUCCAUAAACAGCACUUUCAUGUGAAGCUAAAUUUUGAAAAAUAAAAAAAUUAGUUUUUAUUUUUGGAAAUUCAUAAUCUGAAACCAAUGAAUAUGAAUUGUAAGAAAAUAAAGACAAUUUUAAAAACAAAAUAGUUAUUGAGCAUGUGUUGAUUUUUUGUUUUAAGUUUGUAAAAACUAAAUCAAUAAACACUCAUCGUUAUAUACUUUCUAAUUUCUACAUGUUUUUACAGAAACAAGCCAACUUUUUAAAACUAACAAACUAGUUUUUUAAAUAAAGAAAUUGGAUGAAAAUUCAACUGUUUAAGCUAAUACAUUUGAACGAAAUAAUCAGAAAUUGAUGAUUUUAAAACAUAAAAUCUAAAAAUUAAAUAAUUACUGAACGAAGUCUACACGUUUUAACUAUACAUUAAAAAUAAUUACAACUUUUUACCAUUUAUGCCAAAACAAUUAAAAACUGAUAAACCAAAAUUAGAAAACUCAUUUUUAGAAAACAGAAAAAAAAAAGUUUAAAAAAAGAAUAGUAAAUUUUGGUUAUAAAAACAAAAAUGAGAGAAAAGAAAUGCGAUGUUCCAAUUUAGGCAUUGAGAAAAUCGAUUAAUUUACUUCCUCCGACUGCUAAACUAUAUAAUAAAUCCAUAAACUUCCAAUGUUCUAGAUAAUACAACUUUUCUUCACUUUUAAGUUUACACUAAUUAUUUGCAAUUUGUACCUAAUUUAAAGAUAAUCUCGUUCAAAAUCACCAAAAUAAUUUUAAAUAAAAAGUAAAUUUAACCGUAAAUUAGAUUAGAGAUAUUAAAUUUAAAAUUGAUUGAAGGGUAUUUUCAACAUAGGAAAUACUUUAAUUUGGAUAUGGUUUUUAUAAAAAUGCGUAAAAUACCAAUACACAAUCCGAAGGUAAAUUGAUAAGAAUCAAGAUGGUUGAUUUAGAUUGGAUUAACUUCAUUGUAUUUACUCCUAAUUAAUAAAUAAAUAAAUAAUCAAACCAUUAGUAUCCAAUAAAUAAAGGAGUAAUGAAAUUAAAUGAAUUAAACGUAAAAGUAGAAAAAGGAAGAGUAUGAUUCUCCCCUGGGCGUAAAAGCAAGCAAAUGGACAAAAUACAAAUUCCGGCCCCCAAAACAAUAAUUUGGGUUUACAUUUAGACCACGAAUAAGCUAAUUAAUUACAAGACUUACCCCUUAAAAAAUGUAAAGAAACCAAAGGCAAAGCCUCAAACAAUUAUAGUUAAGGGUAGAAAAUAGAAAAUUAUAGAGAGGAAAAAGAAAAAGAAAGGUUAUAAAAAGGAAUUAAUGAAAGAGGAGGAAGAGGAAGAGGAAGAAGAAGAGGGAGGCAUAUUAAUUAGGUCUAAUGGAUUUAAUUAAUUAAUAGAUUAAAUUAUUUAAAGAGUCUAAUCUUCGGGAAGUGGAAGUGUGAAAUUUUGACCUUUCGCUUUCUCGAUCUAGGGUUUCAUGUCAUUGACAGAGUCCUUCGUUAUCGCCAAAAAUACGAGCCCUAGCAGCAGAUAAAAUAAGAGUUUUCCCAAACCACAGAUCGAGUUCAUUGGAAACAAAAUUUUCGUUUUUUCUUUUUGGUUCAUCAUCUUCAUCAUCAUCAUCAUCAUCAUCAAUCAGGAUCUUAAAUUUUUUUCCUAUCAUGGGAAAAAGAAGAACCCAAAUCUUGUUUUGUUCUGUUGUUUCUUGACGGAUCGAUGUUUUAAAUUUGGAAAAAAGAAAAAGAGUAAGAAAACUGGAUCAAAUCUAAAGCAUUCAGGACGAUUCAUGAUCUUUUUUUUUUAAUUUCUUAUUGUCUGGAAAGGAAAUCAUUGAAACCCCAUGGGAUUAUAUAGAAACUUGAUGAAAUUUCUGGAGGCAUAAAGCGAAACAGUGAAAUAUUGAGAGGAAGGAGAUUGGUGGGGAAGAAUGUAUAAAUCGGUGGUUUACCAUGGGGAUGAGCUACUGGGAGAUGUAGAGAUUUACCCAGAAGAAAAGAAUGGCUACAAGAACAUCGAAGUGAAGGAAAUCAGAAUAACUCACUUCUCGCAACCCAGUGAGAGGUGCCCACCACUUGCAGUGCUUCAUACCAUUGCAGCCUCUGGAAUUUGCUUCAAAAUGGAGUCAAAGACCUCGCAGUCACAGGACACGCCGCUCAAUCUUUUGCAUUCCUCGUGUAUCAUGGAGAAUAAGGUAUAAAAACAUAACUCGAAUAUAAGAAAGGAGACCAAAAGACUAAAGUACGAAGAGAGAGAAAAAGACAGAGACAGAGAUUAAAACCAAUGAGUUAAACAAAAUCUUAAUUCUAAACCCAACUUUGUUCAUCUUACAAGGAUUAGAUUGUAAACAUUCCAAUCAUUUUGAGAAAAUUUUGCAACCUUAAAUUGAGAAUGGUGCUGGAAUUCUGCCUGACAUUUUGUGAAAUUUCUAUGAUAUCUGCAACUUAUCCUAAAUUGUCUUUCUACCUGUCUUGGUUAGACACCUAUGGAAGAAAAUGGGAAUGUAAAAUGGGCAAAGCUGACUCCUAAACUUUUAGUUCAUAGGAAGUUCAGCUAUUUGCUUCCUCCUGUUUUCUUGCUCUUUCCGGCUGGUGACGUUAUUUUGAAGAUUAUGCUGCUGGUAGUUUCAUUUUGGUGGUAAACUUGUGAUUUUGUUCUGCAAGAAAAUUAAAACAAUUGUUUCAAUAAGCUGAAAAUUGGUGUCAAAGUUAAUAGCAUGAGAAAACUUGAUUGCCCCCUGGAUUCUUUUUUUCAAACUUCUAAUAUUACUUAUGGUUUUGUUGUUUUGUAAAGUUGGAAGCAUUUCUGCAUUGUUUUUUGUCAAUGGGAUGGCAUAUUCUUCCUCAGUUGGUUGUUUUUGAUAUGGAUGUGUUGCAAACACUGAUGAUUUGGAUUUGUUUCAACAGACUGCUAUAAUGAUGUUUGGGGUGGAGGAGCUACAUUUGGUAGCCAUGUUUUCUAGAGAUCUUGACAAGCAGUAUCCAUGUUUCUGGGGCUUCAACGUUGCAAUGGGACUCUACAAUUCUUGUCUUGACAUGUUGAAUCUUAGAUGUCUUGGCAUUGUAUUUGAUCUUGAUGAGACACUUGUGGUUGCAAAUACAAUGCGUUCGUUCGAGGAUAGAAUUGAAGCCCUGCAGCGGAAAAUAAGCAGUGAGGUAGACCCACAGCGCGCUAAUGGCAUGCUGGCAGAGGUUAAGCGAUAUCAAGAUGACAAGAUAAUUCUGAAGCAAUAUGCUGAAAAUGACCAGGUUAUAGAAAAUGGAAAAGUGAUUAAAAGUCAAUCGGAAGUAGUGCCAGCAUUGUCUGACAAUCAUCAACCUGUUGUUCGACCUCUGAUACGGUUGCAUGAAAAAAAUAUCAUUCUAACUCGUAUCAACCCCCAGGUAACUAGAUUUAAACCAUGCUAUCUAUUUGCUUCCACUUUCCAAGGAUGCAAGGACCAUCAAACAAUUCACUUACACUUGUUUUUCACUUCAACUGCUCAUAUGUGCAUUCAUAUUACCCUUUUUUCUAGUAUCCAUGUUGGAUAUUUUUUCUCUCUGUUUUUAGAGUCUCCUAAUUUGUCUGUUUAUUUUUUACUGUAAUGAUUAAAAUUAAUCCAAACUGAUGUUGUUUGCCUGAGACAGGGUUUGGUUCAUUUAAGUGGUGUCUGAGUUCUUUAUAUGAUAUUUCAUUUAGACUUAUAAGUUGCUCAAUGAAAGUCAUAAGCUAUUUUGUGAAGUCGUUAAAUGCAAGUUAUAUUGGCUCAACUACUGCUAUUAUUUCAUAGAUUCGUGAUACAAGUGUUCUUGUGAGGUUGAGACCUGCAUGGGAAGAUCUUCGGAGCUACUUGACUGCAAGAGGCCGCAAGCGUUUUGAGGUCUAUGUGUGUACAAUGGCUGAAAGGGAUUAUGCUUUGGAGAUGUGGAGGCUCCUUGAUCCGGAUUCAAAUUUGAUAAAUCCUAAGGAAUUGUUGGAUCGCAUUGUUUGUGUUAAGUCUGGUAAGUUUAAGCCAAUUUCGUAAGAAGACAAAUAUUCCUUCCCAAACCGGUGGCACAUUUUUCCGAGGGUUGUUGAUGAAGAAGCUAAUUCCGAAACUGCUUAAAGUCCUGAUUUAUAGUUUUUCUAUCAUUUUGGCGAUUUUCAAUUGAAUUUUCUUGCUAACAUUCUUUUGGCCCAUAUCCUUAGGUUCUAGGAAGUCAUUGUUCAAUGUCUUCCAAGAUGGGUUUUGCCACCCAAAGAUGGCUCUGGUAAUCGAUGAUCGUUUGAAAGUAUGGGAUGAAAAGGAUCAACCUCGAGUGCACGUUGUUCCUGCAUUUGCUCCUUACUAUGCCCCUAAUGCUGAAGUAUAUUCUUAUUUGUAAUUUGGCAUUUCAUUUUGAAAAAAUUCUUUAAAAAUUACGCAACACUGAUUUAUUUCACGUUUCUUUUUCUUUUUGGGUAGGGAAAUAAUGCCAUCCCUGUUCUAUGUGUAGCAAGGAAUGUUGCCUGCAAUGUUAGAGGUGGUUUUUUCAAGUAAGAUUCAUAAGACUGCUAAAGUUUCUUACCGAAGGACAUGAAUUCUACUAUGCUUAUUUUUAAUAUUUGCAAAUUAAGGUUUUAGCUCUGGGAGAUGGUCCAAGUUCAUGCAUGUUAUUGGUUUUCUUUUGUUAAUAGCGGCAUUUCUCUGACUUCAGGGAAUUUGAUGAUAUCCUACUGCAAAAAAUUUCUGAUAUCUCAUAUGAAGAUGAUGUCAACGAUAUUCCCUCUCCUCCGGAUGUGAGCAACUAUCUCGUCUCAGAGGUCAGUAGGAAUUCCUUCUCAAAUUACUUUCCCAUAAAAUAAUCAAACUUAGUUUGAUAGUGAGGUCAUUGUUAUAAUCAAAUUUAGUGUUACUGCUUUUCCCUAUAGGUGGGAGGUCUAAUCCUCAUCACCACAAUUGUUGUACUAAAAAACAAUCUUUUCCCUUAUAUGUUUUUCAGGAUGAAUACUCUAUUGCUAAUGGAAACAAAGAUAUGCCAACUUUUGAUGGUAUGCCAGACAUGGAAGUUGAUAGAAGAAUGAAGGUACUGACGAAGAUUGGUCCUUGUUUGAUGUUAUAAGUAAACUUUCAUUUGCAUAUAUCAGGGAACUAAUUAGGUCAAGGGAAGUGAGUGUAAUAAUAUCUUGCAUAACAUUCUACUAGGAGGAAUGAAUUAGUUCUAAAAUUUUUAAGUUACCAUUAUACAUUUACAUCCAACAAUUGUUAGUUGUGGAGUGGAAAGAAUUUGCAACUUCAUUCAAUAAAAAUUAUGAUAAAUAGAUGUCCAAGAAUUACAAAGAACUAAAGAAGUGAGCAAACAUAAAGAAAUCAGUAAGCUCUCUGCAUCAAUUAGUCAUUGUUCCUGCAUAUUACUUUGCCUGCAUGUUACUUCAAGAUCUGUCUGUCAUACACAUGUACUCAGUCUUACAUAUACAUGUAUGAAACGGAUACCUCUUCCAUCUUCCCCAGGAUGCAUUUUUGGCUUCUUCAACUAUUAACAGUGCAGAUCCACGGGUUUCUUCUCUUCAAUAUACAAUGGCUUCUGCUUCUUGUUCUGUUCCACUUCCCCCAAAGCAGGUGACGAUGCCAUAUUUUCCAAACAUGCCACUUCCCCAUGUUAACUCAGUGGCUCAUGUGGCCCCAAAUGAACCAAGUUUACAAAGUUCUCCCGCUAGAGAGGAGGGUGAGGUACCAGAAUCAGAAUUAGAUCCUGAUACAAGGCGUAGACUCCUUAUAUUGCAACAUGGGCAAGAUACGAGAGAGCGUCUAUCAAGUGAACCCGCAUUUCCAGCAAGGCCUCCUCCAUUACAGCAGGUUGCUGCUCCACGUGCUCAAUCACGUGGAAAUUGGUCUCCAAUGGAAGAAGAAAUGAGCCCAAGGCAACUAAAUCGCAGUGCACGAAAAGAUUUCCCUGUAGAUGCUGAACCAAUGCCGAUGCGGGAGAAGCAUAGGUCAAAUCAUCCUUCAUUUUUCGCCAAGGUUGACAAUUCAAUUCUACCUGAUAGAAUUCCUCAUGAUAAUCAGAGAUUGCCAAAAGAGGUAAUUAGGCUAUGUUUUGCCUGGCUUUGACUCCCCCUUUUUUCAAAGAGAAAAGCUGCUGUAUAAUUCUUCAGUAUGCUUUUUUAAUCAUGCAUGCAGGCUUUUUAUAGAGAUGAUCGUAUGAGAGUAAGUCGAAGGCCAUCUAGCUAUCCUGCGUUCUCAGGUGAGAUGGCAGUUUGACACUUAAAUUUGUCCAUUUUUUGAAUUUUAUGGCGUCAAAUUUUAAUAGUUUUUAUUUAUUUCUCUCUUUUUUUUUUCUUCUCAUCUUAAAUAUUCAGGUAAUUAUUAGUUCGUCUGUCUGUUAUUACUCGGGGCUCUCUCUUUCAUUUUCUCAAUGAUUAGCAUUCAAAAAGAGUCAAACCCUUCAUCCUGUAACCUAGUGAACCACGUGUUUUACUUUAGGGUGAAUUUUCUUGUGGAUUAUUUCCAUAUCUACUCUCACAAUUACUCUGUAUUUUUUAUUUAGGCCUAGAGAUUAUAUGCAUUGUUUUCAUUGUGUAUGGAUGUUGUGUUCCAGAUUUUGAAUCUAAUAUUUUCAUUUCUCAAAAUAGAAUUCAAAUAUACCAGUUUUUUAGUUUAUUUAGGUUUAAAUAUAAAAUCCUUUAAAUCUCUAUCGAUUUAACUUCUAAACUAAAAGUUUUUAGAUCGUUCGAUAUUUUAGAAUGUUGUUAGUAGCAGAAUAUCUAUGUAAUAUUUAAUGAAUAAUUUGUAGUUUGUUUAACAUUUUGAAUUUUAAUAUUUCUAAUUGAUGAUAUUGUGACAAUGUUCUCUAACUGAAAAUUUACAUCUUGAUCGGCUUGCAAAUUUAAAGCAAAACUUAUCAUUAUUUUUAUUUUUCUACUCUUCGUUUUGUUAAUAACUAUCAUAUUAGUCAUUAUUAUAUUUCUUUGAGGUUAUGCUGCAUGCUGUAUUGCUAUUUUAUAGGUGAGGAAAUUCCAAUGAAUCAAUCAUCUUCAAGAAGUCGGGAUGAUGACAUUGAAUCUGGACGCUCCAUCUGGAGUGAAACUCCUGUUGGAGCUCUACAGGAAAUUGCAAUGAAGUUUGGCACCAAGGUAAUUGGGACAACUUUUCUCAUCAUAAAAAUUUGAAGUUUGUCAAUUAUGCAUUUGUUACACCCAUCUCUAGCCAGUCCUUGAGAUUUGAAAAAACUUGUAGGUGGAAUUUAAGCCAGGGUUGGUUCCCAGCACAGAUCUACAGUUUUCUGUUGAGGUAAUUUAUGAUUUCUAUCUUCAUGUUCUUUAUGGUUCUUCCUUGGAAUAUAUUUUGGAUACUGGAUAGUUCAAUGCCUACAUGAAUGAGAGUUUCUGCUUUUAUUUUUCUUUUAUUAUUAUUAUUAAAAAUUGAUCUAGUAUUAAAGAAGAAGAAGAAAACUAGGCUGGGGAAGAAAAAUCCCCUACUCGAGAGGAGAGAAGAAAUACUAUAAUAAUGAAAAAGAAGUGAGCGUUUACUCCAAAUCACAACCAAACUAACUAUGGCUCUAAAAGAGCUUUGAGAGCUUUCCCAUUGCUAAUGGUUAUGAAGAGGUUCCACUACUAGGCAGUGAGCCAAACACUGAGUUUUCUGCUUUGCUCUAUUAAUGUUGUGUAUUCCAAAUGUGGGAAGAUGCGAAAAUUCUAGAUUUAUUAAUAAUCCAAGUCUCAUGACUGGAUGGCCUUUUCUUGUCCAAUAGGACUUAUAUACCAUAGUAAAAUGAAGAAAUUGAUUAUUAAAUAUCUCAAGGUUAAAUCAAUUCUCCAUCAAAAUACAAGACACUAAUCCUGAUAAGCUUUUGGCUGAAUUAUAAAAAAUACCCCCUUUAAUAAAUCAAGGCCAUCCAGUCGUGAGAGUUUCAAUUAUAAAAAAUACAUUGAAUGUCUCUUUCUAAUGAGAGUUUCAAUUAUAAAAAAUACAUUGGACUACAUAUCCUUUAGAAUUUGAGUGGAAAUUGGGACUUGUAGGAUAUGGUGGCGUGGGUUGAUCCUAAUUUCCAUUAUAGGUCACCCUACACCAUUCCAAUUUCAACCUGAAAUUUCUACUCCAAAUGUAUUUUUUUUUAAAUCUUGUUAAAGUCCACGAGUAAUAUUGCAAAUUUUGAAAGGAUAGGAGCAUUUUUUGAACAAAUGAUUUGACCUACAUUGUUAACUUUCCAUGUACUUAUCUCAUCGGGUUAUUUAUCACAUUUUUCAAUUUUUAAGACCUGCCUGUCUCCACUUGUUCUGAUUAUAGAGCAUGUGAACCUGCUCCUUGCUUUUGUAGGCUUGGUUUGUAGGAGAAAAAAUUGGUGAAGGGAUUGGCCAUACUAGAAGGGAUGCUCAGCGACAGGCAGCUGAAGGUUCCAUAAAGAAUUUGGCUAGUAAGUAGUUUUGCUUUCUUCUCUUAUACUAUUUUAUGUUUACAACAUUUAUCUUUUGCUAUAUAUUGUUGACGUUAUACCUUAUUUUGUUGUUUGUAGCAAUCUAGAUAUGAAUAUUGUCUCUCCAAGAUAGUCUGCAGUCGUUUGGAAUAUUAAAAUUAUUGUUAUUGUCUUGCAUACUCUGUUUAUAAUGAUUUUAAAACAUGAUAACUCUUUGCAUUUUGGCCUAGGUCUGAACUACUUGGCUCAAUCUAGACAACUUAGCUUUUAUAUUUAGAUCAAUCGGUAAAAAAAUUUGUUAUUCUUAAUUCCUCCAAGGUUUUUUCUUAGCAUUGGCUGCUGUAUUGGGCAUGUGAUGUAUGUGUUUAGAAAUGCAAGCUUCAAUUAGAGCUAAAAUGCGAAGAGUAUGAGCGACCUCCGUGGUUUAUUCUGGCUUACAUACGAAAUAUUUUUUUGCAGACAUUUAUGUAUCACGUUGUAAGGCUGACCCUUCAUCUGCAAAUGAUAUGAACAAGUUUCCUAGCGACAAUGGAUCUGGAAAACGAAUGAAACUGGACUUCCACAGACAUCUUCCAAAAACUAAAUAAAUAUUCCACGAAAGCUUCUGCUCCAUGAAUGACUUCCAUAUUUGUUGACCCUCUAGUAAAAGCACGUUUCAGAAUAUUUGAGGUUAAAGGCCAUCAAGAGUCACCAUGUUGGACUUAGAAUACAUGGCCUUCUGCUUGUCUCGAUCAGAAUAAGAGGCAAACCGCAAGAUCAGCUCUUAUGCCUUCAUUCAAUUUCUUCUGAUAUCCAGCAACACGAACUCCACGUGAAUGUUCAUACUGAGGAGAUCCAGUUACUGCAUCUCUCUUAACCUUUAUGUUUUUUUCCUCGAGACCAAGAUAACCGGGAUGAGCCAUGAAUAUCUGCCUGCUUUAGUUGAAAAUUUUCUCCCAUUAAAGCUGAAGCCAUUUUUGUUAAAGAGGUGGCAGAAGGCUGUAGUUCAUGCUCAAUGCUCUCCUUUGGCAACUUGUUCACUCCAACAUGUUUGAGAUUGGCCGAUCAGAAUUUUAUUUUGUUUUAUUUUCUUUAUAUUUUUUGUGUUAAUAUUUUAUUUAAUUUGAUUGAGCUCAGGUCGAAAAUUGGCUGGUAUUCAGGAAUGUUUUCAUGAUCUGCAGACUCAUUAAUUCACUUUAUAACAAAGCUAACCCUUUAAUUUUAUGUUCCACACCUAAAUUAACAGUUAGGCUCCCCCACCCCAUGAAUGAUGUUUCGAGCUGGAGAACAAUGUAGUUGGUGGUAGAGUUGUAUAGAGUUCUUUUUUAAUACCAUUUCUGCUGCUUUUUUUAUUUCAAUGUCAAUGGAUGGAAUUCAACAUCUCCCAUAUUCUAUUUUAAGAUUGUUCUUAACAGAACUUGAUUGUUGUUUUUAUUUGUAUCAGGAUAAUAAAUGAUUCUUGGAAUUGCUAUCGCUCCUAAAUUUGUCACUUCGAAGUGGAAUGAAACAAAACAAUUGAAUUGAAUUCAAUAUUCUUAUAGUCUAUAGUAUUCCAAAUUUUAUUAAAUGAUUUUUUCUACUCUUCAAUCACAACAACGUAUUAAAAAACACAUUAAAUCAGAUCAUGUGUAUUCACCACUAAAUGCUUUUUAAGAAAUAUAUAUAUAUUUUAGAAAUUGAAACAUCAAGCCUUUGGUCAAGAAAAUUCGUACCAUCACAUUAGGAAAUGAAAUUAAUACUGUUAGCUCUCUCUUCCCUAUACAUAUAUCCAUGUAUAUAAAAUAUAAAGUUGAGGGACAAAUUUAUACUACAUGCUAACAACUAUUCUAUUGACCUAAUAAAAGUGUAUAAAGUGUUUAUUCCAAGUACGAAUCUUUUUCAAUGUUAAAUUAAUAUACAUAUUUAAUCAUAAAACAUCGAUUAUAACCAAGAGUUGCAUUUUGAUUGGGCAGAGUAUUAAUCUUUUUCCUUCUAAAAAUAAAUUUAAAAGAAGAAGAAGAACGAAGAAGAAUAGUUGAAAAAUGGUUAAAUUUUGGUCCUAUUAAUUACUUAAUGUGUAAAAAUGUGUAAAGGAUAUAAAAGGGUCAAAUUAGCUUCAACGAGAGAGUCAGUGAGUCAUCCCUUUGUUUCUCAUUUUACAAACCCAACCCACAAAAACACAUCUCUCUCUCUCUAUUUCUCUCUCUGCGGUGUUGGAGAGCGCUAAAAUGUCCACCUUCGACGCCUACAGUAUGGACGGUGAGGACAGCUAUGGCGGUUACGGAUCCUACACCAAUUUCUCCGGCGCCUUCCCCGGAGACGCCGAUGUGACCGUCGAGCAUACUCCUGCCUCGCCGGACGUCUUUGGAUUCGACGAUCCCAGCCCUAACUACUCCCAGGCUCCCUUUGAUCCGAUUCAUGUAGAGAAUGGAAAUGGAAAUGGCUAUGGUGCGGCUGAGGAUGAAGUUGGUGAUGGUGUGUUCGCAUCCGAUGGUCCAAUUCUUCCCCCUCCUAGCGAGAUGGGCGUGGAGGAAGGAUAUGCUCUUCGUGAAUGGCGUCGGUAAGAUCCUGUGACCCUCAAUUCAUUUUUUCAGAUUUCUUGGAACUGAAGAGGUUUUUCUUCUGCUGCUUGUGCUUUGUAUCUCGGUGUCGACUUAGAUCUGAUUCGUUGGCGAACAACUUCAGAUCUCUAUUAGUCAUCUCUUGCUAGUGUUUUUACUUGAUUGCACUGAUUGAUCUAGACUAUUUCUCCACUUUGUCUUAAUAGCUCUAUAUAGAGGGAUUUGAUGAGGGGAAUUAUAUUGAUCGAUUUGCAUUAAAAGGUGGUGAAUUAAAGAACUUAGAUCUAGGGAUAUCUGUACCUCAAUUGGUAGACUUCGAUGAAGAAGCUAUUUCAUUAGUGAGCUCUGAUCGAGGUUUUUAUUAGUAGAUCAGUUAGGCACAAGCCAUGGUGUCAAAUUUCUAAUUAUUAGUGGGUCUGUGUCGUUAUUGAUCUAUGUGGAAGUUCAAGCGGAAUUUAGGUUAAUUUCUCCAAGUUCAAGCAGAAUUCCAGCGGAUUAUUCGUAGAUCAGUCAGGGACAUAGCCAUUUAAGUCAAAUUACUAAUUAUCAGUUUGUGUAUAUUGUUGUUGAUCUAUGUGGAGGUUUAAGCGGAAUUCCAGCGGAAUUUGGUUGAUUAAUCAGGGAGAUAGCCAUUAAGUCAAAUUACUAUUAUUAGUGGAUGUAUAUUGUUGUUGAUCUAUGUGGACCGUGGAAGUUCAAGCGGGGUUCAGGUAAGUCUCUGGUAGAUAAGUAUGGACGAUUCGAUUUAGCCAUGACCCAUACAAAAAUGCAUGCGUGAUUCCUAAAGAGAAAUUGCAUGAUGUAUAUCAUCAAUUGAAAUCUUUUUAGCUAUUGUUUUAUUUUUCUUUGUUGUUUAGUUGUUUUAUUGGAUGUAACAAAAUGUCCUUGUUGACUUCCAUUUUCCUUUUAGAUCGCAGAAAGUGCAAUUUGUAAUGGAUAGCCAAUUUGAGUUUUGAAGAUGUAUUCAAGUAUAUAUCUAUUGUCUUUCGACUCUUUCCAAUUUUGAACUUUAGAAAUUAUGGGUUUUUUGGUGCAGCCAAAAUGCCAUUCAGCUUGAAGAGAAGGAGAAAAGGGAGAAAGAAUUGAGAAUUAAAAUUAUUGAAGAAGCUGAGGAGUAUAAAAUAGGUUUCUAUGAGAAAAGAAAGCUUAAUGUUGAGAGUAACAAGGUUAACAACAGAGAAAGAGAGAAGGUAUAGUUUUGUUUGCCAUCUUCUUUCAAGGGUGUGUUCUUCGUUUUCUUCUCUAGCUCUUUUUUCUUAGUAUAGAUUUUUCGCGUUUUUGGGGCAGCUAUACUUGGCAAAUCAGGAGAAGUUUCAUAAAGAGGCUGAUAAACAAUACUGGAAAGCAAUUGCAGAACUAAUUCCUAACGAAGUUCCUAAUAUUGAGAAAAAGAGAGGAAAGAAGGAUCAAGAAAAGAAACCAUCAAUACUAGUUGUUCAGGGUCCAAAGCCUGGGAAACCUACCGAUCUUUCAAGAAUGCGGCAAAUUCUCGUGAAAUUGAAGCACACACCCCCACCUCAUAUGAAACCACCACCACCCCCACCUGCCAAGGAUGCCAAGGACGCCAAGGACACCAAAGACGGCAAAGACGCUAAAGAUGGAAAGGAUGCCAAAAAUGAAAAAGAUGCAGCAACAAAAGCAUCCGACCCUACACCUGGGGCUGCCACGGCCAAUGGCACUUCUCACAAACCUCAAGAACCAAGUGUUGCUCCCGCUGCCGAUGAAGAUCAAACUGCUACAUAAUGACAUAGCCAUAGCCAUUAUCAACUUCUUUCUGCUCAAUACUUUUACAUUUUCCCUUUGAGAUUUCGUUGUUUUUCGUUCGUCUAUCCUUGCAUUUGAAUGUGUAAUCAGUUGUGAUCUUAUACAACAUUUAUUCUUCUGUACCUUAUGACAGUCUCUAGUGGCGUUAUGUUUUGGACUAGUCCAGGUUCUGAUUUUGACAUUGCCACAUCUUCCUUCUUUCAAAUUAUUUCUUCAGGUUAGCCUAUUCAUUUUCUCAGCCUAAUUUCUUCAAAUGUUGCUUCUGUAAUCAUGUGGUUAUUUCGAGAACUCUACAAUUGAUGUGAAUUCUGUUUGUGCUGUAGUUAAUUUCUUAUUCUUAAGGCUGAGUUUUGAAUUGAUUUUGAGUGACUCAUUUUGUUAAUAUAUAUACAUACAUAUUUUUACAAAGCUUCUUAAUACAAAAUCUUCAUUGAAUUUUAGACCAUUUGAUUACUUCUAGGAAGGUAUUUAUUUGUGCUAUUAUCUUAGUAUUUCAAUAUAGAUACAGUAGUUUGUUUAAGACAUUUCUUUACCAUCGAGGAAAGUAAGGAGUUGGAGGAUAUUUUUAACCUUUUGAAUUCAUUUCCAAUGAAAAACUAGGAUGCUAAAAUUCUGCAUAAUUUAGCGAUUAUGGAAGAAAUUACAUAUUUAGAUUUUGAAAUGUGUAAUGUUCUUUAAAUUUUUAGUUGAUAAGAAUUAUGUUCCUCCCUGAAGAUCAGAAAAUUCCAAAUAACAAUGGAGAAAUACUCUGCUACACUUAUAUUGAGUACUAUACUUUAUUAAUAUGAACAGGGAAAUAACUAUAACAAGAACCACAAUAAUCCAGAAAUCAAGAACUAGAAAAUAAGAAGGCUGGAAGCUUCCCUAAAAAUCUCACGCCUCCAAUACUUCUCCAGUCUCCAACACAUUCCUUUUAUAUUUCUCACCAGUGGGCUCCUCCCAAAUCCUCUCCUCCACCUGUCUUCUGAUGGUUUUUCAUCUUGCCCUCCCUCGUCUUCCUUCUUUUGUAGGUGUGAAUAAUUGGAGGCGUAACAAAAUAACACGGAUUCAGAGGGGUGCAGUACAAUAUUGAAUUUUGUAUUAUGUUACUCAUGCUAAGAAGGUAGUUGAGUAACAUGAAUUGCAAUUGGUGCAAAAGAGUCAUGUAGGAAAUAGAGAUUGUUGUGUCCAAUAGAAGAACAAAAAAGGAGAGUGUGUCUAUCAUAGAACAGAGAAAGGACAAAAGUGGUGAUAAUGAAGAAGAAGCAAACAAAAAAUGUCUGGGAAUCGCUACAUCGAUACCAUAAUGGGUGUUGAAACGAAUAAUGGAUUGAAUAUAUUAGGUCAAGUCCAUAGCUAAAGAACACAAAUCCAUCCUUAAAAGAUGAGUGAAACUCUCCAAGAAACGAAUAAUGGAUUGAAUAUAUUAGGUCAAGUCCAUAGCUAAAGAACACAAAUCCAUCCUUAAAAGAUGAGUGAAACUCUCCAAAAACCAAGUUCUAUAUGGAAAGAGCGUCAAAAGUUUUCUAAUAAACUCUAACCAUAACUUGGCUAUGUAGAGUCUUACAAGAAAAACAACAUAAUUAACUAAUUAAUACAAACUAUUAAAUACUAGUUUAUCUAAAUUAACAGCUCAACUAAGUUUUAAUUCAGAUAUAAUAAUUAUGGCUUUGGAGGAGCAAGAGUCUUCCUUUCUUCAUACAUUUUGUGUGGUUUAUCUUGCUAGUAUCUCGUGGUGUUAUAUUGUAGUUUGUUUUAGUUUUGCUUUCUAAAAAUAUACUUUCUUGUUAAUCAAAUAAAAGGUUUCUCUGAUCAAAUAUAUACAUAAGCUGUCGACAAUCCAACAAAAACAAUAACUUCCAUUACAACACCUAUUAUAAAAAUCCCACUUACUGGUAUAACAAAAAUAAGAUUUUGCAUAUUGACCAUAUAUCCUGUUCAUAUUACAUACAUCCUUUUGUGAUUUAUUAUUAGAAAAAUCUAAAAACUUGCUUAAUAUACUUAAAAGAAACCAACACUAAUUAAAAUCUCCAUCUUUUCAAGGGAAAAAAAUCAGUUUAGUUCAAGCAUAAGUCUAUCCAAAUAGAAAGAUAAACUCAAACAACAUAAAUCCCUUUAAUCUCUACAAUUGUCCUUUUAAUCCAAGAUCUCUUGGUUCUCAAAUUGAGCUAAUUUUUUAUUAGUUAAAGGGCUAUAAAUCAUUAGUGUUUUAACAAUAAAUAAACAAGGAAUAAUUAAAGGAAAAAAAUAAGUUUACAUUAUUAGAAUGCCAGCUUUAAGUUAUUCUAAGGACCAUGUUACUCUUAACAAGAAUACAUAAUUACUUAAUCAAAUACUUUCCAUUUGGAAUCAGCCAACUCAGCUUUAAUCAUCUUUUAUCCAUGUAGUUAUUCCAUUCAAAACAUUAUUCAUGUUCAAGAUAAACUUUUGAUACUAUAUAUAGAUCUUACUCAUAGAAACUUUCUUAUUGAUUUCUUUCCGAAUUUAAUUAUAUAAAUCUAAUUCAACCACAAAUACUAUUAAUAUUAACCGUUACUCCUAGGGUUAAUUGAUACCCAUAAAAUAACAAUAAUAAGGAAUGAUAUAAAAUGGUAAAACAUUUGCUUUUCAUUAAUCCAAUCUUAGAGAAAACUCUGAAGGUCCAAAUAGAGCUUCCGGAAGCAAAAAUAUGUACAAACAUAAAAACUUAAAAAAUAAAAAUAAAAAUUUAAAGUCACCAGAAAUUAGUAAUAAUAUAUAUAUAUAGUACUAUAUAUAUAUUAUUAUAGAAACAGAAAAGAGUUGAAUGAAUCAGGCAUGUGAUCCCCAGGUUGCCCAGUUGGCUUCACUUCCUACACGUGGCAUGGUGUGAACUCUUGACUGGACAUCAACCUUAAAGUUUGCCCCACACAUAACUCCCUCACUAUCAAUUCUUGGCAUUGCCUUCAUCUUCUUCGUCGGGUGUUCAAAACUCAUUAGUCCUCUCUCGCUGUGGAACAUACAACCUACCAUUUUAUACAAGUAAAUAAACUCCACGUCAGAUUGCAGCUCUUUUUUAAAAAAAACCAAAAAGGGUAUUUUUUCUCUCUCUUUAAUUUAACUAAUAAAGAGAAUAUUAUUUACCAGGUGGAAAUGGAGCAAAUGACUUGGCACAUCCGGCUUUAAUGACCUCUAACUUGUCCGAUAUUACAAGAGAGCCAUCAGCGGCAGUCCCCCAAUAUAAAUCCAUCCCCUCAUUUGCAUCCUGAAACACAAUUCGUUUUCAAAUCAAACAAUAAAUUAAACCCUAAACUUAAAUAAUAAUAUCCUUUACCCCUAAAUUUCUAGGUCUAAUUUCUUUUUUUACUUUGAAAGAUUAAUUUUCAAAAUGAUAUAUCCUUUUGAUUUUUGGGUGUAUUAGGAUGUACUUAAAAAGUGGUUUUUUUUUUAGGAAAAAAACCAUUUUUGUUUAACAAAUUUAGGGUAAAAACCUAUACUUUCCCAUAGAUUUUGAAAAGAUUGCUUACCAGAGCCGCAAAUACAGAGCCGGCCUUGCGGUCAAAAACUACAAAGGCGAAGUUUCCUUCGAGUUCUUUAAGAACCUGAUCAGCUGGGUAUGGCCCACGGUCUCUUAGGGUUCGAUAAGCUUCGAUCACGAACAUGGCUUCAUUCGUAGCUUUUGAAAGCCCGUACUGCUUGUUCAACCGACUCAGGUUGUUCAAACUCCCCUUGAACAUACAGUACAUUUCAUCUAAUCCACAAAACAACCUGCCAUUUUUCCCCCAUUCAAUCAAUAACUUCAAUACUAAAACAAACCCAUAAUUUCAGAUCUCAUAAUUUCACAGAUCAUAAAUUAACUAGUUCUUACAUUUGGUGGUGAGUGGAAUGAGAUGCAGAUGGAUCGAACGCUAUGGAUGCUGCAUUUCCAAAAUACAUAGACAGAGUUCCACAAGAACCGGAAGAAAGGAAAUGAUCGAGAAUUUCUCGAGGAAGUUUGGGCUUCGCCGUCGGUAGGCGAAAUGACGCAGGACUUUGAAGCUCCGGUGGUGAGGGAACGGAUUGGCUGUCGAAAAGGGCUAACAUCUUGAAUCUAUAAGCUUCACUUUAGUGAGAAGGAACAAGUUUUAGUUGUUGAUUGGAAUAGGGAAAGAGAUGGUGAAGAAGAAAGGAGAUAUGGUGGAAAUAUAUAAAGGGAGAGGAAGUUUGGUGCAGAGGAAUAAGGAAGCUGACGUGGCGAUGUUAUCCAAACUCGGAUUAAUCGGGGAUUUAUCUACGUGUAUUGUGAAGUACGGUUCCAAGUCAACUAUUUCCAGCUCUUUCCUUUUCAACAUUUAUCUCUUUUUAAUACUCCAUUUUUCAUAAAAUAAACUUCAAUCUACCCCUCAUCUCUUUAUCAUACAAAUAAUUAAAAAAUGUAAAUCCAUCUAAUUGUUGUCAAUCUUUUAUAUGUCAUCUGUAUAAUCCUCAGACACUCUUUUUCUAAACACAAAGAAAAAAUAAAUUUUGAUUUUUGAAAAGAUCGUCACAUGUCAUAAUUUUAUUUGACAAUUUCUUGAGAUACAAAGACGUAAGUAUAUCCUCAAUAGCACACAGGUUUUGUUUCCCUUUCUUCACAUUUACAUACAUACGAGAAUAAUGCUUAGAUUUGCUUGUUUCCACGCAAUCCUUCCGCCACGUAGAGAUAUAUAAUUAUAUAAGAAAACUCUCUUUUUAGAAAAAUAAAAUUUUGUCCCAUGCAUAUAUGUGUAUCAUAUUAUUUUUCUUUGUUGAAUAAGUUGUAUUUUAUUUUAUUUAAAGAAAGGUUGUGAGUACGUUUUUUUAUAGACCGCAUCUCUGUGUUUUGAAAUGUAGAACUUAACUUAGAGAUAAAAUAAACAAAAAAUGUAUGGAUAAUAAUAAUAUUGAAAAGAGAAAGAUCGAAGUUGUUAGACAUUUUUAAAAGUAAUCGAGGGUGAGAAACCAAAGUAGAAUAUUAUGACUUGGAGGGUGAGAAAACCAAAGAUCAAAUUCUUUAAUAAUAUUUCAUUUUUCAAAGGAAAGAAAUAUUUAAUGAGAUUAGUUAGUGAUAUUUUAAACUGUAGAGUGAGAAUAUAUAUCCAAGCAUUCAAACCUAUUUACAUUUUGAGCUAAUCCUUUAUUUUUUAGAUAUAUACGCCAAUAUCAAAAAGUAAAAAGACAAUGACAAAUGUAUUUCUUGAUCCUUCAUUACAUUUGAGAAUAUAUUUUAUUUUUUAGUUAUAUAAUUCUUGGGUGUAAUAGGUAAAGGUGAAAGUUUAAUUUCUUUGAAAUAAUACAGAUGUAAUUGUUACUAUGAACCUAAAUUAAAAUAAUUUUAAUGUAUUGUAAGUAGUGUGAUAAUUAAUAAGUGAGAAUGGUGAUGGUAGAAUAUUCAUAAAUAUAGAAGAUGGGAAAGGUAAAUGAUUAGUAGUGAUAAUAUAAGAUAAUAGUAAAGUAAUGAGUUAAGAGGAAAUGAUUAAUUUAGGAAAGAGGUAUAGAAUUUAAUUUAAUAAGAUAAUUGAAAAAGGUGGGGGGAAACACGUAUGAUGGGAUGGAAGCGUGUCAGAGUUAUCCAAAGAGAGAAUAUUUUUAAUUUUAUUUUAAGAAAAUGAGAGAAAUUAAUGGUAAUAAAAAACAACAACUUGGAUUGACGUGGCUCCUACUCACAAUAUCCUCCCUCGUGGGGCCCCUCUUCCUUCUAAGUUCUACCAACCCUUUCCACUUUUUCUUAUCCACCGUCACUCCUAUUUUAUCUAUAAUAAUUGUAUAUUUUAAAAUAUUAUAAAUAUAAUAAAAUAGGAAAGCAGUAGAUCUUUUAAAAUAUGUGUAUUUUUAAAAAUAGUAAAAUAAAUUAAAAUAUUUUCUAGUUAUACAAAUUUUGAAUUAUAGGAAUGAUACUCUCUAAAUAGUGAUACAAUUUUAAAAUUUUGUUAUAUGUUCUAAAUAUUUUGUUAAAUUUGCUACUUUUAUAAUUUACCUUUAAAAACUUGUAAAUAUAGUAAAAUAUUGGUGAUAGAAAUAUAUCGUUCAUAAAUUUAUUAUAUUUGUUUUUUUUCAAAAUGUUGUUAUAUACUUAGUUAUUAUUUUUAAAUUUGUCAUCUAUUUUAAUUACUUAUUUUUAUACAUUAUAGUUGGAUUAUAAUAUUUUAGUAAGAAUUUUUUUUUAAAUUAAAAAUUAUAUAUUUAAAUUCAUAGACCAAAAAACAUGGGAAGAUGAAAUGUAUUAUACUUGAUUUUUAUAUGAAGGAUAAAUAGGUAUAUUUUUUACAAUUUUCAUUAAAAAAAAAACUAUACAAAGGAUAAAACCUUCUUUUACGUUCUAACUAGAUAAUUUGAAUUAAACAUAAUAUUCUAGUGUUUCUUAUGCUCCAACCUCGAACUUACCACUACUGUUAUGUUUCUAUAGUAGUGAGUUGUAGACGGGGAGACGAAUGGCGUAGGGCAAACACAAGACAACACGAAUGGCAUGGGGUUGAUUUGACGAUGUGAGCGAACUCGAAGCAAAUGAACGACAGUGAUAAUCAAAAUCAAUGAACGGUAGAAGGACAAAAAUACUUUGCCCUGCAAAUAUUUUCAUUUAGUCUUAAAAGCACUUGCUAGUGUGGAUGCUUGUGAACGUGAUGUGAUAUGUGAUAGUGAAGCAUACUAGUAUCUCAAUGAUUAAAUGUUAACUUUACACGAGUAUACUUUGUUUUUUCUGAUCUCUAUGGUUACAAAUGUAGUUUUUGCAAAAUAAAAUAUUAUUUAUUUGAUGCGCAUUACUAUUUCCAUUCAUAAUAAUCCAAAGACUACCCUUCAAAAUUUCUAAAAGCAAACAAUUCGCUUUAAAAUAGGGAGGAAAAAAUAUAAAACCAAGCAUAAGCUUUUCAAUCUGUCAUGUCUAAUAGCUAUAGAAACUCACACACGUAACAACUCACACACGUAUAUGUAACUGCUUGCAAGUCGUUAACCACAAAAUUUCAAAGUUUUGAUAUUCAAUAGCGACCUUUGACCUUGAGUUUAUUGAUAACAAAAUAUUUCAAAACUAAAUUUGACUACUCAACAUCCAUACAUCCAUACAUGACUUAAACAUAAAUUGAUGAUUCAAAUAAAUAUACAAUAAAUGCCUGUAUAACCUUGAAGUAAAACCAUGGCAAUUAGGUUGAUGGUAAAUACAAAAUAUAUCAAAGUAUAAUAGGAAACAAAUAUUCCUAACUUUCUCCCUUAAAAACGUGAUGGUUAAACUUCCAAAAUAUAUAGGGACAUUUUCCAUAUAUUAUCCUUUUGUUUAAAGGAAAAUUAAAUAAAUAGAAAAUUAAAUACUUUUAAUUUAGAUAAAUAGCAAACAAAUUAUUAUACAAGUGACAAGACAAAAUAAAAAUUAAUUAAGGAUAAUUGUAAUUGAUGACAAUUUGAGAUAACAACAUUUAAAAAAAAAUACAAAUAUAGUAAAACUAUCACUGAUAGACUUGUAUCAUUGAUAGACUCGUAUGAUCUAUUGUGAUAGACUAAUUUUUACAACAUAAUCUAUCAGUGAUAGACUCUAUCAUUAAUUAAAUAUGACAAAUUUUGCUAUAUUUACAAUUUUUUAAAAAUAUUGCUAUAUAGUUAAUUAUUUUGAAUUUAAUUGUUAUAUACUUAAUUAUUUAGAAUUUAAUGGCUAAAUAAGAUGGACUCGCAAUUACCUAAACAUAAAGCCCAAAUAGUCCAGAUGUAACUGAGCAAACCGUCUGGCCCAGUUACAUAUGACAGCCCAUUUACUUUCCGAUUUUCCUUUUUUUUUUGUUCUAAAUUCCGGUCUAUAAAAAUGAAAAUUUAAAAUUAUUUGACCUUUGCGAAAAUAAAGACAAAAUAAUUUGAUUUGAAAUUUCCUUUUUAUUUGUAGUGAUAUAGGUCAGCUUUAUACAAUAAUGAUUAACUAAGUUACAAGCUAUUAUUAAUUAGCUAUAUUAGAAUGGUUAAAAGUUAUCAUAAACAUUUUAUACAAAAUAUAAUUCAGCUAUAAUUUAAAGCUAACAAAAACCAGUUAGAUGAAAAUAUUCAGUGGGAAUUUAAGAUCUAAUAUUUCAAGUUCUGUAUAUAAUAAAAUAUUGGAAAAAUAAAAAAUAAAAAAUAGGGAAAGGGUGAAGGAAUUGGUUCAUUCAUUUUGAUAUGGCAAAGCUUAUUAUUUAAUAAACACGCUUUUUUUAAUAAGAAAUAAAUAAAAAAAAAAAACUUUAUGUUGAAAUUCGUUCACAUCAAACACUUUUUUACACAUAUUUUUAAAUUUACUUGCGUGGAUUAAAAUUCCUAAGUUUAAUCAUUAUAUAAUCAACAUGUUAAUAAAAAGUAGACUUUUUUAGUGUGCAAGUAGAAUUUAGAUUAUUAAUAGGGGUGUUGAGUUUUAUGAAUUAGAUCUAGAAGAUAAAGUUAUCAUGUCCACAUAUACAAGUAAACCUAAUAAACGAAGGAAAAAUAAUUCAAUGAUAAAUCAAUUUUGUUCACAUUAAAUAUUGGAAUUGAGAAUUUUAGAAAAUGAAUCAUUAAAAAGAGAAUUAACUAAAAGACUGAAGUCCAUUAGAAUGAUAUCUCUAUUUAGCUAAGGGAUUGAAGACCAUUCAAAUGAUAAAUAGAGUUUUCCUUUGAAUAAUAAUAAAUAUUUAAGGAAAAUUGUAAAAAAUAUUUGUAAAAUGUCAAAAUACCUACUCAGUCACUUAAGAUCAAAUCAAUGUUCAGUUAAUGCAAUAUUUAUACCAUUGAAAAUUUCUUAGAAAACAUAAUACUUAACAAUAAAAAAAAAAACAUAUAUAUAUAUAUAUAUAUUUAAGAAUUCAUUAUACAUAUUUUUGUAUGAAAUGUAAAUAUUUUGACCAUAUAUAUACAUACAUUACAUUUUCCCAUUUUUUUUCUCUAGACUUUUAGACCAUAUGUAGGAAAGGUAGGAUGAUGAUCCUUCUAGUAAAAACAAAUGUAAAGAUAGCAAAAGAUGAUAGGUUUUAAUUAUUUUCUUCAACUUUUAGCCUGUGAUUCAAUUAUAUUUCUAACCUUUCAUAUUUGUCAUUAAACUUUUGACUAUUCAAAUUAUUUGAAAACAACUAUUUUAGUUUCGCAGUCUGAAUUGAUUUUGAAAAAAUGAUUUCAUGGUUAAACAAUUAAUUUUUUUAAAAAAAUUGAAUUAUUUGUUUAUUAAAAUAUUAAAAUUUAUAAAGUUUUGGUGAUUAAUUUUACAAAUGAAAAAAAAAAAAAAAGAUUGGAUGCACCUAUUUCAAUUCCUUGCCAUUUAUAGUUUAAUAUAUAAAGAAUGUGAUACGUGGGACAGACACGUAUGAGAUAGCCAAUAGAAAUUGAGAGUGACAGACGAAGGUGUUAGUUACAGAGCUUAUGAUUUAUGGGUGCCGUUGUUUUAGGCUUACGGUACGGUGAUAUCAAUGGUUCCAAACCAAUGCUUCAAUUUCUCACGUGCUUUGUAACCACCUCACCUUUACCUACACUCAAACUAACUCCCUUCUCUCACCCAUCCCCUCCUUAUUCUUUUUUUUAACUUGAUUUUCCUUUUAAUUAUUCAUUUUUAGUUUCUACUUUUCAUAAAUCAUAAAUCUUCCUUAUUCAUUUUUCAAUAAAUUGUGUUUUUUUAGUUUACUUUUGUACUGUUAAAUUUUAAAAGUUGUUCGUAUAUUUUUAUUCUAUCACAUAUAGGUUAUUAUUGUUCUUUAAUCAAUUUUAAGUGAUUAAAUUAAGAAAAAUUAUUAUUAUUAUUAUUUAAUCAAUUAUACGUGAUAAAAAUUAAGAUUUACUGAACAUACAAAUUAAAAUGAUAGUUUAAUGUUUGUUUUAUUAUUUUUUAAAAUUAUUAAUUUAUAUUCUUAGAAUUUUAAGAUAAUGUCAAUUUAAAGAUAAACUAAUAAAUAGAUCAACUUAAAUUUAUAAUUUUUGUGAGGUUAUCAAUUUAUAAAUUUUGUCUAAUAAUUAUGUAUUUUAAUUUAUUCAAUGUCGAGCAUAUAUACAAAAAAAAUAUUCGCGAGUUUUUCUCUAUUUUCUUAUAAUAACUCCUUAAAAGAUAUUUACAUAUAAUACAUAUAUGAUUUUCAAAUAUAAUCUAAUCUAAAUUGAUUUGCGGGUAAGAACUCAAAAGUUUAAUUAUUUGAAAAGAUUUUAAACAAUAUUUCAUCCUAAGAUGUAGGUGAAUAGUCGUCCAAUUCAUUAAUGGUGGAAUUAAGUUCGGAACUAACUCACGAGCUCAAACUUUCUUCCAUUAUCUUUCUCUCUCUCUCUGGCAGCGUCUUCACCUCAGUUUCACAUCCCUUUUCUCUCACAUCUGUGUUCUCUUGCUUCUUCGUGCAUGGCAGUGAGAUUGUUGGAUCAUCAACUCUCUGACAUAUGCCUUGGAAAGCCUGCACUGACUUCCAUCUCUCUUUCCGCCACACUCGCCGACGCUCUCUCUGCACUCAAGAAGCUCGGUGAGAACUACAUCAGCGUCUGGAAUUGCUCUUCCCAUUACUCCAAAUCCUCCUCCCACUACGAUUGCCGGUGUAUCGGCAAGAUUUCCGUUCUCGAUGUUGUCUUGUUCUUAUGUAAGGAAGAGAAUCUCUCCCAACCUGCCCUCGCGCUUCAAUCCUCUGUUUCGGUUCUCAUUCCUCCGGUUCCUGUUCUCGUAAGGCAUUUAGAACCUCAUGCUAGGUGCGUAGUUUUUUUUUUCUUUGCUAGAAUGUAUGGUUUCACAUUUGCCGUUCUCUUGGAAAAUUUAUAACGUUCUUGGUCUCUCUAGACCUGGAAUUGAACAUCUUUGUGUUUUUUUAUGGUCCAUCGUGACCAAAACGUGCAAUGUUCAUUUAAUUUUUCUUCCAUUUCUUGCUGGUUUUGGUUUCUUUAUGAAUCCUGAAUCUAAUAAUCGGGCUUUCUUAUUUAAAUUUUUUUAAUCGUUUUGCUUUGAUGCGUACACAUUUUCUGAAUUAGAAACGCCUUUUGUUUCCUUUACAAUUUGUAUGACAUUCACAAUUGUCUCUUGAAUCUUCAGUUUGAUGGAAGCCAUAGAUCUCCUUCUUGAAGGUGCGCAAAAUCUAGUUGUCCCCAUUCAAACUAGAACCUCUGCAAAGUCCAGAGAGAAGGUUCUGGAGGUAGUUGCUCCCUUUGACUGUCCCCUCCAUAAUGGCCUUGAAUAUUGUUGGAUCACCCAAGAGGACAUAAUCCGUUACCUCCUGAACUCUAUUGGGCUUUUCAGCCCCACCUCCAUCACUCCCGUUAAUUCCCUUAACGCCAUUGACACGGUCAACAUUCUUGCUUUACACUAUGACGAUCCAGCACUCUCUGCCUUGCCCCUCCUUUCUCAAGCCAUCAUCCACCAAUCCUCAAUUGCAAUUGUCGACUCAGAUGGGAAGUUGAUUGGAGAAAUCUCACCCCUCACAUUGAAUUCUUUUGAUGAAACCAUAACAGCUGCAAUUGUGACACUCUCAGCAGGUGAGCUAAUGGCGUAUGUGAACUGCAAUGACCCGCCCGAGUAUUUGGUUCAGUUGGUUAAAGACAGACUGGAAGGGAGAAACUUAAGGGGGCUGUUGGAGUGGGUGGAAGAAGAGUCAGCAAUGUCAGCAAUGUCAUCAUGUUCUUCAUUUUGCUCAUCUUCUUCAGAUGAUGAUUCUGGCUCGUGGUGGGGAAGGAGUGGAAAGUUAAGAAAGUGUUCAACCAGGCAAGUGAGGAGGAGCUCAGAGGUUGCUGUGUGCAAUCCCCGGAGUUCACUGGUGGCAGUGAUGAUUCAAGCUCUUGCACUUCGUGUUCCAUAUAUGUGGGUAACGGAAGAAGAUGAAUGCUUGGUUGGUAUUAUCACCUUCACGUCGAUGUUGAAGGUUUUCCACGAGCGUUUGAAAUCAAUGUGUUGAAAGAACACAUCAGCAAGAGCUUCGCCCUGAUCUUAAGCUGAAGCUAUAUAAUGAAGUCUACAUAGAGAGUGCUUUGAACUCAAUUGUGUUAUAUUGCUCACUUUAUUUUGGAGUAUAAUGUAAAUACAUAACCAGUAGAGACCAUUUCUUUUUGCAAGUUCAGUAACCAUAGAUUUUUGCAGCUUUCUAAUGAAAUAAACUUUUUUCUCUCUCUCUUUUCUAAACUUGCACAGCAGGAAAGAGCUCAUUCUUUGAUAUGUUUGCUUAUUGUAUAUGAUACAGAUCUUUAGAAGCUUUUUCCAUAAACACCAAUUUCUCUUUAUCAUAUCAUGUAUUGAUAGUCUCCGCAGGGUCGGUUAUUAAUACUAUCUUCUAUUUUGAAUUAUCUUUCUCAUAUGGGUAUCAAAGCAAGAAAAGAACAGCUAUGUCCACCAAUGAAAAUUCUCACAAAAUUGCUAAUACUGCCCGAACUGGAUUUCGGAUAUGCAGGACGAUAAGGCUUCCCUUACUUUAACAUUGUCGGAGUUCAUGUUCAGCGAGUCUUCAUAGAGUCGUUUCGCCUGCAGCAGCAACUUUGCCUUCUCUUUGCUAUUGUUAGGCCUUAACCGUGAUCGUUGCUGCAAUGUCAUAGCCCAUCUGAACAGAGCUGCAAGGUAGACGAUAGUUGAGUUAUGCACAAACCAUCAAAUAAAUAAUGUCUUUUUUUACUUGAUAAGAAAUAUUUUAUUUAGGGAAACAUCACACUUAGCUGAUUGCAACAAAGUUUUCCAAUUGGAUGCACGAAAAGAUAAGCUAAAAUAGACAAAAGGGUGCUUUGUUUUGCACCAAUACAAAACAGUAGACAAUAUCAAACCCAUAAAGUGAUCAAAAAAGAAAAUGAAGCUUGGAAAGUACGAUCAUUGCAGUCGACACAAAAAGUCCAUGAAAAGGAAUGCUUAAUAUCCAACUAAACCAUCUUUUUAGUACCACCAAAAGAAUGACCACCAACAGAGGCAAAAAAUAUGAAAGAUGUUGUUAGGACAUAGAGGAGGCUAACUAAAAGUGUCCCAAGUAAUAAUUUCCCUAACAAAUUGUCAAAGAACUACCUAAUUAUCUACGACCAGUCUAACAAACCAACCCCCUCAUGUAGCUAAUCUCUAUACUAACCACACCCUUUGUAGUUAACAGGAGACUAACAUCAGCAAAGUUCUGUCUUAAAAGCUUUAGGACCCACCCUGGUCCGGUCUCUUACUACUAAUAACAAAAUUUCACAAUAAGUGCAGCUUAUGCAACAGUACAGCUCUGCAUAAUAAAGAACCAGUUGGUAACUUAUGGCAACUAUCUUUUAAUGCUUCUGUAAUAGUCGUGAAGAGGGUAUUUGGUAAGUUGGCAAUGGAAUUGAUAUGUAGUACUCUAAUGAAUAGUCAAUAUAAAAAAACUAGAAAAAUCAAGACCUUGUUCGAUGACCAAUCGAUUUUCAGUUUUUUAAAUUUGUGGUUGUUGUUUCAAGAUUCCGUUAUAAGAGAUUCAUUUUUCUUAAGGAAAGAUUUGACUUUUUAUCCAAAUUUAAAAAACAAAUGCAAUUUUUGAAGAACUGCUUUUUUUAGUUUUUAAAUCUCAGUUUGGAUUUAGAAAACAUUUAUAAAUAAUAGAUAAUAAGAGAAAGAGACGUAUAGGUGGGAGUGGUGGUAAUAAGCUUAAUUUUCAAAAACUAAAAAUUAAUUGGUUAUCAAACCAAGCCUUAGGUAUUUGAUAUAGGAUUAAGACAUCGGUACUUAAUAGUAACGUGAGUUUUAGAUUCCCGAACAUUUAUAUUUUGGUUGGCUUCAAACUAUCAAUUUCUAAAAUAUUUUUAGGAAAGUUUCCUAGAUCUCAAUUUUAGUGUGUACUUUUAUGAUAUUUGAUUUGAGUAGCAAGUCUAGAAAACGUACCUUCAGGUGCAUAAACAUUGCCUCUUGACAUCAUUGCAUCAAAUUUAUCAAUGGCAGCCAAAAAGACCUUAUCAGCAUCAAAGGCCGCUUCCUGAAAUUUGAUAUGACAGAAAGAAACUCUUAUAUAGCGUGAAACAUCAUAUAGCUUAAAAAAAAUAGGCUUCAUGCGGAUGAUAGUAAUCAAACGAUUACAAAAAGAAAAGUUUUCUAAACAACAUACAGGUUAGCGAUGUGCAGGACAUGGUACUCACCGGUCCAACAUCUGCAAUCAACUGGGCACGAAAGGAGAGGGCAAGACCCCAGUUAUAUAGAGCUCGCACAUCAUUCCGGUCAAUGGAUAAUGCCAUUCUAUACCUUCUACCUGCCAUCACAAGGAGUUCUUCACACUCUUCACACACACUAAUGAGAAUGGAUGUUAGCUUAUCUCUUCUAGUAACAGAAUCAUCUAGUCCCUCCACCAUUUCAAACCAUUUCCCAACAGAUCCGGGCUCUUUUCCUGCUAGAAGUCCUCUUAACUCGCGACUAAUUCUUAACUUUAAUUCUCCAUGAAGAAGAUAAGUAUUUCCCAACUGGCCAACCGCCAACAAACUCAUGGGCUUCAUAGUUGUAGCUUUUGCCAACAAACUAGCAGACUGGCACAAUAUGACCUCAACAUGUUCUUCAUCACGUCUAUACUUCAUCAAAUCCUUGGCUUGUUUCAGAAGAUCAUUAGCUUCCAUAAGACAUUUAUUGAACAUUGCAUCGUCAUAAAUUAUUGAAGAUGACGACGAAGCAACCUUGUUCUCUUCUCCAAAUGGUUGAUCAGUUAAAUGGGAGCUUUCAUUUUUACUUGCCCCAUCUUCUCUGAACUGGGAUCUAUAAAGUUCACUUUCACUCUUUGACAUGUGGGAGGACCUAUAAGCUCCAAUACUUUCAUUGAAUCCACGCUCUUCUGCAAAUGAAGUUUUAGUCUCCCUAUGUUUCAUUUUGAAACUAUAGUCCCCAGGAUCGAUCAAAUUAUCACUGAAUCGUGAACUCUCGAGUUUGCUGUUAAAACCCAUGUUAGAAAUAUUAAGGCAAUUGUCUUGGUACUGCAAUCGAUUAUUCUGGUAGCUAUACUCUUCAUCAUUAAUAAAUCUUUUGGAACUCCCGUGCAUUCCCUUUGAAUAAAUUCUAUCUCCCUCUUGAGUAAUGUUAAUUUUUGUAAAAUAAUCCAUCUCCAUAGCAUGCUUUUUCCUCGAUUCCUCAAUGUUAUCUGAACUUAUGGCUGGAUUAGAAUCAGAAUCAGUGUCUAUUGAACCAAUUUCAGACGGUAUUGAGCUCUUUUUAGUUUGAUUGGCAACCGAAUUGAUUGCCAUUUGUGGCUUAACAUUGUUUUUCACUUUGUUAGGCUUGGAACCAACCAACUUUUCUCCAAGCAAACUGCCAAAGGAUUGCAAAAGCUCAAACCCCACGUCUCCUAGGUCUUUAAUUUUCCUACUUGGUUUAUGAUUCUCAAGAAUAACAGCUUUGGACUUGCCUCCAUUAUAAAUCAAGGCCUCAACAACCUUCGAAGCAUUGGAGGUUGAAAAAUCACUCGAUUCUAAAAUUUUGACAUAGCUUUCUAAAUCCGUAAGUGUAAUUUCCCUAGAAUCAAUGGCGUUCUGUAUACUACAUUUCAAAUUAUCAAGUUUGACAGCAAACCCAUCAAAAAACUUCUCCAAAUUUCUUAAAUUCUCAGCGUGAAACCCAGAAAUUUCCUCUUUCCCCCGAUUUUUAUUUCCAAGUAAAUUUAGCUCAUCUAUACUUCCACCACGAACAAACCCAAGAGAAAAACCAACAGCAAAAACAAAAACAGAAGCUGGAAAAACAGCAAUUGAUGAAACUUUAACUCUGGAAAUGGCCAGAGCACAUAAAAACCCAAAGAGAAAUAUGAACAAAUGUCUUUUAUGAUCGAUGCCAAAGGAAACCAAAAAAUUACGGAACUGAUCUGAAUCACUUACAAGUCCAUUAUCAUCCCAGCCGCCGUAUCUUGCGGAGUUCGUCAGGUUGUAAUCUGCGUUGGAACAGAAUAUGGACGUUUUCGGAAGCCAUCUCUUCUGGUAACGGAUUAUGAGAUUUGGGUUUUGCCAGUGAAAUAGAUUAUUGGGAGCUGGGAAAUGAAGACAGGAAAAGCAAAUUGCUUUAUUAGAAAUGAGGAAAUUCAUUUGGAGAGGAAGAAUUGAAAGAAGAUCCAAUCACACGGCAACUACGGCGGUCGCCACCGCUUUCAAACGGCGUGUUCCGGUCAUAUAGAGAUGGAUUAGGAGCCUGCGGUCAGAGUGGGGUUACGUGCAUACUGAACAAUCGAUAAUAAUUUUGAAAUAGUGAACCUUCUAACAAACACAUGGUGAGCCAAUUGGGCUAAUCGGUUCACGGUCGUGGUUCACCUUUUUUUCUAAAGGUAUGAUGUUGAAAAUAGUUACUGUACUAAAAACCCACUUACCAAAAUACAGCCAGUGCACCAACACUUCAAUAAAAGUAUAUUUUAUAUUAAAAUAAAAUAUUUAUUUAAUAUAUAUUGUAAUCUGAAACUUAAAUUAAUAUAAAAUAUAAAAAUCAGUGACAUGACAAGAUCCCUUGUGCAAAUAUGGACACAAAUCUAGAAGUUUGGGGGUAAAAUUUUAAACGUGUUUAAGUUUGUUUUCGAACUCUUUAAUUGAAAGAAAAAACCUACUCUCCUUUCCUUGACCAAAUAAUAAUAAUAAUAAAUAUCAAUAAAAUAGCAAAUUUUAAAAUUAUCUAAAGGACUAAUACAGAAGAUAAAUUCAGUGGUUACGAUCAUGAGAGAAGGUUAACUUAUUACUAGCUUAAGUUAUCAACUCAAAUUUCAAAAUGUACUAACUCAACUCAAUAGUAGGUUAACAAUUAACAACUUUGCAUGCAACUUUAAAGAAUGCAUUAAUUUGCUCACUUCACUCAACAACUUUGGUUCCUCCAAUAAAAAUAAAAAGAGAUGUUUUUAUUAUUGAAAAUAAAAUUAGAUUUGUUCUAACUCUUAUAUUUCACGCUUUUUCUUUUGGACUCUUUAAAUUGGAAUUGAAUUGUAGGACUUUAUAUUUUACUUUUAUUUUCUAAAGCAAGUUUGACUUUGUGAUGACUAUACGUGUACUCUGCUUCAUUGCAAUCUAGUACAGAUUAUAUCAUAAAAGUGCUUGCUUAAUUGAUCACUUUUUGUGAAUUUUAAUAUAUUAUUAUUGCAAAGGAAAAUAAAAACCUUGUUUUUUUGUUGGUAAAUUAUAAAUUUGGAAAUGGACCACAUUUACUUUUGCUAAAGUUUGAAAAUAAUAACUCUUUAUUUUAAUUUUUUUGUGUUGAAAAAGUAUUUUUAAUAGAAGUUGGUGGAAGUUUAUUUGAAUUUAUUACUAAAAAAAGUCAAAUUUCUUUUGGACUGGGGAGAGUGGGUACACAAUACCACUCAUAAACUAAUUUGCACAUAAAAUUAAUCAGACAUUGAACUAGGAAAAUCAAUAUUCAAUUAAUUAAGAAACAAAAACUAAUAUUUAUGAAAUUGAUAUAUACUAAUAUUCUAUAUUAUAUAAAUUAAUUUCCAAUUAACAUAGCAUGAUCCAAUAUCUAAAUUGCAUGUACUGUUUUUCAUACUAAAAACUUAGAUAACUGAUUUAAUAACACCCUUAUGUAUUGAACCAAAAAAACAAUUAUAAAAAUACGAUCAUUAAAAUGAAAAAUGUAAAAAUGAGUUAAAAAUCAAAGUAUAAAAUACAGUAGGAAUGAAUUAUUUAUCGAAUCUAUUAGUUUUUUUUUCCUCAUUAAUUACAAUAAAUUGAGUUGAUGUAAAGAAAUGAAGUAGGAACUGAUUCUUUAUUAGGUUUAAUAGUUUCCUUAGUACAACGAACGGGUACGAGGGAUUUGAUUCAAAAUUUCAAAGGAAAUAAAGUCUUGUAGGAAUUAUUAAUUUUCCUUUUCUUUUUAUAGAAUUAGUAGUUUUUGUAUCAGAGCACUAUUUUUCUAAUUAAUGAUUUGGUUUAUUUUUCUCUAAAUGCCUCAUUUUUUUUAUUGCUUGAAUUUGUUUGUUUUUCAAGAUUAAAGUGUUUUGUUAGUUGAUUUAGUAUGAAUAUUAUAAAGGGUAAUUCUAUAAUUUGGUCUCAGUGAAGAAAAUUCAAUUUCAUAACUUACUAACACAAAUAAAAAGAAGUAGCAAUUGCAUAUAAUUAAAACUUUGACAUCCAAAUUAAAAAUUUCUAAAAAAACAUCAAAUUUUAAAAUAAAAUUAUCCCAACAAAGUAAAGACAGAAGCAAAUUAACAACAACCAAACGAAGUUCUUUUUAUAUAUAUAUAAAAAAAAAAUUGGCCUCACUCUCAACUAAACGAAGUUGGUAAUUGGUUUUAAUCAAUAUAUUAAUUGAAGUCAAUUUUAAAGUGUUAUCGAAAAUUGAAAUUAGUAUAUUUCGAUUAUGAUAAUAUACUGUCAUUUUCUCCCAUUUUUUUUAUAGAUAAUGUAUUAUUGUCCGUUAAUUGUGAGUUUUUUUUUUUUUCACAUAUCUAUACUUUUAGGGAAAGUAAAUUCCACACAGAGAGAAAUUCGAACAAAGAAAAAAAAAAGUAUAUAUGUUAUUGGUUAGCUCAAAUUUGAUUUGAAAAUGGUAUUAAAUUUAGUUUAGUGUAUAGAUUUAAAAUGUUAGAAAAUAUAUUUGUGGAGAAUAGAAGAGAGGGGUGAAAUGGUAAUUUAAGAGGGGAGGAUAUAAGGUAAGGAUGGGGAGUGCGUGGAGGGGAAAAGGAUGAUAGUGGUAAAGUGGGAGACAGAAUACAAAUAUCCCAUAAAACCGGUUGGCACAAAUGGAUAAGGCCGUCUCCAAUUAAACGCUGCGUUUAGUUAAUCUUUCCUUUUUUCUUUCAAUUAAUAUUAUCUCUUAUCCUCUCUAAUUAAUAUUUCUAAAUAUUUUAUUAAUUCCGACGCUCCAAGACGAGCCUUCCAUCUGCCACCUGUCCUUCCCACUCUCUGCCUUCGCCUUCAAGAGCCACUGCACCGAAGCAACACCAAGGUCUUAUUACAAAACCCACACACACACUCUCUUCUAGAGAGAGAAAAAAUAGAGAGAGAGAAGACGGAACUCGCACGCUGCCUACCCACUUCUAGAGAGAGACAGACAGGCUCUUUUUCUUUCUUCCACAGCGAAUUAGGGUUUUUUUCUCUCCCUUUUUUUGGAGUUGAAUUUUUGUCGAAUUGGUUGUGUUUUGCUUCUUUCUUUCCCCUUCGGGUGGAGAUGUAUGUUUCUUCCAUGAGAAAGUCGUUCAAGGACUCUCUCAAAGUGCUUGAAGCUGAUAUUCAGCAUGCUAAUACUCUGUAAGUCAGCUUUUUUUUUUUUUUUUGGAUUUUUUUUAAUCUUCUCUGCUUUGGAUAUCGUCUUCGACUUUCUGUUGAUGUCCUUUGUCUGAUCAUUUCUGGGGUUUUGGCUUCUGGGUUUUUUUUUUUAUUAUUUUUGGGCUUCUUUCUUCAAUUGAUUGUAAUGCAGUUUCUGGGUUUUGAAUUUUAGUGUUGUGGGCUUGAAGUUGCUGUUUAUUUGUCCUUAUUUUAUUUUUUUGUUAAUUAAUGAUCUUCUGGAACGUGAUUGUUGUUUACCUGCCGUGUUUGAAGCUGGGCUAACGUAUUUUGAGUAAUUGGUUUUUCAAUGAUGGUUCCUGUCUUGGUAACGCUCAUGUGCACUUAUGCAUAGAGACAAAUUUCGAUUCUCUCUGUUUUACAGCUGUAUUUCUUGUAGGGGAAACCGUUUGCUCAUUUGACGUUAGAUGAUUCGUCAAUGUACAUGUCCCACAUAAAAUCUUUUGCCCUUUUUUUUUUCAUGUUUUCUUCUUGAGUUAUUGGCGAUGUAUUUUAGACCUUCUCUAUUAUGCUAUCUGCAUUUCAAUGUGGACCUUUGGUUCAGAUAUUGAACAAUGAUUGACGUAUUUACAAACUCGAGAAGCGGAUUCUUUGUAUAGCUGUCACCUACUACUUGAAUGUGUCAUUGUUUGGUUCUCUAAAUGGAGUGUUUAUGUUGUAUUAUCAGUGUCUUAUUCCUCAAGUUCAUUAUCAUUUUCACAGAUUCAUCUACUUCCUUGUUGUUUUUCUUGCUUUUCUUAUAUUUUGCUUUCAUUGCUCAAAACCCUGUGCUCUGUUUUGUAUAAUUCAAGGGAAGUGACUCAGGUGUACUGUUGACCAAUCAAAUGUUUUACCUUCGUACCCUGUCUGUUAAACAAAAAAGUUGAAUUUUGUAGGUGGUAGUAUCUCUGUGAAAUUGUUUAGAACCCAUUUAAUCUUGCUUCUUGCUCUCGGACGUUUGACGUUCAUUCCAAUUGUCUGUAGUGUGAUAACUCCUUCCUUCCUAUUCCCCAUCAAUGAUUAAAGAAAGCACAUUUCCUUUUGAAAAAAAUUACUAAGCAAGAACAACUUCUGAGUCUUCUGUUCUUUUUUAAUUUGAUAUUGUGAGAGACAUGAUCUGUCUCUUCUUUUAUUAUUUCUUAAAGAGAUAAAAGGCCCGAAAAAGAGUUGCAAUCGGCCAUAGUUCUAUUUUAAUCAUGCUCCGUGCCCUGGUCUGAAAAUUUACAGAUGCAUUAAAAGCUGAAAUGUUUUGUUGUUUCUGCUUGGAGAUUCUCAAGGUUGCUGGUUUUGUCAGACAUGUCAACUUAAUGUUCAAUUGUUCCUGAGUUGUAGGGCAUCAGAGUUCCCCGGGGAAUACGAUGGCCCCUGCCUUCAGAUGAGAAUGUCAUACAGUCCUGCUGCUCACUUGUUCCUCUUUCUAGUGCAAUGGACUGACUGCCAUCUUGCAGGAGCGCUUGGACUGCUGAGGAUUUUAAUUUACAAGGUUAAGUUUGUCACCUCACACAGUCAUAGUAUUCCUUUUUGUAAUUAUCACUAAAAUCUGAUUUUCUUCUAGUUAGCACUGCUGAAUUCACUAUGCACCUUGUGCUGCAGGUCUACGUGGAUGGUACAACCACCAUGUCUACCCACGAGAGAAAAGCAAGCAUUAGGGAAUUCUAUGGUAAUCUUCGUGUUUCACAUUUUCCAUCAGAUGAUUGUUUGAUAUAAGUGUUUUUUUUUACUACUGACUGCUGUAAUUGUGCUGUGAUCAGCUGUUAUUUACCCCUCUCUAUUGCAACUUCAGAGAGGUGUUACUGAUACUGAAGAUAAAAAGCAGAAAGCUGUCUGCAUGGAAAGGUACCGAAGAAGAGACGAUGAAGAAUGUAUACAGCGUUCAGAUGCUGACAUUGAACGGGAAGAAGAAUGUGGAAUAUGCAUGGAGACAACUAGCAAGGUUGUAUUGCCCAACUGCAAUCAUGCCUUGUGCUUGAAAUGUUACCGUGAAUGGUACUCUCAUCUCUUUUGUUCUGUUUUUUCAUCUCUCUAACUUAUUGCAAGAACUUGGAAGGAUUGAUUAUGGAUUCCUCAGGCUAUGUACAGAGGCUCCAUUGAAAUUUUCCUGUAGUCCUUAAUAUUUUCUUGACUUCAUUACUCACAAAAGCUACAGAGCCUAAAGCCUUCUGCUCAUCUUUAGUUAAUUGGAUGGAGGCCUUGUGAUGUUUUUCUUUUAUGUGCAUGCAUUUAGAUCACUGCAAUUAAUUGUUUGAUGCCGUCUUCUUUACAACUUAUAAGAAAUAUUGUCGAUCGUGGUUUGUAUUUUCACAUCCAAUCCUUGGACCUCCAUUGGUGAUUUUGUUGUCCUGCAUGCUAAUUUCUGUAAUCAUUUGGCAUAGCUAUUCUUUUAUGCAUCACAAGUUUAAAAUUUGCAUUAAUCUUAUACACUGCAAGACAUGGAUAUCUCACGAUACUGAACUAAUCCAAACUGAAUAGUGUGUCAUUUUUCACUUACCUGGUUUACUAUUGUUGUAAUUGUCUUUUACUUUUUGCUUCAUGAUCAUUCUUUUGUCAUGUAUUUGUUUCUAAUCGAUGAUAGUCUCACCUGCCCGAUGAAAUGGUUUGUUUUUAUUAGUUAUGAAGCCUGGUAAAGGUUCUCAGGUACCUAAUGACUCAAAACUUCAAUAAUUUGAUUUCCUUCAUAUUAAGCAAAUUAGAGGACUGGAUUUGAUCGUUCACUUACUUCGGAGCACCAUUCUAUUGCUCUUCUGAUGAAUUAUUGUUUCAGUUCUUUCUUCAACCGUUUGGGAUGAUUGUUUUUCUUUAAAAAAAAAAUUAUUUCUCACUGACUGUAUUCAUAUUUAACUGCUUGCUCCAUAUAUCGACUUCAUAUAAUUAUAUUGUUCUAUUAAAUGUACUUCAGGCGAACACGUUCCCAGUCAUGCCCGUUCUGUCGUGACAGUCUUAAGAGAGUAAAUUCUGGUGAUCUCUGGGUAUUUACUGAUAACAGGGACAUUGUGGACAUGGCAACGGUGACUCGAGAGAAUCUGAAAAGGCUUUUCAAGUACAUAGAUAAAUUGCCUACUAUUGUUCCAGACUCUCUCUUCGACGCCUAUGAUACACACCUAAGAUAAGUGAUUGGUACAUACAUAAUCUAAUGUCAAUCCUUAAGUAGUUCCUCUCCAAAUGAACAGUUUUUUUGUUAUGAUAUGGCAUGACAAAACGACCUAAAUUCAUUCGGCUAAAAAUUAGUAAGAGUUAGAGAAGACUUGCAACUGUUUCUUCCCACUUCCAUUUCUGAAGGGAGAAAAAACCAGUCUUUGAGUUAUUGUAGACUGGUAUUGGGUGGGUAAGUUGAUAUGGUUUGAUUUAAAGUCUUCCAUAAAAAUUGUAUUUAACACAUUUGUAUAUGUUUGUACAUUCUUGAUGUUAUCUAUUAAAGCAGCUUUGAAUGCUUAAUUUUUUCUUUGCAACUUUGGGAAAAAGAAGAUCUCUUUGAGAUAUGAUCUCCUCACCAAAUCAUUGAUUAGAAAGAAGAAAAGAAAAAGAAAAAAAAAAGACAAGGCAUGUGAUGAUGACAGGAAGUUGAUGGGUUAUGAGUAUAAAUAAUGAUGCUGAUGAAACAUUGAACCGCUUUUCUAUAACUGUAUGCCUUUUUUCAAAUUAUGUUUACUUCAAUUUGGUUCAUCUUUAAAUGCCUUGCUUUAAUAUGGGUUAAUAAUAACUUAAAUGCCUUGUUUUGGCAUGGGUUUAAAACCAAAAUUUCCCUAUAUCUUUUUGAAGCACUUUAGUCGACUUUCAAUUGUAAUAAUUCCAUCCUUAAAUAUCAGUAUCUAAUAGUUUAACUUUAUCAUAAAUUAACUUAGGACUUGAUACGACUAAAUUGGGACAAAUUAACUGUGUGGUGUACUGUUUGCAUUUGCUAUUCUUCUCUCUUUUCUUAUUCAGUAAAUGUCUAAUAUAAGCAAUUAUUAUUAUUGGUUGAGUUAAUGUACGUAAGACGAACUUAAAAAAAUAUCAACAAAAACUUAGCAAAUAUAGAAUAUGAUGCAUUUAGAUGCAAACAAAAACUGACCUUUUCUUAUAUUCUUCUAACUUUAUUUCCCAUGUCAUUUUCUUCCAAUUUGGGGGAUUAUUUUUGGUGAGUUUUUUUUCCCUUUUCUUUUUUGUCAUUAUAUCCUAUUCCAAUAAAUAAGUAAAUAAAAUUCACACUAUCUGCUUUUCAAAUGUAAAAUACAAUAUUCGACCAAAUAUGUUUUUACCAUUGUGUUUCCAUUCAAUGACGUGUUACUAAUCAAUAUUACUAACCUCUAAAUUAAACAAAAUUAAAUCCGUAUAUUAAAUUUAAAACAAAUUUCAGUUCACACAAAUAUAAUUCAAUUGGUUAAAAGUGGUAUUAAUUAAUCUCUCCCGUACAAAAGUUUGGAGAAGAAAAAAAAGACGAAAGACUGUUGAAUAAAAAUAAACAAACGGCCAUCUUCACUUUCAAAUUGGAUAAUGGGAAUGAACGUUUUUCCAAUAGCUUCGCCAUGCUUUCGAUUUCAACCUCCAUGGCCAUGAGGCCCAGACCCAUUUUACAAAGAGGAGUGUUAAGGAAGAAGAACAGGAGAUGAAGAGGAAGGUUCAAUGUCGUCUUCUGGUCUUACAUGGACUAGCCUCACGCUUCAAGCAGGCGCCAGAUUCCCCUCAAUACCCUCAAAUCAAGGAACUAUUUGGCCCUGAUCCCCUGGCUUUUAUUGAGGUAACUUGUCUCGCUUUAUUACGCCUUACGUUUGAAUUAUGUGUUUAAUGCCGCUUUUUCUGCCAUUCUCUUUACUUUCUUUUUUGCUCUGUCCAAUGAUUUUUCAUUGGAUUUUGGUUUCCGAUACUGAAUUUAUAUAUUUUGAGUGAAUUUCUGUUGUAUUUUAUUGGUUCGGUAUGAGUGUAUUCCUUGUUCUGCCUUGGUUUGUGCAUCUUUUGUUGGCUAAUCGAACGUUUCUAGGUUUUGAUUUCGAUGCUAUUGUUUCUCUUUUAGCAAUCGGAUCUUGCAUUUAUAGCGGUUUUGAGAGUCACUGCGCGUAAAUGCACCAUCUCAUUUGUUUCGGUCAUUUUGAUUGUUUACUUCAAUUAUUACAUCAUACAUUUUUCACAUGCAAUGGAAACCUUGUUCAUCUUUUGUUCUGCCUGAAGAGUAUAAUUGUUGAUGUAAUACAAGAACUACAAUCUUAGUGGUUUCCAUCUCCACAAAUACGUUUAUCACUUCAGUUUAGUCCUCUUCAAUCUUCAUUGAGCCCUGGUUUCAGCUAUGGAACGAGCAUUAUCAAGCAUCUUGAAACUAUUGUUAUCCUACAGCAGUUUUUCUACAGUUGAUAAUUCUACUUUUAAAUGUAACCAAAAUUUUUGUGAUUCUUAACUCUUAAGCAUUAUCUAAAAGCUUGCAAAUACCUUAAACCAUCUAAUAGUUGUUUAACACAAUAACAAAGCAGAAGUCUGUGGAAAAUCAAAUUAAUAUUUGAAUAUAUAUAAUAAUUUGUUUUACAUAUUUAUUCAUUAGUAUUAAAUUCAUUUUGAAUCUGCAUUAACAACAAGUUGCUGUGGUGUAGUGGUUAUCACGUUAGUCUUACACACUAAAGGUCCCCAGUUCGAUCCUGGGCAGCAACAUUGCAUUACCCUUUAUUUUUCUUUUCAAAUAUCUUAUGAUCCAGUAUAUUUCGAAUCUAUUUUAAUAAUUUAACCUUUUUUUUCUUUUCCGUCCUAGGAGUUCAUGAUUGCAGCCUCACCAAUAAACAACCACAAGAUUCAAAAGUCAGAUUUAUAGAAAAUAUAGUGACUGAAAUUAUUCAUAUGGACCAAAAUGGUCACCAAAUAUAUAAUAAAGAUUACUCGCAAAUGUUCAAAAAAGUAAUUGCUUUUUAUACAUAUCAAGUUGCUGUGGUGUAGUGGUUAUCACGUUAGUCUUACACACUAAAGGUCCCCAGUUCGAUCCUGGGCAGCAACAAAUAUUAGUAUUUCUUGUUUUGCUUUUUAUUUUUAAAAACAUACCGUCAUUGAAUUAGUAUUAGAUAGAUAUAUUUUAGUUUUUGUUUUUUAUUUUUAAAAAUAUACCGUCAUUGAAUUAAUAUUAGAUAGAUAUAUUUUUUGGUAAUUGUAAUAGAUAACCAUUUGAGGAAUAAUAAUUAAGGAUAUAACACCAUUUAAUUUUUUUUUGCACAUAUAGCAAAACUAUCGCCGAUAGAAUCGUGACCAAUUUUUACAACAUGAUUUAUCAGUGCUGGACUAUAUUAUAGAAUUUGACUAAUUUUGCUAUAUUUACACUUUUUUUUUAAAUGUUGUUAUAUACUUAAUUAUUUUGAAUUUAAUUGCUAAAUUUACAACUAUCCCUAUCAUUUUUUUAGGUAUAUCUACCGUUUUUGGUAACUCAACGAGCAAUUUCAUGCCAAUCAUGGAUAAGGUAUCCUAAAACUAGAGAUAAGAAUGUGUUGAGAAAAUGACAAAACUGCUAAACGCCAAAUUCAAAUUUUGGAGCCUUGAACAUGUUACUUAACUGUAUGAAAUACUUAUUCUAUAGUUCAAAUAGUUCUAUACAUGCAUAAAUUUUCCACUAAAAGUUCCCCUCCAUGAUCUUUGACAUUACACAUUUCAUUAUUUUUUGAAGCACAUGACCAUGUUUUUUUAUAGUCCCAGACGUAAGUGCCAGAACGAAGUAGUACCCAUAAUUUCUUUUUUUUUUUAUCAAGCAGUGAUACAAUAAGAUUAAAGAAUUUUGAUAACAAAUCUCUUGAUUAGUAGCACAUUUGUAUGCCAACUAUACCAAAAUGUUGAUUGUCAAAGGGAAAUCAACAUAACAAAACUUGCGUAUCAUAUAAUCUACGAACAAGGGAAACUGACUUCGAAAUGUACACAGUAACAAAACCAUUGUCAUCGGCACAAUUUUCUUUCCUCCCAAUCCCGCCAAAAACUUUCACUGCGUUCUUCACCGUCAUUAAAGACUUAUCUUUUAGGCCAUGCCACUGAAGCAACAAAAACGGAAGUGCCAUAGUCCAUGGUUAUAAACAUUUCUUGGCAGCCGUAUUGAAUCAUGUCUUCGCAAUCUACUUUUGACGCCGAAGAUGUUCUCGCAUAUGUGUGUGUAUGUCUGCCUUCACUACCAGUCGCAAGUUUUUUGAAUCCUCCCAUAGCAACCCGUUCCAUUCCCGUGCAUAGUCGCAAGCAGCCUCGAAAACUUCCUGGAAUGCAAAAGAAAUUCCUUCUCAAGUGGGUUUUUCAGGUGAAUGUACAAGUAAUCUUCAAAGUUAAAAGAAGCAACAUUUGAAAUCCGUACCCUGGAAGGAAAUUCGUCGUAAAAAUGUGCGGGAGUAAUAUCAACCCUAUUAAGAUCUGAUUCCCAUAACCUAAUCUGGCAUGGAAUAAAGAGCAAAUGGAAAAAAUCAGGAACAGAACAAAGAUUAGAUAAAACUGUACGAUGAGAACACGUGUAAACAUUUUUGGUUUCCAUGAUAGGUGAAACCAUUGGUUUGACAAAUAUAAAGAAUUUACCGAAGCAACCCUAACCUGAUCUGUGACAUUUUCAGGGACUGAUGGUAUUCUCUCUGCAACACGAGGAUGUGCAUUCUGUUGUAGAAAAGUAACUAUCUGUAUACCAAUAGUCAGAUGUCAAGCAAUUUGAAAUGAGAAAACCAGCAUAGAAAACUCCAGUAAUGUAUCCAAUGUAAUUAAGUAUCUGUGUAGGGAUGAGUAGUCAAUUAUAUUAAUUUAAUAUUAAUUUGUGAGGUAGCCUGUUAUCUCUCAUCUCUUCUCCUUCUUCACCUUUUGGCGAGCAUUGUCGCCAUCCUCCUCCCUCAUGACCCUACAGAGAAUUUUCGGUGAGAAGAAUUUGGAGAAUACUUAUCCGCCACCCUGCUCAAUUUAGUAUUGGGUCCCUCCCCACUCCCCCCUCCCCCCAAAAAAGAAAAAUUCUCAGCUUCUCCUUUAUAUGUUUUGAUGGCAAUCCAACGUCUUUAGAACCCCUUUGACCAAGAUGACAAUGGUGACGGUGGAAGGUGGUGGUGAUGAUGAAGGUAAAGGUUGUCGGAGGUGACAAAGAAGGAGAAGAGACAGAUAAUACGCUACCUUAAAAAUAAAAAUAAUGUCUAAUUAAUAUAGAUGCUCACUCUAUCAACACACUGUUAGCAACUUAACAACUACGUCAUGUUCCGUUGGACAACGAUCCCAAGAACCUUUUACCAAAUCUCAAAGACUAAAUAUGUAUGUUGAUCACUUUUAGCUAAAAAAAUAUCCAGAGUUUACAUUUACAUAAAGUUUAGACUGACGCACAGAAGGAAAAUAGAAAUUUCGUUUCUUGUGGAUCAGGAGCUAAUGCUAGUCGAAGUUCCCUUGUUAAUGACCGGUAACAAUGGGUUUGGCACUUGAUCCCUGCUAACUAGGAAUAACUCCCUUGGGCAAAGCCCCAAUAUUUUUCAUGCUAGGAAUAAAUAUUUAGAAUUAGGGAGAAUUCUCCAAGCAUUCCACCACUGGCAAGAAUUAACAGUGCUACCAAUGCAAAAUGUUGCGCGAAGAAUAACUGGUCUACUGCAUUCCAUUGGCAAUUUGAACAUAAUAUAGUGGUACCCUUACUUCACAAGACUAAGAGUAACAUGAGGCAGGGUGAACAAGCAGAAAACUUGCCUGCUCUGCUGUAAUCCCAUUCUUAAAAGCAUUAUACAAGCUUUCUUUCGUUAUUGCUCCAACUAUAAGAUUUGGAAGUUGAUACUCAAUCCUGCAGAAGGACAGCUUCGUUUUAUUUUGUAAUUCUUGAACCAAAUAGAAAGUUGACGUCUGUGUUUAGACUGCUGCAUUAUAUGGUUCAAUUCAACAGAAAGGGAAAUAACUGCAUUCAUCAAGCAGUAAGUAAAAUGUAGAACGUUGAACUAAAAUUAUUUUUCCUUUUUAAUCAACUAUUACAAGUGCUUCUGUGAGAAUGCAAUUAAAAAAAUGGACCUUUAACAAUUUGAACCCAAAUAUAAUGAAAAAUAAUAAUGGAAUAGCAAGAUAAACCAACUUAGACCCUCCCAAUCUUAAAAAUAUUCCCGAGCUACAGAAUAUUGUUUAUUUUCCUUCUUCUCUAUUCACUAUUUAUAACCAAACUUUCCCAAUAAACUUCUUAAAUAAUUGCUAAUAUGCCCUUACUCCAACUACUUCCCAAUAGCAUUCCUAUUACAAUCAAACUCAAACGAAUCCGUGGUAAACAUUUGACUCAAAAAGUGAGAAUUAUAUUUUGAUAAAAAAAAAAGGCAGCAUUUCUAAUUUACACAAGUAUAGCAUUAUAACCGUUGAAUUAUCAUUAACAGAUUAUCACUAGUUGCUUGCACUCUCAAGAAGCAAUGCUAAUGACUAAGUUAUCCCUCAGCUUGCCCCUCUUUCUUCCUCCCAACAUAUGUGAAGUUUCACGAGGGGCCUAUCAGCAGUGGGAUUUCAAAUACAUUUAGCUUAUGAUGUAAAUAUUAAAUGUAACCAGUAGCCAGUCAAUUUUGUAAAGCUUUCUUAAUCCUUUGAAAUUUGAGCCGGCUUGUAUCCCUCGACUAUUCUUACGAAACAACUACUUAACCCUCAUGUGGAUCUGGGAGCUCUGGUUCUUUUAUUUUCAGGUUCCACCUGAUCUCUCUUUCUAAUAGGGAAACAACAAACAUGGUCAGUCUUCUUUCUCUGCUCAAGGGUCACUCCUUGAGGCUUGGGAGAAGGGGUGUAAUGGUUUGGAUACCCAAUUCUUUGGAGGGGUUUUGGAAGUCUUUUUUUGAAGUUUGGUCGAUUCUUCUCCCUUAGGAGAGUCGAUUUUUUCAGUUCUUUAGAGAAUUAAGAUCCCUAGUAAAAUGAGGUUCUUUACUUGGCAAGUUUAUGGUCGUGCUAACAUGAUAGAUCAGCUUGUAAGGACGUUGCCCUUGCUUGUUGGCCCUUUCUAGUGCAUUCUUUGUCAAAAUGCACUAGAAUAUCUAGACCAUAUUCUUGCACUUCGUGAGUUUGCAAGUUCUGUUUGGGCCUUAUUCUUUCCAACGUUUGGUAUCUUGCUCCCUCACAAGUGCUCGUGUUAUGAUCGAGGAGUUCCUCCUCAAUUCGUCUCACAGGGAGAAAGGUUACUUUUUAUGGUUUGUUCUUAUAGGUUUUGUAUGGAGUGAGCGGAAUAUUAGGGCUUUUCAGAAAGGGACACUAGUGAGAUUUAGUCCCUCGUUCGCUUGCAUUUAUUUUGUGGACUUCAAUUUCAACGACCUUUUGUAACUUUUCUAUAGGCAUUGUUACACAUAACUGGGGUCACUUUUUGUGGAUAGAGGAUCCCUUUUUGUGGGCUUGCUUUUUUUGUAUGCCCUUAUAUUCCUUUUUUUCUCAAUGAAAGUUGUUGUUUUCCAAAAAUAAAUAAAUAAAAUUGUCAAAGUGACUUAUAAGAUACAAAUAUUGUGUAGGUGGCGUCUAUAAAUUUUCCUUACAAAAGUACUGGUUAUAUAAUGUAAUUAACACUAAAUGAUGGCAUAUACCUUGAAAAAAGACGUAAUAUUUCACAAUGUAGUUUGGAAGUAGAAUAAGCAUACAUCCUGAAAUUUGUCUCCACAACAACAAAUCCCUGGGUAUAGAACAGAAAGAAAAUUAGGAUGAGCAAAAAACUUCAUAGAGCCUCCAAACUGGGAAUCAGCCCCCCCCCCCCCCCGAAAAAAAAAAAAAAGAAAUUCAAUCAAUCGAAUUAUUUAAUAGCAGAAAGAAGGUUCUAUCAAAUAAAAUUUACAUAAGUAACGAUAAGCAGAUAUAUAGCAGAGUGUAAAAAUAAAAAAAUAGUUAUGGAAAAGCAAUCAUCGAAAACACGCAAAACACUAAGGGAGUGUUUGAGGCCAAGAGUGGAGUUGUGAAAUCUGAUGAGUUGUAAAGUCGUGGGGCUCGUAAUAUAAGACGUUAAUUAUGCAUGAAAUUGGUGGUUUUUUAGUUUGUGGGAUCCACGUUUUCCUUGGGCACAAACACUCCCUUAACUCCAACUUCGCGAGCCAAACACCUCCUAAAAACUUGGUAAGCAUAAAGAAAAUGAAACUGAAUAGAAAUAUACCAAAUUUAAAUAUAAUUUGCAUUCAGAAACACUCACCAGUUUCCUCGAAGAGGAAUCUGCCAAACUCAUUGAAAGAUUUGUGGCUAAUUUAGUAGGUAUGAACCAACUCUCUUUUCUACCCUGGACAAAUCAACAACGAAAGAAACAACAGAAAAAGAAAAAGGUGAAGUUAAAAUAAAGUAAAACUUUGUGCAAAGGUCAUGUUCGAUUUAGAAAGCAGCAGAGGCUAGCCGAAAACCUGCUGAAGCUUAACUAGUCCCAGAUCAGCAAGGUCCUUGAUAGCAUACCUCUGUUCAUCUGACAGUGUAUCAAUAUCAUAAGCCUACAGACCAAGAAGAAACAUGUUGGUCAUUGGAUAGUAAAUAAUAUAGGGAUCAUUUUUAUAAAAGUUAGUAAUAUGGAUUAUACUGUAUUUACUAUAGUUAUCAGAGGUUUAAUGUGCAUCUGUUAUUGAUUAAGGGAUGGAAGAGAGGGAUUAGCCCACUCAAAAUCAGGGUACAAAAGGUUCCCUGGGAUAUCCAAAAAUUGCCUGUGGUGAAAGUAGAACACAUUUAGGGCAUGUGUCUUAAGGUUGAAUGGAUUAUGGCAUCCCUAGUUUGUUUCUUUUUUAUUUUUUAUUUCUUACUGAAAUUUCAAAGGGCAGAAUUUGUAAAAAGGUUAAUUUCCGCUUGGAGCUAUGGAAAUUGAACCAAAAUCAGUUCCAGAGGUUUCACAAAGAAAAAAUGCGCGUAAGUGCCUUUAUGUCUGACGGGGAAAGGCUUACCUCCUUAUUGCAAUUUACAAUGUUGAGUAUGCCUAUUUAUUUGAUGUAUUUAUUGAAAAUCCAAAAGGCUAAGCUUUUAGAGAGUAUGUUGAGAAACCUCCUAUGGGCCAGAGAGAGUAUUGACAAUGCCAGCUAUGUAGCUGAUUGGAGGAAGGUGUCUAACCACCAUAAGAGCGUGGAAUUGGAGAAGGCAAUCUGAAGGAGAGAAAUUUAGCACUCGCGUCUAAUUUGAUUUACAUCUAUUUGUUCACCAUAAAAAAAAUGAGAAGCAGCAGUCCUUAGAAGUUUGUGGUAAGGUGCAAAAAGAAUUAGGAGCUUUUUCCUUCAAAAUUGGCAACGGACAAACCUCCAUAAUCCAUAAAAGUAUAAUAUUCCUCUAAAGCAAGUUUUCUUCAGAAUUCAAUUGCCUAGUUUUUAAAAUGAAGAGUUAGCUGCCUGCUGGAAUUAAAGGAACUAAAAGAUUGAAAUAGAACCACAGUCCAAAAUGGCAACCUAACAGACUGAGAUGGGCUUUGGACUAACUCUAGACUUGAAAUUACUGACGUUCUUAACCAAUAGAGUAGUAACUUGUUUAAGGUUACCUGAAGUGGAGGUAUGGAAACCCAAAGAAAAUUAGAUUUUUCAUUUUGCUUAGGAAGGGGAUUAAUACAAGUCAAGCUUUCUCAAAGGAAAACCCAUAUGAUUCUUCUCUCCUUGUGCAUCACAUGCACAAGAAAUAUGGAAACUUGACCACGAUGCAGCAAACGUUGAUGAAAGGAACUGCAGAGAUUUUAAGGAUAAAUUUAGAAUGAAAGAUGAUUAUGUAAGACGAUCAAACUGAACGCAUUUACUAUUCUUAUUUGUGAAUGUCAAUGGGAGGAAUUUAUAACUAAUACACUUAUUCACCCUUAUGAUGGAGGGAAACAGAACUAAACCCCUUUGUUUAGUUUCUAGAACACAGUAACUUGUAAAACAAGAAUGACAGACAUUGUAUAAAUGAAAAAAAGUAUUGAUAAAAUUCCAACAAAAUUCAACCUCGCCAUAAACAAGAAAAAGUAAAUUAGGAUAGAUGCACAAUGCAACAAACUAAAGAAAACCAAUCUGUGUUAAAAUAUACAUAUACAUAUAUAUACUCCCGAACCAAUCAAAGUAGUUCAGUAUUAAAAUGAUGUGAAGCAACAGAACUUAAAAGAGAGUUCUACGAUGGGAUAAAAGAAGACAACAACAAUAAAAGAUAAAGAUGUAAAAAGAAAUUCAAGGAAUUGAUACCUCUCCUGUCACAUGAAAACUAAGCUCUAGCAGAAAAGAAAUCAAAUCUGCAGGAUCCACACCUCGCUCCUGAACCAUAUUGAUUAAGCAUGCAUUUACAAGAGAGGAGUACGAGUUAUAAGAAGAAAAUAAAUAAAUAAAUUAUACAGUCCAGUAAAACUAAAGAAAGGGUCUUAAAAUUAACAAUAUUUGCUUUUCAUUAUGAGUUACAGUAGUCGCAUCCAUUAUUCAGAUUCAAAUAGAAAACUAAUGACAGAAAUAGAAUAUAUAUAUAUAUAUACACCUUGGAGAAAGGCAAUAGGCUAUGACAAUAAAAAAAGGAAAACACAAACCUCAGCAUUAGAUAUAUAUUCUCUGAUGAUAUACCAAAGUUGUGCAUUUGUUUCCAUCAACUGAAGUUUACAUAUCACAAGAAUCCCUGGUGAGUCAGAUCAAUGAGGAUUUCAAAAAGUCUAUGGUUCAUGUGAUUCAUACCAAGAACUGGAAACCACUCUCAGUUAAUCGUGGAGCUUCUUUAUCCCUAGAAUACCAUACAUAACAUUUUAUCAGAUACAUCACAAUACAUAAAGCUAGAGUACAUUGAACAAGAUUUUAACCUCUGACUUAAAAGGCCUUUCUGGAAAACUUUCAUCACAGAAGAACUAAUAUUUGAUGGCUUCUCUGCUUGGCCCGAGUUUAUCAAUUGCAGCAAGAAGCACUGAACUAAGACAAUAACAGGUCAAAAGAAUAUCCACAGUUAAAACUUGGACAGUAAUCAACUUAGAAGAUGGUUGCCUUAGAUUGAGUCUAAGAGGAUGGAAUCAAUACUAGCCAAAGACUAAACUAGAAAAGAUGCAACUAAAAAACAGAUUAUUAAAAUCAUUUUGAUGACUGUCCAACCUCCCACUGAUCCAGAGCAUAAGCCUCAAGAUCUUCCAAACUUGGAAGCCUCACGGUUAUAUUAGAAGGCAUAGGUUCUCUGGCUAGAACUUCACUGCAAGAUCCCAAAUUCAUUGUCAUUUUCUAAACCAAGAGUAAAUCACUUUGAAAUGUUAAAAUCAUGGAGUCUAAACUCCAGGAUCAGCUUCUUAUUAAAGAAAAUAAGUAAUCAUCUACUUGAACUUAAUGAAUGUGAAUAAGGGAGCAAGUAAAAGAAAAUGUGCAUUUAUUAAGAAAGAUUCAUGCAUCAGAACGUCUGUGGUGGGUAGAAGGGAAAUGAGACAAAUCAUGUAUCCAUCCUAGCAUAUCUGGUUUAGAAAUGCAUUCAUUGAGCAAAGUUGAGAGAAUACUUACCCAUGUAUUAAAAGCUUUUGGAGGUUUGCUUGGAAAGUUGGAUUUAGCCGGUAGGUUGUUUCUCUUUUCCUAUAAAUAAAAUAGGGAUUCACAGAAAAGAUUACAAUACAGGAAUGGGUUGAGGGCUACAAACAAUGCAAAACUGCUGAUAGAAUUACAAACGAUUUAAGUGAAAUCAAAACAGAAGUAACGCAAAAGCAUUUACACAAGCUCAUAAUUAAAGUUCUCCUGGCAGGAACCUCUCAAUUCUGAUGAUAUCAUGAUAUCGUAAUUUGAAUUAUGAACACGAAGGCAAUCUAUCAACUCUUGGAAAGAAACAUCCACAAAGAAGAUGAAGAUAAAAAUGAUAACAAAAUAACACUCCACAAACGUAGCCUUACUCUUGAACUCUUGAAUGACAGCUUUCUUGGACUUAUCUAACUAAGAAUGCAUUUUUGAAGAAUUGUGAAAAAGUAUCAAAUUCUUAAGAAAAUGUGGGAAGAGAAUAGCACCUAUCUGCAGUCUCAAUAAAUACUCUCAAUUGAAUCAAUCGAUCAACAGCAACCUUAUACUUUGAGACUCCAUCUGGAAGCACCCACUCCUCCAUGGACUUGGCUGAAACUGGACCAUCAAUGUAUAACAUUUGUAAAACAAACUUCUUAGCCAGUGGCGGAAGUGACCUGAUUACAAAAAAAUUAUCGGCACUCUUGUAAAUUAUAACCUCCAAAACUAUGAUUGACUAGCUACUAUUAAGUUAAAUUCAUUUGCAAAUACCUAACUUUGGCCAAGGAAAAAUGAAAAAAACAACUAAUUAAAAAAUAAUAAAUAAAUAAAACACCUCAAUCAAUUUUUUUUUUUUUAAAAAAAAAAAACAGUUUCAAUGACAUCGUAUUACGAACAAGCAAGCUCAAUGGUUUCAAUUAUAAAUACGACCCCAACCAAUUAAAGCAUUUAAGAAUGGAAAGCAAGGACCUGAGAAUGGCUUCGCAGAUGAAUGCAUUCUCAUAGAGUUGAUCGAGCUUCAUGGCGGGCAAGGAGGCCACCAUGUCCAUAAAAUUCUUCGCUAUGAUCUUUACUUGAGGCAUUUUGGAUUAGCUUUGCUAGUCCUUUAGGCACAGAAUCACGAAUUAAAAAAAUUGCAGGUUCCAGGUCGAGAGUGAGACUUAUAGCAAAUGGUGAGAUCCUCUUAAAUCAAUCAGUUAUCAACUAACUCAAAGUUAACCUUAGUAGAUUGACACUGCUUGCUCAUUCGGAAGACCGAAGACGAAGAACGACACGUAGUUGAAUGUCCAAUUCUUCUUGAUUAUAAAAGAAGCUAUUGGGUCGGGAAAUUGCCAUUUUAGAUGAGCUUUCAAUUUAAACUUUCUUUUUCCUUUGAGACAAAUGGAUAUAUGAAUUGUCCAAUUACCCCUUUGUAAAAAUGAAAACCCUAAAGUAUAAAAUUUGGAACCUCGCGCGGCAACGGGCAACACCUGCUGAAAGGUGAUCGGACGGCAGCGGCGACUUGGACAGAUCUGCAACUUCAAACUAAAGACGUGUUGCUAGAUUUAAAAAAAUAAUAAUAACUAAAAUACUUGCUAAUAACUUAAAACUAAAAUAUAAAAUUGUUGUGAAAAAAAAUAAGUAGAAAAUUAAUUUGUAUAUUACUCUAAAUCAUUUAAAGCAAUAUAAAAUUAAUUUGGAGAUAUACAUAUAAGUUUAACCUAACUCAACUGACCACAAAUGAAAGAAAAUAUGGGAGGAGAAGAAGUAGAGUUAUUUGAGAAUUAUAACAAACGUGAGUUUCUUGCGUUGAAAGACUAUUUUUUAAUUUAGCAAAAUCAUAAAAAAUAGAACGUUUGAUAAAAUAUUUACCUUUUAUAUAAAAAUUAAUAAAAUUUAUCUUUUAGUAAUUUUGAGAAAACUCGUCUAGUUUAUUUCAAAAUUUAUCUUUUGGAAACUAUCCCAAAAGUUUUUCAACCCUAAAAUGUUUUUUUUUUAUUUUUUUGCAAUUUUCAUAUUGGGUAUUUUCACACUUUCUUUUAGUUUAUCCUAGGCUUUUCUUAAUUAUUUAGCAAUUUUUUUCUUUUUAGAAUAUACUUAGCAAUAGCUUGACAUAGUAUUUUACUAUUCUUACGCUCACUAAUGAGAGAGGCCAUUUAUCUACAAGUCAAGUAAAUGAUUGAAGUCUUCAAAAAAAAAAAAAAGAAGUAAAUGAGUGAGAACAGCUUCUUUUGUUUGAGAUACAAUUUUGUAAGAAUUAUUAGAUGACAACUAUCCAUAAAUUGCAUAUCAUUGACUAAGGUCGGAAUCUCUUUAUCUCCACAUAUCAUUGAGCUAAAAAGUGUGAAUUAUUUUACAAAAAGAAAAAAAAAAACUAUAUACUUGUCUUUUAUUAUUUAAAAAAUUAAAUGGUUUGGUAUAAGUAGAGCACUCUUUACUUCCACACAUUGUUGAGCUCACUCUGAAGUUAUCAUAUAGGCCAAGUAUUUGGGCCUCAAUCCCAUUGGUCACCAAGUAACUUGACCACAUAUGUGGGCAAGUAAUGAGAAAUUAUGUCUCGUGGAGACAACUUACUAACGUAACUUUUCAAAUUGCCCAACAUUUUGUUUCCAGGGACGUUAAAAGAUAUAACAAAACUCAUAGAAAUUGGUCUUCCUCUCGUUAUGGGUAAAUCCACCUAUAAAAUAACAUUUGUUGAAAUAGAGAAACAACACUGGAACUUAGAAGCAGAUCAUCUAAACAGCAAUUUCAGGUUGGGAGUCGGAGAACAUCUCCCAAAGACCCAACUCUCGGUUUCAAUGAAAAAAAAAGUAUAUGAAAACUAUAUUUCUCAAAUCCCUAAUGAAUUGAAUCCUGCUAAUUUACUUUUACGAGCUAAUUUUGUAAAAACACAAAAGAAAGACAAGCUACAGCGGAAAUUUACUUCUCUUCCGAAACAACAAGUUGCCCAAUUCCCCAAUUCGCCAUACUAAAUUAACGUUUCACAAAAUUCUCCAACUUUUGAAGCCAGAGUGGUAGCUACAUCAAGGCAGGCUAUUAGCAACUCUCAACAUACAGGACAAAUAUCUAUGUCAAAGACCUAAGUCCUUUCACAGGCAAGGAAGGACUAAAACUUACAAGUAACUGUCAUAAUUUAUAAUCCAACAGAAUAUGGAAGCCCGCGAGGGGGAAAACAUAGCAACGGGAGAUGUAAGCCUGCAUUGGAAUUAAAGUUGUCGGUCAGAAGGAUUUUCAUAGGAAUAUUUAGAGGCUAAAAGAAAACUAUAACCUAACAGACUGACUAUAAUUUUGAUGCGUCAGGUUUCCUUUUUUAUUGGCAUUGUAUGAUGCUAUGCAGCUAUGCAGAAGUGCUUGGCAAGUCUUCAUUUUUGGCAAUUGAUUCAGUGAUUGGAGGUCGUGGGGAGGGUUUCGAAACAACAGGUGCUGGUUUUGCAGGCCUGUUUGGUUGGAUUUUGUCAGCUUUCUCUGGUUCAACCUCAAACUGAUCGAGAAUAGAAAUGUCAUCAGAUCAACUAAGACUACAACACCAGGAACAUAGAAUUGUUAAAUAUUAAACACAAGUCAAAGUGUAAAACAAUAACAAUGGCAAGCAUUAGCAGAGAAGUGAAUGUGUUUGCUGGAUUUUAACUAGGUAAUGCUUGGAAGAACGAACAGGAAGGAUAACACGAUUUUCAAGUAUUUGUCCUUUAAUGACAAUGUUGAUGUCCUGCUGCAAAUACAGGCUGAAUACAUAUGGAAAAUCAUGCUGCAAAGAUCAGGCACUAGUACUGUAAGGCAUGAAUAACAGACAAAUGAAUGCAAAGAGUUUCAUGUCCACGAUUAGGUUUAAGGUUUUAAAUCAUGACAAAGUUGUGUUUCCUCAAACAUACAAUUCUGGUUUUUGACACGCCAGAGUACUUCAUCCCCACAGCAAUAUAAUACCAGAGGAUUUUUGAACUGAACUACAGAUCAUAACUUGGACUAGGACACUUUACGAAGCAUAUAAAAUAAGUUUUUCGACUACAACAUCCCACAGUCACUUUUCAUCGACUUCCAGCAAGAGUGACCAUACUUAAAUUACUUAAUCUUCAUAAAAUAACACUUACCUUAAAGCCGCAACCAGAUACACAUGCAUGGAAACAUUCCUGCGAGCAGCAAGGAGUCAAAAUCCAAAAGCAAGUAAAACAAAAUACACUGUCUGUAACAGAAGAUACUAUAUAUAAAUUAACUGAGAAUCUUCCUAGUUCACAUAACUUCUGUCAGAGUUGGGCGGAAAGAGGAAGAGGAAAGAGCAGGUUUGUUGAUUAACAGACAAGUGGAUUACUUAAAUGUUGAACUUGUGAAGAUUAAGGUUUAAAUCUCAAGUACGGUGAAACCAUCAGAGUCAAAGAAAACGCCAGAAAAUAACAAGACACUUAAGUACCUCUGAGUAACUGGCAGACCCAGGAGAUCGGUCAAUGUAAGCACUCCACUGGUGGUCCUUAAAUACAGGAUCCUUAUAGCAUAUCUCAGUGCAUUCUUCCAAGCCUUGCGACUCAAUGACAGCAACAAUUUAUAUUGAUGAAUAACAUAAAAAAGUUGAAAGGUAACAGAUUUCCAAGGUCUUAAAGUUGUAGCAACAAGGAAGUUUUUCUAUAAAGAUUUCCUAAUCACUAAAAACGUAUUAAUAACUGGUCAAAGUUACAACGUAUCAAGAUAUAUAAUGAACUCCAUGACCAGAUUUUUUUUUUAAGAAAGCGAGUCUCACUAUGAUUAAUAUUGAAAAAUACAGAGACAAAAGCUCAAUGAACUCCAUGACCAGAUAUUAGUCUAACAAAAAUACAUUCAAACAGAAAUAUCAGCAAAAUGUUCACCAAAUGCCGAUAUUUACCACAAGUCAUAAUAACGCUAUUCAACACUAGUGUCUAUUGCUUCAAUAGAAAUUAAAAAAAGGAGGGAAAAAAUCAAAGUGGAAGCAGACAAAUUUUCAGUUGGACCAAUAAUUUUCUGUCUAGAAUGACCGUUGCUGAAAAUAUCUAUAGCAAGUUGACAUAUUCGACCCAAGUUCACCCUGUGCCCCAGACUUUCGAUGAAUCUGAAUAAGCUAAUCAAUUGAACACACAAAUGUGAUGGCAUGUACACUUGAUAGAAAAUAGAUUAGAUCACACAAAACUACAAGAAAUACAUGCUCGAACUUGCAAGUCAGAAAGCAGGAAAAUUACAUCUAGAUGAAACAUAUAGAAUAUAUAGUGAAGUAAAGGUAAAAGAAAAAGAAGAGAAGAAAAAUACUACUCACAUUCGUCCCAGGCCUCCCCAUCUGCAUCACACCCCUUUUUGCAAAAUACCCGCCCUACGUUGAGACCAUUGCGAUUAUGCAGAAGCAGAAAAUGUAUUAUAAGACUACUCAAACUCAGACAUAAACAUAACUGACAUUAAUUAUAAUCCCCUAACUUCUAGUAUAACGAAGUAUCUUAGUAUCGGAUUCCAAAGGAUCACACGUGAAACUAACAAUUUUAUUCGUAAACAAAUACUAUUCGCUGCCCAAGUCAAAUAGAUGAAUAUAACAGGAGGCCUAAUCCGUAUCACAAAUAGAUUUCAUAAAACCUAAAAUUCCCAAUAAGUUGCAAGUAUAUUCUCCGACAAUCAAUUAGUAUAACAAAUACGCGGAUUCCCAUCAACAGAUUCAUUCAAAAUACACUUUCCUGGCAGAAUCAUGUGUAAUAAUAACAACUAAUAACCCAACCAGACAGGAGAAAUUCAACAUCUCACCACGAUACUUCGCAUUCGACCAACAUUCACGAAUAGAGUUUCUAGCUAUGCAUUGAGAAAGUUUCUUAAACUAACAAAGCAAAUCGCAGCCAUCUAAUCUUGGGACAUGGGGUAAUGAAAUAAGCGAAGAAAUGCGUAAAGAUUAUAGCGAAAUAGAGAAAAAUUAUGUAAGAAUGGAAGAUGGAAAAAGAUGUACAGGGAAUCUGGGUGAGGGCAGCGUAUUUCUGCGUGCAUUGGUUGCCACAAGGAGACGCCCAUUGUUGCGGUAUCAUCAUAUAAUACACAGCCUCCUUCAAAUCUUCAACGCUCCCUGCCGAUUGUUUUCUUCUUUGUAAUGCUGAGGAUGAGCCCAAAAGGAACGAAUAUGCGAUUUGCUUUUGUUUUCUCUUAAUUUUCUAUUUUCUUAUUCAGAUCAUUUUCGAAAAAUUCCCAAAUUAACCCAAAAGUCUACAACCCAACCACUCAUUCUUGUAAAUUUAUUCAUCACCAACCUUUUUCUCCUGUGAAAUGUCAUUUUUACCUUUAUUAUAUUGAAUGAAAAGUUACUUUUAAUUAACUCUCAGUUGAUUCUUUCAUCUACGCCCAUUCUAUUUUGUCUUCCAUAUAGAUCAAUAUUCCAGAAAAUUGAAACAAUCACCAUGUUUGGACCCUAAUUCAAGAACAAAACAUAUGAAAGAAAAUAAUUAAAAUGGGUUCAGCAUACAUGUUAUUUUGAAACGAUUUUCAAAAACAAAACUCUAAAUAGUCAAUUUUCAAAAACAAUAAAAUGUUGUUUUCUAAACAUAAGAUACUAUUAAAUUUUCAAAUACACCAUCAAACACAAAUUUUGAUUUUUAAAUUUAAAUUCAAAAUUUUAAGUUAGAACCACGUAUGUUUUCAAUACAAUGGGAAGUGUGAUUUUGUUUUUCACAAACAUUUUUGUUUUUCAAAACAAUUUUUGAACCACAAAUCAAAUGGAACGUUAGUUUUUACUAUUUUUUUUUCAAUAUCACGUUCCCAAUAACAAGAAAUAGACUAUCUUUAAUACUGUCUUAAAUGAGUUUUCAACUUUUAUGAGGUGGUUUUUCAUUUUUUAUGACCUAAUAUGCUAUCUUGGAAGAAAAACAUUCUUUAAAAUUUUACCUUCUCUUUAUUUUUUUAUCUUGCUCUAUACGGAAGUUAAAAUGCAAUAGAGUAGAUGAAAAAAUCAAGUGAAUAACUGAGAGUGACCUCGAAUUAAUGUUUGCUUAUAAAGUUGGUAUUGUAUUAAUGACAUAAAAAGAAUCAUGGACGAAUGGAGUUUGAUUGAUAAGAUGUUUUAAAAUUGAGGAUAAAUGUGGUACUUUCCGUUACAAAAAAGAUCCGUGCAAGCUUUUGGAACCCAUAAAACGCUUGUUCAUUUUGUAGUUAUUUCGUGAAAUUUUCUGAUCCUUCAAACUAAAUUGUGAGUUUGAUCUUAAUACUAUGAAUUUAGGUUUAUAUAUGUUAUAUUCAAAUUGCUACAAAUAUACUAUGGAGAUAGGGGGAGAUUCGAAAAAUUCAACCAAGUUAGAUCUUCGUACAUUUUAUGAAACUUGUAUAGUGAGAAAAAGGUAAUUUACAUAUGAUAACAUUUCUAGAAUAUGAUAUAGCAAUUAUAGCACAUUACUUUAUAAUUUUGCAAAUAUGACAAAAAUUUCACUUAUCCAGCUUAAAUUUGAUAUUAUUCCUAAACUAUCAUUCAAUAAUUUUUUUUUUUCAUUUUUUUAAUGUUCUACUCGUUAUUUAUUUAUGCUCCCACUUUUUAAGGCCUUAAUUAUUUAUUUAUUCUUAUACUAGAAAAAUUAUUUGUUUUUUAUGUCUUAAUCUUAAAUUUAAAAUAUCAAUAGUACAAUAUUUGCAAUAUAAAGUAUAAUAUAAUGGUUGUUGAUUGAAGUAAUUUAACUUUAUUUGUGAUUUUUUUUUUACUUUAUUCGAUGUGUAUUUUGAGUUGAAUCUAAUUCCAAAUGAUUUUGUUUUAUUUUUUUACAUUGUUUUUUUUUUUUUUGUUCUACUUUGUCUCAGUUUCGUAUAUCAAUAUUGUGAUAUGCUUUUAUUACAUGUAUUAGUUAAUUAAUACACUUACUACAUAAUUUUUGUUUUUUCAAAAUUUAUGCAAUUCAUUUGAGUAUUAUUGAGUAUAUGAAUGAUGUAACUCACUGUAUCAUUAUCAAGUACAUCAAUAAUAUAUUGUUAAAAAAUAUCAGUAAAAUGACUCAUUAUCAAAUAUAUGAAUCGAGUUUACAAGUGUAUGUCAAUAGUAUAUCAAACGUAUAAAUAGAACUUCAAGCAUAUCAAGUGCAUUUAAUCAAUCAAUUGUAUAAGUAAAUAAUACAAAAUGUAUAUGCAAUGUAUCAGGUGUAUCAAACAUAUAUUAGUAAUGUUUCAGUAUCGAGUGUACCAAAGAGUAUCAGGUUCAUCAAGUGUAUCAAUCAAAUUUAUCGGGUGUAUAAUGGAAUAUCAGAUGUAUAAAUUGGUGUAUUGAGUGUAUUAGGUGUAUCAGACGUGUAUAAGGUGUAUCAAACGUAUAUUAAUAACGAGGGCAUUUGUAACAUUUUGUCUUUUGAUGUGUGGGCUGUGCUUAGUUUUUGCAAUUUUCGUAAAUAAUAAAAGGGAAAUUGCAAUUGAUAACUAUUUUAGCAAUAAUAAUUAAGGAUAUAGCAACAUUUUUUAAAAUUGCAAAUAUAGCAAAAAUAUCACUUAUAGACUUCAUAUGAUAUAUCAGUGAUAGAUCAAUAUUUAUAACAUGAUCUAUCAUUGAUAGAUUUUGAUAAAUUUUGCUAUAUUUGCAAAAUUUUUAAAAUUGUGCUAUAUAUUUAAUUAAUUUGAAUUUAAUUGUUAAAUUUGCAACUAUCCCAUAAUAAAAUGUGUGUGAUGUAGACUUAAUUAUCAUAACUUAUUUUGUCAUUUUAUAAAUAUAUAUGUAGAAAAUAUAUACAAAAUGACCGUUGGAAAAUAAUCACACAUGGAAUGAACGAGGCAAAAUAGAAGGAAAGGAAAGUGAUAGAGUUAUAGGGUAAUAUUAAAUUUAAAAAGAGGAAGAUAAAAUAUAUUUUAACAAAUUUUUUUAUCAUUCAUUUAAAAUGUUUACAAAAUAGAAAAUAAAAAAACCUAUCUAUUUUGUUAAAAACUGAUAAACACAAAAUUCACUCCACUUAUAACAUUCCAUAAUUUAUAAUGGUUUUUAAUUUGUUUGAUGGGAUACCAUACACUAUAUAAUAAAUACAUUUAUAUGAUGCUCCAAUAACAUUUACUAUCAAUUUUGUAAUGUAAAUGUAAAUUUAUAAAAAAGACAAGAACCGAACUCUUAAACUAAUGGUUUUACAAUGACACAUUCACUACACCAUAAUCAUAAUUAAGUUAAAUAAAUAACUUUUAAUAUAUAUUGUAAUACAACACUUCAACAUUAAUAUUAAAAUACAAAAACCGAUAAUAUGAGGAACAUGUACGUCAACCCUUUAAUAAAUUCACCCAUGAUCAUAGACGUAACACUUUAUUGACUGAUGAUCUUUUUUAUCUGCAAGAUAUAAUAAAAGAUUAACUUUCUUUUAAUUUACCACAAAAGAAAAAAAAAAAGACUUACAAAUGUUAUUGCAUAGAAAUAUAAUUGUUGCGGAGAAGGUUGGAGCAAAUAGGUUGCAACGUCUAAAGGGAGAAAGUUGAUAGACGUAAAAGUAAAUUCGAUAUAAAUAAACGAAAAAUUGUAUCAAAUGGCCAAAAUAUUAAAAAAAAAACCGUUAAUGACACAAUUUUUUUGCAUAUUGCAAAUAUGAUAAAAUUAGUGAUAUCAGACCAAAUAUUGUGACAUAAGCUCUAUUAUCAUUUAUUGUUGCUAUUUUGACAAUAAUUCAUAAAUCUUAAAAAAACAACUUUUAAAUUAUGUUUGAUAACUUAUUACUCGUUUUUUUGUUUUUUCUUUGUAAAGAAACUUACUUUUAAAUUUUUUAAAAUAAAAAAAAUGCAAUUUUUAAAAAUACACUUUGUUUCUAAAAAGCAUAAAACAAAACGACUUACCAAACUUAUAGUUUUAUUUUUAAUAAAAAGUCACGAUGAUAACAAAUGAAAUUGAAAUUGUUACCAAAUAAAUCUAAUUAAUUACUUAAAUUAUUUUUGAUAAUAGCUAAAUUAUGAAAUUUAAAAUAUUAACAUAUAUGGGGAAUGUUUUAAAAAACUAGUAAGACUUCUCUACUUAUUAUAUAUAUGUACCAUAGUAGGCCAUGUACCAUAGUAACCUUUUCGUAGCCUUUUCAUACUUGGAUUGAGAUAUGAGUAUUGAGUAUGUUUACCCUUCAUUUGGAAUCAGCAGAGUUUUAGAAAUUGAAAGAAAAGAAUUUUACUAGUAUAUAAGCUUCUAAGUAUGAUGUGAUAAUUGGAAAUUGAAAUGUGACAAGGUUAAUUAAUUAGUUUAUUUUUAAAAUUUUAAAACACAAUGAAAAAUGAGAAAUUGAAAAGAUAAUCAAAUUUAACUAACAAAGAAAAAUUACUCUAAUUCAAAUUUACAUAUGGAAAAACAUACAAACUGAAAAAUAGGAAAAAUUACACUAAAAACAAGGUUUUUUUUUUCUUGAAUAAUAAAAGAACUAUUUAUACUCUAAUUCCAUAGUUUGUAUAUUUUGCCAAUUUUUACUAUUUCUCUAUAAACCAUUGUAAAUGUUUUUGAAAAAAAGAUUAAAUCUAAAUCGAUCUUGGAAAGUUUCAAAUGAAAAUAAAAUUGGUUGAAAACCAAAAAUAAAAAUAAAACAAUUGAGAGAAUGAGGAAAUUUUCAAAAACAUUAAAUGCAGCUGUCAACUUUUUCUAAAAUAACAAAUUUUCUUCGAAAAAAUACACUCAUCAUCCAAAUAAUCCUGGGUUGGUUUAUGGGAAUAAACCAAAUUAAAACUUCUUGAAGGUAGCCCAUCUAAGUGCCAAAAAGCAUUUCUAUUACUAUCCUUUGUUUUUGUUUAUCCAAGUGGGUUGCGUCUCCUACUCGAACCUCACUAAGUCGCCUGGGGUGAAUUACUUCACCCAACUUUUACCAAUCACAUCCAGGUUACUUCUUUUUCAAUGAUCUUAUGCUCUUGCCGAGCUUAUCUGGCUUUAUUUUUUCAGAUUAAAUUUUGUACACGUUUGUCUGUGAUUUUCAGUUCUAGCUUUGUUAACUCUGCAUCUUUAUCGGGAAUCCGUUUGACAUUUUGAUUCUAGUGAACUAUUAUUUCUGUUGUGUUAUUUAGUUCCGAGUAAUUUCCUUUUUCACUUUCUUUCAGACCUUUAUUUGGUUUUCAGCUUGGUUGCAUGGCCUUCAUCAAUCAUUACAUGAGUGUGAAUGUAUAUAGAGAAAGAAACAGCGAAAUUAAGUAUUGUCACUUAGAUACAUUGUAGAUAUACAAAAAGAAGAACGGGUGAUUUCUUCCAUGAAAUGCUUUGACUUAAUAUAGGCUUCAGUGGGACAUUGGAUUGCACGAGGUGAUUGUUUUAGUGAAAAGAUGCCGUCGGAUCGAUGCAAUGGACACCCUUAGAGUCAUAGUAUAUUCUUCACCCACUUGCUUUUGAGCAUCGUAGAUCAACUUAAUGACAUAGAAAACGUUCAAUCAUCCGAUAGUUUUUUUUUCUUCUUUAUUAAUGUUUUCUGUUCCUUGUAUUGGUUAGAACUUGUUUUAUUUGUUUAUGGCAUGUUACUGCCUCACUGGUUUAUGUAUGAAUCUAAGACGUCCAAUAACCUUUACCAUUUCGAUACUUUAUUUGAUUAUGGAAUACGCUUGUUAACAAAAGAAAAAAAACUCUUAUCAUUAUGAUUUUAUUAGAACUCAUUUCCUUUGUUUCCGUCAUGGUUAACCCCGGACAUAACGAAAAUACUUUCACAUUUCAGUUUUAACUUUUGGUGUUAGUUGCUCACUGUAGAAAUGUAUUUGAUUUUUGCUUGACCACUUUCUAUGAUUUGAAAAGAAUGACAGGAAAGGAAACGUAUGGAACGAAUGCAUCGAAAUGUAGUCAGGAGGAUAUCGUGCUAAAAUCUUUGGUCGAUGCUUUUGGUUCUAAGUUUUCACUUGAGGAAAUAGCUUCUGCCUAUUUUAAGGCAGGCUACAAGGCAGACUUGGCAGGUGAAAUCUUGUUUCAAAUGCAGGAGAGCACCUCGAGCUCUGCAUUGAGUGAUGACGUUGGAAAUGGAGAUAACUUGGGUAAGGGUAAAGUGUCUGAGAAGAAAUAUCAGGUAAAAGGGAACCUGAAAGCUGCAAAGUCAAAGGUUCAGUCUUUUUCAACAGGCACAGUGUCCAAUAUUAUCGGUAAAGAAUAUGCUUGUUCCAAGCCAUCAGGAAAUAAGUUUACCAAGGUAAAUAAACCAGUAAAGGUAGAGGUAAAGGUUUUGCAUGAAUCUUCAAGUGAGGGAGAUUGUACAAGUUUACCCAGUGACUUUGACCUGCAUCAUGAGAUGGAAGAUUUUCUCUUCAAAAUGCUUGGGGAUGGUUUCAGGUUGAAAAGGGAAGUGAUCCGAGAAGUUAUUGGUAGGUUUUUAUCUUUAUCUCUGCCAGUUAUCUUCAAUCUUAUUCUUACUUCUGAUAACACAUUGGAAUUUUACAUUUAUUGUAUUGUUUGUUCUUUACUAAAUACCUUGAAAAUUUGUGUGCAUGAAGACUGUUAGAAUCAAUGGCUGUCUUUAAAAUCAUGUUAGAAGUCAGUGGGUAAGAACUCUACAAUGAUUAUCAUAGUUGUAUCAAAUAUUCAUCCAAGUGUAAGAUGAUCAUUUGGCUGUUUGAAAUAGAAGCCAUGUUGAGAUUCAAUCAAAUAUUUCAGAACUCUUUACUUCGGUAGUUUUAAAGAACCCUUUUAUUUUAUUGUUUUAUCUCAACUUUAAGCAUUGUGAAGAAAAAGGAACUUUGUUAGUUAGCACUUCAAAUUUAAAAGCAAUGAACCAACAGCAACCUUGAAAUUUCUGUCCUAGUAGUCGUCAUUUUAGUGCUUUAACUAGUUUCUGCCUUUUGAGGAACAUAUGCUUCAAGUCAACAUUAUCGGUUGCAAUUAAUGUUAAAUAUUAUACGCAAUAACUCCACUGACUGUCAACCUACCGGAAACUUUCUAUCAUAUUAAGACACAAAUUUCAUUGUAUUUCUCAAUUCUAGGAUUAGGCGAGUGAUUAAGAUGAAAUUAGGUUUUCAUACCAUGCUUUCAGUAUUUGCCCCAGCCAGCCUUGCAAAGGAAAGUUGGUGCAGCCUGAGGCAAUUUGAUUUGGAAAAAAAAAUUGUUUCAGUAUAUAUAUAGAGUUUAAAAUGAAAAAGUAACAUUAAUAUAAAAAUUGCAAUCUAUUGCAAUAGAAUUUUACUUUUAUUGUAUUGUUUGUUCUUUACUAGUAUAAAUAUGGAUACAGGCUUCUUAUUGAAAUGCAUACUAUUGAUUGAGGAUAUUACCGAUUAAUAGGGUUUGCAUUUUUACUGCAGGCACUUGUGGAUAUGAUAUGAAAGAGGUAUGCAAAAUGCCAGUUUUAAUGGCUUUUUCAGUCUCUGAUGGUUUUCAAGAAUUGCAAUCCUAAAUGGAGUUCAUAUUCUCUUUAUUACUUUCAGCAGUUUUCUGAUAACUCCUGCUCUCCCUGAAUUGGAUAUGUCAGGACAUUUAUUUCCCACCUCUAUUACUUAUCUAGUUACAAUCCAUGUUGCAUAUGCUCCUCUUGUUAUGGGCUUCAACGGUUAUUUUUUCUUCUUUUAAAAAAUACUUUUUACAACUCUCUUUCUCACAAAUUUGCUAUGUCACGACUUUUUGGAAUAUAUUGCCCACCUUUAUUACUUAUUAUGGUAAAAUCUCUGGCUAAGAAAUAGACAAGCAAAACUUAAUACGCAUGCCUGCUCGUGAUGUUAGAGAGUGGAUAUUUUCUGGAUGAUACAAGAUGAUUGAAUCAUGUGUCCGUUUGGACUUCAAUUUUGAAGAUCUUUUUGUAACUAUUGCAUGGGUAACAUUUUACUUAGUUGAAACCCCUUCUUUUAGUUGGGGUGGACUUGUUUUUUUGUAUGCCCAUGUAUUCUUUCAUUUUUUCUCAAUAAAAGUUGUUCUCUCAAAAGAGAUUUUACCAUAAAGACGUUACCAUUUUAAGACUUUUAAAAAAUAUCCUUUUGAGCUUUCAGAGCAUGGAGAAUUUGCUUAAUCGGUCAACAACACCAGUGGAUGAAAGACUUGGUUCGGGUAAUAAGUCAACUGAUAUGGUUAGUAUGACUUGAGUUUUUGUUUUCACGUAGUAAAUAGUUUGAAUAGUCGUUAUUCUCAUGAAACUUUUGUAGAUUUGUCUCUGGUUAGAGUUAUGGUGAAAGUUCCUUUUAUAACUUAUAAGUCAUAUUGUUGUGUGAAUAUAGAAUUUUCUUUUUACUUCAUGAGAUAUAAAUUAUGUUUGUCAUUUUCCUUCAGUUUUGAAUACUUUUGUGUAGCAUUAAAGUCUCCUCCUUUUCCUCCCUCAAUUAGCGUUUUCAAAGGUGAGCUUGGGUGGAUUGCUUGUGGUGAUAGGUGAGGCAAGAUGCGGUUGUCUAUGGCAAGCACCUUUACUCAGGCAAACUGCCUAGGUCAUGUCACCGUUUUUUCAACUUUUGGUUUGCUUACAGAAGAAAACAGACCUCUCACAUUUUUUAGUGUUUCUAAUUAUAACUUUAAUGAUCAUUAUCAUUUUAUUAUAUCUUUUAAGAACUAUUGUUCUCUUGAAAAUGUGUAGCAACUUAAUAUAUGAAAAUAAAUUCUUAUUUAUGCCUCAUCUGAAAAAAAAAAGAUAUUUAUGCCUAAUUUUUAUGUUUUAAUGUUAAAUAAUGACAUGCGUUAAUCCUAUAUAUAUAUAUAUAUAUAUAUAUAUAUGGGUGUAUCUAUGUGUAUGCAUGACAUAUGACAUAUAUAUCUAUGUGUUACAAAAACUUCGUUACCAACCUGAGAAUGGCAUAACUAGUUAAGGAAAACACCAAGUGGUCAGUCUCCACAGAAAACACCUCACUCACUCGGACCAUGUUUUUUAUGUGCCCCACGCCGCCAAUCCAAGAGAUGAGGAACAUGUUGUCUUGGAAUGCAUCACUUUGGAAACAUUUUGCACAACUUCACACAUAGUAUUGGUUUUUUAAUUUGGUAUAUCGUUUUUAUUCUCAAUAAUACGAGUUAGUGGCUGUAAGUUACACUUUGACCUAUUGUAAAGGUACAGGUUUUGACGGGCAGUACUAACUUUUAUUCACGGGGAAUAAAGUUUUGUUGUACGUUUGAAUAUGUGUUUUCUUUCUUACUCGAGCUAUUUUCUUUUGCAGACUGCAGCUUCAUGUUCAAGAUCAGAUUCAAUUUCAUGUCAGAGAAAUAAGGCAGAAAACCAUUAUCCUGGAGGGUAAAUAUCUUUCUAUUGCAGUCUGGUAGCUUGUGUGUCAUGGUUAGAAGUAGAAAGACUACGGAUAGUUAUUUUUCAUAUUCUUCUAGAACAAAUAUUAUCUUCAAGAUUUUCCUUGAUAUUCUAGUGAUUGGACAAGACUUCUUAAAAGACAAAGUUAACUUGUUAUUUGUUCCUGAAGUUAAUGUUCAUUUCUGGUCAUCUCCGUUUCAACAAAAAAAAAAAUGUUCAUUUCAGGUCAUCUUGGAACGGAAAUUUGGCCUCAAGCAAAAAAGUCUUGGAAUUGACUAACCUGGAAAAGACUAGAAGUGAUCUUCAAAAGGAGGUUUUGACCGCAUUAUAUAAUGCUUCUGAGGAACCAGAAGAGGAGUCACCAAGAAGAACAGUACCAAGGAGGAAGCAGUUUGGAGCAUAUGGACAAUUAGUGAGUGAACCGUUCAAAGAUGUGGAUGCAGAGCGUGAGAAGCCUGUGGAAUACAAUGAUCAAAUUGAUUUGGAUGGUAACAUCGGAAUUAUCUUUUUAACAUCUAUUUAUGGGGUCUUAGAAGCUUGAGCAUUAGUUGUGAAUCCUGAUGAAAAUAGAUUAGCAAUGCCGAUUCUCGUACUUUCUGAACUCUUAAUAUUCGAUAUCUUAUUAUUCAAAAUUUCAAAUGAUUGAAGUUUCUUUCUAAGAGUAUCAUUGAUUGUAUGAGUAAUUCACCAAAAUUUACGAGUAUUCUAGUUUUUUUAGCUGAUUGCUUUCGGGAUUGGCACAUCAUAUCAUGACUAUAAUAUUUUAAAGAAAUCGGAGCUCCUUGGUAUUGCAUCAUUUUGCAUAACAAGCAGAUAAACAAAAAUAAAGUAGAUUGGUGGUGCAUAGAAAUGUUCUAGGGAAAGAGCUCCUACUGCACAGUUCAAGAAGUAUUGAAUAGUCCUGUCAUGUAAGAUCCGUUAGAAGAGUUGAGGAAAGUAAUGAUACUAGUUUGAGUUCAUUUCUAUAUGUUUUAAUCAGUAAUUUUGGCCAUCACAAUAUUUUUGAUCCACCACUACACUACAAAUUGCAGUUGAAGUUGAGGAUGAAGAAAAUAGCUACCAACUCCUUCGUAAAGCUGUUAGGGAGUAUCGUGGCACAAUGAAGGAAUAUUAUGCAGCGGUGGGUGAACUUCGUGCCUUGUUUUGACUUUUCCACUCUUGUUGUAAUCUGCCAUCAACUGAUUUCUCUGCGUCUUUCAAAUCACUUCUAAGAUGGAAAAAUUAAUUUGUUCAUAGGCCAUAGAUGCAUUUGCUAAAGGGGAUUCUGUUCGAGCAGCCAAACUCAUAGAUGAGGUAAUGGGGUAGUGUCUAUUUUUUUCUUAAAUAAAAAAAAAAAGAACAGGACUAUUUCAUUAAAACGAUAAGAUGUAAAAAAAUAUUUUGAAAGAAAUUACCUCCAAAAAUCUGAAGGACAAAGGAUUAUAGAGGAUUCUUCCCAUUCAUAGCUGUAUAAGAUACUGUAUAUUACAAAAGAAGGUAAUGGGGUAAUGUUUAUUAUCUAAAAUUACUUUAAGAUACCGUGUAAUAUGUAUAUGAUUCUGUGUUUCGAUGGUGUUUUUAAUCAAUUCUAUGGUCCUGUGUUUGCUUAAUGCUCAUUCCAUGCUCAUUCCACAAAUGAAGUGAAGCUACAAGUAUGCAAUAGUUUCCUUGGACAAACAAGAUGCACUAUUUUUUUCAACUUGGAAAAUGUAAUAGUAGUCCAUUACUGUAUACAAAAUGUUACCCUAACCUCGUAGAUUGGAAUGCAAACUCAUGUUCCUAUGAUGUGCAUGAGUAGGGGCACUUUUUUCACAAAAAAGCUCAAGAAGCAGACAAACAGUCAAACCAGUUAAUUUUUGAACCCAGGUUAGUGGUUAUGGUCUCUACAGAUAUGUUUUUCUCAAACUACAGUCUUUUAAAUGAUUGCAAUUCAAUUUCAGGCUCACUUUUUUUGUUUUGUUAAUGAGCAGGCAUGCAGAUACUGAAGAUGAUGAAAUGUUGCUUGAUUUGCAUGAUCUUGGUGGGAAGGAGGCAGUGAAAGUUUUAAAGUCCCAAAUUUCUUCACUCUCCGGGAUCCCAUGUGAGUUCCUCUUUUUUUUUUUUCCACUUGAUUUAUUUCUUUCCAGUCCAUAAUUGUAUUUUUUUCGUUGUCCACAUUAUAUAUUGAUACACUUUCCUUUCGUUUACUGAUCAGCAAUUAAACAUCUUAAAGUAAUCAUGGAGGCAGAUGAUAAAAAUACCUCAAAGCGGUCUUGUAGACGUUUGGUAAGAUCUUAACCUGGAAACAUUUUUCAGUCGUUUCUCCUUUUUUGUUCUGUUUUUUACUUUCUUCUCAGUGUUUGGUCAAGGAGGUGAUGAGACAUGAUAGGGAUGUUCGAACUUGCAGGUGGAAGUAAAAAAGAAAAAAAAAAAAAUCUAGUUAAAACAUGUACCUUUGAUCUAUAAGUUAGAGAUUCAAAUUUCUACUCCAUAUUACUGAAUUGUAACUUAACCCAUAUUUCAGGUAGGUUAUCUAUGGUCACUGCUCACCGAGUUGUGCUCAUACUAUGCAUCAUUUGCAUGCAUGGAUAAGCUAUUUACAUAAAAGCUUGAGAACUUGUCAAAUCAAAAUGAUAGUAUUGGUACAUGAUAUUGCUAACAUUUGACUGUUUACAGAAAAGCUUUAGUACUUGUCAAAUGAUAGCAUUUGUACAUCAUACUGCUCACAUUUGAUGCAAACUUUUGGAAUCUGAUUACAUUAUGAACUUCUAUCGGAACUCUACCUGUGUUGGAAUUUACUUAAUAUUUUUAUUGUCCUUUUAUGGAAAAGGUUAUGAAGCUGUUGGAGAAAGAGUCAAUCGAGUGGACCGAGGAAGAAAAUGGCAGUUACAUUCUAAUCCACUUGGAUACAAUUGAUCGAAAACGAUUAAGUUUUGUCAAAGGAGUGCAUUGAGAACAAAUGGACAACAAAAAAGUAGAGAAAAAGUCCACCUGGAUACUAUUGAUCGAAAAACAGUCAUCGAGUGGACUGUGGAAGAAAAUGGUAGUUACAUUCUAAUCUGUCUGGAUACCUUUAACCGAAAACGACUAAGUUUUGUCAAAUGAAAGAAUGCAUUGAGAACGAAUGGGCAGAAAAAAGAUAGAAAAAAAAUCAAUAGAACUCAAAACAAGAAAUUGUUUGAAGAUAAUUUACGAUGCAUCACAGAAGUAUACAUAUAUGUUUUUUUGGUGUAUGGAGCUCGAGAUUUGAUGCAGUAUCAUUGGGGGGAGAAACCUUGAAGACAAUUUGUAGUUCAAUUAUGUAUCAUCCCUCUAAGCCACUUUUUUUUGUGUAAAAUUCUGUUAUAUAUCAUCAAAUAGAACUCUAUUCAUCACAUCAAUAUUUUGGUAACGUGUCAAUAAUAAAAUUCUAUUAGAUUUAAUUAAAAUUCGUCGCAAGUAUAAGGGCAUAGUUAAAACAUUUAAAAGUUCAAAAAUUGAAAAGAAGAAUACCUGAAUUUAUAGAACAAAAUUAUCGUUUAACUAACUUUUCUAUGGUACUUAUUUUCUGGUGUAUGUUAUUAGCAUUCUGCAUUUUUUAAAUUUUCUAUUCUUUUGAAACAUAAAAAUGAGAGUUGAAUAUGUGUCAAAAGAAUGGAGAAUUUUUAAAAUAUAAUCACACACUCUACUUAAUCUUAUGUUUAUUAGAUUCUUUUUAACUAAUUAUUUAAAAAUUGAAUAGGACAUGGAUGGAAUUUUAGAGAAAGUCUGAUAAUUAAUUGAUAAAUUAAAACCCUUUUGAAAAUAUUUACAAAUAUGUUAGAAAUAUAUCUAUUCGUUGUUUCUUUUGUAAUUAUUAAAAUAAAUUUUACUAUGCUAUUUGAAUGUCUGUCUAUUUAAAUGAAAUCAAAAUAUUACAAUAUUUCAUUACAUAAUUUUGCUUUUCUCUUUUUAUAUCAAUAUAAAAAAAUAUAUUGAAAUUUCUUAUUUUUUUUUAUAUUAUAUAAUAAUAUUAUAUAAUGGGUUAUAGAAUAAUUUAUCGAAUAAUAAAGUUAUUUUUAGUUAUGUUAUAGAGGAUCUCCCCUAAGGGUUAAAUAUUGUGUUUUUUUAAUUAUUAAAAUAAAUUUUACUAUAUUUAUAAUUUUUGAACAAAUUUAUUAUAUUUGAACAACAACCGGUUUAGUUACCCACUUAUUUUACGUGGACUAAAUUAGAUGAUUUAAAAUAAUUUCAUGUAAUAUUAUCUACAAAUAUUCGAGUAUUUUUUUUUUCCCCACUCAUGUGGAAUUUAAUUUCAGCUUCGAAUUCAUUCUUUUCGCUUCAUAUGGCUUAGCUUUCUUUUUACGCGAUCAUUUUUCUAGAAUAAUCUAUAACUCCUUUUCCAUUUGACCAAAAGCCAAGCCGAGUCCACUAGCCGACGGCUUUAAGCGGCCACAGGUUCAACCAAAGUAUACGUGGCAUUUUAUCAGUGGGCAUAAUGACGUCAUCUAUAAUUCUCUCUAAUUUUGGAAAAAUAGUCCUAAUGUUUUUUCAAAUAAUUUGGACACCAUUUUGGAGCCCUAAUUUAAGAAAAAUUCUUCUUCAAGAAAAUAUUAUUAAUUUAAAAGGAAAAUUGAGAUCGUCUUCUAGGUUUUUUUUCUCGAUUGAAUUUCAGAGUGAAGUUUCGAUCAAUCCUCUCUCUGUGUGCUGCGGGUCAGGAAGAACAAUGAGCGGUUCUGUGAAGGACGUGAAAUCUAAGGCGGAGCUUGACGCACUGCUCCGGAGUGAUGCUUUGGUUAUUCUCCAUUUCUGGGCUUCAUGGUGUGAUGCUUCCAACCACAUGGACCAGGUCUUUUCACAUCUUGCUACCGAUUUUCCUCACGCUCAUUUCUUAAGGGUGGGUAUCUAUCCCCUUUUAGUAAUUAUUUCCGGUGAUCUUUAUUUGCCCGUGAGCUUCUAUUACUUCGAUUGUUCGUCUUCUUAGUUGUUCAUGGUGAUUAUAGGUUGAAGCUGAAGAGCAACCCGAAAUAUCGGAGGCUUACUCAGUUGCUGCCGUGCCUUACUUUGUUUUCAUCAAGGUCGGUUGAAGUAUUCUGUUUCAGUUUUCUUUGUAAUUCUAAUUCCAAGUUGGUUUUGUAUAUUAAUUUUUUACUUGACAAGUAUAGUUUUCAACGGAUACUCGAAUCAACGAUACUCUGGAGAGAUGGUAAUGGUUUGACGUUUUGAAUGUCUGAUCUUUGAACUUGACAUUGUAAUUUUCCGGGUUCCUUUCGAUGAUAAUGAAAUUGUAUUUCGGGGUUAGCUUGUAAACGAGUAGUUUCCAAUCUAUAGUCGGCCCAAUUGUAUUUAGUCAAGGGAUGGUAAUUGUUUUACGUUUGGGUAUUGAUCUUUGGUCUUGGCUAUGUAGCUUUCCUGGCUCACCAAUCUUACUAGGAAACACAUGGCCUCAUUGAUUUCUUUUAAAGCAAGAAAUUAACUUGAACUUUACUGGAAAAUUUUUAUCUUUUUUUUGAGAAUGAAUCGAAUUCAUCAUGUUUGACUAGAAAUGAAUAUCAACGGAAAAGAAAAGUAGAACUAGAACAGCUGAGGUCUGAGGAUAUGUGGUUGUAAUGGACUUUCAAGUAGUUGAUCAGUAAUUCUUACGCGGUGAUUCCUUGUGCUUUUCGGAAUUUCCUUUAACAUUUCUCUAUACCUUUUCUUUUCCACUGCACUAGAAACGACUUUGGGUGCAUUGUAGCAAGUGAAGGUUAAGGAUACUAUUCUAUAUUUCCAUCUUAAUCACCAAGAAAAUUAGAGACACUUAGAAUGUGUGGGCUUAAUGUCUCUCGUGGACAACAAAGCUAAUUGCAUUAUAGUUAAUUUCGUAUUUCAGGAUGGCAAGACUGUUGAUACCUUAGAGGGGGCUGAUCCAUCUAGCUUGGCUAAUAAAGUUGCUAAAGCUUCUGGUGCAAUCAAUACUGGAGAACCAGCAGCCCCAGCUAGCCUUGGGAUGGCUGCAGGACCCGCUAUUCUUGAAACAGUGAGAGAGUUGGCAAGGGACAACGGUUCUGUUACUGAAAGCAAGGUGCAACCUGGACUGAGUAGUGCUUUGCAGACGAAAAUUCAGCAGCUUAUUGACUCUAAUUCAGUUAUGUUAUUCAUGAAAGGAAGCCCCGAAGAACCAAGAUGUGGGUUUAGCAGAAAAGUUGUUGACAUUUUGAAGGAAGAAAAUGUGAAAUUUGGGAGUUUUGAUAUCUUAUCAGACAAUGAGAUUCGUGAGGGAUUGAAGAAGUUCUCUAAUUGGCCAACCUUUCCGCAGCUCUAUUGCAAAGGGGAUUUACUAGGUGGGUCUGACAUAGCCAUUGCAAUGCACGAGAGUGGUGAAUUAAAGGAAGUUUUCAGAGAUCAUGGCAUUGAGAACAUAGUUUCUGAUGAGGUAAAGACUGCCAAGCCCGAUAGGAAAGGUGGUAUUUCAGAGAACUCAGGCUUGAGUGAAGCUCUAGCCUCCCGUCUUAAAACACUAAUUAAUUCAAGUCCUGUUAUGCUGUUUAUGAAAGGAAAACCUGAUGAACCCAAAUGUGGGUUCAGUCACAAGGUUGUGGAAAUCCUUCGUGAAGAAAAUGUGAACUUUGAAACUUUUGAUAUCCUUUCUGAUGAUGAAGUCCGCCAAGGGAUCAAGGAUUAUUCAAACUGGUCCAGUUUCCCCCAACUAUAUAUCAAGGGUGAACUGGUUGGUGGAUCAGAUAUUGUUUUGCAGAUGCAGAGAAGUGGAGAACUUAGGAAAGUUUUAGAAAAUAAAGGAAUCAUCAAGAAAGACACUAUUGAAGAUCGUCUGAAAAAACUGACCACUUCUUCCCCAGUUAUGCUUUUUAUGAAGGGUAUACCAGAUGCUCCAAAAUGUGGUUUCAGCUCUAAGGUUGUUAAUGCCCUCAAGGAAGAGGGUAUUGAUUUUGGUUCAUUUGAUAUCUUAUCUGACGAAGAAGUGAGACAGGGAUUGAAAGUUUACUCAAAUUGGCCGACCUUCCCCCAACUUUAUUACAAAGGCGAUCUUAUAGGAGGCUGUGAUAUCGUGCUGGAGCUAAAAAGCAAUGGUGAACUAAAAGCCACUCUAUCUGAAUAGUAUCAACAUGAGCCUGCUUGGGGCGUGUCCACACCCAUUCACCUGUCUCACCUACAUCAAUCUAUUGAUAUUAUACUUUUUCUAAACUUUGCUUUUAUAGUUUUGAUUGAUUUUUGACCCGUCAAUGUGGUGUGGUCUUUUCUACUACAUGUAAAAGCAAGGGUUUUUCCCUGGUUACUGAUGAAUUUAAGUUAUAUUGUGUGUUGUUACCCGUUAGGCCGUUACCUGGCAACUAUGUUCAUAUUUUGUGGUUUCUUUAGUUGGAUUUUCAAUGACGAGAAAACUUGCAUUCUUUCUAAAAGGUGGGAUUAUAUUUCGGCUUGAGAAACUGGCUUGAAGCUUUCUUUUUUGACUUUUCUUCAUAGUAUCUGCAAAUGGAUGUCAUUAUAAUAGGAUUUGGGGUACAGGUUAAGAUUCAUAACUUAUGCUUGGGGAAGGGUUUGUUUGAAAAUUUAGACCUUUUGAAGAGAAGCUGUUCAAAAGAAUGAUGGUGAGAAUGAUUCUCUCACUUUCUCUCUAAAAGAAAAAUCAAUGGGGUAGGUGUUGUGGAGAAAGAAAAGGCGCUCGCCAGUUCUCUUUCGUCAUUUUCAAAGUCAAAAUCUCUUACUUUAUAGAAAAGUUGGAUUGAUUUUGCAUUGCAUUUUCGGACUUCUAAGAUCAGUAGGCCAAUAUAAACCAAAUUCUCUUGGAAAUUCUCUGGCAGCUUCUAGUAUUUUCAAAACUAAAAUCACGUGCGAUCUAUUUAGAUUUCCAUAAUCCGUUAACCAACGCCGUGUAACUAUUUGCAUUCAUACCCUCAUCUGUUUUCUAAGAACUGAAAGUAUUCUUUACUUUAGGUAGUUGAACUUGCGUAUUUCAAAUUUUUCUGUUGGUUAUUUGGUUAACUUUAUAUUAGUUUGGUAUUGUUGAAAUUGGUUAUUUGGUUAACUUUAUAUUAGUUUGGUAUUGUUGAAAUACUAUGUUACGUGUUUUUAGUUUGGUUUCUAUAUUCAACUUUAGUUCAUUACUUUGAUUUAUUUUGGUCUAUCUACCUCCGAAAUGUUUAUUUUUGUUCUUGCAUUUCAAAAAUAACAAUUUUAGUCUUUUUAUUUUCAUUUUUACUUUAAUAUUUUAAGGAUGAAAAUGACUAACUCUUCGACAGUUCAAGGACUAUUAUGAAGGAACAAAGUUAAAAAUAGAGUCAAAAGUCGUGUUGGUUUUAUAUAUUUAGUUAGACUAUCAUUAAACAAGUAUAAAAUGAUCUGUUUAAUUGUUCGUCUUCAUAUCUAACUUUUACAGAGCCAAAGUAAUGUCACAACUUCUUUAAAACUAACUGAGGACAGUGCUAACUCAACAUGGAGAGGAUGGAUAACCCAAAACUAAACUCUCAGAGCCGAUCCAUUUUUUUUUUGUACAAUAAAAAAACUCUUCGUAGGCUAUUUUUCAAUGCACCGACCUAGACAGUCAAGCAAUCUAAUAUGUAGUGCUUUGAAUUGGGCUAUUUGAGCCUGCAAUUCCAGCUUCUGUCUUCUUAAGUUAUUGUUUUCUUCCAUUAGUAACAGAUGAUCUCCAUUCUCCUGAUUAACCGCCAUUGUUGCACCUCCUUCAUGAGAAGAUCUUAGGAAGGCUGGAAACACACUUGGCUCACAUUUCUUACGUACAAUUUCCACCAACAUAUGCCUCUUUCCUCUCUGAAACUUCUCAUGCUUGAAUUCCCACCUUUUCGACGACGUUUUCUUGAACCCCUGCCUCCAAAAUAUCAAGAAUUAGAACGAAACCCGACCCAAAAAAUAAUGUUAAAUAGAUCAAAUAUAUCAUAAUCUAUCAACUCAACCGUCCCUUUCCGAAGUCUAUAGGCAUAUAAGCAUUCCAAAUUACAUCAAGAAAAUGGUCGGUUGGAUCUAAUCUAUAAUGAAAAACUCUUUUUUAAGAUGAUUUUGAGAAUAGAAAAAGAGAGAGAGAGAGAGGAUUACAUACGUAAGUAUUAAGCUGGCGAAUGAAGCUAGAGAAGUUAUUAUGCUUGAAGUACUUGGGCAAUAGAUGCUCAGAAAAAUCAGCAGGAGACCAAACAAUGAAACCACUUCCUUCUGCAUUCCAUGACACAGUCCUAUUUCCACCAUUCUUUUCUUCUUCUUCUUCUUCUUCUUCAUCUUCUUCUUGAUCUUGAUCAGCUUCCUCGAAAUGGAAGCUUCCAGCUUCUUCUAACAGAUCAUAAGUCUUUGAUAGAAAAGGAGCAGGGUUUCUGGUUCUUGAAGACUGCAUUAUUAAAUUAAUUUAAUGCUAAUUUUCAGACCCAAAAAUUUGUUCAAAGUUAAACAGCUUCUCUACUUAUAACCUUUUCCCCCCACCUGCAGCCAUUUGCUAGGAAGCUACCAGGUUCUAUAAAGGCUGGCCAGAUUUCUUUUGUCCUUUUUCCAAUUCUGCCUUUUUCUUCAAGUUUGUUUGGUGAUAUAAGCUGGACCCAUUGAAGUAAAUAUAUGUAAUUAAAGAAAAAACUUGUUCACAAAAUAGUUAUAAAAAUCGAACCUUUUUGCUUCUUCUAGUAAUAUCAGAAUACAUAGUAUAUCUAGCUAGAUUGUAGGGUUGAAAACACUCAAAAUCUAUGUUGGACUCUUCACAUUGAUCAAUGGUAUUGAUAAGUGUGGUACCUCAUGAAUAUGCUCCUACUCAAAAAUCAUAUUUGAUAUGGCGUGGUUGAGGAUCCAUCAGCUAAGGAGGGAGAUUUCAUCGACAAUUUUGACUAAUAAGAUAUACGACCUUGACAUCUAUGUCAAGAUGGUUAAGCAAAAAAUAAAAUUGGUCAUACGUUAUAUCUUGAUUUGCUCAUAAUAAUAACAUCAUUGUGUUUAGGAUUUAGUAUCACAUCGAUGUAAUAUCUUGCAAAUUACAUCAAUCCAAUUUGAUUUGCUCGACUAAAUUCAUUCACCAACAACUUUUUCUAGGAUUUGUUUUUACAUCAUAGAAAAUAUUGUCCCUGUUUUAGAUGAUGUGUGUUACAUUGUUUAGAGAGGAAAAUGAAAUUAUGAUAUGGUUUUUGGAAUAAAUAAUUAAAUAAAAUGAAAAGAAAAUUUUAGUUUUUUUUUUUCUAAAGAAAAAAGGAAGAAAAAAGAAAAUAAGUCAGUUGUUGAGGGAUAUUAUUUAGCAUAAUACAAAGUUGAAAAGUGACAUAAAAAUUUCAAAAGAAUGGCCGCGAAUUCUGACCUUUUCUUUCUCCUUCCUGCUUAGCUCUGCAUCCCAUGUGUGUCAUUUCAUUAAUAAUCAUUUAACUUUAAAGUGCACUUUAAAUUUUGUGUAAAAUUCAAUAUAUAUAUAUAUAUAUAACUAUAUGUAUACCUUUAUUAAUCCUAGAAAACUAUGUAAUUUAAAACUAGUUGCUUCAACAAUCACAUGUGAUUCAAAAAUUAGGGUAUUUUAGUUUCAAUCUAGAAGUUCCGUCAAGAUUAAAACUACAUUCAAAUUAACUUAAUGAUUUGAAUUAAUAAUGUUAUACAAACCCAAAGUUAGAUUGCAAUAAAAGAAUAGAGAGAUAUAACAAAAUUAAUUAAAUUAAGGAUAAAUUACAAAAAUCUUUCAUCAUGGACUAACACAAUUGCAAAUGUACUAAAAUUAGAAUUUCAAACUUUUAAUAACUAUAUAAAUUAGAUCUAUAAAUAGAAAAUUGAACCCUCACACUUGAAUAAAUAUUACAAUUUAUACAUUUAAGAAUUAAUUUGACCAAAAUUUAAUAUUUACAAAAGUUUGAGAACUAAAAUUUUAAAAUAAAAAAAUUAAUGAUAGAAUUGCAACUCCACAUCUCUACUUUAGGGUAAAUUUAUUUUGAAAUGGGGCGGGGGAGUGGAGUGGAGUGGAGUGGGGGCGGUGGGGGAAGAGAAUGAGUAGCAAUGACAUGCAACACCAAGUCACCAACUACCCACUCCAUGGUGGGAAAAGGGGAAGUGGAUUUUUGGGAUGUAAUGGACGGCCAUGAUUCUCCUCAACAACUUUAUUGGAUCAAAAGGAAGGGUGGGGAUGAUGCAUCGUGGAUAAUGUAGUAAAAAUGUUCAAUAAAGUUGGCUACAAGGAUGAUCCAUCAGAUCUGUGAAAUUAAAAUGUUGGAUCUUUUCUUAAACAAUGAUGGUACAAAGUUUUCCUUAAAAGAAAAAUUGAGAAAAUUAUUAUAUAAACUCUAAAUUUCUUUUAUUCACUAUUCAUAUCUUUAAUCUAAUUAUAUGACUGCGUGUAUUAGAUGUACUGUUUGUAAAUAAAUAAUUAUGAGAUAAAACUAUUUUCCACAAGCUACUCUAUUACAAUGACGAGAAAUAAAAGACACUUCAUGAACAUUAAUUUGUUGAAUUCAUGCUUGAAUUUCAUCGAAAAUCACUCCAAUGGAAUAGUACAACCUAUGAUUUGCUUGUAACUCAUACGGUUAUUUUCAACUUUUUCAUAUUAAUGGAAAAAUAUUCAAAACUCACCUUAUAAAAUAUAAACCUCCAAAUGAUACAAAGUUAUAAAAUUGUUCUCACAAUUAAAAUUUUUCAUCUUCUUUUUCUUUAUUUUUCUCUCUUGUUCUAUUUAUUUGUAGUAAUUUGGAAGUCCAAGACUCAUUCCGUGAAGGAAAAAUAUAUAAAAUUGCAAUUAAAUUUGUUAAAUGCUUUUGGAAGAACAAUUUAAUGGUGCAUUUUCUUUAUAAACUAGAACAACAUUUUAUAAAACAUAAAAAAAUGUAGAUUAAGAAUUUGAAUAUAAAAAAAGAUAAUAACUUAUCAUAUACUACAUUAUCUGUCGCACAAAGUAUACAUACUUCCAAUUUUUUACUUAAGAUAAAUAUAUUUAGUAAUUCUCUAGUCAUAUCAACUUCUAUUUUUUUUAAAGAAAAAAAAAACUUCAAAAAACGUGAAUUAACAACGACCAAAAUCUUCAUUGUUCACAAAGAUACCAAAUCCAGAUAAUUCAAGACCUAAUUGGUCUGCGUAGUUAUUGUCUAAAGGAAUUGAGGGCAAUUUUUUUAGAGAAAUUCAAUUGAAACUUCUUCGUUUUUUGUGUUUAUCAACAUAUUUGGACACAUCCAUUUUACAAAUUAAUUAUUUUAUAAAUAUCAAGUUGCUGUGGUGUAGUGGUUAUCACGUUAGUCUUACACACUAAAGGUCCCCAGUUCGAUCCUGGGCAGCAACAUUACAUUUCCCUUUAUUUUUCUUUUCAAAUAUCUUAUGGUCCAGUAUAUUUCGAAUCUAUUUUAAUAAUUUAACCUUUUUUUUCUUUUCCGUCCUAGGAGUUCAUGAUUGCAGCCUCACCAAUAAACAACCACAAGAUUCAAAAGUCAGAUUUAUAGAAAAUAUAGUGACUGAAAUUAUUCAUAUGGACCAAAAUGGUCACCAAAUAUAUAAUAAAAAUUACUCACAAAUGUUCAAAAAAUAAUUGCUUUUUAUACACAUCAAGUUGCUGUGGUGUAGUGGUUAUCACGUUAGUCUUACACACUAAAGGUCCCCAGUUCGAUCCUGGGCAGCAACACUUUCUUUUCCUUUUUCCCGAAAUUUCUUAUUCUCAUUGGGCCUAAAAUGAACUGGGCUCGUCUAUCUUCGGCUUAACAAUUUGAGCCGGCUUAAACAACAAAAGGUCCACCAUAGCUAAGUUGUGCUCAUCAUUUGGAUCGUAUACUUGAGCAGAAAAUUGGUCCUUUUCCUUCUCUUUGGGCCUAACAUGAAGUGGGCUUGGCUAUCUACGGCUCUACAAUUUGGGUCGGCUUAAACAACAAAAGGUCCACCAUAUUUGAGCAGAAAAUUGGUCUUUUUCCCCCAAAUUUUUUAUUCUUCUCAUUGGGCUUAAUGAAGUGGGCUCGGCUAUCUUCGGCUCCACAAUUUCGGCUGGCUUAAACAACAAAAGGUCCACCAUAGCACAUUGGGCUCAUUAUUUGGAUCGUAUACUUGAGCAGAAAAUUUGGUCUUUUUCCACGAAAUCCAAUUUCUUACCCCUCAUUGGGCCGAAAGAAAGUGGGCUCGCCUAUCUACGGCUCCAAAUAUUGGGCCGGCUUAAACAACGAAAGGUCCACCCAUAGCUACAUUGGACUCAUUAUUUGGAUCGUAUACUUGAUCAGAAAAUUGGAUCUUGAGUGAUGGUAAAAUGGUAUGGUAAAUUUUCUGUUUUAGUAAGUCUUGAAACAUUUUUCUCGAAAGUAAAAAAGUUAAUGUAACUUUUGGAAGAAUGGAAACAUUGUACAAAGUUUUGAGGUAAAUUAUCAUUUACCCAAAAGAAAUAGAAUCUCCUUUCAAAAUCCCAAAUUCCAACCAAACCAUGAAACAUUUUUCGUCUUCUCAAGAACUACUUCAAUUUUCAUCUAUUUUUUUCAAGGUUGGUUAUUCACGCUUCUCGUCUUCUUUUUGUGCUGAUCAUUUACGAACAAAAUCGGUAGUUUUAGAAAAGUAUAUGAAUUAAAAUUAAACAACUAAAAAUAUAAAGAUUAAAAUAAAAUAAAAUCUAAAAGUUGAUGAACUAAAACUAGAUAAUUAAAAAUAUAAAUACUAAAAUAAAAUGAAAUUUAAGUAUAUGAACGAAAUUGAAUUUUUAUUUUUCUUUUGCGGUGACCACAUGAAAUUUCUCAAUAUCUAUUUCCAUUUUCACCUAAUUCAUUUAAUUUUCAUUAUUCAUGCCUUUCAUGUUUUCACUUUCCGUUUAUUUACUAAGAAAAACGGUAUUAACAAAGUAUGCUAGUUUGGUGUUGACAAUUUUUAAGAAGAGAAAGUUGCAAACUUAGCAAUUAAAUUUAAAAUAAUUAAGUACAUAACAAUAUUUUUAAAAACUUACAAAUAUAGCAAAAAUUUUCAAAUUAUAUCAACUAUCGUUUUGCUAUAUUUACAAUUUUUUUUAAAUGUUGCUAUAUCCUUAAUUAUUAUUCCUCAAAUGGUCAUCUAUUACAAUUACCUUUUAAUAAAGAAAUUGAGAUGAAGAUAUAUUUAACAAAAAUAAUUUCAAAUUUAUUUUAGAAGGUACAAAUAAUAGAACGUAUAGAUUAUAUUAUAAGGUUGAAUAACAUGUAUAUAAAUAAAUACAUCAUAUAACUUGAAAGAAUGAUUGUGGACAUCUUUUAUAUGAAUAUUGAUGUUGAAAGUUCUUUUCUCCUUUCUCCAUCUAUGUAAUAUAAUAUUAACAUAUGAAUGAAUACAUUGCUAAAAUCUUUCAAUUACAUUAUAAUUUUUUUUAGCGUAUAACAAUCGUGGAAUAUAAAUAUAAACUCCCACCUACUUCUAAGGUGGAAUGUUACAUCAAUUAAGUUCAAUUUCAAUUGUUGCACAACAAUUGAAGUGGUACCAUAUUAUUUGAUUGGAUCAAGUAAGAGGUCCACAACAAUUGAAGUGGUACCAGAUUAUUUGAUUGGAUCAAGUAAGAGGUCCACGAGAGCACAUAACAACUAGUCGAUAACAUAAGAUAAACACAUAAAUAAAGAAAACGGCUUCUAAUUUGAGUAAUAAGAAUAAUAAGAACCACUAUGUAGGUAAUACAUAGCCAUUGGUUCAAUCUUACUACUAUAUUUUAUAAGUUGAACAUGUACAUAUAUUGAUUACCUAUGUAAAGUACUAAACGAGCCAGAAAAAGGUAAAAAAAAAGUGUGUAUAUAAGCAUAUUAGUUGUCCAUGAGCUAACUUCCAAAAGCCUAUACAGAGAAUACAAAGACAACAAAUAUCUUCUUUUUUUUCCUUUUGCUCUUUCUUCUUCCUUUCUUUCUUCUUGUCUUGAAAAUGGGGGUGUUUCCACGCAUACAAUAUCAUUAGAAGACAAGAACGCAUAGAAUUACACAGCAGAAGAGGAAAAUGGAGAUUCUGUUCAAUGACUUGUCUACCUGCAUUUCCUGUCUUCUCAGUCGGUUCCUACUGCUCCCUGUUAGCUGGUAAGAGUUACGGUAAGAGUAUAAGUUAUCCGAGUUCCCGAAGACCCUCGCAUGCACGAAAUCCCCGAUCAUUCCAACAACUGGAUGGUGAAAACUACUGAAUGAUGUUCUUGCAAGGUUUAGCAAAGGGGAUGCUGAAUCUUCUUCAUAAUUGGCAAAAAGAAGGGGGUCGUGGUUCGGUCGCUGAUAAGGAUUUCGAUAUGGAAGUUGCUGUUGGUGUGUGCUGGGAGUAGCAAGAAUCUGAUUACCACAAGCUGAAGGUCUAGGAGGUAUGUUAAUGUCAUGAUGCAUUGCUUUGUCUUCAGGCUCGACUUCCUCUGCCGUUUGGCCACGACCGUAAAGAGGAACCAUUGUGGUGUGGGAAAUAUCAGCCUUGCAAACAGGGCACUGCGGGUGCUCGUCAAUGGCAAGAGAGGCACUCUGGACGUGUAGCCAUUUAUAGAUGCAAGGCCAGCAGUAUAAGUGGCCACAGAGAGUAACCACAGGCUCAUGGGCAAAGUCUAAGCAAAUGUUACAAUCAAAACAACCCUUGUAGUUCUCUCGCUCUGUGCCAGAAACAUGUUUCCAUCCUUGCGCAAAGUACUGCUCAAAGGCCAUGGAUUUGUCAAGAAACUGCAGAUGCUUCCUGGUAAAGCACACGAUAACAAAUUAUAAGGAAAAUUUUCCCAUCUGAAAAGAUAUUGGUAAACAGUAAUUAAAAACAGAAUUUAAAGCUAAGUUUAUGGUUUGUGGGAAGAAAGUUAAAAACAAUUGAUCAUUACGGACUACCCAAAUAGAAGGUUGGUGGGACAUUUAAGAUACCUAAAACCCAAUUGGAAGUGACCAACCAUGUGACCGACUUUAUUUCAGAGUAGUUAGAUGCCUAAUUAACACAUCCUGCAAGAGUUUAAUUACUCAAGACCAACCACAAAAUGAACACAGAUAUGGAAGGAAGCAAGCUACUACUAGGUAAGAGAGGAUGGGUAAUAUCAAUAAAAUAGCAAACAGAUCAACCAAAUUAUUGAGUUGGGUAAAAUUCUAGAAUACUCACAGCCCCAUAAAAUCAAUCAGCCACAUGGCAAAUUCAAAUGCAAAGAGCUUUCAAUUGAUUAACUGAAUGUGUUUAGCUCUUAAAUUCUAUAGAAUAGCAAUGGUGAAACAAUGGCAAAAAACAGCUAUUGUAAUGAAUUAGCAAUUAAAGCAGUCAACUUAGAGCUAACCAUAGUAAUAAUACAUGUAAAGCAAGCAAUACCCAUACCCAAUGAUUGAAGAAAAUGACUACAUUAUUUACUCAUAUGCCCAAUGAAUAAAUACAGAAGAAGAGGACCUAAAUGUUAAAUCAUUGUUUAGCUAGUUUGCCAAGAAGAAAAGUGUAUUCCUGGCACAUUGUCCUCCUCAGUGUGCCCAUAUUCACAAUAUGCAGGCAGAAACGUACUCAUUUAUUAGAUACCCACUCCAGAAUCGUGAUACCUCUUAUCCCUUUCUCUUCCCCAUUCAAUAUUUAGGGGUCCAUCCACAAGAAAAAGUCAUAAAUGGAACUUCAAGUGGUAACUCCAGAAAACCAAAUCCUCUUCUAGUUUUCCUUAAAGAGCCCAAAAUCAAAUGGUUAGGAAUUUGCUGAACUCUAGACAUAUAAUGUGAUAAAUGCUGCACACAGCAGACAAGAAACAAGAGGAUAUCUCACUGCUUCAAAAUGCUUUCACACGAAAAAAAAAAAAAAAAAUACAGAAUUAAGAGGGAACAACUUUUCUCCUACGUGAAAAAAAUCUCUGCUGUUCUAAUUUUUAAUUUUAUGAUAGAUAUAUAAGAACAGAUCGUGUUAGCAAAUUGAAUCAAAUCGUCAGACCCAAAGGCUAAAUAAAUUACUCCCAGUGUGUGUUGCUCGGAUUAUUUUCCAUCGACCAGAAACAGAUAAAAGUGGUCGAUUACCUAACAAAGCUGUCAAUGAUGAAAAUUCAUCAACCAAAGCCGCAAGGAUCCAUAAGAAACCCUGCUCUUUCCAACCAUAGAAUGAGAACUCUAAUCAUAAAUACACAGUACAACCGGUAGGCCGAACAUUCAAAAGAAUUUCUAAUGAAACCACUGGUGUAUUCUCACAUACAUAAAAUUAUCAUACAACAGCCAAAUACAACACUCCCAAUUUUAAAAAAUUAAAAAGAAACACAGAGUGGGAAGAAAAAGAGCUAUAAACAGAAAACUUAUCCAGAAUGAAAGAUCCAGAAAACAAAAAUGCUACCAGAAAAUCUGAGAACGCGAUCGCUACAAUGAAACAUCGCAAACAAAUAGUAAGAAAUUAAGAACAAAAAUGGAUUAAUCAACAAAUGGAAAGAAGCGUGAAAACUUCCACCUCAACGAACACAAUCACAGGGAAAGGGAGCAAGAAUACAAAGAGAAAAGUAUUGAUGAAAGUUGAAAUUCAGUGGUUAACCUGGGACAGAGAUAGAGAGAAAAAACUGGUUGCAGAGAAUAGAGGGAAUGUUAAUGUAGAAAUGAAAAAGGUUGAGGAAGGAGAAGAAGACAGAACGGGAAACAGAGAUAAGAAGAAGUUUGAGUACGAGAGAUAAUGAUGGAGCGUAAAACGUCUCGUGAGAUUGGGGUUUUAUUGACGAACCUCCGUUUUCUUUAACAAUACUUAAUGGGCCCUACAUUUUGUGCUGACAUGGCAUAAUCUCAUAUCAUACCCUCUUUUUCCUUCUCUGCUUUUCUUGUUUCCUAACAACACAAUCACUUUUUUGGAGUUCUGUUAGCGUUUAGGAUACUUUUUGUUUUUAAAACUUUAAAAUUUGUUCUAAAUAAAUGCUCAAAAAAGUUAAAAUUAAAAUAAAGAUGAUAUUCAUUGUAGUAAUUGAUGGGUAAAAACUAAAAUAAAUAUGUAAUAUUCUUUAUAUUAUAUGUCGAAUGAACAUAAAAUGAUGUGUAAAUAUUAUUAUUUUGUAAUGUUAUGUGGCACGCAAAACUUUGGAGAAGCAAAUUUCUAUAGCUUUGCACUCUAGUUAUUGUGAAAAAAAAAGGUUAAAAUAAAGAUGGUAUUUUUUUUUAUAACAAAUUUCCUUAAAUGAAAUGAAACUUCUAGAAGCUUGGGGGCAUAAUUAAAAUAUACAAUAAAGUUUUUUGGUAUUUUAUAUAAUCAAUGUUUAACCCAUUGCCAAUUUUACAAAUUAUUUAAGUUAAAGAAAAAGUUUAAAUGCCAUUUUUGUUCACAUUUUAUUUUAGUUUUAAAUUUUUAAAUUGUUUAAUUUUAAUCCAUAUACUUUCAAUUAAUUUUAAAUUUAGUCCUUUAAAAUUAAUUUUAAACAACAUAGGCUAUGCUAUGCUAUUGACCAAAAUUGGGUGUAAUCUAAAGUAUAAUAAAGAGCACUAAACUAAAAUCAAAUGUAAUUAUUGUUAUUUUUGAAAAAAUCCAAUGUAACUCAAAAGAUAUAAAGAUAUCAAAUGAUAUAACACCAUAUAUUGGGAGGAAAAUAAUAAACAUUAACUGUUUCCAUUUAAUUGGUAAGGAAGUGAACUAAUUACGGGUUGAUGUUUUCAACACCAUUCAAUGUAGUUUAGUAUACUAAUUAUAGAUUCAAAAAAGUUAUAGUUACGUGUGUGUGUGUUUUUGUUCUUUAAAAAGACUAUCGAGGUAGAGGUAGCAGCCAAUAAGGGUGGUUGGAGGUUGACGAUAUAACGGUAGACUUUUGAAACAUUUAACUUUUUUUUUUAUAUUUUUAUCCAUAAGUACUUUUAUCAUACUUUAUCAAAUAAAUGAUUGAAAUAUCAAGGAUAGUGAGUUCGUUAUACAUUUGCAACAAGUUUAACCUAAUUUUGUAUUAACAAAUUAGAAUUAUGUUGUUUGAUAUAUAACCCUUAUUUUUAUCCUAUUGAAAUGAAAAUCAAUAUGAUUAUUAUCUCAAAAUUCAAUGCUUUCAUUCUUCGAGUACUCAGUAAAAAAAACACAUACACAUACAAUAAAUUAAUAAUUUAAAAUAAUACUUAUCAAAAGUUCGUUUGAAGUUGUAACUACUAAAAUUGGUGUUGUCCAUUAGUGAUUAAGGACAAAGGUGGUGAUGAUUAUUGAAGUUGGGUAGAGGUAGCCACCAAUGAUGGAGGUUGGAGGUUGUCAAUGGCGUAAUUGCUAUCGACCAUAGACAAAUUAACAACAAAGUCAUGACAACACAGUGAAAGUGAGGUAAAUGACUUUUGAGACACUUCGAUAAUUUUUCUUUAUAUUUUAUCCAUAAAUACUUUUACUCUACUUUAUCAAAUAAUUAAAUGAUUGAGAUAUUAUACUUGUUAAUGAUAAUGAGUAUGUUACGCAUGAAAGUUAUACCUUUGCAACAAGUUUAACCUAAUUUUUGUAAUAACGACAUCAUGUUGUUUGAUAUAUAAACCUUAUUUUUAUCCCAUAUAUAUUGACAUGAACAACUAAUACAUAUUUGUCAUCAAGUGCAAUGGAGAAUGCCUUCCUACAUUUUUAAAUUUAAUCUCAUAAGACUAAAAUAUUGUUCAUGUUCUUUUCUUAACUUAACCUCCUUGUUAUAUAUAUGAGUUAAUGUCUUCUUUCUUUCCUUUUUUUUUUUAUCUAAAUAGAAUACUCUUCUGACAGUUGUUUGCUUCUAGAAACUCUGAAAAGUACAAUCUUGAGUUGAUUUAAGUUCAAAUUACUGUUUCUGUUGAAUUAACAUUAGCUAGAAAAGAUAAAAAAAUCAAAAUUGUAAAGUGAUUUGUUCUGUUUGGAAGAAAACGAUGAUGCUAUAUAAUACUUUGAAUGAUAAAGAAAUCUAACCCAAAUAAAGACAUAUGUAUACAUCUGCAUAUUCAAAUUCACACAUUUUAUAUUAUUAUUGAACAAAAAUAAAAUUUCAGAAGUUAAUCGUCAGCUACAUUGGCUACAGGAUAAAUAAUAAUGAUUCUUUCUUUUAAAAAAAAAUAUUAAAUCAGAUUUAAAUUUAACCUAGCCCAAGCUAAUCAAAUUUCUCAAUUAGAAAAGUCUAGCUAGUUUGGGAUGUACUAACUCGUAUUAAUUAAUUUUUUAUGCACAUGUCGAAAUUUUCAUAUUUUCUAUAAACUUUGUAUUGAUACCGGAAUGAAUUGAUAUUUACAUAAUGAAACAUACAAAAUAAGCUAUAAAAAAAUAUCGUUAUUGUAAUAUUUUAAAUAUAAUAUAAACAAUAGAGGUUAAUUCCGUCGUGUUAUUUUCUAUUUUAAAAACUUUUUGUCAACCUUUAUUGAUAUAUUUUUCUUUUGUAAUUUGUAGAUUAAAAUUUUGAUAUUUUAUCGAUAUUAACAUUUUAAAUUUUUGUUAAAAUAUCUUGAUUAUGUUAUUUAUCAGUCCAAAUAACACACCUAUAAACCUUUAGGCAAAAAAAAUUGAAAAUAACUUAUAAUGCACCUACAAUUUAUCAUUGAAUUUUUUUUUAUAGGAUUUAAAAAAAUUAUUUUAAUAUAUUACGUAUUUAUUAUAUUUAAGAAAAACUAAUGGAAAAUUAAAAUAAAAAGUAGAGAUUGUUGGGUCCUUCUAAUUCAAAUGACCAUUAUCAUUAUUGCAAAAAGAACACCACAUGUGGGUCUAAUCUUAUCCUCUUGUUUGUACCAAAUUUGGUCGAAAGGAUAAUUUUCUUUUUUCUCGUUCUUUUAGAAGUUUGGAAUUUUGGUCACGCAUCCCAAAAUUUAAUGUUUGAAUUGAGAUAUUAAAAGAAUAAUAGUUUAAGUAUUACAUUAAUAUAUUAUACAUAUUGAGUUAUAUAUGAUGAAUGUUUCAUUAAAUAUAAUUUUGAAGGUAACAAGGAAGAUGAUUGUGGGGUUGGCACACCGAAGGCUAAAUUCUUUGAUUUUUAUUUGUAUUAUUUAAAUUACAUGAAGUUAUAAUAAAGUUUAUUUUAAAAUUAAUUGAAAUACUUAAUCUGCCGUCGUGAAAUGGUAUGGAUCAGUUGUUGUUCUAGAAGCAAUAUUUCAUAUUAUCUUCAAAUCAGCGAAUGAAAUAAAUAGUAUAUAAUAUUUCUAUUUUUUAAAAAAGAAAGGAAAAACAAUGACCGAUUGACAGCACAAAAAACAAAAUUUGAUAUAAAUAUCUUUUAACAAAUACAAAAAGAAUUUUUUAGUGGUUGGACCCACAACUUAAAGAGUUAAAUUAAAUAUGAAAAAUGAUGUUUUUUUGGUUGUAGAGUAUAUGAACAUUUUGGACAAAACAAAGAGUGAGUAAUGAACUUUCUUCUAUGGUUUUGGAAGGCAAGUCAUGUUCAUGUUAGUAUGAGUCUCGUUCUAUUGAGGAAUGGACAAGUAAAUCAGAGGAGACACUUAUGAAAAACCUACUCACUUGAUUGAAAAAUCUAUUAAGUUACUUAAGGUACUCUCUGUGUAUAUAGUUGAGAUGAUUCUAUAUGUCAACGUAAGUAUAAUACAUUAAAUAAAAAUGUUACAUAUCUUUCUAAGAGUCAAUGUCUACCAUUUUUAUUAAACUGAAAAAGUUACAUUUUCAUAUAUUCUAAAUAAUCUUAGGCUUGACUUGCAUGUUUGAAUUGCACAUAAGAUUACAGUAUGAAUUUGGUUAAUCUUAGGCUUGACUUGCAUGUGUGAAUUGCACAUAAGAUUACAGUAUGAAUUUGGUUAUUUUGAGUCUCAAUUUGAUCUUUUAUUAUUUGAUUAAUCAGAAUUCUACUAAACUAAAUAAAUGCAAAAAGAAUUAGUGAAUUGUUUUGAAUUGUAGGUUGGUUACAAUCACUACACUACUAAGUAUUAAAUAUUUCAACUAAUCAAACAUUUUAAAGGUAAAUUCACUAUUUGAUUUUGUAAAAUGAAAAUAAUCAUAAAGUGGAGGUGGCCACCUACUACAAUUUUUUAUAAUAGAAAGGAAGAAAAAAAAAGAGAGGAAUAUUUAAUAUUAUAAUAUUCUCUCACCACCAUUUCUUUUUGUCUCUAUAAAAUUAUAUAAAUUUUUCCAAAUUUGAAACCAACUUGACUUUAAGUCAAGAGAGUAAUACAAAAGCUAAUUAAAGCAAAUUAGAUAUAAAGAUUCGAUAAACUAGUCAUAUCAAACUUCUCAUCCACGUUACGAAUCAAAAUAAAAUUUCUUUAAGUUGCUCAUAAAUAAAACCUUGCUUAGUUCACAUGAAUCACAUGUACUUGAGAAAUUGGAAAGAUUAGAAAAAAUAAUGACAUUCUUCUUAUAUAUAGUCAUGGUUGAUUUCAUUGCAUCACAAGCUUAAACAAAUGAAUUUUAACUUAGGGAAGAUUUUAUUUCAAUGUUUGGUACAAAAUGAAUUUGAUGCUGAACAGCAAAGAUAUGGACAGUCCCACUUGAAAGGAAAAUGAAAGAAUAUUGAAUUUAAGAUGGUGCCUACUGCCUACCACAAUAAUUCAAACGUAAAGAAGAAUAUCAAAUCGCAAUAUUUAUCUGACCCAGUUUCAAUUUUGGAGAUCUUUUAUGUUGGCAAAUACUGAGCCCAACAACUUUAAGUCGAAACUAGAUAUUUUAUGUGGGCGUUGUACAAAAAAGCGGUGGGGGUAAAGUGUUUUUUUUUUUUUUUAUCAUUAAAUUUGACCAUAUAGUACAAAUUCGUGAGCAAAAAUGAUGAAAAUGGGGUGGGUAAAUCCAAUUUACUAACAUGAAGAUAUUCAAUGUCUGGCAGAAUAGAUUUCACCUACAUAAAGCACGUUAAAACUCAUUAUAUCUCGAUGAUUUAUCCUAGUAUGUGUUAAUCCGGAUAUUAUGCUGAAACAAAUAUGAUGUGAAGAAAACGGGUUUCUAUGGACAGCAGUGGGUAGGUCACCCAUACACGACCUAGCAAAUUGCUCUCUCUAUAAUGAAAGUAGAAGCACGGAGGACCUUUUGAUCUUGGGAUGAAUGUCUGCUCCAUUAAUGGAUUCCAUGGGUGGUUGGUUGAUCCAAUUUCGACCAACCCAUUACCGGGACCUUAAGGUGGCCACAUAUCUCACAAAACUAUGCUUCAACUAGUUCUAAUUUCUCAGGGGAUGUGUCGUCCCUGCCUCCAGCCUCCAAUGGCUAGCUUGCGAGUAAAUCGUCCAGUACAUGAGAGUUGACAAGAAGCUAUAGAAAGAAAUCAGGAUCCUUUCUUCUUUUGGUCUUUUAAUGGUUUGAUCUCCUUUGUGAACAUACGUGGUGCUAUUGCCAUGGCCAUAAGCUCUUGGAAGAGAAGCUUACAGGCAUAAGGGAUAUAUACCUGCAUGCAGCACCGGCGUAAAAUAAAUAAUAAAAUGAUAAACUGUGAGCAUGUAAAAAAGUAAAUGGAAUUUGUAUGGUAUUUAAACAUAUAUUGCAAAAAGAAGCUGGUCUAGAAAUUCACCUGAACGAUGUCAGUUUUGUUUUUGCAGCCCCUACAUUCGAAAGAACUCUUCUUGAGAUUUGCAAUGGCUAUCAAUCCACAACACUCACAGACAUGGAUCCUAUAAGCAUCACUUUGAUCGAACAACCUCUCCUUUAGAAAAUGAGCGGCACCAUGGGCAAUCAUGCAGUCACGCUCCAUCUCCCCAAAUCGGAGACCACCAUCACGUGACCGACCCUCAGCAGGUUGUCUCGUAAGGAUCUGCACAGGACCCCUUCCACGUGAAUGUAUUUUGUCAUCAACCAUAUGCUUCAGCCUUUGAUAGUAUGUUGGACCGAGGAAUAUCAUUGCUGAGAGCCGUCGGCCUGUAUGGCCAUUAUACAUGGUUUCAAAUCCACGCAUCUGAUAACCACACUUAUGCAGUGCCUUACUGAUGUUAUCCACCUGAUCAAACAAAUGACGUUGAUAAAUUAAAGUCUUCGAAACCAAACUCAGACUAUAUCAUAUGGAAAGAUGCCCUAAAACUGGCCUGGAGAAGAUGCGGUAAAAGCUUACUGGAAUAAUUUAGAAAGAGAUGUAGCGGAACAAAAGGAACGCUAAAAAAUACCCAUAUACACCAGAAUGCUAACUGAUAAUAGGGGUUUUAAGAACCAAUCCAUCACCAAAACUCUUAAGGACGGAAACACACAACUUACAGUGACAUCAGUAAAUGGGGUAGCAUCUCCUUCUUUUCCCAUGUGGGCUGCCACCUUCCCCAUGAUACACUCAAUAAGCUGACCAAUUGUCAUCCGAGAAGGAAUAGCAUGUGGAUUCACGAUAAUAUCAGGGGUGAUUCCUUCCACAGUCCAAGGCAUGUCUUCUUGUGUGUAAGUCAUUCCCACUGUUCCUUUUUGACCAUGUCGACUGCUGAACUUAUCCCCAAUCUGAGGUAUUCGAACAGAUCUCACCCUUACUUUCACGAAUCUCAAUCCAUCAGCAUUUGUGGUCAGUAGAACCUGCAGAAGACAAAUAAUUAUGCAUGGAGUCCAGAAGAUUAAUUGUAAGUUGCAUAAAUGUUAAGGUAAUCAUGCCGAUAACAGUUUCAAAAUGAACGAUAUUUUUAAACAAAUCAUACUUGAUCUACAAUCCCAUUUUCACUGUGACGUAAACUAAUGCUAUGAUCACGUCUUGAGUAACGUGCAGCUUGUCCCUGGGCUUCUUCCUGAGAGAUAGGAGUAGUCUUUCCAAUAAUGACGUCCUCACCUGAUACUCUGGUACCCUGGAGUACAACAGUACUACAAUCAAAUUUAAUGACACAAGACAAAUGCACCCCAACUAAACGCAAUUAGAGUGAAAGCAACAGUUCAAUCACUAAAAGACCAAAGAAAAUAGCCAAAGAAACAUGUAUAAGAGUUUUAUAAGCAUACAGGGGGUGCAAGACCAUCGUCAUCCAAUUUAUCAUAAGAGCCAUGCCUCAUACCCUGCAAAAGAAAUACUCAUGUUGCAGAUCAAAUGGUCAAGAAUUUUCAAAAAAAAGAACAUUAAUCCUGUCUGGCUGUGUAACACCCCAAAAAAAUUCAGGUAUUAUUUAGUUUAUUUUGGAGUUUUUGAGAAAUAAGUAUUAUUAAUUAGGAAAAAUAAAUAACAAUGAUUUAAUAUUAUUAUUUAUUUGUUAUUAAAGAAUAGAAAUGAUUUUGUCCAAUAUAUCAUAACUUCUUACCAUAGUAUUACUCCUGUCCGGCCGUCCAAAAUCUUCUUUUACAAGAGUUCCCAUUUUUUUCUCCUCAUCUCUGAAAAUGGACAGUGUAAAAGCAUAUUCAUUAAAAAAAUCCCGAAGUAGAUCCACGCAUACAAAGUUAAGGAACUGGGAGAAAUAAUAUUACCUGUAUGACCGGAAGAAAAGUGACCUAAAAAAUCCACGGUCAAUGGAAGAUUGAUUCAUGAUCACAGAGUCUUCCUGGUUAUAACCAGAGUAGCAAGCAAUGGCAACAAUGGCAUUCUAAGACAACAGAAACAAAACAGAAUGUGAAAAGAAAAUUAGCAAAACCAAGAGCAAAUCGAAAUUAAAAAAAAAAAAGUGUCUGUGUGUGGUGUGUAUAUUUCAAACGUACAAUGCCAGCUGGAAGUUGCCUGAAAUGAAGGUGCUCCAUAGCUCGAGUAGUCACAAGAGGUUUUUGCGGAUAAUACAAAACAUAGGCCAAAGUAUCCUAAAUAAAAAUAAAGAAAAUUAUUUGGUUAACUGGACAAUGGGGAAGAACCUUGAAUGAUGAAUCUACUUUAAAAGAAAAUAAAUCAUACCAUUCGAAAUUGGUAGUUGGUGACAUAAAUUCCCAUAGCUUGUUUACCCAUGGCAGAUUGAUACGUGUUACGUGGAGACUAAAUAUUCCACAAAUGGAUCAGUGAGAAAAAGACUUGAUAUAAAGCUAUAUUGCAAUGGCAAAACUGACAAACCUGGUUAUGGUCGGGAAAUGGAAUAAUUGAAGCACAAACACCCAAAAUCAAUGAUGGAUGGAUUUCACAGUGAGUGUAAGUGUCAGAAUAAGCCUCAACCGGGUUGAUCCUUGCUUGUAUAAGAUCCUGGUUUAUUUCAAAAGAAUUUUAAGUUUUUGUAAAUUACCGUCAGCCUAUCAAAUAGAUUUACUGUUUACUCACACUAAUUGUCAUGGAAAUCAUGGUAGUUUCCUCUUCUUCAGUGUCUAUGUAUUCAAUGAAUCCUUUUGCUACAAGAUCGUGCCAACCACCAUCUUCUGGAGAUUCCUGUUACAAGAAAUCAUAUACAAUGUUGGUAAUUCUUUUCAUUUUUCAACAGAACAAAAUUUUCAUUGAUAUAAUGAAAAAUUAGUACAGUUAGGAUCAGUGAGUACACCCAAGCACCUCAACUAGGUUGACACCACUUUAGAACUCACUAUCAUAUCUCAAUACAAAGAACGAUGUUGGUAUUAAAGAAAUAAGGAUAAAGAAAUACAACAAGGCUUUGUCACUCACCCUCUGCUGAAGAGCAUGGAUAUCCUUCUUCUUUAUGAGAAGCCUUUGUUUCUCAACAAUGAAUAAUGGACGGCUGCAACGGCCAUAAUCAGUAUAUAUCCGUAGUUCUUUCAAACGGAUAUCUCUAACAACUCCAACUUCAGUAUUUACAUCAACCUGGCACAAAAAUUAGAUGUAAUUAAUAUCCAUAAUGGGUCGAGGAGUAGAAAAUAAACACCCCAUCCAUUUAAGAGUUUGUAGAAACUCAAAUGUUAAAACAUUUUGACUUUACAAGAAUGUUCUAUCCUAAAAUAUCUACAGAAGGGGAAAAAAUUAGAUACUUACUCGUCUCCUCAGCCGUCUCAAAGUCUUCACCAACAUUUCAGGAUCUCGAUGGAUCCCAACCCAACAACCAUUGACAAAAAUUUUUGUAGCUUGAGGAAUGACAGCAGGAGAAAUUUCCUACAACCAACAGAAUUCGUUAGAUAAUAACCAAUAAAGGAGAGAGAAAAUGACAUACAAACAACACCAUCAUGACUUGGUAGGGAAAUUGACAUAAGGCACCUCGAAAUUCUCUGUGCCCCAUUCUUCCAAAAAUUCCAAAAUAGGGUAUGCUGCAGAUCCAACCGUAAUAUAGACCAUCAAUGCAAGAUUUUUUACCAGUCCACAUGCCUGAAGAAAAAUUCAGAUUGCAUCCAUAAGUGAACGAAUCAAUUCCCAAAAAUAGGUCACAUCAAGAAAUCUGUUAGCAAUAAUACUUGUCCUUCUGGCGUUUCAGCAGGACACAUCAUUCCCCAUUGUGAAUUAUGCAACUGUCGAGGCUUGGCCAAUUUACCUGGCAUAUGACAUAAACCAAAUUACAUAAAAGAAACCAACUGCUGCUACUACUAGAAGCAAAAUUUACGAAGGAGAAAAAGGCACCCGAUCCCCAUCAUUCCAUUCGGCAUAUAAAUAAAGCAAACAGAAGUAACAACAUAGGUUUUGUCACCUUCUCGUCCAAUGGGGGAAUUCAGCCUCCGUAAGUGAGACAAAGUUGAUGCAUAUGUCAAACGAUUUAACACCUAGAAUAUAUGCAACACCGUUACCUCCAUGAAGAAAAUAAAUAUUUCACAUUCGAAAUAAUGGGGAAAUUUUUUUUUUGUAGAUAUUUGUUACAAAUGAAAGAUCCAAAGGUCAAAAUUGAAUUAACUGGAUUGUCUUAUGAGAUAUUCUCCCACCUGUGAUACUCCAGCUCUUGUACCAGCUGCAUUUGCUUGCCCCCAGUUUCCAGUGGCAAGUGAAUAUUUCAGGCCACUAGUAAUGGUUUUCGCCUUGAUGGCAAAUUGCAAAUUGACGUCCUUUCCAUUAUCAACACACUGCACCAUGACACAUAUGCAAUGCAUAAGUCUACAAAGAAAGCAUAUUGCUAAAUGGAGGGGGAAAAACACAUUCCAACAAGACAACCUUUUGUACAUAACCUCUCACGUCUCUUGUUAACUUUCUAAAUAGCUGCAUUCAAACAAAUAAAAAGAUGAUGAGAAAAUCUCAAGAUAAAAAAAUUACAAAAAAAAAAAUCUCAAGAUAAAAAAGUACAACUUUUGCAACCAAAAAGUGAACUUCUAAAAAAGACAACCAUUCUGAACAAGCCUCCAAGUAAAGGACCAGCAAGGUCCAGUCGUUUGUUUCCAUAGUGAUCCCUGUCAUCUUCUGCUCUCCGGCCAAGGGCACAUAAGAGUAGCCGGUGAAUUAUAUAACUGCCACAUGUAAUGUCCAGUAAGAUCACUAAAGUACUCACAGCCAAAAUCAUAUUAGAGAUGGAAAGGAGAAGGGAAAAAAAAGUGCCAUACCCAAAAUAAUAUGCCUUCUUCGUCUCACAAAAUUCACCUACGCCAACAUGAGGAAGCAUUUCUUUUUGAAGGAUCUCCUUGGCAUACCUGAGGCAUCAACAUAAUAAGCAUGUUGAAAUGUGCUGCAAAGGCUUCAUGCAGAAUAUAAUGGGGAAAACCUAAAUAUAUUGAGAUAAUGCAUACUUAAUCCUCUUUUCCUUGGUCACACCAACUGUUGAUCCUCUCUUCCCAAUAUAGUCUAGUGCAACCUACGGUUAAGGAAAAGCAUAUCAACUGACCUGACAGUUACAAGAUACUGGGCAAAUAAAGAUUAUGAUAUGUAUAAUUCAUAUAUGUGUUUAUGUCGGUGUCUGUUUCAACAUGAAAGAGAAUUUUCUGAACAAAACGUGAGAGAGGGAGUUAGAUGGUAGACUUGUAGCAACUAAGAAAUCGAAGACCUGUUGAUUUUGGAUAACAAAAGCCUCUUCCAGGGAAGGCCGAAGCAACUCCAUCAUUUGAGUAUCAGAGAAGUCAUAACAUAUAUGCUCUAGAAUAUCUUUGUCAGCAACAAAUCCUAGAGCACGAAACACAAUUAUAAUUGGAAUCUCAUUUCUAAUGUAAGGCAGAGUGGCACGUAUGUACUGUCCUGAAGAACCCUGAAAUAACAUUGAUGAAUUGCAGAAAGAAUAAGUUAGAACAAUAUAUACUUCAUCAAGGAGGAAUAACUUCUAAAUCUUCAGAAUAUCAAGACAAGGACAUUACCCCCUUGGCACUAGUUCGAGAAAGCAUCCGUACAAACAUGGUACUGGGUGGUCUAUUUUGUGACUCAGCCAUAGACCGAACUUCUGCUACAAAGGCAUACUUGUUAGGCUGUCUUUUCUUGAAAACAUAUACAUGAUUUGUGCUCAUCUUCUCUUGUGCAAUAAGAACCUUCUCACUGCCAUUGAUGAUAAAAUAUCCUCCUUGGUCAUAUGGACACUCCCCGAGCUCAGUGAGAUCCUUCUCAGAAUUUUGAUACAGUGUGCAAUAACUCGAUCGGAGCAUGAUAGGAACCUAAAGAUAGUACAGGUCAAGGCUUGCAUAAAACAGUCAUUUUGUACAUUUGCUUUCCAUAAUAAUUUAGAAACAAACCUUCCCAAUAAAAACUUUUGUAAAAUCUUGGGUUUCAGUAACUUCUUCACCAUCAUGACCUUUCUUAAUGACUCUUUUUGAGACAUCCACGUACAAAGGCGCUGAGUAUGUUAAAUUCCUCAACCGUGCAGCCUUAGGAAAUAAGGUUGCAGUCUCUCCAUCAGAUUCGGUCAUCAUUGGCUUACUCAAGUAUAUCUGACCAAAGCUGAUCUUGUAUAUUGUCUAUACAUAAUACACAACCAUAUUAGAGCCACUGCAAUUGACACCUAGAAAGAACAUGAUUUUUAAAUUCAUCAAGAAUAGGAAUGGACAUGGUGGAUUCAAUCAAUAUUGACAUGAUGGAGGGGAAACAGACACAAGGAUUUUAAGGUUCCAUUAUCAACAUGGAGCAGUAAUGCAGUAUAACAAAAAUGCACUAACAAACCACAUAAAAUAUGCAUGGAACUUAUUCAGAUUGGGUUUCAAACAAGAUAUUAUUCACAUUCAACAGGUUACACACACAUAAUCCAAAAAAUAUAUACCUUUAUGACUCAAUGAAACAGAUUAUCAAUCUAAAAAAUGCAAAUCUAAUUUGAAUGAGAGGGCGGAAAAUGAAGUUAAACAGUGAUUACCAUUCUAAAACUCAAGUUUUUGACUCUUUUCUAUAAAUUAAAACCAUCAAACCUAAAGAUGACACAGAAAAUAAAAUUUAAGGGGUUGUUUGAAGGCCCGUAGUGGAAUGAGUUUGUAAUGUAAUGUAAUGAAAUCCAAAGUCCAUGUUUGAUUUAGUGCUUUUGACCCGAUUAGUAGUACCAUACUCAUUCCGUUCUCACAGUUUUCAACUCAAUCCUCCUUCCAACCAGUUUCACACUUUACAAUCUCAUUUACGUUCAGCCCUCGAUUCCACAUCUAUUCCAACACCCCUUAGAUUUUGAGUAGUCCUGACUACCUUUCAACUUCCUAACAGCCCCUAAGUGACUUGAGGGACGUUCUUAUAAAUGAAAAGUGGCUUGAGAGCAGUUCAAUUAUUUAGUUUGAAAACAAUAGUAUGUUAAUGAAAAGUAGAAAAGAGUUUUUUAUGUAUCAACACAUUUGGCAGGCUGACUUCUUUAUGCAUCAUUUGGCAGGCUGAGUGAUUUACAUGACAGGAAAUAAAAAGCUUACUUUUCACAACUAUAAAUAUUACCUUACAUGGCAUUUUUCGAAAUUCACCCAAACAACCUUACGAUUUUUUCGAAACGCUAGUGGUCGAGCACUUAAACUGGAUGAUAGGGAAAAACAAUUUGAAAAACAAUUUCAUCCCCUAUGUUUACCUUUAGUUUCAAUGUCAUUACCCACAAGUUAAAAAGAGUGCAACAUGACAAUUUGUUUGCAAGUGUGGCAAAUAAAAUCUACGAUGUGAUAUUUAGGGUUUAGCAAGUUGUGUUGGUUGGAAAUAGUUGGGGCGUCGAGGAAAGCUGAAAUCUGUAACACUGAAUUAAACCAGAGGUUCAAAUAUCUACUGAAAAUAUAACUUACCCUAAACAAAAGGAAAACUAAAACGGUAGGAAUUGACCAGUAUUUUCCAAGAGAAUUAACUUGGCGGCACUAAAACUUCAAUCAUUUCCUUUCACUAACAAACUUGUCGAGUAAAAUAAGCCAUUGGUAGUCGUUUUCAAGUGAAGUUCAUACAGAGAGUAAAAAAUUCUCAGGAAAGCGUACCUCAGCAACAUCCGACUGGUGGCCGGGAUUGUGCUGUGACUCGGGGCGAAUCUCAAUGUCUGCAGACUCGUCCACGAUUUCCUGCAUAGUAUUCUGAAUAAACUCAUCGAAGGAAUCCAGCUGCUGCCGGACCAACCCUUUCUCUUCAAAAUAUGCUGAAAUUACUGCCCAAGCAUCUUCCUGUGUGAUCUCUUCUUCGUCGUCAGGGAUAGCCUGGUCCAUAUCAUCGUCGUCAUUCAUAUUCCGAUCAUACUCUUCGUAAUCCUCCAUUUUCGUGAGGGUAACGGAGGAAGUGUGGUUUCUAGGAAAUGAACCUCGCGCGAGCUCGAAUGACCUUACGCGUCCCAAAUUUACCGGUUCUGUUCUAUUUAAAGAUGAAUCAAGUAUUUGAACUAAACUAUCGGUCUUUAGGCCCAUCUCUUUAGAUGUUCACGGCCCAUGUCUUGAUUUUUCUUUUGUAAGAAAUUACCAGAAAAUUUAACGCACAUUUGUAUAUAUAUAUAUAUAACAAAUAAAUUCAAAAUAAUUAUUUCUAAAAUUUUAUCUAAUAUUUUCAAAAGAAAAAUUAUAGAAAAUAGAAAAAUCAAUAAAAAAACUGAAGUGUAAAGAAAAUUUUCUUUUAGGGGUUUUUUCUGUAGUGUAAGUAGUGUUUUUCUAUUUUUUUAAAAAAAAUCAUCUCAAUGUUGUUUUAAAUACCAAAUUUAAAAAAUAUAUAUUUGUAAAUAUAGCAGUGUUGAUUGGCCAACAAAUAAUAAUAAGAGGUAUAUUAAUAUAAAAUAAAUACUACAACAAGAUAGGCACAGGAGCUUUGAAAAAAUGAAAAAUAAUAGAUCAAAUGUAGAAAUUUUAUUAUUAUUAUUUAAAGAAACAUACUUGUAAAAUAGAAUUGUAUAAUAUAUAGUAAGUCUUGGUAGCAAUUUAAGAAGUCUGGAUAAUUUUAAAAAUUGUUCAACGUUACUUUAGUGACAAGUUUAUAAACUACAAAACAAUAAUAAUUCCUAAAUAUUUUGUUGAAUUAUAUAAUAAACAGCGAUAAUUAUUAUAUAAAUUUUGUAUUAGUCAACAUUCUUUAAAUUUCUAGAUUUUACGAACCCUAGUUUAGGAGGAAACUUAGCCUGUGGGUAAGUGGAUUAUUACUGUGAUGUUUGUAUUUGCUAUCUUCAAUGCCAACCUAAAAUAAUAUGCACUAAAAAAAUAUAAUAUUAUAACUAAACUCAUCAAGGAUAAAAUAGAAUACUAUAACUAACUCAUUAAUACUAUAACUCAAACUCAAACUAUUGCUCAAACUCAUGGAUGAUAAUCAACUCACUGCCUUCAACAUCUUCAAGAAUUUGAAAUUUGAAUAAGAAACUACGUCUCCAUCAACCACAGGAGGGCUUUAGUCUUUGCUUCCAGAUCCUAAUUAGCACCAACCAUAUUUUAUUUCAAUUCUUACCAUCCUUGGGAGAAACCGAUAGAACUAAAUAACCAUAGACACUUGUGGAUUUAGUUUAGACUUAAGGAAGCUCAAACCACCUUCAAUUUUAUUCUCUUUAUAAAUAAAUAAACAAACAAAAAUAGUAACGACUAUAAGCUCCAUUCUUUGCUUGUUAACAAAUUUUAUGGAUCCACCACUGACCAACGGACGAGUAAAUGAAAUUUUUCAAACAUAAUACAUCAGUUCACAGGACCUUGUAUUCAAGUAAAGAAAUCUUAAUAUAGCCUCAAUCCAUGCAUUUGCCGUCUGGGGCAAGUUCAUAAACAAUUAGUGUAAUCUUCACACCAAUAGAAGUACUGUUUCUUAUUUCACAUAUUAUAUCAGCAAACUACACUCUAUGUACAUAAAACACCACAAGCUUUCACACUAGUGCUAGGUGACAAUAUAUUAGAGACAUAUCAGUAUUUCACAUGGUACACACUUAACUUUAUUUAUAAACAUUGGUUGGGUAUGAUGUUUUUUUAGAUAUUUAUUUGUGAGAGAGUUUACAGAAUGAGACCAUUUUCUGCCUCCAUAAAUUGGCUGCAGUCAAAUCCCUUACUUGAAAACGUCUUGAUGAGUCUUGGAAAGAUCUUAGCAAGCAUAAUUUUGAAUCCAGUAGAACUUUGGUCCGGAUUUUCGGGUUUUGUUGUUCCACACUGAUAGUCACUUCCUACUGGAGUUCCUUCCAUGUAUGCUCUACAGGCUGCUAGAAUGUGCUGAUAACGUCUCCUGAAGUGUUCCUCCACAAGUGCCUCAAAGUGCUGCAACAGGAGAAAUAACAUUUUGGAUGAAGUUAUAAAUCACAAAGGACUUUAGCAAUCCUACUUUUGAUUUUAUCCAAUGAUUCAAAUUAUAUCAUAGAAAAGGAACUAGCAAGAGAAAUUGUUGCGCCAUCAAGAUCUUUUCUGGCACAUUCAUAUGCCACCACAUGACAUAAUUAGUUUGUGUACACCAGUAUGAUUGCUUGACCCUCAAAAAUGAUCAAUUCUCAUUCAAUUGCCAAAAUUUGGAAAGUAGAGAUAGCUAUUAUACCUUAGGGGAUUUGCUUAGCAAGUACAUCAUAGAUUUGCAGGUAACAAGAAAUGCAUUCUCGUUGUAGCUCGCGGAGUUCCUCUCUCCCUCAGCUCUUCCUAAUUGAGCAUCAUAUCCUGCCUCGUUAUAAUAUGGCUUCUCAUUAAGCACGAGAGCCUGAAGGGAAAGAAGAACUUGAAGUAUAGUAGAACUCCCAGGAUUCCACACUUCAGAGCCGCUGCCUGUCCAAGUGUUUAGAAGACUUAAACAGACCCUGCCAGAUUCAUACAAGUUUGGGUUGACACGAAGCCCACCAGAUAUGUAAUGCACUAGCUGCAAAAGAUAUGAAGGAACUUAACAAGAGCCUAAGACUUACAAGAGAAAUUUAAAUACAUUUUCCAGUUUAAAAAAUUCUCGACAAGGGGGCUGAAAUUUUGGAAAAUAUUCCCCUAUGUAUGUGAUAAAGAGAGAAGGUGCCAAUCAAUAGAAACGUUGUGCACGGAGCACCUAACAUUGUAGAAAAAUAUUUAAUUGGAAGUACAAAGAAAUUGAUUUAUCUGAGGGAUUAUUAAAAUCAUGGGAACUUGUAAAAUGCAGAACUUAAUGAGAAAGCUUACGGGUGGUAUUUGAGGGUACUCUGGAGGAAGAUAAAUGUCAAAGAAGAAAAGGCCAUCAUGGUACGGUGUUCCAGGUGCACCAAUAAUGACAGCUCGAAUAAGAUCCAUUCUCUCCUCAAAGACACGAACAUAGACAGUUUCUACAAAGAUUUUUCUCAUUCAGUUGGACAGUUGCAUGCUAUCUUCAUAGAGCCAUAAGAAUAAAUGAUUGAAACUAUGGGUCCGUUUGGAUUGAAAAAAAAUGUUUUUCAAGCAAUUCAUUUUUGUUUAAACUCUUUUUCCUAAAAAAUGUUUAAAAUACACUUAAAAAACUUAAAAAUCUAAUUUGAGUGGCGUUCAAACACUUUAGUUUUUUUACAAAAUAACUUAUUUGUUAAAUAAACACUUGAAAAUGUAAUUCAAACACACCAUAAAUUAAAGAAGAAAAAAUGCUAACCAGGAAGAUUAUUUUUAAGAAUGCUCCAUUCUUGUUGGACCUUCUUUAGCCAUCUUCUACUUGCCUAUGAAAAACCAGAAGGAAUAUGAAAGGGUCAUCUUGACUGCUGCAAUAAAAUGACAGGCCUAAGAUUCUAAGGUAUGCUGCUGACCUGAGAUAGCAUAGGUCCUUUUCCUGAUGAAAGAAAAUGAUGGUCUGGGCAGUCACUGGCCAUGUCAAACUGUGUAAGUAGGUCGUAGUUCUCACUUGAGGUUGAAAAUGUUAAAUCUUCAUUCUUGUGAAUUUCUUCAAUGUCUAAACUUGUCUCACCAAAAUUGUGUAAUUUAGCUAUUUGUGACAUCUCAGUAGACUGGCUGCAAGUUUGCAGCACUUCUUUCUCGCAGAGUAAAUUAAUUUCAUCCCCACCUUCAAAUGAUUGAAGGGCUGUAAAAGUGCCUGAUAAAAUUGUUGAUCGAACUGAUCCAAACAGUGUCGUAAAAAUAUUAGAGAAAAAUUCAACCGCAGCUCGAGAAAAGAAGCAAGUAGUAUCCCUUUUGAAAUUUUUACUAGCACCAUCACAAUUUGGCAUAUCCUGAGCACAAAAGAUGUAUUCAUCAUUUAGCUUAAAAUGAACUGAAAACAGAUGAACAAAAUAAUAGAAAAACUCAACAAUAGAACGAUAGAUUUAAAGAGGGGUUAACUGAAAUAGUUGCGAAGUCUUAAAAUGAAAGGUACAAAUAUGUCGACCAGACUUUGGAAGUACUGGAAAUGGCUUUACCUUUCCUUUCUGGAUAUUAUAUGGUUUCAAAGGCUCAAUCUGCUCUAGUCUCGACUCUUCAAGGUUUUCACCAUUAGGUACAGCGAUUGGAGAAACUUCAUACUUAUCAAUGGAGAAAAUCUCUUGAGGUGAAACCUACAAUCAAGUGCAAGGGAACUAAUAUGAUUACAGCAGCCACCUCAAUAAAAUCUUAUGCAUGGAUAAAUCAUUACAACCAAAAGGACCUUCAUGGAUCAAACUAAAAACUAAUGCAAAUUAUUAGUGAAAACUUCAAAUUUUAUUGAUUAAAAUUCGUAAAUGAUAAAAAAAAUGCUAAAUGAUGGUGCAAUUUCUUAAGACAGUUGCUAUUGGACCUAGAAAGUGAUUCCCUUAACGAAGCCUAUUAUCUGGUGAAGGAACUAACCAUUCAAAGCAAACAAGAUAGAGUAUUACAGCUAUUUCGAAUAAUGCUACAAAUGAAUUUAUGGAUCCUUGGUCCCUGCUACAUGUAUGAUGAAACAGUGGAACAUACUGAGAUUGCAAAAAGAGUAGAGACAUUAACUAAAAUGAAUACCAUGCUUAUAGAACAAUUAGCCCAUUUGACCUCCACAGCACCAUCUUUAAAGCCAGUAACAUUACCAAUGAAGGAUAGGAAGUUGUCCAUAAUCAUGUUAUUAUUGAUGAUGCGAUUCCCCUCGUUCUGAGCAGACUCAUUCAUGGAGAUUUCAGAAAUUAUAUUAUUUUCAUCAGAUUGACUGGCAAACUUAUCCAAUGCCAACCUAAACACAAUAUCUCCAAGAGAGAAGGAAUAAUCUGGGUGCUCAACCAGUUCGUAUGCACUCAUUGUUUCCUCCACCAACAAUCCAUCCAGAUUGCUACCCUCACUCAAAUCAUCAGUUCUCAAUUGAACCUUGACAGUUCUUUCCUUUGCAUCAACAGCCUGUACAACACCCCAUCUUUGAUUUACAGACAUGCUUGAAUCAUCACAAUUGCCCUUCUCCAUAACAAACUGUUGAGGCCAAAAUUCAUGAGCAUUUGUAGCAUUUGCUGGAGUUAAACAAGGGGAAUCUAAUGCUGUGGAGCGGCUACCAUCCUGCCAUAGCACAUCAACUUUAGUUUUUUUCUUCACGAUGACACAGAUAUCCUGAAAGCCUGUUCCACGAUAUCCGCCAUUCAUCAAGUCAUGAGUAGUAAUGAACUUUUCACCAAAAUAAUUGUUUUUCUCAUCCCCAGGAAAAAUACACCAAUCACCAAGAUUCCAAUUUGCAUGAGAAAAGCACGACAACAAAGUCAAUUCCUUAGCAUGUUGCAUACGUGGGGGAGCCGUUAAACUAGAAGAACAACCCAUCAAAACUGAGGCAAGCCAAUCAACAUACACUAGUCCUGCCUCCACAGAACAGACUGUUCCUUCACAACGGUCAUCUUUCCAACCAGAUAACCAUCCAGGUGGUUUGGAAACAUUUGAGAACCGUACUCUUUGUCCAGGGUAAUAAGGGUACUGUGAAUCAUCGAGUACAUCAACAGAUAUAGGUAAGAGCUUCUCUUGGUCCACAGCAAUGAUUUCACACUUGUUCCCAUCAUCAAAAAGAACACUGACAGAAUCAAUAACCUUGUCUACUCUUCCAAUCCAUGGCCCAUUAACAACGACAUCUCCAGCAGAAAUGGAACGGAUUUUUAAUAGAUCUUUAGAAUUAACAUUUUUUAUUAUGGGACCACUGUUUUUCUCCAAAUCAACAAGCAUGUCAAUACCAACAACCUUUCCCAUCUGUCCAUAAGGAUCAUUCACAAAACAGACUGCAUCUCCAAGCAGGAAUUCCCUCUCAAAGGAAAGGAACUCGUCAAUUUUUCCAAUUGUUUCCUCUAAGCUUGAUAAAAUGCAACUAGUUUGGCCAUGAUAAUAUUCAGCUUCCUCUAGGUCAUCGCUGCUAUCACACUCACUGGAAUUCUCCCAAUCCGAGUCACUUAGAAACAGGUCCAUCAAUAGAAUGUCUAUACAGCAUAACAUCACAAAAUACUAUGUUAAUAACAUGUCUACAAACUCAAAUAAAGAUGAAAAAAAAUUAUAAGAAAAAAUACCUCAAAGUGACCUCCAAGUAAAGCCUCAGUUUUAAAACCAGAGUUUGAAUCUUCUCGCGCUUCUUUGCCUAAACUUUUAGCAACAGCACUUCCUUGGGUAAUUUAUAACUUCACAGUGAGCACCAAUUCCUGAAAAUUAGAUAUGGAGAACAUAUCAUUCAGAUUAUGUCAUUGAAUUGAGAAGUAUCACACAAGAAGAAAAUUAUCUUCCAUGUUUUUCUGCAUUACAGUAAUUUUGUCAGCUUUGAAUCGUAACAUUUUAAGCAGAAGCGCUGAAUUGCUCUUAAAGAGCAUCAUCAACCAAAAAAAAAUGUGUGGAAGGAACAGGGAAGGUCGAAUAUAGAAGGUACCAUUCAAUUACCACUUCUUUCGUUAAAUCUUCCAACUCCUGGGUAGGAUCCAAAAGUAAAUUGAUUUGUGUAGCACGACUAACCAGAGAUUGAAUAUAAAGCUGAAGCAAAAGAAAUUGAUGAUUGUAACAAUUGGCUAUAUCUAACUGCCAAAUGAGCAAUUUUCAGUAAGUAUAAAAAUGUCAUACCUGAAUGAAUCAAUAUCCACAUUAGGAUACCUUCCCUCACAGAAGCAGAGCAGAUUGCAAAGAAGAUUUGCAAAGGGAUAAACUGAGUCAACAAGGACCCAAAUGCCAAAGGAGAUUUGCCCACUAAAGAUGGACUGAAGUUUCAAGCAGAGGAAACUUCUGAAAAUAGUUUCCAGAACUGUUGAAGAAUCAAGAAGCAGCAAAACUGCCAAAUAAAGACUUCUCCUUGUUGUUCUGGAACAAAGACGGAUGAUAACUAAGGAGGUUUUCUUUAAUUUUCAAGUUGACUGCAUCAACCACAAGAACCUAUUUGCCAAAGGAGAUUUGCCCAACCCGGAGAAAGCUUCAGAAUAAUUAAUAAUGCAGAAAAUCUAACAGAAGUAUGAAACUACUCUGAGAGCCCAAUUCUUAUGCCAAAGGAAAUUUGCCCAAAAACGAUUUUUUUUUCGCCGAGUUGAUCGGCAGUCAUUCAGAUUUUUCCCACAGAAGGAUGCUAAUCAAUGUUCAUCAAGAAUCCCAAAGAAAAUAACCCAUCCACCACACAUAUCCAGCAGCUUGAUCUAGAAUGGAGAAGCCACAUGUUGCUUGAUUACUUCACGAUAACUAUGUCAUCAAUUAUCCAUGGAAUCGACAGCCCAACAAAUCUAUUGCAUUCCCUUUUCACCUGCAACACGGUUAGUAUUAGUAAUAUCCUUUUAAAAACUGAUGAAGAGAGAAUUAGCAUAUUGAUUAGAAGCCACUGCUUUUGGUUGUUCAAGUACCAGUACGUAAAAUUAUUCCUCAAACAGAUAGAGAAGAAAAUAAUAUAUCCAUAUGUACCGAACGAACUGCACUUAUUACUUUUGGCAUUUACUAACCACUACUUCCUAUAACGGCGAAUGACAUGGACAGACGUACGAAAUAGAAUUUGGAUGUGAUAUUCUCUAGAGAAAAAGAACAAAACUCAGCGUUCAAUCAUGGAAGAAGAAAAGGUCAAAAUACUCAGUUAAAAAAAAACCAUCAUCAUUCUAACGAUUUCAAUGCGUUUCCCAAAGAUUUGUACGGAAUACUUCAGGAAACAAACAAGUGUGACUGCACACUCCAUCAACAAAAUUCCAAAUGAAAAAGCCAAGAAAGACGCGAAAAAAACAAUAAACUCAAAAUGAGAAAAGUAUCUCUCAACAUAAACGAAAACUAAUAUCCGGAUCCUUGAGAAUACCGCAGAUGAUAAGUUCAGAAGAAGGAAAAAAGGAGGCUAAAUGCUUCAACUCCAUAAGAUAAAUACAUAGCAUGCAAAAUAAGAAGAAGAAAAUGAAAACCAUAGACAAAGUAAGGUGGCUGUCGAACUUCAUAUAUACCUCUGAGAAUUUUUCAUGUAUGGCCAAAGGAACUUCCGGAAUAAAGCGAAAGGAAGACACCAGAAAAUUGAAGGAACUCAACGGAAAACAUAAUUCACAGUCACGGCCAGAAAAAUCACCUUCUACCAAACGAAAAAAGCACAGGGAAAGGAGAAACGGAAGAGGAAGAAUUCAGGAAGAUGAAGUCGCAGUGAUAAAAACCCGGGUAUUGGCACCAUUUAGGAGGGUGGAAGUCAUUGCAGAGUUUGCUUCUCUUUUUCUUUCCCUCUGCCGCUCGGUUGAAGGUGGCGCGUGGAGGAUCCACUACCAAAUUGCUUAAUAUUAAGACCCUUCAAUAAAAAGAUACCCAACAGAAUAUGCCAAAAAGAUCUCUCGAAUAAAGUUGGAUGGAAUUUAACAAGUUUCUUCCUUUAUAUUUUAUUAUUUCAAUAGUAAUGCUCACGAAUACAACAAAAACAAUAAAACUAUUUAUAAAAUAUAUCAAAAUGAUUGGAUAGUAAUUUUGUUAUAUUUUAUAGACAAUUUCACUCCAGUUUUAUUUUUUAUAAUGUAUCAAAAUUUUGCUCAAUUUGAAAAAAUGACACAACUAUACCAUUUGCCACGACUUUCUUCACUCCAUUUGUUUAGUUUAUUCUCCUCACCCAUCUUCCUAUCUCUUUCCAAUUAGAGUCUUUUGUGGCACAGAUAUAUAAUACAAUUAUGUGAUUUAGAUAAUUCUGAUAUUUAAGAUUAGAUUAGUUUGUUAUUUAAUCAAAUAAUAAUGCAUGGAGUUUAAAAUUCAGGGUUUAGUAUUUGACUCUGUCUCACUAAGUUAGUAGGUUGACAUAAAUAGGGUCCUAUGUAUCUUAUUACAUAAGGUGGUCAACCCCAUAAUAAAGUUCAAAUUAGUAUCUAAACAUCAGACUUUGAUUGGAACAAUUGUGGUUUUGAUAUAUAUUUUUAAAAUUAUUAAAUCAAAACCCACAUGAACAUGGUAUAUAACUCUUUUUUAUCAAAAAUGAGUUUAAGGUUGUAAAAUUAAACUUAAGUAGAUUUAAAAUGAUUAUAGAUAUGUUUUAAGAUUUUUUUUAAAUAUUGCACAGUUGAUCUUCAUCAUCUCAAAAUCACUUUCUAAUAUGCAAAAUAUCAUAUCUAAAAUUUAAAGUAUUUUUGUUUAGUGAUUCAAUAACGAAAUCUUAUAGUUCCGUACAAGUCUAUAGUUGUUGACUUGUAAUUGAAACAAAAAGUGAUGAGAUAGAUAAAAGAAGAAAUUAUUUUUGUUGCGUAGAGAAUCCAUACAAAAAAAGAAGAUUAGAUGUAGAAAAGAAAAAUUAGUUUUUAAUUUGAUAAGUUGAAGAAUCUCAACUAUGAACACUAUGAUCGCUAUUACAUUAUAUAUAUAUAUAUGAUAACAAUCGUUAUCAUAACUUAAUAUUGGGUAGAUAGGAAUAAUUCAACACGAUUACAAAAAGGGAAGAAUAAUGUGUUAGGGCAUGCUGAUAUUCUGAUAUUUAGGCAGUUUGGCCUACUAAUUAGAAUCUUCUGAUGCCUAUUCUAAACUUUUAUUACUGUUUUUUUUUUUCUUUCGCUUUUAUGUUUUCUUAAAAAGGAAAAAGAUAAGGAGAAAAUAUUGCUUAUAGUUUAGAAAGAGAAAUUUGAAGGAAUAAACUUAAAAGAAAACAAGUUUAAGGGUGUGGAAUAAGUUAUCCAGUAUUUAAUUUUAAAAUUAAGUCAUUUCAAAACAAAUUAGGAUGUAUAAAAAUAUAUUUUGAAAGUAUCUUAAGUCAUUUUUAUCAAAAUAGUUUAAAUAAAAUUGAGUUUUUAAAAGAAAAACAUUGUUUUUUUUAAAAAAAUCAACCCAAACAUACUUUUGAGAAUUUAAAAAUAAAAAUUAAUCUUGAAAGAAAAAAUUACUACAUUGAAAGAAAAUUAGAAACGAUAAUUCAUAAGUUUUUUUUAAGACAAAUUUAGUCAGAGAAGGGUUGAGAGUGAUGCGAAAGAGAAGAAAAAUAGUGUUAGGUGAAAAAAAUUAGAAGUCAGUUUCUAAAAGUACUUUUUUUAGUCAAAAAAAAUCUGCUUGACCAUACAGUUUUAGAAAGUAUUUUAAAAACAAGGAACAUAAUUAGUUAUCAAUCCAACUUCAUUACUACACAAUUACAAAAAUAAAAUAAAAUAAUUCCAUUUUAUAACAAAAUUUUAAUUUUAAGUUUGGAAAUGGAAUGUUUGCAAACAAAAAAAAUUAAGAUAUUAAAACCCACACACUACCUUUCUUAAAACAAAUAGUCCUCUUGUAUAUCUAAUUACUUAAAUUUACAUGUCAUAUGAAAAAAAAAAAAGUUAUAAAUUGAUUUUUUCUAAAUUUUAUGAUGCAAUUUUUCUUUCGAAAAUGGUGAUGGUUUCCCUGCUGACUACAAUUUCAUGUUUUUUAAUUUAAUCGUUUUUAUUAAUCGGCCGUACUUUUAGCCAAAUUCUAAAAACAAAAUAAUAAAACCUUAAUGACCAUAUUUGUAGUUAUCCAAACUCGAUUUGGUUUUUUUAAAAUAUUGUUAUAAAUUAAAUAACAAAGCAAAUAAAUGAAUGAAAGUAAUAGUAUUUAUAUUAAACAUCAAAGUUAGUUACUACACGAAAUGUAACUCUGAUUACCAAAUUACAUGAGUAAACAAUAACACCAAUCUGAUUCUAAAUAUUGCAAACAUAUUAAUUUUUGUUCUUAUCAAUUCAUUAAAAUGAAAAAUAUAUAUUUGUGAUAUGAAAUCUUCCCAAAGCAAUUGGUUUUAUGGAUGACACGUAUGCCAAUGUGGUACACUUAUGAUAGUAAAUCAUCUUGUUCUCACUAUUAGAAUAACUUUGUCUUACUAUGAGCCUAAAAUCACGUUACAGCAUUUUUUGAUUUGAAACAUGCACAAUGAUUUCGUUUAGAUUUUACACAAUGUUUCAUAACAACAAAUAUAUACUGAAUGUCCAUGAUCUACUAUAUUCCUACACAAUGUAGACUUGCAUUAAUGUCAUAUCAAUUUCAACUCACAGUCACUAAAUUGAUAAAAGAAAAGAACUUUUAGGAUAUUAUUUUAUCAACGAAAUGAAAUGAGGUCCAUUCCAAAAGCAAGUCUUGAAGUGCAUAUUUGACCUUGCAAUCAUAGAUAUGAUAUCUCACAUCCUUCUCCAAAGGAAAAUUUUUAGUUUUUCUUUUUAAAAAAUUCGGAUAAGCUUAAAAGCAAAAUCAAGAAGCAGAUGAUGGUGACAAACAGAGGACAAAGCAACACGAUGCAUUGGCAUUUGCUCCCACUUGUUUUAUUAUUUUAUGAACUUCACCGUUCCCUUUUCACUUUUUUGGGUGGAUUUCAAUGUGAUCUUUGUUUGUUGUACCUUUUCUCAAUGUUGUGGCUCAAAAUCCAUCUGCUCCCAGAUUCUAGUGAUCCUUUGGAAAAAAAAGAAACCCACAACUCUGCCACGUUUCGUCUGUAAACAAGAGAGGUAAAUUUUUUAACAAAUUAAUAGAUAAGUACAGCGAAUCCAUGAAAAGGAAUAAAAAAUAUAACUUGAUUUAACCCAAAAGUAAGAAUGGAUCAAGACCUCAAACUCAUACCAGAGUCAGAAAUGUUGAGAGAAGUUUUCUCAAUCAUUACAAUUCCCAAUCUUCACAAUCUUGACAGUCAAAAGUUCAAAGUUCUUCUCUUUCCUUCUCCUUUAAAUAGGUUUUUAAAAAGUUGUCCCACAAAGCAAGUUAAUUAUUCCAUUUCCACAUAUGAGAAAGCUUGAACUUCCCUGCUGUUUUACUUUUGUGUUCACCCAACUUCUAUGAGACAGGCUUCUCUUCCUUAAAAGAGGAGUUGUCAAAGUAAAUUGAACUUUGGAAAGUAGUUUGGGAGUAAAAGUGUCCAGCUUCUUUUUGUCUGCCAAAUCUUCAGUGUUUUCCCAGCUAUGGUUAUUUCCUGACAUUAGAACCUUCAAAAUUUAACACUAACAUGGUUUGUACUUUAUCUCUCGCCUCCAAAAGCUGCAAUAAAGCUAUAUCAUACAAAAUUUGUGGAAAAUAUUGGGUUGUUGGUAUCUAUGGGACAGCACAAGUUUGCACGACAUAGACCAAUUGUCAAGUUACAGAUCACUUGCAACUCUUUCUUUUAUUAAAAGAAAAAGAAAGAAAAAAAAGGUCUUCCAUCAGGAAUUUGAUUUUCCUUCUCAUGUGUUGGUUGGACUAUUCACCUCCGAUUUGCAAAUCCAUUUUCAGGCAUCUAUCUUGGAAAGAAGAGAUAAUGGUUGCUCGCAUAGGAUAGCAGAACAUAGACCAAUGUCAAUCCACUAUACAUGACCCAUCAGAAAUAUUAAAUCAUCUCUAAUUCUAAAAGCUCUUAAUUGAUCAAUAAUAAUCAUAUUAAUUUGAUUCAAGAAAUUCAAGAUAAUUUAAUGUAAACUCGAAAUAAAAUAGUAUUAUAAUAUUUGAACUAACCUUUUGAUCAAAAUCGAGUGUAUAGCUCAAGCACACAUUGCUUUUAUGUUGACCUACAGCUUGGUUUGUUACUAUAAUAAAUAACCAUUAAACCUAAAUGCCUAAACCCAUAAACUAGUCAUAAUCAAGUGGCAAGCAUUUAACAAAAAUAAAAAGGAAAAAAAUUGCUGUUGCGGUGCCGACCAACUUGGCGUAAUUAAGAAAGUAACUAGUGGAGGGACUAUUGAGAGGAAGAACAGUGUUUGAGGCAAAACACUACUUUAAAUCAAAGUGGAAAUCGUGCAAAGUAGUGAGGUGGGAUAUUAAGUAUAAAGAAGAAGAAAAAAUUCUCUAAGUGGCAAAUAAAGUGACUCCAUUUAAAUCCACUUUUUUUUCAAAGUGGAUCAAUAAGUUUCAAGCAAUUAAAGAACUCCAAGCCUUCCAGGCCAAUACACUCUCCCAUGGGAAUUUUUUAAUGCACUUUCAAUUUUGAUACAGGACAAUCAAAGUUUACAUGUCCAAUGAGUUUUAAUCUUGAUACAAAGCAAUCAAAGUUUACAUCUCCAAAUGAGUUUUAAUCUUGAUACAAAGCAAUCAAAGUUUACAUGUCCAAUGAGUUUUAAUCUUGAUACAAAGCAAUCAAAGUUUACAUGUCCAAUCUUAUUCUAUCGAGAAGUUCCAACAGGACUAUGGUGGCCAGAUCAUCAUAAUUAAAUCUUUAUUCUUGGCUGUAAAUCAUUCAACUUAACACCACUAAAGUGCUUUAUCGAGUUGUUUUGAUGGUCAACUCAACAACUAAUUAAUGGCAUCAAAUUUGGGUUUGGAGUUUUACGAUUGGAGACAUGAGUUCAAAUAGCAUAUCUAUUUCUCAGUCUCUAAUUACUUUUCUUUAGUAUAGUAAUAUUUGAACCAUCUAUUUCCAGAAUGAAAGGUUGAGUCAAUUAUUAUUAAACUAAGUUUGUUUUGGCUCCACGUCUUUAAUUGCUCUCAUCUCUUUCCACUGUAAUCUUAACUAUCGUGUCUGGAAUAAGAAUAAAAUUGAUACAAAAUGACAAACAUUCGAGCUUUUGAAUGACAACACAUAACUUAACCAGUUGAGUUACGUCAAGGUUCCAAUGAUUAACAUCUAAAUAAUGCUGUUCAUUAUUUUUUUCAAGCAUAUGUCACAAAGGCUUCAACUCAAGUAGUAUAUGCUUGGCUUAUUCUUCCUCUUAUAUUGACGUGGACUUGAUCAAUGGAAGUCUAACAAUACAUACAUCAAACCAUUUCCAGAUUAUACAUGUAUUUUAACCAAAUAAACAUAAUAUACUAUACAAAACUUUUAGAGAGGAACCUCUAGAUAUCAUGGGAUUGGUGACAUCUUAACUAAUAAAGUGGCGAAUAACAAAAGGGGCGGUUGUGGAAAAAUGGAAAAUUCGGUGUGUGUGUAUACUAUGUGUAUAUAUGAAGUCUGGAGCCAUUAGUCAACUGAAGAGACAAACUACUGUGUCGAUUGCUUGGUCCAUUGAGUUUAUUUUAAAGUGAGAACUUUUGGUUUAAUUGCCCUUUCCUGUUGGAGUUGGAGAUGAUGAGGAUGUAUUGCUCUUUCCAUUAUCUUUUAACCCGACCUUUUCAAUUUCAAAACCAUGUCCUCUCCAUUUACCAAAAAUUCAUAGUUCCAUCGCUUCCAAAUAAUCAAUAAGUUACUUAAAUAUUCAAGGAUAAUAAUUAUGAAUAAUAAUCCGGAGAAAUAUGAUAUAGCAGUCGGGUAAAUAUGUUUCCCUGGGUUUGGAAGGAUUUCAGAAAUUUAUGAUAUGGAACUAUGAGAUCUGCAUUGUUUCUUUCCAAAAUAUCUUGGCAGUUGAAUUUAUGUACGGUUGAAGGGUUUGAGAUGUUUUUGUUUGUAGAGUAUGUGCUCUGAUUGUCCAAAAGAAGAAAUUGUAGAGACUAAGUCAUAUUGUAGAUCGUAGUUUGUAAAAGGUAAAUUCAAAAGCUUGAGUUUAUAAAGCUUAUGAGAAUAACAAGCUAAUGAAAAUAAAACAUGCUUGCCCACUAAGUGCAACUCGACUUUCAUAUUCCACGCUAAAAAAGCUCAAUCCACUAGCCUAACAACUCUAAAAACUAGUUAAGAUGACCAAUGCCACUAACGGAUUAACUGAAUGUCGCAGUUCCUUCGAAUCUAAAUAUCAAAGUUCAGCCUAAAGAGAGAACCAAGUGGCAAAACAUAAAUCUAAAAAAGAUGCUACCAGGAACUUUGUCUAACAAACCCAAAAGUACCUUUCCCUGUUCCUUGUGCUCAACGUUUCAACGUAUCCGUCCCACUUAAGUGGACUACCUUUUUAAAGCUUCCCACUUUCCAGAUGGGAUUCUCUCCAAAGUCCACAUUGUCUCUUAAAUCUCCCCAAAUUCAGUUUUCUCACGUUAAUAAUUUAGUCUCAUUCGCUGUAACGGAAUCACUUUCACUCACUCAAAUCAAUUUAAACAACAUCGAUUAGCCUACUUUCAAUCAGCUUACACUUCACCAAAUGGAACUUUUUUGGUUUUAAAUUCUUGAUGCGGGUCCCACCCUACUACUCCACGGAGAGAUUCAUACAACGCAUUCCCCAAUGUCGGAUUCGAGAGACAGCUAGCUCAUUUUUUUAAAAUUUCAUCAACGGCUUUCAACCUAGGUCUGAAUUUCUUCCCAAGUAUCCUAAACCCUUACCCCAAGGCUGCCCAAAAUGGCUUUUCAGAAACGGCACAUUCUCUAUGCGCAAUCAUCACCGUCAGCUUUAUUAAUUCCCACAACAAUGCAACAUAUCUCUCAAGAAAGGUCAUAACACAACUUCGUAAAGGCGAUCAUUCAGGCCCUAAAAUUGGAAAUUGAAAAUAAGAAUCUCAAUGAUUUCAGCCAACGGUGUCUGUGUGGGAAAAUAAAUGGCGAAGGUGGAAAGGUGCUUACCUACACUAGAAAACUAAUUGGUCUUAAAAGGUCACAGUUCAUACAAGAUGAGAGAAUUGUUACUAUACAUACUUAAGAACUAGGGAGCACCAAAAGAAAGCUUCUUCAUGAGAAUGGAAUACAGACUAGCUCAGUCCUAUUACCAAAGGGAUUGUCAUUCCACAGUUCCUUUUAAGCAGCAAAUGCUUACCAGCCAUUUUCCAAAUAUGUAACAAAAUCUCCAGACUAGAAUUUAUAUCAUUUGAUAUCAUGUUUCUUUCGAUAUUUUUUAAUAUCGCAUCAGGAUAUCUUUUGUAUCUAGUUGUAUUACCUUAACCAAUCUUAACAUGAGAGUUAUGAUAAUAUGAACCUGGAUGUCCUCGCUUUACCCCAUAACCAUUCAAGCACUCAAGAGUCAACCAACUAAGAUUGACUUUAAUCCCCAUAAAUAAACAGCCACGAAUUCAAUUAAAAAGGUCCAAGGAAAGAAAAUUGAACAAAAACUUUGUACUUUCUAUCUAAACGAAGAAAAUAGAGGAUUAUUUUGUGAAGAUUUGUUCCUGUUAGGCCACUUAUGUUUCGGUCAAAUAUAAGAUAUUGAUUAGAUUUGCUAUUUUAUUGUUUAGUUGAGUUAUUUGGGAAGUUAUGUAUUUUUUAGUUAGGGGCAUGAUGAUCUUGUGUCUAUUUCGCUGAGUAGAAUAGUUUUAGUUUGCGAUACAACGGUCUUUUACAUCAUAUUAUUGGCUUUUGGAAUGAAAUCCUUUGGCCUGAUGGUUGAACAGCUUCGUAAAUAUUUUUGCAAAUUUUAAUCUAGGGUUGCAUGGUUUGAGCAUUCAUAUAAGUAUAGUCAACUUGUUUGUGGAGUGUUCAAAAACCUUGAGCAAUAAAUCGAUCCUCCCCACCUCCUAUUCUUCAAUCAUAACUCACAAGGUAAUCUUCUCUAAUUCUCCCUUCAAGUUGUCCCAACUGAUAUUCGGGAGUUUUAGUAAUUGAUAACGAGGAGUCCCCAGAACAAAAGGCUUUUAAUUUCAAAUGGUUAGGCUUUCAUAUCACAUGGCUAAGACUGCAAGGUUAGUAGUCGUCCAUGCAUAAAAAACUAUGUUAGAAAAGAUCGUUUAAAUUUACAUUGCUAAUAGACAACGAGUUACUAUUCUUACAUGUUCCUCGCCAACGGCUUGGGCAGCUUCUGCAUCUGCAGGGUUAGUCUAUCUACAAUCGUUUGGUUAGGUAAUAGGUAGAGCCUAACCAACAAAACGUAGAUGAACAUCAACUGCAAUAACAAAAAGUGAAACUUCUUAAAAGCAUAUUCAAAUAAAAUACAAAGGAGAACGUCAGUUGGCAAUUUAAGGGUGAGAAAAUACAACCCCAGAUUACCGAAGUCCCUCUCGAGAUGUGAAUUAAGUUUAAUCAUGGAAGUGAAUAACAAUAAACGUGGAUAAAUAAACGAAACAGAUCCAAGUGAACCGAGGUGCAAAAUAUUCCUCAAACUCAUACACUGGACACUAGAGAAGCAGUUCAUAAUACGACCCUACACAAAAGCAAUAUUGCACACAGAAAUUAGAAUUACCAUGAGAUAAAUUUAAGUGAAGCUGCGACUUUCAAUAAAUGAAAGAAUAAUCAUCACAUUUAGGUGCAUUUUAGACUAAACUAUCCAUAAGCAGUUCUAUGAUCCAACAUUAACCUUUUUUACCUUCGGUAACUGAAUUGAAAAAACUGGCCGUGGAAUGUUUAACCUACAUAGGACCACUUAAAAAAAAUACAACAUUGUUUGAACUGUUACGGUACCUCAACUUAUAUCGAUAAGUUAACAUUUUAGAGCUUAAGUAACUUGAUGGAAGAGUCAAAGCCGUGCGGAAUGUUUAUGCCCAUUGAAAAGGUAGAAUCGUGUGGAAUGCCCAUUGAAAAAGUAAAGCCGUGUUGAAUCCUUAUGCUGAAUAAGACAACAUAAAAACGCAGCAGACUUGUAACUUAUGACACAGAAGCAAUGCAAGAACAGAAGGAAUGCAAGUCAAUACUUGAUUAUGGAUUAUGUCACGCAGUUUAAAUUUCAAUGUUUGCUUCUUGAAGCUCCAUCUAAACCAUCUCCUGCACGCCACCGAACCUUUUACUUGGUGGAAAGAGGAACUUUUUUUUUUUUUAUACCUUUGCAAAAAAAAAAAAAAAAGAGGAACUCUUGUUUUUUUUUUUGGGUGAGAAGCUUGUUUCAAAGUACCAAGUAUCUAAUAAAUUUGAAAAAGCUCGGAACAAAAGGACUACAUGGAGCAGAACCAAAAGUCAUGAUGGAAAUUGUAAAUUACGGGGAAGGGGAAAAAACCGAUUGAAGGAAUAUAUAGGAGCGAUCACCUCAGCGCUCACCUCAGCGCUCACCUCAAAGAAUUUUUGUAUGUCAAUACAAACGCAUUUUCCAUGGCUGAACUUGAAACCGCCAAGAAGUUAAAACUGAGUUGCAAGAACAACCAAAAGAAAAUGUGCAUUGAUGAUAAAUGUCAAUGGUAUCCACUUUCACCAAUUUAAGAAUCUAAUUAUGAAAGGUUGUAAACCUGACAGCAGCCAGACAACACUCGUAAGGCUUAAGAACCCGCUGACACACACGCUAUGUCAACAUUUUUUGAGAUCGCGUUGAUGCAAGGAACAAAAAAUUCUUAGGUCCUACAUCCAUUUAAUUAAAGAACGAAUAAUGUCUUAGAGCAAAUACUCUUCUUUCCCUGAGCCUGCAGUAUUGCGUAAAACGCUAAGUGUUUCGUUCGAAGCUUCCUAAUUCUCCCCAGAAAAUCGAGUUUGCAUCUCAUAUGAUGGCUAAUCAAAUUAGAAAAAUGUUGAAUGACGACCAAUUUUUCUUUCCGUAAUCUUUCCUUUGAAAGAUUAGAUUCUUGUAAAUUUACCAUUGGAAAGAUGACUGCCAACUUAGAAGAGAUAUUAUGUGAUGCUACUUCAAUUUUCAAAUGCAUAGGAACACCUAGUCAGUACCUGCUUCAGGGAUCGAUCAUUAAAUAAAUAUGGGACCCGGCAGUGGGAGAACUGAUCAAGUUACGACUAGAUCACCGCAAUUCAAAGACACAGAGGAGCAGCAGUGACUGGGUUGCUCAAUAAUUAGAAAAUUCGCGAAUUUUCCAUGACUGGUAGCAGAUUAGCUCAUAAAUCCGAUGAAGUCUCAGUAACAGCUAGAAUUCUCGAGAUGAAGAUUAUGAAUGAAAAUUAUCACCAAUAAUCAAGACAAGAACAUGAACCAUCUUUGAAGUGGUGAAAACGAAAUUUAUCCCUAACAAUUAUUUCUCUAUCAGCAAUAAUAGAGAUGUGUUUAAUAGCUGAAUGGCAAUCCUCGCAUAUUCGAAGGUUCUUUACAAUUCUAAUAGUCUCACCUUGAUUGGUUUUAAGUAAACCAAAUGCUAGUGCAAGCUUCUCACUGUGAUACCUAAGGGCAUAAUCCCUUUCUUCUUCUUCCAAAUCAUGCAUUAAGGACUCCGGUGCUGGUACAUAGCCUGAUUCACUACAUCGACACAUUAAUUCAUCUAAAUACCUAUAUAUAGUGUUUGUCUGAGGAUGAGACUUGUCACCCAUGCUAAACAAAUAGGUCUUUCGAUUGAUCUCUAUGGUGCUAUAGCCUACUUGCUUCUUUAGGCGUCGUCUGGUCAUCAUAUUUCGUACCAUCUCCACUCGAUCCAUCCUACCGGCCAAUGCAUAUAUGUUAGAAAGCAUUACAUAAUGGCCAGGAUUUUCUGGCUCAACUGAUAAAACAUGUUCUGCAACCUUAACUCCAAGGUCAAAAUUUCUAUGCAUUCUACAGGCCCCGAGCAUUGAAGUCCAAACCGCCGGGCCUGGCUCCUUGGGAAUAAACUUUUUGAUAAAUUGAUAAGCAUCGUUGAGCAAUCCAGCACGCCCAAACAUAUCUACCAUGCAGACAUUAUGUUCUACUCCUGGAACUAACCCAUAUGCUUCCUUCAUGCUCGAAAAUACCCGACGACCAUCAUCAAUCAACCCUGAAUGAGCACAUGCAGACAAGACUGCAACGAAUGUAAUAUUGUUAGGACGAGGACCAUAAGCUCUCAUUUCAGUAAAAAGCUCCAUUGCUUGCCUACCGUAGCCAUGCAUGCCGUACCCUGAAAUCAUGGCUGUCCAGGUGACAACAUUCCUUUCUUUCAUGGAGUCAAAAACUUCCCGCGCUUUGCUUACAUUCCCACAUCUAGUGUACAUGUUAAUCAAAGAAGUACCAAGAACCACGUUGAGAUCAAAUCCAUUACCAUCAGCAUAAUCAUGCAACCAGCAACCGAAAUCAAGCGCCCCUAGCUGAGAACAGGAAGACAAUAAGCUCACUAUUGUUGCUGAAUCCGGUUGAAAACCCGACUCCAUCAUCAGAUGAAAUAAACCAAUUGAUUCUUGCGGGAGUCCAUUUUGGUCAUACCCUGAUAUAAGUGAGUUCCAAGCUAUAAUUGUUCUUUGUGGCAUUGCAUCAAACACCUUCUUGGCAACUUUCAUAUCACUAGCUUUAGCAUAGAGAGCAAUUAAAGCAGCCUGAACAUACAUAUCAGAACCAUACCCACAAACCAUAACGUGAGAAUGAAUUUCUUUACCCAACCUUAGAGCUGAAAGAUCCGCACAGGCUUUAAUCACAGACGUAAAGGUGUAAUUCGACUGGGGAGCACCUGAGAAAAGCAUGCGACGGUAAAACAAGACAGUAUCAAUAGAGAAACCGAACUUGGAAGUCACUUUGAGGAGGGAAUCAAACAGGAAAGAAUCCGGAUUAGGCACAGUGGGGAACAAUCGUCGAGCAUAGGUGAUUGAACCAGCGGUACAAACCAGAGAAAUAAGCUUAGUGAGGAGGGAUCGACUUCUAUGGAGUCCGGAAACGAUGAUAUGGGCAUGAACUUGUUGAAGGUUUCUGAGACGGGGACCUGAUCGAAGAAGCGCUUCGUGGACAGGAGAAUGCGAUUGCGUGUCAAAAUUGCGAGUUACAGGAUGUUGAAAUGCAAGUUGUUGGGUUUGCAGUUUAAUUUUGUUCAUAGUUGGGUUUCUAUCCAAUGGCUUUGCAGUUGGCAGUAAGAGGGGAAAUCAUUCAAACUACUAGAAAUUGGAACAAAAAUUGAUGAUUAUGCCCAAAACUACAGCCGAUGAAGUAGUAGUCUUUACAGUUCCAGUUCCUUCAGUUGAAGCUCCAAAAUCCAAAGCGUCGCCAUUAGUGUAAGUUGUUGUUGCUUCCUUUCGUCGUCCUCGGCAUUCAGCUUGUUGCCAACGGCCAAAAAUCCCAUGCCUCCUAAAUACGAAAGUUCGAUUCAUUUCGCGGGAUUGAUAUAAUUAAAAUAAGUUGAGAGUUAUGCAAAUAUGGCGGUAUGAUUUUCAUUAUUAGGGAUGGUCUUUUCCAAGUUGUUAUAAACAAUUUAACUUCCUUAGUAAUUUCAAUUUUUAUGUUUUAUAUAUAUAUAUUUAUGAGAAACUCUAUUUUCUUAUCUUAAUAUGUUUUUCACAUUGAUCAAAUUUACAACUCUGUCACUCAGCAUACAAAUUUAUUGACUACAAUAUAUAAACUCUAGUUAAUGGAUCAAACUCCCCAAUGUAUUUUGUAGAUAUACACAAUUCUUUCACCUCAAUGAUUGAACUUUCUCUAAACACUUCUCCUCCCGCUUCCCAUUAUGUAUACACUGAUGGACCAAGUAAUUGCCUCGCUCCAACUCAGUUCAUCUCGAAUAUCGACAACAGAUACGACAACAAAUGUAGGCCUUCAAAUAUAUAUCUUAGAGAGAAUUAUUGACGCUAUCUUGAUUGGGUGAAGUGACGAAAUCCUUACAUUUGUGUGUGAAGGAGAGAGAUGCAUUUAAAAAAAUGUUGAACAAAUGUUUUAUCCGUUUAAUUGUAAAUUUGGUUUGUAUUAGCUCAUCGAAUUUAAUUGUUUAUCCAUUUGAAUGUUUGCAAAUAAAACAAAAAAGUUAACAAAUUUAUAAAUAUAAUAAAAUUUUACAAGUAUAUAUAUUUUUGAAGGCUCAUUUAGUCGAUCUAAAUAUAAAUUUGGGCUGACCCAUAAUUAUAUCUAAUCUAAUGAAUAAAGAAAUAGUUACAAAUUUAGCAAUUAAAUUCAAAAUAAUUAAAUAUAUAACAAUAUUUUUUAAAAAUUGCAAAUAUAACAAAAUUUGUCAAAUUCUAUCAAUGAUAUAGUCUAUCACUGAUAGACCCUGUUGUAAAAACUGAUCUAUCACCGAUAGAUCAUACGAGUCUAUCAGUGAUACAUAGUUUUGUUAUAUUUGUAUUUUUUUUUAAAUGUUACUAUAUCCUUAAUUAUUAUUCCUCAAAUGGGAUUAAGCAAUAACUUUGGAUUAAAUCAAUAUUAAUAAUAUAUAAAACAAUGCAACAAAAUUCCUACCUGUUUGGGGUAUCAUGAACUUUAAAUAAAUGUGGUUGGGUUCAGACUCCAGUUUUUUGUGUUACAAUUCCUUUAAUAUAAAAGUGGUUGAUAGAUCUGCAAGACCCCAUUAAUAUCUUUGCUAAAGUAAAUUAGAAAUGAAACACUAUCUUUAAGGGAAAAAAAUCGAAACCCAAUGAAAUCAAAAUGAGAAGUAAACAAUACGGGAAGAUAGAGUAACAUCUCAAUAGAUAAAAAGUCAUAUCAAUUACAAACUAAAUUUACUUUCACAAUAAUUAAACAAUUUAAACCACAGUUGCAAAUGUAGACCAAAAGAAUUUAAACUACUUUAUUUUAUAUCCUAAACCAAAAGAAGACAUGUGAAGAGAUUCAAAUCCCUCAUGCAGGUUGUUUAACUAUUGAAGCUACAUAAAUUAGCUAAGAUGAAUAUUAAAAAACACAAUAAUAACAAUGACUAGAAAAUUAAUAUUCUGUAAAUCCUAGAAGUACGGACAUUUUUUUAGUUUAACAUGUAACAUGUAACAUGUCACAUGUGAAGUACAAGAUUCAAACCUCCAAUUUGUUGGUAAAUGAUAUGAUAACGUAUGCUUUAAACAGCCAGGUGGGUUACAAUAAACUAUUUAGUUCAAAAUUUAAACAGACUUAGAUUCGAAAUAAGAACAGACAGAUAAAAAAGGGGAUUUAAGACGAUACUUGCAACUGAGCAGUGGGCAGCCUCUUUUUUCAAAGUGAAAGUUCAAAACUGUCGGUUAUUGAGCACUAAAGCCUGCACCACAGUAGGACCUUAAGAAGGAGUAUGUAAGAAGGAGAGAAUCCACAAAAAGUUCACAACAGCCAGUAGAACUAAAUGCAUUAAUGACACUAAAGCAAUCGUCUUCAUCAAUUUCAUUGAAAUUUGAAACAGAAGGGUUCUACUAAAAAGCAAGGCAGAGCCAAGAAGAAUCUAAGAAAAGAGUACUGCCAUCUUUCAACUUCUCUUGAUAUGUAUGCCUAUUGUCUUCCAGUUCCAACCGAAAUCAAGUGAAUCAGUGAUAUCGGCUUCUACAACAAAUCCGUUCAACUUAAGACAUCAGAUUAAUACAGAACUUCAGCUCUUGAAUCACAAAGUUAAUAAUCAUAUCUCAUGACAAUUCAGUGGCCCGGAAGUUCAUUAAAUUCUUUCCAUCAAUCACAGCUCUUAUCUUUCACUAUACCGAUGAACUCGACAACAAAGCAUCAAGUAUGACUUAAAUUUCAUUUGACUUACUAUACUAAUGAACUCGACAACAAAGCAUCAAGUAUGACUUAUAUUUCAUUGGACUUAUUAAUAAUCACAUAAUAUUUACAAAAAGGAUUGUGGUUUUUAAAGCUGAAAAACGUUGUUCAAUCAACAAGAAAUGAAAAGAAGAAAAGACACAACACACACAAGGGAAAGUGGGAUGGAUUGUCCCCUUUCUGCGAUAUGAAUGUUUGAAUCAGUAGCGUUCUUUCCCCAAUUUUGAACAGAUACCCAAACCCAGAAAAAUCUCAAUGCAAUUUGUAACUUGGAAUCAAAAGAAAAGACUCGACAAUUUAGUUAGGGAAACUAAUCAUAUUUUUCUCUCCAGGAAUAAACAAGAAAGAAGACCCAAGAUAGAGCAAGAAGAAUGUCACCAACAAUCUGCCUUAGCCAAUCCCAAGCCAGAUCCUCCACCCUCCGCUCGAAGUAGAAUCUCCACAUCGCCAUUGAGACGUGAAGCACCGUACAGCCCUUGGCGAAAAAGCCUUGAAAUUCCCUGUCCUUGACGAACGCAACCAUGAAAAGAAGGAAACCGAUUGCAAAGAGAAGCAAUCCGGAAAACGAAUCGGAUGUACGAAUCAGGAGCUGAUCGUGUGGCGUAGAGCCCAUUAACUUAGUGGCGAUUUCGAUCCCAUGGCCAAUCGUGUAAAUCUCCUUCAUAUAGAACAUCAUAAGAGUCCCGCUGGUAAUUGCGACGACAGAAUGAAGAAGACAGAUAACCGGGAAAGUCGAGGACGACGAUCCCAUUUCGAUGGAACGGUGGAGGCGUCGUAAUUAAUUACGGAUUGAGAACAUGGAACAUAGCUGCUAUGGUAAUAGAAGGAAAGGAACCCUAAUUGUAGAGCUGAAAUUUACGUUUAUGAGGAAGACGAUGCGCCGAACGAAAACCGUGAUCCACCCUCUUUAAUUUCUUCUUCCUUUUCCAAUUAUUUCUAUUUCCUCUACAUUAUAUAUAAUUUUCCUAUUUUAAUUUUAUUUAGAAGAAUCUGAAGAAAGAGUUUGUACACUCUGGAUAAGUAUCUCAACCCGGGGCCCAGCUCCGAGAAAUUUUUGCACAUCCUGCAUCAAUACGUGGCACUUGAUGACAGUGCCGACACUUUCUUAAGGGCUCCACUUUUCAAUUAUAAAUCAAUUUUUUAAUGCAGACUUCAAAAUUCAUAAUUUUCUCUUUCCUUUUUUCUUUUCUUUUUUGCGCAAGUGGAUAUUAUUAUUAUUAUUAUUAUCAUUGUUUAAUAUUAGUGUGCGUGACGUAAAUUUGUAGGCUUUGAUAGGUGUUUGACAAUUUCGCAUCUGAUUCAUCUUUAUAUUUUUUAUACAUUAACUAAACUCUGAGCUCUUCAGUUUUUUCUAAUCAAUUUUAUUUUAAUAGAAUUUUAUUCAAUGUACGAGGAAUUUAUUAAGCAUAAAUCAAAAGGUACAUGUAUUUAUUUUGACAUUUUUUAAGAACAAAUUUCAAAUUUUAAUGGUUUAUUAGACAUUGUUCAUCCAUAAUUUCUAAUUUAUAUUAUCCACACUUAUUUUCGUAAGUCAAAAAAAAAAAAAUCAAAUGGAGAUUUAUACCGAAUAGGCUCUCAUGGGCCCUCUUCAUGUUCCUCGUACAUGUAUAAUGGGCUUAGUAGUUAGCCCAACCUGGCUGCUGACACUCUCUUUUAAAGCGGCAAUCAAUUAUCAGUGUAAUCUAUCAUGUAUAGAAUAUUUCUUUUCUUUUCUAAAUUAAAGUUAAUUUCUAUUUCUGUUCUCGUAUUUAAAGUUGGACUACUCGUUCUAUUGGUAGUAACGAUUUUUAUUUCAUUUUAGUAUAGACACAUCGUUGAAAGAUCACUAGUUUGAAUCUCAUAGCCUACCAAAAAAUUAAUAAAAAUAUAUAUUUGUGGAAUUUGAAAAUGUUUAUUUGUUAUUUUAAAUAUUUUAUAAAUUUGGUGUUUUAAAAAGUUUGUCAAUAGGUUGAUCUCACUUUUUAAUUGAAUUGAAAUUUUAAAAUCUAAAUUGAGAAUGAGAGAUUGGUUAUAAAUGAGUUUCAUCAAAUCGUGAAUUUGUGACCACUAGUUUUAUGUUGAUGUAAUUGUGUUUGUCGUUUUCUGAUUAUGAUUUAAUUUAGAAAGGAUGGCAACUUAAGUUGGUGGUAUAAAAUAUAAUUGAGGCAAAUAGCAUUGUUUAGAAAGAUUGGCAUAAAUAAUGUUGAUUUGAUACCAUUAUGUCAUAUAAAAUUAAAAUUUCAAGAUAAAUACCCAAGUGGCAACAUAACUAAUAUAAAUCAUGCUUUCAUUUCUAAAAUUAUGAAUAUAUAAUAGAAAUUAAAUAACAUUUAAGAAUAUACAAAAUCAACUUAAGAAAUUAAAUAGUAUUUCUUAAUUUCAAAGCACACGGAUUAAUUGGAUAACUAAAUUUGUUUUAGAAAAAAAAAAAAGAUGAUAAUUCUGAAACGAUUUAUAAAAAUAAAUGAGAUGGUUAUGAAACUUUUGAUUCAUGCAAUACAAUGGAUAUAACAUUAUACUAAAUCUAGUCAGAGGGAACAAGAUAUCUAAAUGAAGAAUGAAAAUUCAAAAUAAUAAAAAAGAAAAGAAAAAGAAAAAGAAAAAGGAAAAAAGGGUUUUGGUUGCGUAAAAUAGAAAAAGAAAAAAAGAAAAAAGAAAAUUGGGUUAGAAGGAUGUGAUGAGAAUAGAGUUGUGUGGAAGAUCUUGGGGGUCGGUGCAUUUUCCACAUUCAAAGGUUCCAUCUUUGACAAUCAUCUCUUAAGGCCACUCAUUCUAUUAUUAGUAUAUAAAUAUAUUUCUCCCUCAAUUUGUCACAUCAAAAUUAGUAAUUAUGCAUAACAAUUAGAUACCAAAUCCCAUGUUGUACUCUUCUUUGCACAAAAAUAACAAUUUUGUAUUAGAUAUUGUUUGAAUUACGUGAAGAUUAGGGAAGGUAAUACCGCCAUUUUCUAAACAUAUAAAAGUAAUUUCUCUUAAUUUCACAAUAUCUAUUACUUUAUAUUAUCUCUCACAUAAUUAAAGGUAAAACUAUGAAUAUAACUCAAAUGACAUGAAGUUUAUACAAACCAUAUUUUUUCUAAUAAAAGGAUCAAUAUCAAUUCGAUUAAGAACAUAUCUAGCAAUGAAUUGAAAGCUAUUUCUAUUACAUUAGAUGGAAAAUGUCCCAUCUAUAUAUAUUGGGAUCAAUUUUUAGUCAUGUAUGACAUGUCAAAAGAAAAAAUUUUAUUAAAAGAUUUUAAUCUAUUUCGAUAACUAUUUAGAUUUUUAGUUUAUAACUUUAUAAGUCUAAGUUUGUAAUCCACUAGUUUCCUAUAUGAGAUUUUGUGCUUUAAUUAAUGUUUUUUUUAAAAAUGAAAGCUUUAAAAACUAAAAAAAAAGUAACUUCAUAGAAUUGUGGUUUUGUUUUCUCAGUUUAACUAAGAAUUGCAACUCAUUUACCUAAGUUAACCCUAAGAGUAUAAAACAAUGGUUAGCAAACCAGAAUUUGAUUAUGUCCAAAUAACUCUUUCCUAAAAGAGUACGAAAAGGAUAAAGCUUAGAUUCUUCAAAUGAAAAGAAGGAAAAAAAGAAGAAAAAGACAGAGAGAUGCAGAUGUAGACGAAGAAAGACGGCACUUCUGCUUUUUCUUACUUGUGUUUAUCACAAUAUGGUUUGAUCCUACAAGAUGCUGACCAUUUGAUUAUUGCAAGACAAGAAUCGAAUCAAGGCAGGAAUAGUAUGCUAAAUACACAAAUUCAUCAUAAACUCGCCAAAUAAAGGGAAGUGAACAACGUCUAGUUUUAAUUACAAAAUGCAAAAACUUGCCUACAAGAACACUACGAAAGCUAGGUUGUAACAUGGAGAACGACUUAUGAGAAUUUUGGUUUUGGCACGGGCGAGGAUGAAACUUCGGGAUGUAGGGGGCCAAGCUUUUGAAUCCAAUGGAGGAGCCCUUUCUUAUGGUCAUGGAAACUAGACAGAGGGUUACCUAAUAAAUUCAGUGUCCCAUCACGAGCAAGCGAAGAUUCGAAUUGCUCUAAUACCUUCACAAUCUGCCAGAAAUCAGGUCUCUUGUCCGGUUGUAGCGACCAACAUUGCUCGAUUAAAGCUCGCAUUGCUAAUGGACAAUCACUUGAGAUAACAGGCCUAAGAUUCUGAAAAACAAAAUGAGCACAGUUUUUUUAGUUUUGUUGAAAGAAUGCAAUAUAAAAAGAUUGUAAACCACUUCUAUUAUUGAGAAACUUGGGGUAUCUAAGAAAAUCUAACAAAAAUAACCUGUACACUUACUUUCACUAAAGAUAAAUUGCAAAAAAAAAAAAAAAAGCUCAUUUACAACAACAUUUGGUGCCGAGAAAACCGUAUAGUAUUUUAAACCAUGACUAAGUGGCCCCGUGCUUUGGGACUAAACAAUCUCCAUCGAAAACUUGGUUUUUUUUUUCAAACUAGUUGCUUGAGCAUAUUCUUCAACAAAACCUACUGUACACUGAAUACUGCCAAACCUCAAAUGAAACUUCAUCUACUACCUAUAACGAAGGGAUACCUUAUCAUCAAUAAUGGAUGUGUACGAACUCAGUUUUCUGCCAAUUGUGAUGACUUGCUUCUCAGAUUCAAAGACUUUUCUUUCAAAGAUAUUAUCUGAUAACUAAUUAAAUUUCAUCUUCAACUUUACAGUUAAACAGCAUCCCAUAACAAGCGUUGAUAUUUUUGGGACUACGAGGAAUGAGAUUCAAAAAGACGAGUAAAUUCGAUGAAUAAGCACAAGUUUCAUCUGGUCACAUGCAGGAUAUUGAGGCACUCACAAUAUAAACAUGGAACAUGUGAACUUUCCGAAGAAAACAUAGAAUGGGUAUCAAUGAAACACCAUGAGUCACAUGAUAAACCUAAAGAAGAAGAUGGUCAAGGAACACGUGAUCAAAUUAAAACUAACCUUAUUCACAACAGCAAAGGCUGCUUGAAUGGGAGUCAUAUCCUCGUAUGGAAUUGCACCAGAUACCAUUUCCCAUAACAUAAGCCCAAAGCUGUACACGUCAACCUUUCGACUACAAGGUUUGUGUUUGAUCAUCUCCGGUGCCAUCCAUCGGUAAGUUCCGGGAUCAUCAGCUAAUGGGUCAAAAAAGGCCUCAGGACAAGCUAUACCAAAAUCUGCAAUUUUCAAGUGCAUGUCUUCAUCAAUAAGAACAUUCUCAGGCUUAAGAUCCCGAUGAAUUACACCUUGUGAGUGAAGGUAUUCCAUGCCACGAGCGACAUCUAAAGCAAAUUUAAUUAGUUUUUGCAAAGGGAGGGAUUGGUGCUCAAGUUUGUGUAAGUAUGCCCUUAAUGAUCCUUGAGACAGAUAUUCAGUAAUGACACAGUAUACAGGUGGGUUCCUACAAGCAGCUACAAACUGCAACAGAAAACAAACAAAGAUCAAGAAAACUAAUAAGUUGCUAUGUAGUUCAAAACAUCACUUACAAUCUAACAACUGAAUUACCUUUAUAACAUUUGGAUGAUAGAGACGCGAUAAAAGGGUAACUUCUCUGGUGAAUUGCUUCUCCAAUCGAGCCGCAAGCGUUCCGUUUUCGUCAUCAUCAGGCACUCUAAUAAUUUUAACAGCAACAGGUUCGUCGUUGUACUUUCCAUGAUAAAGUCGACUAUGAGCUCCAUGAGCAAACCUUAAUCCAACAAACAACUUGGAGAGAUCAACAGUCCAGUCAUCCGCUGUUUCAACCGCAGUGACUUUUCCAGAAUCGAAAUAUUUAGUCCAGGAAGAGUCCUUCUUCAACUUUGACUUAUCACCCCCUUUCCCUGAAGAUAGUUGUUUCAAGGGACUGGUAUUCAACGAUGACUUGGAAUUGGAUGAUUUUGAAUCUUGAGGGUCCUUAUUGAAUAGCUUGUUCUUGAAUUCCUUAGUUCGUUCUCUAAGUCGAGGAGUUGGAGUUGAGAAUCUCUUACUCUCGGAUUUUGCUUCCUUGAAAACUUCAGAGAGGUUGCUCUCAGGGAGAGGAGACAGAGACCUCUGUUUAUUGGAAAUGAAACUUCGCUGAAUCUUCGAAAUAUCAGGAUUCGGCUUCUGAGCAGAUGAAGCCGAUGGAGGCCUCGAUUUCAAGCCAGAAUUGCGAGGUGGUUCGACGAUGAAAGGAACUGGGUUUAAUUUUAAUGAGUCCCAUCGAUGAUAAACCGUGUGAGAAAACUUCGUUCUCCUAAGCCAAGAAUUAGCCUCUUCGUCCAUUUUUUUCCACCCGAUUCCUAUAAUUCCUAGAUGGACCUCUCAAAAGAUCUUGCAACAACAAACGUCCUUGAUUUUCUCCCCCACUUGCUCAGGAAGAGGACUAAACUGAAGUUGUUCUCGGAAACAAAAGGGUAUGAUUAAUUUGAUGGCCCCAAAAGCUGGAUUUCUUCAAACCCAUCAAGACUAAGGAAGAAACAUUCUUUGUUUCAUCGAAUUAAAGAAGCAUUGAGAUCCACAAAGACCCAACUCAAUAAAUAAUCGAGAUUCUGGAUCCCCCCAAAAUCCUAUUCAUUCCCACCAGCAAAACAAUCGCUUAAAGCAAAAACCAACAACCAGAAACAGGGAUGACUCUCAAGCCACAAAGCAGCAGAGUUCUGUUUAACACCAAACUUCCCCUUCCUCCUUUAAUCCAUCUUUUUAAUUUGGUUUCAAAGUCAAACUCCACCUUGGGUAAAAAGCCUGGCAAAUCCCACACAGAGAUCCACAAUAAAUAAAACUCCAAAAUAAACAAAUAAAUAAAUAACUCUCUUUUUUACUAUUCAAACAAGACGAUUAACCAGAAUCCGGACAAAAGAGGAAAAAAAAAUAAAAAAAAAUAAUCCCAAAUACAGAAGAAAAAAAGAACCCAUAAUUCCAAAAUCAAGCAGUAAGAAGGAAAAUCCAGGAAGGACCAAGACCUUACUUGAACAAAACGUGUGGAAAACCAUUCAAUUCACUCCGCAUUCACUGAAGAAAUCUGUGGAAUGAUCGAAGAUAAGAAAAGAAACAAAGAAACCCAUCUGUUAGGGGAGAAGAAGGGGUUAGUAAUAGAAAUAGAAUUCAGAAAUGGAGGAUUUAGUUUCGCCUUGAAUUUUCUAUCGUCGUAGAAGAAAAAAGUAAUUUACGUAUUGUAGUGGGGAAGCAAAAGAAGGAGAAGAAUAAGGGGCGGCAGUAAAUAAGAUUCCAUAGAAGGGGAUAUUUCUUUUUUUCUUAGUUUGACGAAGACAGCAGGGUAUUAAGCCUCUGUUUCGCUAUCUCCUCUAAAAUAAUCUCAAAAGUUGCUUUUUCUAUAUUUGAGAAACCAACUCAAUUGAAAAGGUAAUCUGUUUCAAUUUAUCUCACAAUAACUUUUUUAAAGAACAAAAAUGGUAAAAUAUUUAUUUGUUAACGAAAAAAUUUAAUUUAUUUGUCUUCAAAUUUUAGUCAACCUAAUAAAAAUGCGUGCUUUCAGUUAAUUUUUUUAAUUAAAAACAACAAUUUCAUUUUAUUUAUCUUAAAACAUUUCUAAAUCGAAUAUAUUUGGUCAAAUAAUAGUAAUUAAUUCACAAAUAAUAACAUAUAAUUAAAAAGAAAGAUCAUGAAAAAAGUGAAUUGAAGUUUUUUUAUUAAAAAUAGAUGUAGUACGAGUGAGGACAUAAAAAUGAUAGGGAUUAAUGUUAUGAUAAGGUAAGUUGUAAGGUUAAAUAUUAUGUUAAAACUUUUGAUUGGUUUUUAUAAUUAGAAAGAAAAAUAAGGAGGAGGAGAGAUGUGACGGUGCAUGGUGGGGAACCACAUAAUGAAAUAGUCGUAAAACACGGAAAGAGAGAGAGAGAGAGAGAGAAUAAUAUUUUGGUUCCAAUUUUAAUUUUAGUUUGAAAAUAAAAAUUAGGAAGAAAUUGUGGAAUUGUUGAGGUCAUUUUCGGCCAUAAAUAAUAAUAUUGAUUUAUUUUGGUACGGACGGAACUUCCUCUUUACCCUUUACCCAAACGCCAUCCCAUUUCCCUCCCUGCUUUCUACCCUUUUUUAUUUUGUACGGUUCGCACGGAUACACACUCUCUACUCUCUUUAUAUAAUGUUUUUUUUUUUUCUUUUUCUAAUAGUUAAAUAUUAAAAUAUCAAUUAAAUAAGGAUAUAUUUUUUUUAAAAUUACAUUAAUGGUAUUUUGAUGUUUAUUCUAUUGUUUUUUUAAAUUUGGUUUGUAGAUUUACGGCUUAUAGGGUUUGGUUGAUUGAGUUUGAUAUGUUUGCGUUACGUGUCGGAUGGUGAUUGGGACAUAACUUUUCAUUUCGGGAUAAGAAGCAUAGGAUGGAAUCUGUUUUGGUGAAGAAAAAAGAAUUGUGUUUGUUCAGUUUGUUUGGGUUAGUUCGAUUCUGAAUCUGAUGCCUUCCUCGAAUACUAUCGCAAUCAACGGAAUCGAGAUUUUAUUCCGUUUAUUUAGGAUAUAAUUGUAAGAUUAAGUUAAUUGAGUAUUUUAGUGAAAUGGAGAAUUAAAUUUCAUUUUUUUUAUAAAGGAAAUUAAACCCUAGUUUUGAAUUUGAUCUUCGCCGUCCCUUCAGCUUGAUAUCUAAAGGCCAGCUGUUGAAUGGGCCGAUGCCUUCGGAAAUCUGUAGGGUUACUAAGAAGAAUGUUUGUAUCAAAUAAUUUUGGUUUCUUUUCUUAUAGCGCCUUUUAUGUUGUGAAAAAACCACUAUCUCAAAACAAAAUUGUGGGGCACAACUUCAAUGCUAAAUUGUAGUUUUUUCAUUUUCUCCAUUGUUUUUCAACACAACGAUAAUUAAACUCCAUUUGUAAAUCAUGCUUACACAAAAAAGAAAAACGUUUUCUAUUUAAAUUAAACAACAGAAGUACAUUUUCAAAUCUUGAAAAGUCAAACAUCUAUUUUUUUUUUUUACCGUAAUGAAUUCAUAAAUAGGCAUGUAAUUUGAAAUUGCAGUCCAUCCAGGUGUAAAAGUUACUUUAUAUAUUUAAAGAACACGAGGCAUGUAUCGUAGUGAGGAAAUUAUAAUAAAGUUUUGGGGGGAUCUCAUUUCCAAAAAUGGUCUAAAACAUUUAAAACAUUGAGAAAGAUUUCCUAUUGUGGAGAGGCCCAGAAAAAAAGAUGGAAGGCCCAAAUAGAGGAAAAAAGAAGGGUAAAACGGGAAGCAGUGUAAAAGGUAAAAGAGUGAGAAAUGUGGCGUUGAAGAAGAGAUGAUUUGGGAGGGAGCCUUUUUUUCAAAAUCGUAUAUUGUCCUUUUCCCUUUCCUUUGCAAUCCUCCAAACCCUAAAAUUCAAAACCUUUUUAUUUUUAUUUAUUUAAAGUGUAGGGUCAUUCUACAACGGUAUUAGCACAUGAUCCCAUUACCCUAUUAUCAACCUUUGUAAUCUUUUUCCCCUCUCCUUUUUUUGUUUUUAAAAUUUACCCUCAUUUGUUCAAUUUUCAAUUUAAGUUUUUAAAAAGGUUGAUUAGGAGAAGUAUUCGAGUCAGAUGAGACAAAUUAAUAUGCUAUUUUUAGUCUUUGUUGUUUUUAACAAUAUUGUAAUUUUUUUUUCUUCCAACUUUCAGAUUGUGGAGAAUAAACCUUUGAUUUGAUUAAAGAGAGUGUAAAUGGAAAGAGAUGAGUUGAAUAAUGAAAACAGUAAAGAAAAAAGAGACACAAUGAUUAAUUUCUCAUUAUCUCUGUAUUUAUAAAGAUAAAAUAUACAUCAUUGAUUAUUAAAAAGAUAAAUAAUAGAAGCUUGAUAGCGCUUUUCAAUUUAAUUUUUAAUAUUUUGUUUUCCUUACUUUCAUCUAAAUUCCUCAUUUAUAUGCAUCCCUUCCUUGUAUAUUCAUAUAUAUCGACGAUUAUGUUCUAUUCUAUAUAUUUUGUUCAUGAUAUACAAUAAAUAGAGUUUUUUAAGAAAAUGUAAAAUACGAGAAUGAUAAAAAAAAUAAUAUAUAGUUAUAAAAAUGAUAUAGAAUAAAAGAAGAAAAUAAUAACAAUGGUAAAACUUAGUUAUUUAUAGUUUAAGAAAUCAAUUAAUAGACAUCAAUACUCAAUAAUGAAAUUCAAAAGUAAAAUUAUAAUAUUUUUAGAGUUUAGGAAUUAAAUUUGAACAAGACUUAGUAAUGAAAAGGAUCAAAAACUUAAAACCACAAAUAAUUUUGUCCUUCAUUGGUAAAAAAAAUUGAAGUCCAUUUGGUUAAAAUUCCACGUAAUGUUUGUAUGGAAAAGUAAAAUAAAUGAAAAGAGGUGCAGUGCAACGGUGGUAGUGCUAUAUAUCUCUGGCCCUAAACUCUGCAAAUGUCGUCCUCUUCAUUCUAAUUCCAUUUGAUUCAUAAAUUCCCCAUCCAUGGCUUUUAAUCUCAUCUCCCUAUCUUUCUUUUCCAUUUUCUCCUUCGCCAUUUUCGCCUUCUCCGCCGCCGACGACAUCACGGCCGCCGAAACACUCCCCGUUCCCCAUCACCACCACCACCACCACGCUCCCUCGCCCGCACCAUUACCUCCACCGACCCAUUUGCCCCUUCACCCUCCCGUCCAUCCUCCGGCUCACCCACCAGCACACCACCGCCAUCACGCCCACGCCCAGGCUCCUGUUCACCCACCGGCAAAUGCGCCCUCUCACCAUCUCCCUCCAACUCACCCACCGGCUCCCGCCCACCACCACCACCACCAUAACGUCAGCCCAGUUCAUCCCCCGUCUCACUCGCCGGCUCCGAUCUACCCUCCGAAACCUCGGUUGGUGAGGAGCUUCAUUUCGGUUCAAGGUGUUGUGUAUUGCAAGUCCUGUAAAUACCCGGGAGCUGACACACUGCUCGGAGCUACCCCCGUCGCCGGUUAGUUAUUCUAAACUCUUCUAACAUAAAUUCUAUCAAACUUACAUCUUUUGCUCCCUUGAAAGUGUUGAAACUUUUCAGGGUCCUCUGUUUUAGCUUUAAUUUGCUUUAACUUGUGUCAUUUUAUUCUCUCUUAAUUUACUAUGUACCAACACAUUCCUUCAAAUCUCAUUAUUGUCCACUCUUUUAAUAACAAUUAGGAUCUUAUACUCCAUAUUAGAUUUAGUGCAUUAAAAACACCACAAUGAAAAUGUUAACUUAUUUUAAAGUAUCACAAUGUAGUAUAAUAAUAUUCAGUUUUGACAUAUAUGCAACUUUAUUCUUCUGUUUCGUCUGAAGGACUUCAUACUUAUAGCUUCUCAUUCACGAUGUUAGUUUCCUUCGAUUUAACAAAUACAUCUACUUGUAUGCACCUCAUUGUACCUAUAGAAAAAAAAAAGAUGUAAAAACAUUUUUUCACAUAAUUAAAAACAAAAAUACCAUGUGUUAAACCCUAAUUUUGUAAUUGAUGCAACUUUUUUAAAAAAAACGAUCAAGUCAUUUAGUCUUCUUAUUCUUACAAUAGCACUCAUGAGAGUUGCAAUCUUAGUAAAAACAAAAAUAAAAAUUUUAAACUCUUUUUUAAAAAAAAAAAAAAUUCAAGAUGUGACUUUUUCUUAUUAAAAAAACAUGGAAAAUAGUAUAUAAAAUUUAAAGGUAUACAAAUUGGGUUAUAAACUUAAUUAAAAAAAUUUAUGAAAACUUACAAGAUAUUUCCCCUCUACUAUAAAAACAGAAGGAAAGAAAAAAGAAAAGAAAAAAAAAAUGUAGAUGUUGAAACAAUUUAGUUAAAAUAUAAUUUUAAAAUUUUGUAAUAUGAGAGUUUGUUUAACUUUAGUAGUGUACACAGUAUACUUUUAAAUUCCAAAGUAAACUUUUAAUAAAUCUUAAUUUUGAUUAUUUUAAACUAAUCUUAGAUUUAUUAAAACCAUACAAACUAAAAUUAGACAAAUAAAAUUAACCACGUAGGUAAUAAUAAUAAAUAUUUGAAAACUAAAUAGUAUCACGAGGCAAAGAUGAGUAAAAAAGGCUGCAACUUUGCAGUAUGACAUGAUAUGAUAGAUAAGGUAUAAAUGUAAAUGUAACGUAAUUGUUGGUAGAUGAAGAUGAUGAUGAUUAAUUGCGUGACAGGUGCAAGCGUGAAGCUAAUCUGUCAGAACACUAAAUACCCAUUGGUUCAAACAGCAACCACUGACAAGAACGGCUAUUUCUUCAUCACAGCCCCAAAGGCCAUCACCAGCUACGCCUUCCAUAAGUGCAAGGUCGUUCUCGGCUCUUCCCCUUCCCCCACUUGCACCAAGCCCUCCGCUCUCCACGGCGGCGCUGCCGGAGCCCCUCUCCGCCCUCAGAAGUCUUACAUCGACGCCAAUAAACUCCCCUUCGUUCUCUACUCCGUUGGCCCUUUUGCCUUCGAACCCACUUGCCCUCAUCAUUAGUCCUCGUUUAUGCUUCUUCUUUUUAAUUCUUAUGCCUUUUCUUAAACGAUGUCGUUUCUUUGGGUUCUGAAUUCUGCUGCUGCCUUUCUGUACGGCAUGGUUUGGUUGUUAGUUUGUGUUUUAUGAGUUUGGAUAUUAUUUAUGGUACAAAUAAUCUGUUAACUUAAAUGUUCUUUUUCUUAUAUUUUCUUUUCAUAAAGUGGCUAUUAGAUCUAAAAAGGUAAGGGGUGGAAAUCGAUCGGUACAAAGUAUUUGGUUCCUUUCUUUUCUUACUUCUUUUCAACCGAUUUCACUUUAAUUCUGAGCAUGUUCCUUUCUCAAGAAACAAACAACACGAAUUUGUGUUUGUAAGGAAUAAUGUAAAUAUUAGUUUGAUGGAGACGUUCAAAUUGCCCUACUCUACACAAAAUGAUAAAAUGUCUAUUUCUAUUCUUACAAUUUAUAAAUUAUAUUGAUUCAAACUUAUAUUUAAUAUUUAUAUUAAACGACUUUUACAAGCAAUGACUUUUGAUUAUUUUUUUGGUUAACUUGAUUUUGAAAAAGUUAGAUGAUAAGUCUUUUAUUGUUUUACAAUUGAAACUUUGAAAUGUGGUGUACAUUAAUAUUCUUACAAUAUUUUAGGAGCAAUUUUGUUUAACAUAUUUCAUUAUAGAAAUUUUAAUUUAAAUGGUAAAAAUUCUAAAAUUAUUUAUAAAUAAAACAAAAAAUUUAAAUCUAUCUAGAUUAUAUCAAUCGUAAUACUCUUUUCAUAUUUUUGUAAAGAUUUUUAGUUUAUAGAAAGUAAUCCUUCAUUAUUGUUCAUGAAUUUUGAAUAAUAAGUGAGGGGGAUUUUUGGAAAGGGUAGAAAGGGAAGUAUGGUUUUGGGUUGUGGACCAACCAAUCAAUAAAAAGGAAAGUUGCAUGCAAAAAAGAUAAUACUUUUUUUUAAAAAAAUAAUAAGAAUAAUAAUUGGGUCUAUGCUUUGUUAGACCGUUUCGGUUCGCCAAUAAUGCUGCUGACCACUACUUGCCUUUUUCAGACCCCACGCGCCUCUCUCUCCUCUCCAAUCACGCUCUUAAAACAUAAUCAUUAUUUGUUUUAUCUUCCCUUAAACAAAAUUAUUCUAAAUAGAUUACGAGUUAUGAUUGUAAUUAUCGAAUGGGCCGAUCUGUAUGGCCCAUUUAACAACUACCCACACGGCCCAUUUCCCUUCCUUUUCUCUCUAUGGGCUGUUGCCUCACUCUCUAAAAUAAGACCGUGAGGGCUCCACUGUUAUUGCAUUCCAGUCCACGUUGUAAUCAUUGCUAAUAUAUAUAUACAUUUUAGAAAUUUCUUGUUCAACACUUAUUGUACAUUUGAUUUGCAUUUUGUUAAGAAGUAAAUAGUUUUCGCUAGAGUUGAUUGUCGGAAGUGGCAGUCGUAGUUAAGUUAAGGGGCGGUUGUGAGUUGUGACCACGACAACUAAGUGAAAAUGUAGAUGAUCUUAGAAGCAUUUUUUUCGUAAUUUUAAGAAUAAUGGUCAAUCUCUCUAGCUCUUAUUUGUAUUUAAAGGCUUUAAAUAUCAUUUUUUAGUAAACCUAGCUUAUAUUGUAAACUAUUUUUUAAAAUAAGUGAAAAAUAUAUAUUUUGAGUGUUUGAGUUAAAAAGAAUUUGCAUAAGUUUGGUUUGAAAGAUGUUUUUUUUGUUCAAGUCCUCACAUCUUUUAUAAUAAGUGAUUUGGUAUUCAAGUUUCCCACUCUUAAAAUUAAGUUUAAACAGUUAUAGAGAAACAAAAUGACUAAAAGAGUAUAUUUUAGAACUAAAAAACUAGAAAGAUCAAAGUUUUGAAAACACACUUAUGAAAGAGAAACAUAUUGGACUAAAAAGUGGUUACCAAACACUGAAAACGUAUAUGUAUAUAUAUUAAGUUGAGAGGAAAAGAGAGAAUUUGAAGGUUGUGAGUAGUUGCAAUACAUAGCAUCUAAACUAAUUUAAGACUGCCUUUCACACGUGAGAUUUAAUUACCAACAAAACGAAAAUGACACACAAAGUCAAAUUAUGAGUCUAUUUCUAAAAUCAAUUUACCAUUUUUGUUUCAUGGAUGAGCGAAUGGAGCAUUCAUUUUUUGGUUUCUAGUUUUACCAAACUUAUUUACUACAAUAUAUUUAAUAAACCUAACCAUGAACAUUUCUGGCCCUUAAACUUCUACACACAUAUAUAAAAGUAAAAAAGCUCUAAUGUUAAUAUUAUUCGGAAAAAAUAGUUUAAAUUAUACUUUAUCUAUCCUUUUCCUAUCCUUCCUCCUCUAUGAUUCUUUAUCUCUCUUAUUCUUUCUUCCUUGAAAAGUGAAACAAAAGAAGGACUAUAACACUGACGAUAAUGAGAGAAAGGAAAAAAAGUUGAACUACAAAAUUUGAGUUUGAAAGAGACUUUUUUUUCAACUUCGUAUUUUUUACUUUCAAACAACUUUCUUCUUUGGCUUAAGAGUAUUGAAGAAGAGAGAAAUUUCCAUGCCAUAUUUUGAAGUCUUAUGUAAUAUAAUUACCCAUCUUUUUCAAAAGAAAGGGAAAAAGGAAAAAAGAAAAAAAACUAAGGUUAAGUCAGGCGACGGUUCUUUUCAAGGUUACAUUAUAACAUGUUGACCUCAUUUAUUUGUGUAUGAUACUGAUGGUGGUGAAAUUAUGAAUUAAAAUAUUUGUCAACACAUUCCAACUUCGUGCAAUAAUUAAUUUUUAAAAAUAAAUCAAAUUUGACAUUGGGAAGAACCCUUCAACUAUUUUUUUUUUUUUUUUUAAAAAAAGCCAAUAAUUAAACGGUGCCAUUUAAGUAUUUGUUUUGUAGAGUGAAAUAGAUAGAUACUUAAAUGACUGUAAAUCCAUAAUUCUCACCUACUUAAAUUAAUUAUGAGUAACGUUAAAAAUAUAAUAAUGGUUAGUUUUGAUAUAAAAAAAUAAUGGAAUAGGGGACAAAAAUAUCGAACCUUAAAUGCUGGAAAUAAUGAGAGGGUAAAAGAGGGACUUUCUAACAUACAAUUUUUGAAUUAUUUGAACCAAAUAAUUGCCAUAAUUUUUUUUUUUUCUCCCCACCUUUUGGAUGAAUUUGAGAUAAGCACCAUAUUCUAUUUUGAAAACUAAUUUUAUUAUUAUUAUUUAGUUUCCAUUUUCCAAAAUUAUCAAUUAAAAAGAUUGUAUUUUAAUAGUUGAGUGGAAUUAUAUAUUGAAUUAAAGAAUUGCUUAUUAUGAUUAUGAUUAUUAUGUAGUGUUUAUUUAAAAGGUGUGGUGUGGUGUUGAGUGCUUAUGGGGAUUGGAAAAAAGUCAAUGGGAAAAAUUGAAUAUUGAUUUGACGAAUUCUUCACUCUCCCAACUGUGCGUCGACCCCACACUCCCUUCUCUUUUGUUUAUCUCAAAUUCUAAACAAACACACACACACUUUGCUUCUUCACUUCCUCUUCCCUAAUCCCACACUCUCUCUUACCGCGUGCUCUCUACCUUUCUCCUUUUUUCUUUUCUUAAUACACAUUCUAUUCUAUUGCCUUCCUAUUUCAACUUUAUUCUAUAUUACUAAACAACCUUUAAUAUAUAUAUAUAUAACUUAGGUUUAAUUUCAAGAUUGGGAUUCAACCGAAAACGAUUAAAUUUUAACUAUUCUUAUAUUAAUAAUCAUGUAUAGAAAUUAGUGCAUUUAGUCAUUAAAUAAGAGAUGAUUAUGAGUAUAUUAAUAAGGCUUAAAGUAUUUGCAUACAUAACAUGAUAUCACUAAUAAAAGGUUGUUAGUAUUAAUAAAUUUUAAUAUAUUUUUAAUUUUAGAAAAAUGUGAAUAUAUUUGUAAUUUUUAUUGUUAAAAGAUGUAAUUAGAUGGAAAUAGAGAAAAAAAACAGAUGUAAAAAGGUGAUAUUUGUUAUGAGAUUUGGAAUGAUAACAUAGUAUUAAAAUUGAAUUAUAGAUUGAAAGUGAAAGUGCAAGGUUAAAACGAAGUGAUGUAAUGUGAGGGUAAAAGUUAAGGUUGAAAGUAAAAAAAUUGAAAUUGUUAUCCACAAAAGAAAGAGAAAAGGGUUUUGUUUAAUUUAAUAAUUAGGGAACCAAGUGAAUCCAUCUUCCCAAAAUAAAAGUGCGAAAGAAACGCUAUAAUAGCGCGUGAACUGUCUCCCCUCCCUCUCAAAUUUCUUCUCUUACUAAAACCAAACUCAAAACACACACAGAUUCCCACUUCUUCUUCUUCAUCAUCUCUCUUACAUUCUUCUAAUCUUCUCUUCCUCCAUGAAAAUUUCUCAUCCAAAUUCCUCCUUCACUUCUUCCACUUCAACCACCACCGCCGAUGCCUUUCAACCGCCACCCCCGAAAAUCCUUAACAGAUCCGAUUCCACUAAUCCAUACCCCACCACUUUCGUUCAAGCCGAUACCUCUUCCUUUAAACAAGUUGUUCAAAUGCUCACCGGCUCCCCGGAAACCGCCAAGCAAAUUUCUACACCAGACCCUCCUUCUAAAUCCUCCAUCCCUCCCAUUAAAUCAAUUCCCAAACGCCAACACUCCAAUUUCAAGCUCUAUGAGCGAAGAAAUGCCCUCCAUAACCUCCAAAUUAUCAACCCUGUUUUUGCCUCCUCUGUUUCUAGUCUCAGACAUAAUAACCAUAACCUCCCUGAAAUUCUCUCUCCCAGUAUGCUGGAUUUCCCCUCACUCGUCCUCAGCCCCGUCACGCCUCUCAUUCCCGACCCCUUCGGCCGAUCGCAGCCGUUGAAUUCUGAACCGACGAACAAUGUCGGUUCUAGUAAUUCGGGUUUGGAUGAAGAAGCAGAGGCUAAAGCCAUUAGAGAAAAAGGAUUUUAUUUGCACCCUUCACCGGCCACCACUCCCAGAGAAUCGGAACCGGAGCUUUUGCCACUAUUUCCGAUCACUUCCCCUCCGCGACCAGGUCCACCUCCUCCUUCUUCUUGAAUUCAAUGUCAAAUUCAGCUAUUAAUUAAUUUAAUGUCCAUUUUUUUUGUAUUUUAAAUUUAAUGUCUUUGAAGUUUGUAUCCGGAAAUAGAGUUUAUUUGCAGAGAAUAUGAAUGCAAAAUCCCUUCCUCCAAUUGUAUAAUUCGACCGUUUCUCUUUUUCUUUUCCCUUGUCCCUCAAAUAACUUUUUAGAAUUAACAAUGACUUAUAUAUAUAUACAUAAAAAAAAAGCAUCUUUUAAUUCUCUAUGUAUAAUUUAUUUCGUUAAGUGAGAAAAUAGAUUGAGAGAGAGAGAGAGAAGAGAAGAGAAGAGAAAAUAAAAAGGGGACAGCUUUGGCGUAGUCGUCAAAGAGUGUAGAAUAAUGAGUGAAUAACAUUGACACAUUUGUUUUAUGCGACAAACACAAUGCCAAGACCCCAAUUUUCAAUGGUUAAGUUAUUCUUUCUGAAACAUAAAAAAUACACGCAAUUUUUUCAUAUGAAUGGUUGGUUUAGAGUUUAGAGUUUAAAGUUUAGAGUUUUGAGAAAGAUAAUUAUCAUUAAAUUUGAAAUGUGUCCAUCCAUAAUUACUCAAUAAAGCUUAAAUGAUAAUACUAAUAAUAUGCAAACGGAUAUAUAUCAUAUGAAUCGAAAAUGGAGUCACCCGCUAGUUCAACUCAAAACCCAAAAGUCUUUCACAUAAAUAAAAAGACUCUUCUCUUCCUAAAGAUAAUGAAAUGGAAAUCAUGGGAAAAAAGAUAGAAAUAGUAAAUAGGGAAAAGCAAAAGGGUAUCUGAGAAUUAAGUACUUUGUUGUUUUCCAAAUAUUUUUUUUUAUUGGUCAAAAUAAGGUGGGUGGAUCUGUGAGGAUGUCUAAUAAAUUGAGUCUGCUCGAGUGCAGGGACUCAGCCAUAAUAAGGGGCUUUGAAAAAUUGAAACUCUCAUUAAUUAUUUAAUUAAUUGAUUGAUUGAGUGGUUAAUAUCAAUGUUAUUAUUUUAAAUAUGGAAAGCGACCCUCCAAAAAACUAAAUUUGGUCAAGCUUCUUGAUUGCAAAUAGAAUACUCUCGACUCUCGAGUCGUUCUCUUAUCAAGGCAGUAUUGUACGAAGGCCCCUCCCUUCUUUAACCUUCAUUCUUAAUUAGGUUUCGCAAUCAUUCUAAUUUAGUACUAAUCUCUCAACCAAAUUUAUAAAAUUAUGUAAACAUUUUCUUAGUUAAAGUUGUACAUCUCAACUGUACAAGUUGACCAUUAAAUAAAUUGGAUUCAAAAUAGGGCCACCAAAAUUUUAGAACACUGAGAGAAACAAUUUUGGAAUGAAAAAGAAAAAAGGAAGCAAAUCAUAAAUGGGAAAAAAAGGAGAAUAAAGAUGGUGUAAGGAAGCAUUGAAGCUGUUUGUCUAAUUGUUCCUUUUAAUUAUGUUUGUGUGGGGAACCAAUAUGGUUUUGGUGGACCUUAUUCAUCACAAAUUUUCAUGUGCUCUCUCUACAUCAUCUACAUGUUUCUUGGACUUUUCUCUAUCAGUCAACUCUUAAUCAGAAUCUCGUAUCGCGGAUAGACUUUACUAUAUUUAUAAUUUUAAAAAAAUAUAUUGCUAUAUUUGCAACGGAAAGAUCUACCAAACAUUUUUCAUAUAUGUUUUUAAGGACAGUUUUAAUAAAAAAGUUUAAGCGAAUUAUAAAACACAAAAAUGUAAGCAUCUGGAUUUUGGCAUUGGUUCAUCAUCAUUUUGGAUGGAUUUUAACUCAAAGGUAUGGGAGUUUGAUGAUGAAAGUAUCUGGGGAUGAUAUGAUUGAUUCUAAGAACUGUUGAGUUGUGACAAUAAAAGCUAUUUUGAAAAAUUUAAAGAAAAAAGAAAUGUAAAGUGAAGGUGGGGUGGGGGUGGGGAUGGGGGACUCCAAAAUGUGUGGAGAGACAGGAGAGUAAUAUUACACUUCAAAAAGAAGUUGAAAAAUUCAAGCCCAUAGGCUGUACAAUAAUAUUGUUUCCUACCCAUACCAAUCCAAUCCAAUCCAAGUGGUCACUUCAAUAAUGUUAGGAAAAUAUCAAUUGGUUUAUAGAUUUUGAGUUUAGAUUCAAUUUUGAACAAUGGAUUUUCCUAAAUGUAUUAAAUACAAAAUUGAGUUUUAACUUAUUAGAAUACAGAAAAGCUAUAGAAUAAAGAUGUCUACAAAAGCUUCUCUUUUCUCUGAAGUUGUGAAGACUCUGCUUGCUCAAUGUCUCUGCAGACACCAUUACUGAAGGAAUGGAAAUUUUUUAGAAAUUAUUAAAGAGGAUAAUAUAUUCUAAAAUAUUAUUAAAACAAAAAUUUUUAUUUUAGACACUAAAACUAAAUAAAUCUGAACCUUCAAACUCCCAAAGUAUUAGCAUUCUUUAUUGGAGUAGAUUAUAGAAUAGUUACAAAUUUAGUCUCUUCACUUUUUGACAUUUUUAGAUAGCUGAAAACUUACAACAAUGUUCUUAUUCCUUCAACAUCCUUCAGAUUUUAAUAAUACCCACUUGCAGAAUGAAGCAACAGAAAAAUAAACACAAUUCCUUUUCAAGACAGGUCAACUAAUAUAUGUUGUAAAGAAAUGAGGUAAGAAACAAAAGGAACGAAGCCUGACUGUUGUUUUUACAACACUGAGUUACAAGAAUAGAUGCACUAAUAUACGUGAAAGAAAAAAAUGAGACGAAGGAAAAAUGAAGCCUCACCAUUUCCCUCUUCACUUCCACAACUCUUCCAUGGGGAUGCCACGCUCUUGUGCAACGUCCCUAAACUGUUUCAUCUUCUGCACGGCGACCACUGUUGCUCUAGCAUUGUUGAGGGCAUUAUUACUUCCAAGUUGCUUCCCUAAAGCAUUCUCGACACCGGCCAUUUCGAGGACGAUUCUCACUGCUCCACCAGCAAUCACACCAGUACCAGGAGAAGCAGGUCUUAGCAUUACUUUUGCUGCUCCAUAAUCUCCCUCCGACCUACAAUUUUCAACUCUCCUUAGCUAACACUUAUAGUAACACACAGCAACUCAAGAUGUGAAUAUGACAAAAGUAUUACUUCACUAGCAUUCAUAACUUGAAGCUUCAUUUGAUUUAGGUUCUCACUUCCUGGAAUCUGCUAUACUUUUUAACUCUUUACAUUUACGUCUAAAAAGGAAAUCAGUGUAUAUAUCUCUUGCUGUCCAUAUGCUUAUUGGGUACUGAUUCUUUCAGCCAUAGAAACACUGGAAGAUCGGUCGAAACAACAAGUUCUCCACAGUUUAAUUGUAGCAGAGUAGACAAAACUGUGAAAUAGACCAUCUAGUAUCUACAACAGACAACUAAAAACAUUUACAAAAUUCAGCCACAGAAGCAGCAAAUACCUCCAAUGACCAACUUGCAGUGAGGAUUCAAAGUUUAAACUGCCUACAGAUUACAGAAUUCGUAUUAACUAACUUAAAAAGAUGUCAAUUAACCGUUGAAAAAUUAAGUCAAAGAUUCCUAUAAAUCAAAGUACUCAUCCAAUUCUACUCUUCCUUAAAUCCCAUUUCAGAGGUGGGAUUGAACCAUCCACCUUUCAAAUGGUAAUGCUUAACUUAUCAACACAUUAGGUUCAAGUUUCAUACUCCUAAUUGAAUGCAUUCCCAUUAUCAGCAAACCAAAAGCUUAACAAGAGAGCAGCUACAGAAACUCCAAUCAAACAAUUCCAGUUUGCAAAUCGAAAAUAGUCACAAACCUGUGGGGAAAUGUUAGAUACUUGGUCAUGGGAACGGUGACAAUGUUCCGGCGAGCAUUAACUGCCGAUUUCUGAACAGCGGUGAUGACUUCCUUAGCUUUACCAACACCAACACCCACUUGGCCCUGUUUAUCACCCACAACAACAAUUGCCCUAAAAUGUAACUGUUUCCCACCUUUAACCACUUUAGUAACCCUCCGAACUUGGACAACCCGCUCAUCGAACCCAUCUCGCGGCUUGUCCUUCUUGGCCUUGGAGCCGAACCCGCCCGCUUUCUUGACCUUAGAAUCCAUUACAUAAAUGUCGUUUCCGAGAACACUGACUCCACUGUAAGCGGGGCCAUAGAUCUCCUCGUAACCAGCGGCAAUUUCUUCCUCGGUUUCGAUAGGGCCCUCAUCGAAGGAGGGAGGAGGGACGAAGCCUUCGGGGACUUCGGGAGGGUCGUAAACGAUGUCUUCUUGGGGAUUGACGUUGUCGAAGAAGGUGGUGUCGAUGUCAGAGGAUUUGGCCCGAGUUGCAGAGAGAAUGGAGGAAGAGGAGGAGGAGGAGAUUGGGAGUAGGAAUACAGUGGAGUGGAGGAGGGGGAAAGGCUUGAAUAGUGGAAUUGAGAGGCGGUGGGAAGGAGAAGAACGAAGAGAAAUAGAGGAAAUGGGGACGAGAGUCGAAGAAGCCAUUGAAGGAAAGAUUGAGAAGGUUUGUGGGUUCGGAGAUGGAGGCUUAUCCCAAUGGACUCUACACGGGUAAGGCGAAGAAGUAAUCAUGUGCGAAGAAACUAUACCCAAAACGACGUCGUUCCUUGUGCUCAAGUGCAUAAAUGGAUAAUUCAAUUUAUUAAUUCUUUUUAUAAAAACCUACUUUGAUUAUUUGGGAAUGUUAACAAAAUAAAAGAUUAUAAAGCUUUCAUAUUUUUACUUUUCAUUUCAUAUUAUCCAUCUUUUCUUCUCUUCUAACUUUCAAUAUAUUCUAAAUUAUAUGUCUAUAUUUACAAUAAAUGAAUUUGAUAGUUUUGGGGUACGGCUCCUAUUAGCAAACCAACAAUCCCGUAUGGAGUCAUAAUUCUCUUAUCAACGCAUCCAAUAUAUAUGCAUGCAUACCAACAUAUCUUUUAUCAAUAUCAACUAAACUUACUAAAGAUCAAACCAAAAUAUUAAAUUAUAUUUCUAAAGUUAGAGCAUAUUAAAUAAUUUUAAAAAACAAACUCUUUUGUGAUGAGAAAUAAUUAACCUUUAAUUCUCGAUCAUAAAACUCAUGUGAUUGUUUUUGACAUACAAUUCAAUCCAUGAAUUAUAAAAUCUUUGAACUAAAUGUGAGAAGAAAAAGCUCAAAAGCUAAAUUGAAUUGUUGGUAAAAGUUUUAAAAACUUCCAAUCCCUUCCACCAAAACCCUAAUGUAACAUAGUAAAAGGAUGGAAAAAAAAUACCAACUACCUAAAUGUAAGAAUCAAAGUAGAAAAUAUCAACAAUAAAAUUAUAAAAAAGAGAGAAAUUAACCAAAAAAAACAUUUACCCUAAAAUUCGUGUGUAAACAAAUCUUAUCUUUAAGUUGUUUUUUAUAUACUAAAAAAAACCUCAAAAUAAAAUGUAAUCACCAAACGAAAACAGGAUCAGUUAGCCAUGACAACCAAAUUAAGGAAUAAGCACAAUUUCUAACAAAAGGAAAAAUGAAAUUCUAACUUGGAGUAAUACGAAAGAAAUAACAGGAGACAUAGAUUAAAGUAUGUAUGUAGAACAGUAAACAACAAUUGAUAAAUUAAGAAUACAAAUAUAUGAAAACAAAGGGUAAAGGGUAAUGGUAAGGUAAUACAGAUUGAUAUAUAAUAAGAUAUAAUUAAAAGUAGUAAUGUGAUGGGGAAGAGUCAGGCUGUGCCAUUAUUACUGGUGAAAUAGUCAAAAAGAGGGAACUUGAAUCCACUGACUUCAGGAAGAGUAUCAAGGCCUCCAAAGCAAUCUUCAAACCCCACAUUACCAUUAUUGAUAUCAUUAUUAAUAUUAUUAAUCCCUUGGAAAUCAUCUAAUAUUAGUUGUUCCUUAUAAUUAAUAUGAUUUGUAGAAUUAAUCAUGGUAUUGAUAGGUGGAUUAGCAGUGAAAAAGGUGGUGGGAUGGCUGUGGUGGUCUUCAGCUUUGUGUUUAAGCUCUUCGAUUAACAAAGCUAAAGAAGCAUCUUCUUCUUCGUCUUUCACCUGAUCCUCUAUGUUUGACGACAGACUAAAUUGUUGCUGCUGCUUCUGCUUGUAAUCUUCUUCCAUUCUUGAACGAUUCUCACUUUUUUCAACUGCUACAUACUGUUCUCAUAUACAACAUCUAUGUAAAAUAUACUUCUAACACAUGGUUUUAAUUAAAUUCACUUUUUAGAUGCACACAUUUGAACAAAUUAUAUAGUCAAUUAACACAGUUGUCACUCAUCUCUGGUUAUUAUCAAUAACUAUCUCAUAAAUAUCGUCUCUAUUAUUACUAUUCAAUUUAUAACUAAACAAUCCUGUCAAUAAUUUUAUGAACACAUAUGUGCAGAUAGAUACACAUAUAUUGAUAUACAGACAUGUAUGCGUAUAUCUAUAUGUAUAUAUCCAAUUAUGAAUUUUAUGAAGUGAAACGUUUUAAUUGAUACAGAAAUAAUUAAAAUGAACCUUGGAGUUUAUGAACAGAUUUACAGGAAUCAUUUAAAUUAAGCUAAAGCUUCUUUUUUGAUAAUUUAUCUUGUAGUUAUUUCAUUUUGAUUAUUAUAGUUUUAAAUGUCUAAAUUUCGUUCUACUUAACAAAAAAAAAAAAAAAAAGGUUAAAAUCCAGUGCCAUUGUCAUUUAUUCUAUAUAAAUUUUAGAAAUAUAUAUUUUAAAAUAGUUUUUUUUAAUGAAAAUUACUACUGUUAUAUGGUUUAAAAAAACGAACUUCAAAUGAUUUAAUUGUAGUUAAAUGGUAAAUCUAAUCCCAAUUUUAAAAAUAAAAAACCCAAAAUUUAGUCUUUAUGAUAUAAAACCUUAUAAAUAGAUUAUAUAGUUUGAUCAAACUAGAAAGAUGAAAUUUUAAAUUGAAAUUUAAGAUUUAUUAAAAACAUAGUGAAGUAAAUUCUAAAGUAUAAAAUUUAAAACUCAAAAAAUUAAAAUAAAAGGGAAAUUCAUAAUACAUAAACUGAAUUAAAGGAGAAAAGGCUUAAAAAAAGAAUAUAAAUUACCAUAAGCAAUUGGCAGACGAAAUUCAAAACAAAAAUGAAAAAUGAAAAAUGAUGAGAAUGUUUCAAUUUGAUUGAAAGUGGUAAGAGAUGACUUGGAUGGCCCCACGAAUAGGGAAAUCCUAUCUGUCAAAAACAAAGUUAAUAUGAAGAAGAAAUAAAACACGAAAUCUUACGUGUCAAAAACAACUGUUAUUUUUUGUCCAUAUUACUAUUACAAUAUAUUAUCUCUCUAUACGCAUAUUUCCAAGCGUUACUAACCACCAAAUUAGGAAACUCCACACAUCAUUAUUUUCUUACUAAUUUUAACCAAAUUUACAAAACAAAAGUCAAAUUUCGAAGGAGAAAAACAAAAAAAAAAAAAAACAAAAAAAAAGAGAGAAAAGAGAAAAGAAUACUCACGAGGUUCUUGCAGUCAUCUUCGUAUAGGGUCAUUGCAUCUCCCAUCAAAAGACCAUUUUGUCUUACGAAUUCCCCUAAAAUUAAAAUUAAAAAAUUGGAAAUGAAAAUCAUUAUUCGGAAAAUUAAGAAGUAAGUUGUUUGGUUAGGGUUUGUUUAAUUUGUAGAAGUGAAACCUGUGUUCUCCAGAACAUACAUUCUACUUCUGUUGUUUGCCCAGUACCUAUAUUAAUUAAACUCAACAAGAAUUUCAAGGGGUUAAUUAAUUCAUUAAUUAUGAGGAAAAAAAGUGUUAAAUUUCCAAUGAAUCCAUUAAUUAAUUAACACAACAAUUGUAAUUUUGUUUUUCCUUUUUUUUUUGGGGGGGCUUACUUGUAUUUCAUUGUCCAUCUUCUGUUUGAGUUCACAUCUCUCACAACAAUUUGGAGACCUUCCUUAUCAGUGAGAAAUGGAAGGUUCUCUUCUGCCUCCCUCUGUGAUGCAUAUAUGCACAAUAUUUGCAAAUUCUCAGCAAAUUAAACAAAGUGUGUCUAUUAGAAAAUCAAGAUUCUAAUUAAUAAGCUAUUUUCAAAUUUCUCUUUUCUAUUUACUUAGGGUUUGGGAUUCGAUCAAAGUGUGAUCGAUGAUAUAUAUAAUUAGUGGUAAUUAGUUCCAGAUUGUAAAGUUGUGUACAAAUAAGGUAGAAAUUAAUCUCUGAGUACAACAACAAUAAAAUUUUAAAAAAAAUGAAAUUUGAUUAAAGUUUUAUAUUUAUUCAUUUUCCAAUACACCAAAAAAAAAAAAAAAAAAAAAAACAAUAAUAGGGUUUCUUUUUUAGUGUUAAGUUUUUCCUAUUUUGUUGUGUGUAGGUGUUAAAAAAAGGGGUGAGGGAUUGUGUGUAAUUUUGGUUUGUAGUUAUUCAUUCCUCUUCCUUUUCCCAUUUGCAUGUUUUUUAGACGAAGUUUUAUCUUAUUUUCACUGUUCUAUUGAAAUAGCAAAAAAAAAAAAAAAAAAAAAAAAAGAGAUCUAAAAUAAGGGUAAGAAAAUCCAAACCUUGGGGAGGACAAUCCUGCCCAAAGAUCCAACAUCACUGUUCUUCAGCUCCUUCUUCAGUAGCAUUCUCAAAAUCUUAAGAGACAAAAAAGAAAAAACAACAAUUAAAGGAAAAGUAAUCAAUACAUAUACAUAUAUAAAUGAAAACUUUGAUUAAACAUCAUAAACCUUAUUGUCAGGAGUACAAAAGGUGAAAAGAUGGCGAUUAUUAUGUGAAGAAUCAGUAUUAGGGAAAUGGGUUAUAGUUAAACCCUUAGAAUAAUCAUCAUGAUAACCACAGGAAGAAGAAGAAGAGGAUCGAGUAGUGAAAGAAGUAAGGGUUCUUUGACGAGCAAGUCUUCUAUUAGUUCGAGCCACUUUAGUACUCCAGGCAUCCAAAGCCUUUUUUCCAUCAUCUUUAGGAAAAACAGACUGAAUGUUUGGCUCAUCGAGCCCAUAGCUAAGGAGGGUGGGAGAAUGAGGAAAACGGGGAGCAAGUGGUUGUGGUUCAUGAGACGAAGAAAAAAACGAUUGUGGGGCUGAGGAGGAAAAUGAGGCCAAGCAAGUUUGGGAGAGAGUAGGUGGGAGAUAACAUGGAUUUUGUGGAGGAGAGUGGAGAUUAGUGGUGGGGGCGGUGACGGCGGUGGAGGGGAAUGGAGGGAGUUCAUGGUGGUGGUGGUGGUGGUUCUGGUGGGGGUUGUGGUGGUCAUCCAUAUAUAUAAAAAAAAUAAGAAGAAAGAAAAAGGAAAGAGUUUUAAAAUAUGGGAAAUUAGGGUUAUAGGUAAGGAGAGUGAAUGUUGCAUUAAGGGUUAAAGGGGGUUUAAAAAGGGAGGGAGUUAGAAGGGGAAAUGAGCGGUCCGAGGCCGGGGAGAGAGUGACAAGUGGGACAAACCGGGUGGAUUUUGGGAACCACAUUGUAUUGAUGUGAGCCAAAGGUCAAGAUUAUGAACAAAGAGUUGUGUGCUUUCUUUUUUUAAGUUUGGGGGUGGUGGCGCCUCUAAUAUAAUGCUUUAACAUUAUUGCUCCUAUUCUUUCUAUUUAGUGAUAUAUAUUUAGUUCUGUCUUUGAUAUUAUAUUGUUACUAAAAUUAAAUUUCAAAUUUCACCCAUGCUUUUUCAAUAAACUUCUAUCAUUAAGUGUGAAUUAUUUACUUAUUGGUUAUUAAAAUCAUAAAUCUUGAAGGAAUUGAAAUAGAAAUGUAAGUAAUUGUGGGGUAAACUUUAAGCACGGAACACCAUGCAACCCCUGGAUUGGCCAUACACACAAUUCAUCUAUCAUCUAAGUUUCAUCCCUCUCUUUCACUUUAAUGACUAUCCAAAAAUCAAAUUCACCAUUGGAUAAUACUAACAGGAUAUAUCCUUUUCUUUUGCUUCUUCUUUCUCUUCCACUUUCCUUUCCAAUGGAAAACUGCAUACCAUAUUUAACUCUCACACACAUAGGCCAAAACCUAAGUUUUACACACUUACACACUUGUACAACUUUACUAAACGUUCGUGUAUGUUUUUAAAUUUUUUGUCUCUUAGUUUUAAAAGGAGAAUUAGGGUUUCUAACCAUUUUUCGAUAAUAAUCAUUCUAUUAGUUUUUGAAAAUUAACAUUAUAAAUAUUCAUUCUACAAAAAUUUAAAUUUUUUUGUUUUUUAAACCUACCAAUUUUGAAAACUUAAAAAAAUAGUUUUAAAACUUUUUUUAAGUAUUAAUUGAUUUAUUAUAUAUAAAUUUGAAUCUUACUUCUAAAGUUUUAAUUUUGUAUAUUAUCAAUAUUUAAAUAUUUAUAAAUAAAAAAUUAAGGAGCUACACUUGUAUUUUAAUCUAUAAAAUAGUGAGGGGAUGUUUAGAUUUUCUGUUUCUUUGAGUUUUUAUUUUAUGAAACAUUGCUACAUAUGGUCUUAUAUUGAUAAGGUACAUCCAUAAAUUAAAAAUUAUAUCACCUCACUAUGAUAUCAAAUGGUUACGAACACAUUAUCAACUCUUGGGCACAUUGAUACUUUACAUACAUGUAUAUUGUAAAAAGAGUCUACAUAAAUAUACAUUAUUGUUAGUCUUCCUCUUUUUUCUUUUAAUAAAUUAUAAUUAUUUGUAUUAAAUGAAAAUCAUACAAAAUAUUCGAAUGAAGAUAAAUUAUCAGAUUAAGUAUAACGACAAAUUUGAAUCUUUCCUAAAAUGAAUGUUACUAAACGACUAUCUUCUAAAACAAAAGACUUUAAUAAUGAAUUAUAGUUUCGAUGCAUAAUCUAUACUUUCAAGGAAAGAAAACAAAAAUAAAUUGUCGUCUCGUGUUAUAAGUAGCGACGACAUAGAUCUUCUAUAUCUAAAAAUGAAUUUGAUUGGUAGCGAGAGUGAAUGACUUGUUAAAUAGUUAUUUACAAUGUUAUGCCAUUGUGAAAAAUAGAAUAUGUAUAAGAUUUGUCACUUUAACGUAUUGUUAUUGUUAGAAAAAGAAAGAAAACAAAAUGUAAAAGAGCCUAUUGGAACGAAGAUUCCCAUAAAAGAAAGAAAACAAAAUGUUAGAGAUAAAUUAAGAAAUUAGGGGUUUAUAUACUUUAACUGAAAUUCUUUACUUUUGUCAUUUUCCAAUGGACUAUGACUUUCUUCUUCUACAUUUAUUGAAGCUCGAGCAAAGCAUAUUUUCUAUAAAUUACAAAACCUAAAAAACAGCAAUUAAAUAAUAUGUGUAUAUAUAUAUAUAUUGUGGAAUUAAAAUUAUUUCUUGUAAAUUGAAUAAUGUUCAUUGUUUAAUGUUAAUGGAAGAGUCAAAAAAAGGAAACUGCCAAAGUAUUUGACGCUGUUCUAUUGUUACGUGUAAUGUACGUAAUUAAUAGGAAGUUACAAGUUUUAUUUUUCUUGUUUUUAAUUAGAAAAAGGUUGAGGUUUUAGUUUAUUAUAUUUUUCAUAUAUAAGCAUGCAAUAUACUUUUUAGUCCAUUUUUAACCUAAUUAAGCUGACUAAAACUUUAUAUAUAUUUGAAAAAAAGGCUGGGAGAGUUUUUAAUAUCUAUUUUAUCAUGAUUAUCAUUGUAAAUGAGAUACAUUUAACAGUGUAAUUGAAUAGUAUGUAUAAGUCACAUGAAUAGUUUGUGAAGUAAUAUUCUAAACAAAUAGUACAUACAUUUUUUUUUUAGAAUAUUUAUGGCUUAAACUUGGUCAUGAUUUCCAAUGAUUGAUUUUUUUUUUCAAGGAGUUGUAACUAUUGUAACGGGUUAAUUAAGUGAUUUUAAAAGAAUUUAAAAUCACUUAGACUGAUUUUCGUUAACCAUUUGGAGGGCGAUUCCAACCUCAUUUCUUAUGAAAAAAAUACUAUUUUAUUUACUGUUUAUUUUUAAUUUUAUAAAAUACCUCCUGUUUUAUUAGAUGAAAAUUACAACUUCUAAAUCACUCUAGACAUGUCCUGAGUAAUUUUAAUUAUUUGUUCAUUGUAAGAAAAUUACCUCAAAAAUUAUAAAUGAUAGAAUAGAAUAUUUGAACUUUUGGAAGUUAAUAAUUUGUAUAAUAUAAUAUGGAAUAUGAUUUAUUUAUUAUUUUAAUAAACUGUGAAAAUUUAUUCUUAAUUUCGCAUGUACUUUUGAAAAUUUCAAUUCACAUAAUUGAAUAGUUUUUUUCUUAAUUAAAAAAUUAGACAUAAAGAAAUAUAGGAAUUAAAUUCUUAAUAUUAGCAUAUACAAGGACAUUUUAUAAAUAACAAAUAUAUAGUAAAAUUUUAUAAAUAAUAAAUAUAUAGCAAUAUUUGAUACAAAAUUGGUAAGUACGAAGGAAAACUCAUUACAGCACUAUUGUGAAAUUGGUGUGCUAUAAACUGGAUCUUAUAUUACAGAAGAGGCCCAUAAAACGGCCCAAAAUGACGAGGCAAACCGUUACUCAUUAUUGCUUAUUAGUUUUGUUUACUAACUUUGAAAAAUCGAUUCUCAAGAAAGAAAGAGAAAGAAAAAAGAAUUUUAAAAUCAUUCCAGAAUAUUUUAAUUUAAUAUUAGAACUUUAUUAUUAUGAAAUCACAAAUACCAAAGUAACGGAAGGGAGUUAUGUUUUGCAUCCCGGAACAAAUGCGUGGGUUGGGGGUGGAAAAGUGGGCUGGCCGUUUUGCUUGAAAAGGGCCCAAAAAGAAGCAAAAAUGGGCCAAUAAGGAUGGUUAACUUAGUGAUUUGGUGAAGGGGGUAGGGGUCCCACAGUGAUGAAAAGUGUGAAGGAGCGAAGGAUGGAGACGGAGUCCGUGGAGUUGGAAGAUGGGAGCGUCAAAAUUUGUAAACUCCAAUGGAGCAGUUGAAACCGCUAACGGACACGAGCGUCAUCUCACCUACUGUGACUGUCUGUCACCCUCUCUUAUCCCACGUGUCACUUUCCUAUUCCUCACAGUCACAAGCCAUGCCUUGUGUUCCUCCUCGUACCUUCGUACUCCCCUUCCCCUUCCAAUAACAUCUCCUUUCUUUCUUUUCUUUUCUUUUCCUUACCACUAAAUUACGUUUCCUUUUUAUAUUUUUCUAAAGUUUACCCUUUGCCUUCCCAUCCAUAUAAUAUUAUUCAACGUUUCUUAUUCCUUCUAUUCCUAUGAAUUAUAUGUCGUAUAUCUUUAAAAAAAAAAAAAAAAGAAACACAUUUGCUAUCAUUAUUAUAACUAGAGACCAACGAUAUUAAUAAAUCUAACACAAUACAAACAAACAAAAUAAAAAACUUUAGAUAGUCUUAAAUUUACAAUCAACUUCAUGAAUCUAUAAACAAUAUAUAGUAGGAGUAUUUCAAUGAUAAAUUAGUAUUGUCGAUUAGAAGUCUAUCAACAAUAUAUAAGUAAGACUUUGUUAUACUCACAACUUUUUUUCUUCAAACGUUUGGUUUGGAGAAGUUGAGUUGAAUUUUUAAGAAGAAGUAAUUGGUAGAGUUUUAAAGUGAAUAACGAAGUAAGUAAUGUUUUGAAAAUUCAAGAUGUUGUAUUUGUAUCGAAUAAAUCUUUCGAGCAUUGCAAUACUCAUGAUUUACUAAUUUAAUGUUUAAUAGGUUUUUGACUUCAAACAAAAUUAUUAUUUAAAAGUUAAUUAUAAUUUAAUUUUUAGUUUAGAGACUCAAAUGGAAAACAUUUUGGUGGAUGGGGUAAACUAAACUCCUUGUAUCAAAACCAUAAAAUUAAUUAAUCAUAGUGUUUGUAUUAUAUUUUUUUAAAUAUGACUUUGAACUUUAUUGUGUAGAGUGUAAACCAAUAAAUUUGUGGGGUUGUAAAAGGUUAUAAGAGGAUGGACAAUUUUAAAAGGUGGGAUUAGAGAUUGACUUGAAGUUGGGACAAAAUGAUUAUGGAAGUGGAGACUUUUAAUUGGAAAUUGGGUCCAUUUAAGAUAAUUAAACAUUUGAAUUUGAAUACUUAAUUAAUAUAAGUAACAAAUAAGGUCUAAUUCAAUACAGAAAGCCCUUAGAAUGAAGGGUCACACACACACACCCUACCAGUCCCACUCCAAAGCAUAAUAAGAUAUAUAAAUGUCAAAUAUCCAAUUUGUUGAAAUGAUGUCACCAAAAAACAAAAACAAAAAAAUAAAAAAUAAAAAAAGAAGAAGAAGAAGAAGAAAAAGAAAAAGUUAAAUUACUGAAAAAACAGAGAGAAGAUUUAGCACAACUCAAAAACAAAAAAACCAAUUCUCAGAAACCAAAACCUCUCAAAAAGACACCAAAGAGAAUUAAUUAUUAUACAUCUACUCCUUCCACCUCCGAUCUGUCAGCAGCCACCGCCCACUCCGCCCUGCCUUUGAUCGCCGCCACGUUCUCAGAUUCUCAAUUAUAUAUAUGUGUGUGUAUAUAGAUAUCCUUUUAUUUAGUAAAAUUGAAUCUUUUGGGUUAUUGUUUAAAGCUAUGUGAUGAUAUUUUGGCUGGAUUUUCUUUUCUUAUUCAGACCAUCAUUCUUUUUUCUCUCCAAUAAUACAUGCCGUACUUCUGUGUCUCUGAAAUUCAACAUCAUUUUGCAAAAUUUCAGAUUCUUUGUUUUCCCUUCACAAAUUAAAUUCAAACUCCCAUCUUAAAAAAAAAAGAAAAAAGAAAAAAGAAAAAAGAAAAACCCUAGCUAGCUGCUGCUGAUUCAUGCACAGAGAAGUGGCAAGUUUGUACCUGUAGUUUCUUGAAACUAAUACUGUCUUCAUUUAUUUCUCUAAAAUCCCAAAAAAAAAAUCUGAAUAUUUUCCUCCCCUCCCCCAAAAAAAAGCGGAAUUUGGUUAAGAGAUAAUAUGCAGUAUCAAGAUCGGAGAUUGAAGAGUGUACAAGUGCAAGAUCAAGUUCAACCACAGCCUCAAAAAUGUCCUCGUUGUGAUUCUCUCAAUACUAAGUUUUGUUAUUACAAUAACUACAGUUUGUCUCAGCCUCGUUAUCUUUGCAAGACUUGUAGAAGGUAUUGGACUCACGGUGGCACUCUACGGAACGUCCCCGUCGGCGGUGGUUGUCGCAAGGGUAAACGACUGAAGCAACCCUCACAAUCAUCCAAUAAUAGUUCUGUAAAGCCGUUGGUACAAACUUCAGCGUCACCACUACCGCCGCCGCAGAUAGUCCCGUUGAGUUUAUCAACAACAACUUCACAACACGUAAUAUAUUCGGGUACUCCUGUCAUCACGCCGCCGUCAUUUUUCAAUUCGGGUGAGUAAUAGGAGGAGUGGAAGCUAGAAAUUUUGAUAAAGAGGAUAAAAAUUUAACCUUUGUUUUGAUUGCAAUUAAAUCUUUAUUCCCUUUCUUCUUGGAUUAAUUGAAAGAUGCAAUUUUUCUGAUGGGGUUUUUUGAUGGAGCAGGCGGGGAAUUAUUGUCAUCUUCAAGCUGGAUUAGUUCAUUUGGAUCAUCGUCACAAGGCCCAGAAAUAAUCUAUGACAUGAUGGAUCAGUCGUCGGGAAAGGCCGAUGCAAAUUCGUCAUCUCCAGCGGCAGGGUGGUCGGAGAGCUACAUCAACAAUAAUUCUAUUUCUAACCCUAUAGCUGCCACCGGAGACGCGGUUGUCUGGCCAGCUGGUGAGAACAACAACGCUACCCUCGCGGCCGCCACCACCACCAACAUUGCUACAAUUAACCAAUGGCCUGAUUAUAUGCCGGGAUUUUGUCCUCCUCCAUGACAUGAUUUAAAGGCAGCAGAUACCAAAGAUGACAAAUCUGAGGAAUUUGAUUCUUUUUUUUUUUUUUUUUUGAAAAAAAAACCCUGAAAAGAUCUUACCUUUGAUAUUAUAUGUAUGAAUAUGCUUUGAAAUCAUUCAUUUGGUUUGAAGUGAGUUAGAAUUGGGGUCGAUAUGUGUUGAUGAAAUUCCAUAGAGCUAGCUCUUGUGAGGAAAAUUAUAUGGAAUAACUUGAAGGUAUGACUAAUUAUAUUUGAUGAAAUGUUGUAUAAGGAACAAGAGCCUAGGGUAGCUAAACUAAACAUAGGUUUUGUUGUAAUAUCAUUAUGUGUAUUAAUACAGGCAAAGAAAAGGAACAACUUGGUUGGGUUAGGUUUUUCUUUCUUCAACACUUUAUUGGUUUGAUUAAAGAGAGUGUUAUGAUAAUGGUAGAUGUAUGGCUAUGUAGUACUUUUUGAUUGAGAUUGGAGACUCUUAGCUUUUUGAAAAUGUAAAGAGAUAAUUAAAUGUACUGCAUGCCAAAGUGCUUUGAGACUGAGGUGAGAGACCCUUAAAAGAAGAGAAUAAAUAUGCUUCUUCUUCUUCUUCUUCGUGAUGAUAAUCGAGGCAGACAAAUGAAUGUGGCUCUCUGUAAAAGUUGGCUGCACAAGUUUUUUUUUUUUUUUUUGUGAUUCGGUUUUGUUUGUUUGAAUAGUGCUCCUACAUAUCGUUUUAGGUAACAUUUGAAUUUUGGAAAAAGUACUACAUAAAGGUGGAAGUAGAGCUUAUUAAGCUUUGGUUAAUUAUGAUAGUUGGAAGAUUGUUUUUGUAUUUUGUGGUUGGAUUUUGCAUAAAAAUGCAGCCCUUUUUAAUUUUUAGUGUAUGUUAUUGUGUGCAUUAAUGAUAGGCAUGUGGUAAUUUUUUUUAUUGGUAUUUGUGAAGGAAGGGAAUGUACUGUGACAUUCAUUUUAUUCGGUUAGACCUGGUCUACCUAUGUAUCCAAAUUUACAAUAAGCUUUUCUCUUUUAAAUUUACUUUAUAUCAACAAAAACAUUAACCUCAACUACAAAUUUAAGUUUACCAAUAUGUUCGAUAUCAAGAGAUAUAUAUUGAUUCAAAUAAAUUUUCAAUCAAAGUUAAUUGUAUUUAAAAAAAAAAAAAGAAGAAGAAGAACUCUAUUGUUUGCCUUUUCAAGUUUAGGGCAUACCUUAAACACCAUUUUUUUUAUUGAUGUUGAAGACAAGUAAUAAAUAAAAGUUCUUAAUUAGCUACCUUAAAUACUAUUUUACCUUCUCUUUUAUUUAUUACAGUUUUUACCAUUUCCUUAUCAACCUAGAUUAAAGCAAUGUACACACUAAAUAUAUACCUUAAAGAUCAAUUAUUAUAAACUAACUAUAAUUGUUUACCCCUAGUCUUAAAAGAACAAUAAUUACCUCUUCCAUAUAUUUAGUUGAAGUAAAAUGCAAUUUGGAAGAUACCUAAUUUUUUCCUAUCUCUAAACGAAUAAUAUAUGUAGCAAUGCAAAAACAUCAUUGAACAAGAUAAUUAACUUUUAAAUUUUGUUUUUAAAAUUUAUGAUUUUCUUUCAAUUGAGCACAUAUACAGACACACCUAUCUUGAACACAAAGUGUUUUUUAAAAUCAACCCACUUUGCAUAACAUACUCCCAUCAAAAUGAGUUUUUAUUAGCAAAUAAAAAAAGGGAACUUAUUAAUUAAAAUGUAACUAUAACUAACACACCCACCUCAUAAAACUUAAUAUUUUAAAUGUUAAGUGGAAUAAUGGAAAUAAGAAUAUAAUGGGAGAAAAACUCCUCUACAUAAAAAGUGAAAUUGAAAUUUUUAAAGAGUUACCUUAAAAAGUUAUAACAAACUCCUUUUGUGUGGAAAGUACCUUAAAAAGAUAACCUUUGAAAUUUAGCAAAAAAAAUUCAAAAUUAUAUAUAAAGAUUAAAUAGAAAAAAAAAAAUUGUAAAGGGAAUUUGAAAGUUACAAAAUGAUAUGAUUAUGAAAAUGAAAGUAAAAUAUUGACGUUCCAAUGGAAAGAUUUAUAUAUAAUUAGUGUUUUAAGUUGUAGGACACAGUACAACAAAUCAAUGUUGGAUGGAGCAAUUUAAUUGGGGGAUUUGGGUGUGGUUUAAUUAAUUUAUUUAGCUGGAGCAGGAAGCAAUCAUAUCUUCAAAGGUGUUGACUCAUUCUUUUGUGAUGGUAGAACAUCAUUACUCUUGUUGUUGCAUUUUGGUGUUCUACAUCUAAAUGAUCAUUUUAGCAGUUCUCUCAUUUCUUUCCCUCCUACCCUCUCUUUAUGCUACUUUUUCUUAUUUGAAAACAUUACAAAACUCAGAAAAGUAGAACUCAACAAACUAUGUUUGUAAAGGACAAAUAAGAGAGCUAGCGUUUAGGGUUGAAUGAGUUAGAAUAUAUCCCACCCCAGGUAAUCGAAGAAGUUGUGAGAGCUCAAACUAUAUUGAAAUAUCCUAUAAUUUACUAAAUUAAUUAUGGUGAAGUUGUGUGAUCAUCAUUAAAACAGAUAUUUGUAAAUGAAGAUAGGAGGGGGUAAAGGCAAUUGGAGUAGUUAAAUCAAAGGCAUGCACGAGUGGAGUCAAGGACCCACACCUACACACACACACACACAUAUAUAAUACAAAGAAACACAUCACAUUGGCCCUAUGACUCAGCGGGUACCCUGCCACUGCCACCCAUCAUUUGGUCACCCAGCACAGCUGCCCCUUUGCCCACAUCACAUAAUAAUUAACCUUUUUUUUUUCUUCCCAUUUAAUAUAUAUUGUUGACUCAAAAUGAACAUUUUUUAUUUAGAAAUAUAUACUAAAUAUUAAUAUAUGGUUGUCUAUUUUUUCCCCCACACAUUUUGGUAUGAUUGCAUGGAAUUGUGUUUUUCACCAUGAAUGCGUUUCUUGAUGAUCCCCAGCAGCUUUUAAUUAUAAAAACCAUUGUUGAACUAAAAUGGCCACCUUCACGUUCACCCCCCUUCUUCUCUGCCAUCUUUCCAUCAUUACCAUACCCACUUCCCUUUUUCCAAACCCUUCUCUUUUCAAUAUCAUUCUACUUCUCACUUCCAAAUUCAAUCAUUUAUCCUACACUAUUCAUUUGAGUUGCAAUGUACAGUAACACGAACUAAAUUAGAGUAGGUCAACAUCAUCUCCGCAAUUAACAUUAAAUUUGUUAUAAAUUAAACUAUAGUUUUUCUUCUUUUGGUUAUGAGAAAAUAAAGGCAGAGAAAGCAACAUUCAGUAAAAAUCCAAAACAGUUGAAUAUGUGACUGCCAGAAAAAGAAAAAUAAUUUAUAUAUUGCAUAGCAGACAUUUGAAAUGAAACAAAAACUAUGGAUGGAGAUUCAAAAAUGGAAUAUUACAUAUAUCCUGAUCUUGUAUUGUACAAAAUUUAACGGGAAAGAAGAUGUUGAAUAGGUUGGAGGUUGCUUGGAAGGCAACCAAAUAAAAGGACCUUAGUAGAUAAUUUAAUGUAUUGGUUGAAAUGACAAUAAUACAUAUAUGUAUAGUGUAUUGGAAGGGACAACAAAAUAUUAAGAGGAAAAAAAAAGUAUAUAUAUUGUCGGUGAAGCAUGAGUCAGCAUAAUAAUUAUAUAAAAAACACAACCACGGCUAAAAUGUCUUCUUCUCAUUCUACAUUGGACUAUUUGUCGUCUUCUGUUUCUUAAAUGUUAAUAGAAUGUUUUUGUCAUAAUGUAUUUUGUUGUCAUUUAAAAACAUUCCGACUAAGAUUACAUUAACAUCACCUUCCCCAUACGUACCCGAUCCCUUUCAUACUCUUUCUUUUUUAUUACUUUUCCAAACCUAAGUUUAUCUUAUUUUAUUUUUCCACAUCUUUGGUCUAUUUUGGUGUAAUUCAGAGCCUCUUCCUUUUAUUUUAUAUCUUUAUCUUAGUAUAUUAUUACAAGAAAUCGAAUGUGGUUUUGGCGUCAAUGCACACAAUGUUGGGUUAUUAUUAAUUACUACUUGAAAUUUAAGUGACUCGGUAGGAAAUUAAUGAGAAAUUGAUUUGAAUUAAAUGGGGAAUUGCAUAUUUUAUUAAGUACGUCGACUUUAUUUUUUACGUGAUGAAAUUGAUUGAAAGAAGAGGAGAAGGAGAAGCAACUGUUUGUGGGUUGAUUGGAUUUAGUUCGGUGGUGUGUGUGUGUGUAUGUGUAUGGUAGUGUACUUUUGGGCCAACUAAUAAAGACAAUAUGGCACGAUAUUGACUUGAUUCUAAUCACGUCAGCCCAUUUAGAUCCCUUUAUAUCCUUUUUUUUUUCCCUCUCAUUUCGUGUGAAAGUAAUAAUUUCUAGAUUCAAAACAUCAAAAUAUUUAGAUAAAAAGAGCAAUGGUACCAAUUAUUUUAUAUAUCGUAAAUAUGACAAAAUUAAUAAUAUCAUAUAACUAUAAAAGGAUAGUAAUUUAGUUACAAAUUUAGAAAAUGUUGUGAUGAAUUUUCUUUUUUUUUUUAUUUUUACAAAAACUCCAACAAAUUUAUAACAUUUUCUUCCUUCUUAAGCUCUAGUUUGUAACUAUUUAAUCUCAAGAUAAUUUUGCAUGCAGUUUUAAAUAUUUUGUAUUCCAACUCUAAUGAGUGUAGUAAUGAUGGUCAAGAUAAGAAAGAAGUAAUAUCGAUUACAAAAUUUAAAAUAAAUAACUAAAUAGUUAUAAAUUUGAAGUAUACACAAUAUUUAUUUCUUUUGUAAAAAUACGAUAGCGUGGAUCAAUAAGAUGCACUAGAAUAUCUUAAUUAAUUUGACAUAUUCGUACGCACCAUUCUUAUCAUAUAUCCGACGUCAUAUUCAUUGCUAUAUCAAUGAAAAUAGAAGGAAGAGACAAUCUGGAGAUGGGCGCCGUGCGAAAAAUUGAAGCAAAACUAUACAAAAGCAGCAAGAUUAAGUGAGAUGGAGGAAGGAUUGUUAUUAAUGUAAACUCUAUUAAACUGUGAUGAACGAAUUAAAUUGUUUUAGUGUUUUUAUUGACUUUAGCUUUAGCUAUGUUCGGAUUGACAAAACAAAAGUAUCCCAUUUUAAGUUUGAUUGUUGAAUUUGUUUGUUUCUAUGUCUGUAUGGUAUUCAAAGCAUACGAGAGAUAGAAGGGGAAAGCUCAGUUUGCAUAGAUAGAAAUGAAGAAAAAUGACAAGAUAAAAGCCAAAAGAAAAUGGGUUUAAAAUUUCAAGAUAUAAAGUCACUGAACCUAUUGUCUCCAUUUUAUCCUCCAUGAUGCAGUUAUACACUUUCUUUGGGACCCAAACUUAAAUUGAACUUCAUUGUAGUUUAAGGGACAGCUUCAUCAUUUAGUGAAAACCAUAAUCCCACAUCCCAAAAAGAACUUAAAUUAUCUAUUAAUUAAUUAUUCUGAUCAAACACCUUAGCUUUAAUUUGAAUAAUCUGUUUAAUUUUGAACACAAAGGGAGGGAACAAAAAUUCAAAUGAUAAAACACCCAAAUUAUUGUAAAAAAGAAAAAUUAAACUUUUAGUGGAAGGAGAUUGUCCAAAUUAACCAACAAAUUUCUCACAUCACAAUGAAAAAUUGGAUAAUGAACGUAAAUACAUGUUUUUCCCCUAACAUAUAUAAGAAAGAAGGGAAAAGAAAAAGGAAUAAUAAUAUAACAUAGAUAUAAUUAACAUUAAACUUAACAGAAUAUAAAUCUCAUAAUUAAUCACCAUUACAAAAUAACAAAUCUCCCUCUUAUCAUCUCUCCCUAUACCCUUAAGUAUUAUAUACCCCCCUCCCCCGCCCCAAAAAAGAAAAAGAAAAAGUAUCCGAUCCUUUGAAACACAUGCAUGUAAUUCAUUAAACACACACCUCGAAUGAGCUAAUUAGGUCUCAUCUAAUUUCUAUAUGUUGAAAUUGGAAUCGAACUAAGGAUAUGAAGAAAGUUGUUGUUCAAAAGUAAAAGGAAAAAAAAAAGAGAUGUUUUUAUAAUUAAAGUGACGAAAUGAAAGAGGAUCCGAGGUUCCUCUCAGCGCAAUUACCUAUAAAAUUCUCAAACCAACAUGGAUAAAUUUUGAAGGAUUUUGAGAGCUUUUGUUGCAGCUGACAUGAUCGCUCCGAUCCCACUCCUCUCGUCUUUGCUCCUCAACCUUUAUUCUUUUUUCCUCUAAAAAUAGAGAGGGAGAUACAAAUACACAUACUAGCUAGAAUAGAGAAGCAACUGACGACCCAUUAUAGUUUGUCGGAUCGUGCCAAUUCCCCGUCACUGUCGUCGUUCCCGAGUUCCAAUAGAUCGAAGAUGGGUCGGAGAAGUUCGAUAGAUCAAUUUGUUCCGUUUGAUUCUGGCACAACCUAAUAAAUAAAUAAACACAAACAAAUAAUUAAUAUAAAUUACGUGUAUCGUCUAUAUCAACAUAAGCCUUUGAGUUUACAACGAUAAUUAACCUGUUCAAAUCCUCAAUCUUGAUUUCCUUCAUCGAAGUCAUCAAAUUUGGAUCGAUAUUACCUAAAAGGUGGGAAUUUCGGUCAAAGGAGAUGGUGGGGUGAUGGAAAUGAUUUGAACUGAAGGGUUGUUGAUGUGGAUCAUUGAAGUGGGAGAGAAGGCCAGAAGAAGAUAACCCUAAACCACCACUACCACCACCAAUGGAAUCCAACUGCAAGAAGAAAAUCAAACCAUUAGAAACAGAAAAAUAAAAACUUGAAAAGUGAAAGUUUGAAAGAGAAGGGUUAGUGUUAUGUACCCCAAAGAACAUUGAGCUAUUGGUAUGAUUUAAAGCUGAUGAAGAAACAAUAUUAGGAACAGUAGUAGAAUUGAUGGGGUUGUGAAUAAGAAGGCGAGGGUUUUGACUUGGAGGUGACGUAGAAUUAGCGUUGACUGAGGUGGAGGAGGAGGAAGAAGUUUUGAGGCGCUUGUUCUUUCGACAACCGCCACCUACAGGGACAUUUCUUAGGGUUCCACCGCGAGUCCAAUAGCGUUUGCAAGCUUUGCAAAAGUGCCUUGGUUGAGAGAGGCUGUAGUUGUUGUAGUAACAAAAUUUGGUGUUGGAAGAAUCGCAACGAGGGCACUUUAGAGUACCUGAUGACGAUUGUUGUUGUUGGUGGUGAUGGGGUUUGUCCAUAAUCCUAGAAGAUGAAGCCAUUAGGGAUCAACCCUUUUUAUCAUGAAACAGAUUCUAAAGGAAAGAGGUUGAAAAAGAAGAAGAGAAGAAAGAAAAGAGAGAGAGAGUAUAAGAUGUUUUGAAUUAGGGUAAAAUAAGAGAGAAGAAUUAGAUAUUCUCUUCCAAAAGCUAAGAAACAAAAAAUGGAGGGGGGGAGGGAGAGGGUGAUGUUGAGUAUAAUAAUUGGAGAGAGAUAGAGAGAAGGGGAAAGAGAGAAACUUGUGGCUAUUUUGUUAAUACAGUUGAAGAAAGAAAUAUUCUUGCAGUUCCUACACACUUUCUCCACUCAAACCAAAAUCCCUUUCAUUUUUAUUUUUAAAAAACAUUUUCUAAAAUAUACAAAAAGAUCGAACUCUCCAUGUUCUCAUGGGAUUCUAAUAUUCAAAGAGAUUAAUGAAUGUACUUCAACCUAUACCUUCCAUUAACUCCCUCAGAUUGCAUUUAUUUUUGUGCAAAAAAAAAAGUAUACCUAUUUUUUAAAAAAUUUACAUACAAAAUUGAAAGUUGAAAUAAGUGUUAAUUAGUUAAUAACUUAUUAGACACAUUUUCAAUUUUUUAGACUAAAUAGGUAUACUAAUUAACUUCUUUUUCAGAUACACUUUUCAUCUCUUAGAUCACUUUUUCAUUUUUAUCUCUAGAUUUCAAUAUGUUAUAUAUUUUAUUACAAUUUUCAGUCAUUAAUUUAAAAUGCUUAUAAUAAUAAUAAUUAUAUUUAUUCAUUAAUUUAAAAUGCUUAUAAUUCAUUUAUCAAAUUGAAACAAAAAAAGAAAAUUAAUAGUUACAAUCAAACUCAAACUCCGCAAUGAUAUAUUUCUACCGUUUUUUUUUUUUUUUUGUUAUAUUACAUCAAUGGCUUUUCGUUUUUCAUAGUGAAAUGAAAUAAUAAAAAGAAAUGGUAAAAAGAGAGUGUAAGAGGACAAAAGAGAGAAAAUUAAGAAUUGUGAUAAAUGUUAAAACACUUUAACAAAAAGUGGAAAAAGAGAGAGAGAGAGAGAGGACAAAAAGACUGUUACAAUGAACGAAAAAUUACACCUUCGUGUUUUAAUUUACAAUUUUGUAAUGAAAUUUCACGUGGUGGGUCUCAAAAUUAAGAAAAGCAAAGAAAAGAAAACCCCCAAAAUUUUCGAAUACUUUAUGAUUAAAAACCCGAAAACAUACAGAUGGGAAAAUUCGAAAGGGAAGGAAAAGACAAAGAGAUAAACUAAACUUCAUAUUAAUUACUUAUGAAUCUCGCAACCCUUCAAACAAUAUUUUCAACAAAACAUUCCAUCACACUAUUAUUCAUUCAUCAUUUUGUUUACACAGUUUACUGUUAAAACUAUUCAUGAAUAUAUGAUAGAGUAGUACACUAAUUGUAUAUUUAAAAAUCUCUUUCUUAGACCUCAUAUUACUUAUAAGAUAGAUAAAUAUCUAUCUCAUUGUCAAUUGAUGUUAAGAUGGGAUUACAAUAUUUAAUAUGACAUUAGAAUUCAUAAAAUUUGAACAUGAAGAAUGAUGAACUCAAAAGAAGCAUCUCCUUGAAAGAGCAUUAUGAGAAUCACAAAUUGAAAAACCAAGAGAUUUUGAGAUAAAACUUGCCUACCAUCUAUAAUAAAUUUCUCAAUAAUAUCAAUUGUUGAAAGUCAUCAUAAUAUCAGAGAGCAUGAAGUCCCAUGUGUUUAAUCUUUGCAAUGUGAUUAUUUUCUAAUCUUCAUAAUCUGUUAGUUGAUUACUAAUUUAAGUUGACAUAUAGGGAAUGUAGUGCAAAUUAAAGGAAAUCUUUUCCCCUUCUUCCAUUUUGAUUCAAAUAAUGAAAUAAUGGUUUAAUUGAGAGUCAGAAAUGAAAGAGAGGGGGAAAGAUCAGGAGGCCAUUGGAGACUGAAAAUUCUGGUGAGCCUGUUUGCUUUAUUUCUGUUUGCUUUGGUGUUAAUGGAGGAGAGAGAAAGCAAAGGGAGAUGCUGAGCCAUGUGGAAGGCAGCUCAUUCAUUCUCUCUCUGUCAAAACAAAAAAAGCAAACCAGAGCUUAGAGAGAACUAAUGGAUUUUGUAGGGCUCCAAGGGAUUUUCUUCCUUAAAAUUCUGCCUCCAUCAAUAUUAUUAUUAUUCUUUCAGAGCAGCCCUUAAUUUUGGUCUUUUUAUUUAAAAAAUAUUAUUAUUUUUUUAAAUAAAGGCUUUGUUUUGGAUAAAGUUUUUUUCUUUUAAAAAGAAUUUAAAUAUUGUUACAAUACAUACUGCCCUUUACUACCCAACCUCUCACUUUUUUUUAAAAAAAAAAUAAAUUUAAAUUAAUCUAUGAGUUUAAAGUAACAUGUAACUUCUUUGUACUUAAUUAUUGUUUUGCCUUAAUAAGGGUUGAUAGAUUAGAAUAUAUAUACAUAGAUUAAUUAUGAAUAACCAUGUAUAUAUAUUAUCCUGGCCUGUUGAAAGAAUCUUUGCUUUGUUCUAUAAAAGAAUACACUGCCAAAAGCUUUCCACUUUAUUUUCCCUACUCCUAGAUCAGCAAUCAGCCCCCACUGUCAAAAAUGCACUUACAACAUCAAAAUGGGAGGCCUCUUGGAACUACCUACCCUCUUUCCAAACCUUGCUUUAUAAUUUGGAUUAUCUUGGAACACUGGAGGAGUAACAAGUAAAUUUAAAGGCAACUAUUUGACAUUGAUAUUUUCUGAACAGUACACCUCUUUUAACACAUCUACUUGAAAAGAAAUAAUCACUUGUUCAACAACUAAAUUACCAUCUAUACCUCAAUUUUAGUCAACUUAAAAAAUAAAAUAUCUAUAAACCUUAAUUAAGUACGGUUCGCAAAGCCAAAGGCUAAAAAACUGUGUAUCAAUAUACAUAAAAUGGGGAGGAAUAUGAACUCCAUGCAUGUAGUAGGGAAUGAAUGUAAGAAGUAACGUUGAGCUGGCUUUGGUAAGUGGAGGUAAAAGUGGAUGGAAAACGUGUCAACUUUGAAUUUUGCGUACCAUGUUUUUCCUAACUUUUGUGGACUUAAUUCCUCCCUUUUAUAAUUUAUAACUUUUUUAUUUUUUAUAAAAAAAACGAUACAUAUUACUAACGUAAUAUUAAAUUUUUAUUGACAUGUUGAUAUUUUCAUUGUAUAAAAAUUUAUAUAAUAUAAAAAGUAAACAAUCAAAUGUUGCCAUAUAGUAUAUAGUUUAAGUAAUCAUCUUAAUUUGGUAUAAAAAUGGUAAGAUGUUUAUUUAGUAAUUUAAAUUUAUUUUAUAGAAAUAUUGGUUGAAAUGAAAAUUGUAUGGAUUGAAAUUUUUGUUAAAUUAAUUAAUACAUCAAUAUUUUCUAUCAACAUCUAUAUUAUAUUUCAAAACAUUGGUGAUCACUUGAUUUAUUUCAUAUACCUGAAUAGUUUAGAGUGACAAAUAAAGAAAUAAAAUAAGAAUAGGAAUGAGAAUAUUAUGGUAAAAGAGAAGUAAAGAAUUUGGAAUAUUUGAAUUAGUAGGGGGAGGGGGGGUGGUCCAUAGACCAUUAACCAUAAGUAUAGGAGAGGACAACCACAAGUUCAUUCGAUUUUCCUUCCCACCACCGCCACCACCGCCGUCCCUAUCAAUCAAGAGAUUCCAAAUAGAAAUAGAUUUUUUUUCUUUUAAAAAAAUGUAGUGAGAGAGAGAGAGAGAGAGAGGUGUAGCCAUCAAUGGCUGACCACAACCCAACUUGCAGCGACAAAGAUCUCUAUCCUUUGAUUCAUUAUCACACUUUUGUGUAAUAAAAACAAAGCCCACUCACUUCUCCAUCUUUUCAUUUCUCAUUUUUAAACCAUAAAUUAAAACAUGAUAAUCACUUGCAAUAUUCCUCUUCUUUUGGGUUAAAAAGUUGAGCUACAAUAUUUCUAAACAGGAGGUAUUAGAUUGUUCUGGCGGCUAAUUUGACUGUAAUAGUCAAUAAAUCAAUCAUAACAGUUUGCAAAAUGUAGACUUAAUCUAAAUUUAGUAGAAUAACCAAAUGUUUUCAAAUAGAUGUGUGGUAAGUAAGCAUAAGUUAUAAUCGUUUAUAAUCCAACACGAUGAAAAAGAUGAUAUCCGAUGAUAUUAAAAUUCAUCAUAUUUGAAUAGUUUAACUUCGUAGAAAGUUGACGUGAGACCAUAACUUGCGGUAAGAAAUGGAUGGACAGAGCUCAAAAAUAAAUUUGUGCAAUUAUAAACUCUUAUAUUUGAGGAUGAUGAAACAAUUUUGGUAUAUAUUUUUUCUUUUUUUAGUUCAAUACCUACAUGGAAUUGUUAAGAUAAAAAAAAACAACAAAGAAAAAAAUAGAUAUAAAGAUUGACAUAGUUUAUUAACAUUGUGUUAUAGUAAUCUUAUUGAGAAGGAUAAUUAUAAAAUUUUCGAGUUUGUGUUGGGUAUACGUGGCAGUGAAUGGAAUAGAAAUACAUAAGAGUCAAAGUUGGAUAAAAUAGAGAAGAUGAUGACAAGUAGAUACAAGUGAGUUAGUGGAGAAAUGUAUAUAAAUAGAUGAAUUUGGAGUUUGGAGUAUGUGAUUGAUUUAAAUUGGUUGGGAAGUUCCAAAAUGACCCAAUACCAUGUCUUACGGACGCGGCUUGAUCAGAUGAUACAAAUUAUGAGUAUCGAUUGGUCACUGUCAAACCCUCCCUUUCCUUCAAUUUCCAUGCAAAAUACUCAUACCUCCACUUUCCCCUUAUCACAAAAUUACAAUCAACCCCCCCUCUUUCUUCCUUUCACAUCCAUCAUCCUCAUCUUAACAGUAAUACCAAAUAAAUCAGAAUAAUUUAUCUUAGAUCAAAAGAGAUUGAAUGGGUGUGUUAAGCCAUAAUUCAAUGCACUGUUCCUCCUCUCUUAACUGUUGGAUACUGAGAACGUUAAUUUUGUUCGUUGUAAAUGUAAUGUAAUUCAGUCAGGUUAUUCUUUUUUUUUUUUUUUUUUUGUUUUGACACAAGGCUCCCGCUCUGUCUAAGGGUCUUUUUAGAAAUCCGUUGAGAGUGUAAUUAACUUGGAUUAAGUGAAUGAUUUGGUACUGAGGACAGAUUAGUUAAAGGUAAUUUGUCUAUAUUAUUAAAAGGAAAAAGAUAGAGAAAUUGAUUUGAUGGGAUAGAAGGGGAAAGGGUGUUUGUUAAAAAUGGGACGUUGGAUGGUAAAAGCAAGAAGAGGGGAAGUUUUCAGUAUUUGUAAAUGGUAGGGUGUGUCUGAUUAUGGGUUUUUAAAAGGUAUUUUGGACUGUUGUUUAUGGCACUAUCAACCCUUCAACGAUCCUUUGGGCCCUCAAGAAUGUUUCUUCUUCACAAUUUCCCCUCUAUGUCAUUUCCAAUACAUUCUUUUUCAUUCCUUAAUUAUUUGUAACUUUCCUUCUCUUCUUCUUCUUCUUCUUCCAUUUCAUUGCACUGUUUUUGUUUGUAACAAUCUACUUAAAAUUAACUUUACUCUAGCUAGGAAAAAAGAGAAAGAACAAAAAUAUGAAAAUUCACUACUAUUUACUUAAUCUUUUUGCUGCGAAAGGAAAGUACUAUUCAAGUGUGUUAUACAAUAACGUCCUAAAAUUGAAUUAUGAUGGAUUUUCCAGUAUGAAGUUUUAAAGAAUAUAAAAGGAUAUAGAUGAAGAGAAAAAGGCUUUAUCCAAUUAUCCAAUUUUACCUAGAUUGGAAUUUAGGUUAGAAAAAUUUGAGAAUAUAAAAUUUGUUUGUAAUUAACUAAAAAAUUAUAAAAGUUUGGACUAUUUAGUUUUUUAAAUAAAAUUGACAAAUAGAUAGCACACCUUAUGAUUAAAUAAGGUUUGUCUUUAUCAUUUCUGCUUUGUUCUUUUGUUUAAUUUGUUUUUACAAAAUUUGUUAUCAUUUCCGUUGAAGAAUGAAUUGUUGAACCAAAAAGAAAAAGAAAAACGCAUCUAAACAAAAGCUCUGCUUCGGACUGGGAAUCAACUUGGGCCUUUCCUAAAUGGGCUAGACCUCCCUCCCCGGCCCAAUAAGUUUUGUUUAUGUUUUUUUUUUUUAAUAUAUAUAUAUAUAUAAAUGAGAAAAAUAAUUGAUAUAAAACAUAGACUUAAAUAUUGUUGUCUUUCUUUAUGAUUUUUCAAUUAGUCUGCAUCAUUCUAAAUUAAAAUAUUAAUUUGACUAAUGAUUAAUAAUUGGAAUGGCAUGAGGGAAAAAUAGUCCAUUAUAUAAAAUAAUGACAAGUAUAUGUCUAAAUAUAUAUAUAUUUAUUAAUAAAAUAGACAAUUAGAAUAUAAAGCAAAAUUCAUUACUGGUUAUUUAUUAAUAUUAUCCAAUUGGUAUCAUCUUGUUUGUUUGUUUGUCAAGACUAUAUUGUCUGACCUAAUAUAAUAAAUGUGCCAUUGUUGAUAUUAAUUUAAACAAUAUUAAAACUCGGGAAAGAAUUAAAAUCCCGCAAUCAGUUAUUAUUGUUUUGAAAAUUGAUUAAAGGAUACCCAUGAAAUGAUGAAGCAAGCUUUAUUGUGAAAGAAUCCAACUUUUAUGGCAUGCUAAGAAAUUACAUUCUAAUACGAUAAGGAAGGAUGUGCUUACGUAUAUAAACAUUAUGUCAUAUUAGUACGAUUAUCAUUGAAAUUUAGAAAUGUUUUCAAAGGUGGAGACAGUUGGCAAAGGAGAAUGAGGUUCUGAAUUGAUUUGGCAUUGUGAUUGAGAUGAGUGGACCAAAAGGCAUGGGUACAGCUGCAUUAAUGUGGUCCUUGAUGUAGGUGAUAAUUAGGGAGAAAUAUUAAUAUGAAAGGCAUAAAAGAAUAAAGGAGAGUUGGCCACUUAGCUUCAUACCAAUUGGCGCUCACAAAACCAAAAAUCGUCUCAUUUAAAAAAUGGGCAUUCACUAACUUGCAUAAGCGGGUCACCAUAUGGAGACACGUGGUGGAUGUGUAUAGGGACAUAGUGCUGAAACCAUUGGCUGAUCCGUGGCUGUCACCUUUGGCCCAGGGUUGUUUAAUAAUACACUUGGAAUCGUCCUCCCCAAUCCGAAAAUGACUGUCAACUAUUAUACCGACAACGACUCUUCCUAUAAACGCUUUUCCCAUACCAUACUAUACAUUUCACCAUGUGACAUAUUUCUCUUUUUCUUUCUCCUUCCUAAUUUUACUUCUUUUAAUCCAAAGUAUAUACUUCUAUCAAGUUAUUUGUAUAUUUACUUACACGGAUUUUAAAACCCAAUAUCACUCUUUCUUUAAUUUCUUGGUCAAUUGAGGUAUAUUUUAUGUUGGUUAGUUAAUUCCAAAUAAUUAUGUCUGUGUGUAUAUGGUGAAGUUGAAAGUAGUCAACUUUUUGUUCUUUUUGUAUUGUUUUUAGCAAUUCGUAGGAUGGAGUUUGGACUGUAAUUGUAAAGUUUACUUUGAGUUUGUCCAAUGAUAAGGCUGAAGAAUUUUCAUAUAAUGUUGAGAUGGAACACAAGCUACACUAAGUCACUCUCAUAAAAUAUUUUUUAUUCUUGAUGUGAUACAUAUAGAAUUUUAGGUUACGCAUUACAACUUUAGUCUAUCAAAUUUUAAAUUUGUGUCAAGCAUGUCAUGAAGUACUUUAAACAACUUUUUAAAUUAAUCUUUGAACUAUCAUGUAUCUAAAUAUAAAUUAUUCUUUUUUUUUAUAUAUAUAUAUCUUAGGUCUAAUAUAAAUAAGUUUUCUAAAAUUCAUGAAUCCUAAUUAACUAGACACCAUUCAUAAUAAUCUUUAAAAAAAACAACGAUAAUCUUUGUUAGAUAUUUUUGAAAAAAAGAAUUAUUAGACGCAAAAUUCAAUAUUAAUGUUCCCUUGUUUUAAAAAUAUUUGAAUGUGUUUGUAAAAUUUAGGAAUAUAUCUAUAUUAAACACAAACAUUAACGUUCAUAAAACAAAUUUAUAAUAUCUAAAGCUAAAAGAUAUAUAGAGAUACAUGUAUAUCAUGUCGCACUAUCCACGUUAUUAUCACGAACGAAUAUUACCAAUUGCACCAAGAGGGUUAGAGAUUCAAGUUCAAAUCUCCAUCUCCACCAAAGAAUACUAUAAAUUCAUUGGUAAGUUUUUUUUUAAUAGUUUAAUGAAGUGAAUGAUUGAAUAAGACUCAAAAGAGAAUCCUCCAAACUUAAAAAGCAAUUCUUUAAUUUUUGAAGAAGCAGCAACCACACAAGUGAAAGAAAAGAAUAGCACUUGGACAAGGACACCAAAUAUAUAGAAAUAUAUACAAUUAAUCAUUAAUUAAUGGAUUAAAUUAAUUAUAUAAGGUUGAACUUUUUAAUAUAUGUGUGUCUUUUAAUUUUUUCUUUUUUUUUUUUUUUUUGGUAAGAAAUAGAAAAAGUAUUUAAUAGAUUUUUAAACAUCUAAUUUUCUAACCAAAUAUACUGAGGUAUAUAUUUGUUCAAAAGAAAUUGAAAGACUAGAAACCUAUUAUAGUAAAAAAAGAAAAAGCAAAGAAAAAAAAAUACAAGGUGUGGUCUCUUUCAUUCACUUUCAUUUCCAUUAUAGUUUAUAUUAUAUAUAUAGUCAUGUGGUUCUUCUAACUUGUUCUACACAUAUAAGACUUCUCUUAGAAAAUGGCAAACUCAGAAGAUCAAGGUUGGGAGGACAUGAUUGUAGAUGAUGACGACGACGAUAACGACAACGAAGAAAUAGGGUUUGUAGAUAAUGAGAGGAGGAGGAGAUCUGGUUUAACCAGUGCUCGGGGUGGUGGCGGAGGGGGAAGGUCAACGGUGGCACGUUGCCAAGCCGAUGGCUGCAAUGCUGAUCUGACCGGUGCAAAACCGUACCACCGCCGCCACAAGGUCUGCGAGUUCCACUCCAGGGCGGCUGUGGUGAUUCUGGCCGGAUUGGAACAGCGAUUUUGCCAGCAGUGUAGUAGGUAAGAAAGAAAGCUUCCUCUUUUUUUUUUUUCUCUCAAAUAAUUUUUUUUAAGAAAACCCUAAUCUGGAUCUCUUAAAUUAGUAUUGUUUUUUUAAUCUUUAUCAAAAUGUUUCACUAUUUAUGGAAUAAAUCUAAUAUUCAAGUAUUCUAUUAAGGGGGAAGACAUUUUAAUUUCCAUUUAUACACUAAAGUGUUGAGUCAAUUCUUUUUUGAAUUUUCUAUUGAACAUGAAACAUGUAUAAUUUAAUAUUAUCUUUUUUGAAAAAAAAAAAGUUGUGUUUAAUGGUGAUUAUGUCACCCAAAUGGUUUUAUUACCUAUAGUAAUUACUUUUCAAUCAAGAUAGUAAAAUGCCCAUUAAUAUAAUAGUUAUUGACUAUCAAUUUUAUUUUUUUUAAAAAAGAUUGACCUUCAUUUUUAAGGUCUGAAGUUUUAACAAAGUACUGUUAUAUUAUAUAUUCUUAAUGGUUAAUUAAGUUUGUUUAAAUUAAAGUUGGUAAAUUUGGAUUUUUUUUUUCCCUCUUGAAUAGAGAUUGAAAGGUUUUACAUUAUUGUUAAGACUAAAUGAAUCAAUUUUAGUUGUAAUAACUUUUAAAUUCAAGUGGGUUUGAGUGAGUGAUACAAUUAAUGCUAUAUUCUCACAGUGAUUUUAAAGCUUUCGCUUUCUUAAAAUUAGAGAACAAUUGUGACAUAGGGUUUUGUGUGAUUGGUGAGGAACUAUUCAUUUUAGUGUUAACACUUUUAAUUAUGUUGGAUACUUAAAAUAGUUUGCUUCACAAUAGAGUUAAUUUAGUGGUCGAAAAUAUAUUUGUUGGAAAUUAUUAGAAUGUGAAUAGGGUAGUUUUAAUAUAGUGACAUUUUUUUUGAAAUUAUUAUAAAAAUAGAGGAAAAUCUAUUAAAAUUUAUUUUUGGCAAAUAGUUCUACUUUUUUAUUUUCUGUGAUGUGCAUAUGAAUUUCUCACUAGCUGUAGCCUAUAACAAUAAUGGUGGAAAAAUAAAUUAGAGGGAAGUAAAAUUGAAAAUAUGAAAGGGUGUGGAGGAUUAUAUUAAAUACGCAUUAAAUGUGAAUUAAAUAUAUUAGAUGGGAAUGGAAAAGGGAGAUGGUUUAGUUGUAUUAUGAUGACAGGUUUCAUGCAUUAUCGGAAUUCGAUGACACAAAGAGAAGCUGCCGGAUGCGUUUGGCUGGUCACAAUGAACGCCGCCGUAAAAUCUUACCGGAUUUUCAUGGCCAAUCCUCCACUAAUUGAACCACACACACUCUCACUGUGUCCACUAAUUACCUAAUUAAUAAUAAAUAACAAUAAUGAUACACUCAUUACUAAUGAAGAAUAAGAAGAAGAAGAAGAAGAAAAGAAGAAAGAGCUGCUCGUUAUUGGAGUUAAUUUUGUGUUGAGAGAGAGUCACAGGUCAUUCUGGUUAUUCUGGUCACCAGUCACCGGCGGCCACCGUGAUGAAAAAUGAAUUUUUAUGCUUUCUCUCUUCUGUCAUCAAAAGAAAACCCAAUUUAUAGCCCUCUUUGUAAUCAUAAUAAUAAUAAGUAAAUAGAUAACAAAGAGAUGAUCAGAUGGUUUAUGGUACUUUUUGCCUCAGUCACAUAUCACUAAAAUCUGUGUGGGAUAUCUUUCUUUCUUUUUCUUUAACAUUGUAGCUGUAGGUUAUGUAUGGAAGCCGGCCUAUGUGUUUAAUUUAAUUGUAGUUUGUUAUAUUAAUUAAUGAUGUUUUGUAAAAGAAAUUACCUAGGGCAACCAAAAAGUAUCAUGAUGUAUCAUCUUAUAUAUAUAUUUUUUACUCUUUUAACUUUGGAUUUUACUUAACUUUGGCCCAUGUGAAAUGAAAAAUUAGAAAAAAAAAGUUGUUUUAAUUCUUAUAAAUUAAUUAAGAGACUAUUUAGUAAAAAAAACAAAUAUUAAAAAGUGAAAAAUUUGAAAUUUAGAGGUAAAAUGGAAACAAAAACUUAAAACUAUAAAGUCAAAAUGUAACAUUAUUAUCUAACUUAUAUUUGUGAGACAUUGCUGUGAAAUUCAAACUUUAAUUAAAACCAACACUUUUGUUGAACUUUGUAUUUUGAAAUGAUGAUAUUAAAUUAUUGACGAUUCUGAGUGGGUAAAGCCCUAAUUUUGCAUUGAAAUAAUUAGGGCUCAGUUUUGGGAUAUGUUCAUCUAUUAUAUUAUAUAAUGAGUUAAAAUUAGUGGGUAAAUGUAGUGAAAAUGGUAAUGUAAAAUCCAAAAUCUUGUAUUCGAUUUAACGUGAAACUUCCAUCCAUUUUCUCUAAAUUUUUAAUUUCAUCACAGUUUCAUCUUAAACUUAGACAAGUGAUAACAAUUUUUUUUAACCUUUUAGCUUUAAAAUAUUUGUAAUCUUUACUGUUUCGUAAGUUUUUGUUUAAAGAAAAACUUUCUUUUUUCAGGUUUGAGAUGAAGUUAUUUGUUUUAAAAAAAUAUCUUCAUUUUGUUAAUGUAAAAGAAUCAACAAACUUGAGAACACCCAACUUGAGUAACUACAAUUCCAACAAGCCUCCAAUCUUCUAAACUAGAAGUGAUUAGAAGUCCAUAUUGUAUAACUCAACAAAACAAUUCAGUACAUUUUGAACCAUUCAAAUUAGAUAUGAAAACGAAGAAGUUACGAUCAAAAGAUGGUUUGAAAGAAAAAAUUUAUGUAACAAUGAUAGUGAUAUACAUUUUAGCAUUUAAAAAAAGCUAACAUUCAAUGGAUUAAUUUCUUUAUGUCUAAUUUAACAAUACGUAGAGAGAGUCAUGUAACCCAAUUGACAUAAAGAUGGAUAAAAAUGUUAAAAGUUUAAUCUCUACCCCACAUAUCAUAUGUGACGUCUUGGUUGAUAAAAUAGCCAAAGUAUAGGGGACUUAAUUUUUUUCUAAACCAUAAAUAGGUUAGUAGAGACUUAUUUUUAAACUUUGUAAUAAUUCAUAGAAGUUUUUGAUGAGUUAUAUUAAAAAAUAAGAGCAAAGUUAAAAUGAGUGUAUUUCAUCGAUAAUUUAUAUUUAUUUUUUCUUUUAAAGUUGAGAUUCGUUUGACACAUACUCCUCCUAAGGUUAAAAGUUCAAAUUCUCUUAUACUUACCUAAAGAAAUGAAGUAAUAGAGACAACUAAAUUGAAGUCGAGUUGGCAGCCUACUCAAAUGGUUAAACUCAUACAUAAAAUAUUGCAUGUGCGUUUAAUAGACUAUAAAUUUUGUAAUUUAAAUGCUACAAAUUCUGAAAAUAACAUCUUAAAAAUAUUUGUUACCUUUAGAUUUUGAAGUACAUAGCUAUACUGAAAGAAGAAUAUAUAAAAAGAUUAACAAAUAUAAUAUUUCAUCUUGAAACAAAAUUUUUAACACAUACUCGAUAAAUAUUAAAAAUUAUAAUUAGUUUCUUCAUUUCUAAAUAUAUUAUCAAAUGCAUUUUGAACGUUUAAUUUUAAUUUUCUAAUCUACAACACAAAUGUAUUAAAUCCUCUAUUUUCAAAUUUCUAAAUCAAAGUGGCCCUGUUAACCUCACUUUAUCAUAUGGUUGAUGUGUCAAAAAGUGUUAUCUGUUUUAGUUUGUUGUUAUGUAAUUUAUGGGCAAGCUUUAACAUUUAAUCCAAUAAAAGUUUAACAAAGUGUCAAUCCAAGAAAAAAAAAGAGAGAGAAGACAUAUUUCAAAUAUUUGAUUUGCCACAUUUCCUAUAUCAUUCGUCAUUGCUUUUUAGAUUAUAAAAAGAAAAAGAUAAUUAUAAUAGAUAGCAAUUUAAGAAAUAAUAAUGGAGUAUAUUGCAAUAAGUUUAAUUAUUAUAUUUGCAACUUUUUUUAAAAAAAAUUACAAAUGAGAUGUCCUCAUCUCUAAAGGGUAAUGUCACGGAACCAAUUCAUAUAAAGAUAAAGAAUAAAAUUAUACCAAACACCCGAAACCAAAAGCAACGCUGAACCAGUAGUUCCCAUUAAAAGAUUGAAAAAUGCACCUGUUUUAAUAAUGGUGUCAUAACUUGCUACGGACUAUAUCAGAUGGAAGCAGCCUUUCCCCCUCGUUAUGAAGAGUUGGCUUUCGGAGUACUUCACGCUGUUCGGCGAUGAACUUUGCAAAUCGAGAACCUUUCCCUUUUGAUUCAUGGUCUUCGCCUAGCAAUUGAGGGAGACCUGGUGGAGGAGAGGGCUUGGGAGAUCGCUGUGACAUCAAUGCCCAUAUAGAAGAAAGCUGCUCAUUUGGUUCAUCCAGAACUUUUACAACUGAGAGAUCCUCCAUGUCUGUAAGUGAAAAAACGAACCGCUAUAAAUUAGAAAUAGGACUCAUGCUGUGGUAAUUUAUGGUCAUAGAACGUAAAUGACAAAAGUUGGUCAAGCCACACAAUACGAUUAAAUUCAGCUGGGAAACCUUUGGAGAACCUAUGGAUGGGUUCCAAAGCUGCACAUGGUAUGCUGAAGUUCAAGUGUGGAAUAAUAACUCCUCGCCCAUGCCUUGCAUUGCUGUAUCAACAUUUCAAACAAAUUAUUAAUUUCCAGUAGAAAUCCUCUCCUCUUAUUGGUAUAUGGAUAAAGAGAUACCAAUCAAACAAUUGAAAGCAUCGGCCAAAUAAAACUGAACAAUAUACCUAAGAAUAGCUGCCCACAAACAAAACUAAAUUGGUCCUACACGCCUUGAGUAAUGAUGAGAGGCUAAGCAAAUUUGCACGUACAAGAACCAGAAGAAUCAUUAAAGGUUUCCCAGGUUUUAUGGCGGCUAAAAUUAAAAGGUCAGUAUUCAUUUAAAAGCAGUUAUUCACUUCCAUCCAUCAAGGAUAUUAUAUGUGGAGCAUGAUGCAAGAUAAAAAUCACAAAUAAAUACCUCGAUGAAAUAAGCAGAUAGCUAAAAAGAGAGACUAGAAAGGAAAAUAAAAUUAUAGCUCUAAUCUCCUAAAACUAGGAGGGCAAUUGAAAAAUGAAAAAUGAAGAAAGCUGAAGUCGAAACAGAGUCAGCUUCCAAACGGUUUCAUCCAGUUUAAUGAAUAGGUUUUCAUACAUUUUGCCAUUUCAAUUCUCAAGUCAAUAGCAAUUUAAAUGGAAAAAUGAUUCCUUGUUUCUAUUUCAAACACAAUGAAUAGUUCGUUUUUUUACCCUAAUAGACUGAAUACUUCAACAUAUCUGGAAAACUCUAUGACCCUAUAAGUUCACCAGUUCCAUUUUCAAUAGUAAGAGCAGCAUUUUAUAAGCUAACCUAAUAUGGACGGUUUGAUCUUUGUUUAUUGCACCGUACCUUGUAACAAGUCCAAUCAUAUGGCCUUCUGAAUUGACAACAGCACCCCCACUACCACCAGGGUGCACUGCAGCGGUUGUUUCAAGCAUCGCAGGAAAAUAUUCUAACGAAUCUCCUUUGUGAUAAGAUGAGGGAAUCUUUGCUUUCACCACAUUAGACACCACACCAGAGCAAACAGAAGGGGACAAGCCUAACAAAAUUCAAACUAGUGUCAGAUAAUGUAAAAUAUAAAUAUUUAUCAUAUGUUUCUCGAGACAUUAGUAAAUUAAUUUCUGUGUAAAAAGAAAAAGGAAAAUAUCAACUUGCAUAAUUUGUUUUAAAAAUAUCAUGUGAAACAUAUACUUCUAUCCAUAAACUCCAAAAGUUUUAGAAUGGCGCAUUAUUAAGAUUACCUAUGAAAAUCUUCAUUGUAUCAAUUCUUACACACAUGGACAAUAUUUGUUUUGUUACAUUUAGGAGUUUAGUUAAUAAUUUUAUGUUUGUCCAAAUGAAAUGUAAUGGAGGCUAUAAAUUGAUACACUUUACUUAAUAUUUAAAUAAGAGAAGUUCAGGAUUUUAAAUUAAUACAAUUAUUAGUUUUGAUUAAAUUGAUACAAGUUCUUGUUUAUGGGUAUAAAUUGAUAUUUUCCCAAUAGAAAAAACAGGAACGCUAGAAAAUUAGUUAUCCCAUCCAGAUGAAAAUGUAGACAGCCAUUAUUCAGUGGAACACCACUUCAUCUGUAUAAUUAGAAAUAACACGUUCUUUUUCUUUCAAGGAAUCCUUUUAGGCAAUCAAGUAACCCAUCAAAGAAUAAUGAUGAUGACUGCAGAAUGACUAUUAAAACUAUUUAAAUGGUCUAAACUGGAUAAGAAGAAAAGGCUCCUUCAUCCGGUUCAUCCCUAAUCCCGGAACAAAACUUUUUCCAACACCAACAUGAACCAUGGCAAACUAAAAGAUCACACAACAAUAAUAAUAGACCAAUAAAUUAGAUGAAAGAGAUACCAGAUUUCGGUCCCAACAGUCCAUGCCCAAUAACAUGUAUCUUUGACCCUGAGGUUGGGCAAGAACAAUCCAUUGUAAUAGGGGAGAGCUGCUCUGGUAUUUGCUCGAGCUGCAAGAGGGCAACAUCCCAAGAUCCCUUGCAGAUGUAUAACAAUUUAGCAUCACACCAUAUCCAAGGCUCUGCAUGACUCAAGCGAACAUGCAAGUUUCUACGGCCAUAGUUAGGAAAACUUAACUUAUUAUCCUCAAGUUGGUUGUGGAGAAGAAUAUUUCCAUUUUUAGAGGCAUUUGGUUCUAUAUUUCCAAUCUCUUGGCCGCCAAAAACACUGUUAUUCAUUGAACACGGAGAAUGCUCAGUGUGGGACUGCAGCAGCUUGGCAUUUUCGAUUGAUUUUUCUCCACCAACAUUUGUUUUCCCAAAUCUCCAUGGCUCUAUCAAGUGGGCAUUCGUGAGUAUUAGGCCUUGGCUGUUGAGCAAAACGCCAGAUGCCCAUAUUCCUUCGCCCAUUGUAACAAGACAAACAGAAGCCACUGCCUUCUCAAUUUUAAAUGGGAAAGGACGAGAACAGCCAGAACUUUCUUGAAUACUGCUGAAGCCUCCCUCAAGUUUUUGUUCCUUAUUCACUGCCAUAUUCCCCACAGCACCAAUACACCUGUUGUCGUUGUCAAUCCUUUCUCCAACAUUACAAGUACCUAGCAGUAGACCACUGCAAGCAGUUGCGAUGGCUCCCCAUGGAAUCAACAGCUGUUACCAAGCCUAGAGUCUCACACAAUGCAAUAACUCCGAGUGCAAUUAAAUUAAUAGCAUGUAAAGAGGCAAACAGAUUCAUUAUACCUGAAUCUCAGCACCAGUCAUAUAAUGCACAAGUGGCCUAAUCAGAACACCAAUGAGACGUGCUUUUUCAUCAAAAACUGGACAGCCCUCCAUUCCUACCAGAGAAAGUAUCAUAGUUGUAAGAAAGAAACCACCAGAAGAAAACAGAAUACAAUAGAACAGAAAGAUAAACAUACCAGGAAGACACCGCAUGUCAGCCAUCAGUAAUGACUUGCUCAAUGAGCUAGGAGGGUAGCAAUUGGAAAUUGAUCCGACCGAUAAGCUAAUUUGGUCAAAAAAUCAAAGACUACUAGUCACACAACAGACAGCAGAUGCAAUAACAGACUCAACCUGAAUUAUUUGACAGUAUAUUUACCCCUUGAAAGCAAUUAGGAUUGGCAAACAAAAAAUAGACAAGUAAAUUCAGAAACAUGUCACCAUUGUUAAAUAUGAAAGAAGAGAAAAUCUUCUACAGCCAUCUGCAGAAUUUGUAAUCAAUCAACUACUAACAUCUUCAGUGACAUUCCAGUAUUCCAUUUAAUCAUGCUGAAACCGAUACUAACUGAACUAGAAAAACAAGAGAGGAACGGGAGCAUCUAGGAUUUAACAAAAUUUAAGUGUGAAUAGAGUCCUAAAAGUUUGCUAGUCUGGAACUGUUUGAGAACUCAAGGGUAAAAUUGUAUGAACUAUGUAACAGAUAUACCUGUUAAGAAAAUGCACUGGUGAUAGAACACCAAAAGGAGAACCAACAGCAAGAAGAAAGGAUCCUCUCUGCCUUGAGGGAGAUAUACUUAUGUUUGGCAUGUCCUAGAAAGAACUCAAAUAUUAGUAACUAGCAGUAGACAUUACAAGUAAAAAAGACAAAGCUAACGCUAUAAACAUUCAUGAAAUGCCUAACCUAUCCUGCAAUCUAUAGAAUUGAAAUUUUCUAAUGAAUGACAGGUAAGGAGAGGUAGGAAUUCACCUUUGAGAGUGAGGGAACACCAAGAAUGGCGAUUCUUAUUGUUAAGUCAUUGUUCUUGCUAGAUCCCUCCAAAUCCAAAAAUUUCUGGCUACCAACAGAAGUUCUCUUUUCAUUUUCAAUCUGAAAAUGAACCAGAAACUACACUAAGGAGACUUAAAAUUGGGGGGGGGGGGGGGGGGGGGGGGGGGGAAGGCAUAAGUAUGGAAGCAAAACAAAAUAAGUGCAAUUAUAUUAAAUUUAUUGAUGGCUCUCUUUCUUUUUCUAUUGUUUCCCAAAUAGAGUUAAAACAACUUGGGACACUCUGCGAAGCAUAAUGGAACUCUCAGUUUUGAUCUAGGUGGGUGCCUCAUUUGAGCAUUAUAUUUGGCUUCAUCCUAACCCUGCUUUUGUUGCACUUUCCACCAAAUUAAUAAAAGGUUUUUUUUUUUUUUUUUUUGGUUAAAUGGGUAUCGAUUCAGUUAGUUGUUACAAGCAAAUUCAAUUUGACAAUGUGCAAAUGCUGUAGCUUCUUCUAGGUGGCGAUACAGAAUUCUACCUACAUUGCAAGUGAACCUUUUAUAGUUUUAUAUAACGAUUACCUGAGUUGUCUUGUGAUAUAUACUAUAUAGAUUACAAGAGAAAGGGAAAUAUGUAUGACAAUUAAACUAUUUUAUCAACCAAAGGACCACUCACCAUGCUAAACUCUUACAAAUGUGGUAUGAUAGCUCUUCCUAGAGAAAAUUUGUUUAAUAGAAUAUUAACUCGAACAACCUUCAAAUUUCAUUUAUCAAGCGUUAGGUUCAUUUCUUCAAAGAGUAUUGUUUUAGUUCAUAAAUAAAAGACAGCAGAUAUUAAAACCUGUCCCCGAAGAGAAUCCCUAAAAGAUGGAGAACCAUUUGUAUAUGAGGCCAAGGACCAGCCGACCUCCCAUCUCUGAUGUAAUGAAUCUAUGGAAGCAUCCAUGACUGAUUGAAGAGCAGUGGCAGAUGUAGGUAUAUCAUACUGCAAAAUACAGUUAGCUAAAUUGACAAAAAAAAACAAUUGCAUGCCAGCUAAAUAAAUUCAAACAAGCAAUAAAUUAUUAAAACAAAAUGUGCAAAUGUUUACUAUCAGAGGCAGAGCAGGUGAGUAAACAUGGUGUUAUUGGGAAGAACACAUACUCCUAAAUUUACUUAACGUUGUUUUAUACGGUAGUGGGAUCAGAAAACCUUAUAGCUUGAAAUAAAACUGACAUAAAAAAUAAAGGCUGAACCUUAUCCAUGAUUACAGAAAUUUACCCUGUGAGUUAAACUUCACCCCAUAAAAAUAGAAGUCUAAUUUGGAUUUCAUGAAACUGUUGGAAUCCCAACUAAAUAGUGAGAAAAAUGAAUGCCUACCAAAGCCAACAAGUGUGCAGCAUGCCAGUGAGGAGUUUUGCUAACAUCAGAAUCUCUCGAGAUACCCUGUGUCGCAAGGGAUUAUUCAUAUGUGAGUUUUGAAUGCUAAAUUAACCAUUCAAGAAAACUUAUGAAUUUAUCAAAUAUACAAUUACAAUUUACAAUCUUAUAAAUUAUACCUCAACCAUAAUGUCAAUCUGAACACCAGGAAUUAACUCAGGCUUUCCCUGCAGCUCGUAAAAAGGCUAAUCAAAUAAAUUGACCCAAUUAAUCACAUACAUAAGAAGUGGAAAAAAUAAUUUUAUAACUACAACAAAACCCAGAACAGUGACAAUUCCCCCCUUCUGCAGCAUUGUAAGUGAAGUUAACCUUAUGAAUCUUAUCUCUGUGUUGAAGUGGCAUAAAAGGCUCAAAAAUGGAGGAAACAGUAAGAACCAAUGUUGCAAAUUGAUCCUUAUAAUUACCAAGAUGCUUAGCGGCCCUGGUGUCAUAAAGGGUUUCAGGUAAUAUCAUUCCAGAUGCUGAAAGAGUUGUCCUCCCAGAACUUCACAUGCCAAAAAAGUAAAGGGAAUCCAUUAAUUAUUUUCCAAGUUAAAGACAUACAACCCCUAAAAAACAAUCUAUCAGAUAAGAAAUUCUCACUGAUACUGAUGGAAUGCAUGUUUUUGCAUCUUCAGGCCCUUCGGGUCCUAAAUCAUAAGGCUCGCUGAUUUUUCACCAUCUCAACGGAAAUUGAAGCAUGGGAACAUGGAAAAGGGGCAAGAAAGAUAGUGACUCACAGGGCCUUGGACUCUGACCAUGAUGGCAAAAUUUCUAGCAUGAUCCACAAUUUCACGUUUCGCCAUGACAGGAAGAUUGGCUGAUUUAGAGAAAGAGUACAAGUUCAAAAUAAAAAUAAGCUCAAUUGAAAAAACAAUUAUGCACUUUUUCCACCAUUCCUAUGAAAAUAAACUUAAAAUUCAAAGGCGAGAUAAUGAAAUGAUUCUGCUAUUGCCUUCAGGUAGAAGCUUACAAUUUGUGAAACCACACUAGCCCAGCCAGGCAUCCACAUUCUAAUACUUAUACCGAGUAAAUAAAAAGAUUCUCAACACAUUCCUUGAUGAAUUCACUGAUCUGAAUUGUCUGGUCUUAAUUUUGCAUUAAGAAAUGUGUUUUCUACAACUAGGAGUUUGCUCGUUUCUCCUACAACCUAAACUAAACCCCUCAAGCCACUAGCAUAUCAUGAGAGGAUUUCCUAUCCAUAACACAUAGGAUUGUCAAUUUAGAAGAAAAUGCAAAAAAGAUCCUUUACGCAUAGGAUUAUACUCUUUAUUUUUGUCAAAAAAAUCAACGUUCACAUAAUAAAAAAAACUAAAUUAAAGUCCUUGAUUGUUUAAAAUCUAAAUAAAAUUAUUAGUAUCAAUGUCUGUCAUUUAAAUCUGAAUAGAAUUACUAUUGCCGCUAUUUCAUAAAACCCCAACUUCCGUUAAAUAUCAAUUACAGAUACCUUAUUACUCUCCGUUCUUAUCGUAAAUACAGUGACAUUAAUUAAUAAUUAAAUUCAAAUGAGAAUAAAAACAUAAAACUACAUUAUUUACUAUACAGCUAAGAAUGGAUAAAAACAAAAAAUCAAAAGUUUUUUUCCCAAGCCAUUGUAUUAUAGACUAAAGGUUUCUUCCAAUCGUCUUCGUUCCGUAUUUAUCCUCGUUAGGUCAUGGUAUUACAUUCUGUGAAUUAUCCACAAAAACCAAAGUCAUCAAGCACUUACCUUACUAAACUUUCUACUUGUGUCCCUUCCGUCUUAAUUUGAACUUUAAUAUUUUUCACUAAAUACAGAUAAUAGAACGGAAUUUGAAGAUAGUUAAGUUAAUUACAUUGAUUGUAUGUGAAUAUCCAAUCCACAACCAAAGCACUUGAUUACUUGAUUUCUCAAGCAGGAAUCAAAUUGGGAAAAGUCGAAAAUCAUAAUCAAUCAAAAUAACUUCAAUGAUUAAUCUUGAUUGUACGUUGAAACACAUUGAAGAACUUAAUGACACACCAUAAAUUUACAGAUAUUUAUUAAACCCAAGAAAAACACGACCAACCGAAAGUAUCUUCUAUGUUCCUCUCAGAAAUAUAGUAAAUACUUUACUAGCAGAUACAUGAUUAUCCGCCAAACGUCCUUAUCUAUAAUAAUCGCCCGCAAUCAUCCAAGAAAUUCAAAUCAACUUCACAUGCGGUGAACGGAAGGAUAGAAGAUAACAGAAAGCGAAGACGAAGAAGAUAAAUAAUGAAAUAGAAAAUUAAAAAAAAAAAAAAAAAAAAAAAAAAAUUGAAGGUAAGUUCAUAGUAAAUCCAAAGAUAGUUAAAAGACGAUUGAAGAAAAAUUGUGGGGAAUGAGUUACCUGUGAAGUAGUGUGAGAAAGGAAGAUGAAGAGGCCGGUGUGGAGGAUAGCAGCUUCGGUUGAGGCAAUCAGCAGUAGACCUUCUUCUACAGGAGACGCGCGGGUAAGAUGCUGCACAAAAUCAGAAAUGUUAUCUUACGGCACGCCUAUUUAUAGUGUUACUAAUUUAAUAUUAUAUAUAAACUAUUUACCCUAAGGUUAUAAUUAAAUUUUGGAUGAUUGUCAAAAAUAGAAAAAGAAAGAAGAAAAUACUACAAGUUUAGUAUUCCACUUAAAAUUAAAAAUAGAAUAAUCUAAGCUUUGGUAAGUGCAUUUUAGAAUUUAAAUUUUGUAAUAUAUGAUUGAUUCUACUCAUUUUUUUUGAGGUUUAGAAUUUUGAAUUUUUAAAAUUUUGAUGGAUGUAAAUUUAUAUUUAGUAAAUUAAUUUUGUUGAUGAAAAAAGUUAAUUUAGUUUUGAUAAAACUCUCACCAUAUAGGUUUGAUAAAACAUUCAUAAGCUCAUAAAAUAGUAUUUUAAGGUUAAAUUCUAGCUCUAAUUUAUAUUAUUUUUUUAAUGGUAGGAGUUAGAUUAUAAUUUAAUUAAACUAAACUUGUAAUUUGGUUUAAACGUAUUAAUGUCUUAAAAAGAUUUGCUAAUAGUUAAUUAUGUGUUUAGUAGAAUUAACUUGUCAAAUCAUAGAGGACUAAUUAUAUAAAUAAAAAAUAAAGAAAAGUGUUAAUAGGUAUUCACAUUAAAAGGAACUAAAUGAAUUUCACCAUAGCCAAUCAAAUGUUGUCGCGUAUUCGUUUUUGUCCUUUUGAAGUGUAUAUAUCGUUGUUUACACAUUUUUUUUAAAUGGAAAACAAAGGGUGAGGUGAAGCAUUAUUCUGAUUUUAAUGCAACCAGUAAAUUGAAUCAAAUGGAGUUGGGUUUUUAAGUUAAAUGUUGGAUUUUCUAUCUUAUAAAUGUAAAAAAGAACAGAAAAAAUUAUACAACUGUUGUUAAUUAAUUUAUUGAUCUAUUAUCUUUUGAAGAAUUUUCUAAAAGUGUUGUUAAUGUUCAGUGCCAUGAUAUUCUAAAAUUGUCAACAAUAGCUGCGGGUACUAACCAAUAAUCUUGAGAAAGUCCUAGUGGGAAAAAGAAUCAAAACACUAUCCUGCAUAAAAAAUGAAAAAAUAAAGCAAUAUACAUCAAAAGAGAAAAAAAGAAAAAAGUAAUUCUAACUCUUCUGUUGUGACAAAAGUACUAAGCCCAUGUUGCCAACAAAGACAUGCCUCCAACUCCCAUCAAAACAGCAACAUAAGCCCAUAUAUGCAGCUUGAGAUUGGCUUGCAAUUUUGGCCCCUUGAAAUCAUGCGCCAAUAAAUUAACCAACGCCAUGUAAUUCAGCAACCCUGCCGAUAAAGCAUUCAAAAUCCCCACUACUAUUAGCGCCGUCGGACUAUUCUCACUGUACACGUUCGACAACACAAUCCCCAAUCCUAUUCCAAACGGCGUCGUAACCGAGAAGAAAAACACCAUUAUCGCCUUCAUCUUUAUCCUGUAUUGCGCCUGCAGAAUGCACCCUCCAAGCCCCAUCCCUUCAAACAGUUGAUGAAAGCACAGCGCAGCGAUGAGCGGUCUUAUGGUGCACGGAUUCUCCGAAGCCCCUAGUGAAAGCCCUAUCACUACCGAAUGCACUACAAUCCCAGCUUCUAGUAUUUGCGCGAUAACACGGUGUCGUAGCAAUUGCGACCCGAGUUUUUCUCCGGUUCCUUCUUCUUUCCCCAAAUUUUCACUCAUUUCCUUGCGGUCCUCAUUAUUGAUCUCCUCCUCCUCUUCUGAUAAUUGAUCCUGCAUCGACUGUUUAUUGAAGUGACUCAACGAAAACGAGUCCAACAUUAGAGUCAUGAUAGCGGAAAGCAUUGCUAUGAAUGUGGGGAAAGGGAAUUUCCGCCAUGGAUUCUCUGGCAAACAGGGGGAUGUUAAGAAAUCGUAGGAAUCAGGGAGAACGUGCAUAUAACCAGUUGCUAGAAUCACACCGGAGGCAAAUGCCUUGACGAUUGCAAAGGUUUGUCCGUCUGGAUGAAGAACUGGUAUGGCGCGGGAGAAGAGAGGAAGAGAAAUGCCGAUCAUGCUCGCGACUAAAAUGGUAGCAAUGGAGAUGAGCUUGAGUUUGAGGGACUCGGCUCUGUCAUGGCAGUCUUGUUGAAGCUGAGCUUCACAUUCGGAAUCGGGAGAUGGAAUUGAAUCUGAAAAUGAUAGGGAAAUGAAGGACAAGAGAAGGAGAAGGAAUAUGAGAUUACGAGCCAUGGCUGUGCUAAAACUAAUCCAAAAAUAUGUGAGUUCUUUACUGAUUUCUGUUGAGAUUUAACGGAUUCAAACUGCCAUUGAAAUGGCGGUAAUAGCCUCCAUUGGUCGAAAGAAAAAAAUGGAGUCAGAUUCUAAACUAGAGGUGAAAUGAAGGGUAUUUUGAUAAAUGGACAUGGAAUUGUAAAACUUGAGGUGGGCGUGUGGAAGUUGUGACGUGCACACAGGUAUGACUAGACUUUCGUCGAGGAGAUUUACUCUCUACAGCUGACGUGGCAUCGAUUAUUUACUUUUACCAUGCGUUACAAUGCCACGUAGAUUGUAUCUCCCUCUCUAUAAGGUAUUUUCAACUUAAUAAUUCAACCACUUUUAAUUCAUAUUUUCUCAAACGUGUUUAUAUCCUAUUUAAUUUAUAAAUGAAGUUUAUUUUCUUUCAUAGUUUAUAAAAUUUACCCAUUUGAUUAAUUUUCCAAAAAAAAAGCUAAUGAAUGCAUGAAUUUCGUUUCUCGUAGAAAAUCUCCACAAAGAGAUUAUACUGUCUAACUUCUUUUAAGUCCUAUAAUUUUUAGAAAAUAAGGGCACACUCAAUCAUAUAAUUUAAUAUUAAAUAAUAAUAUAGAACAAAAGUGAUAUAAUUAAAUUAUGCAACUAAUUAUACAAAACGAAAACGUUAAAAUAGUUUGGACUUAAGUAGUAGUGAAAUCACUUGGCCUUAACUCAACUCAGAUCCCUCUGCCAAAAGGUUAGCAGAGACCAUUGCAAACUUCAAUGUACAAGAAAUUAAUCAACCAAGGCAUCUUUCACAUUCAGCCACAAAUUAAAACAAUAUAAAUAUGACGUCCAAUGGCAUCUUAUCUAAACAUAAACUAUCAUUAUUAUAUGUUUCAUAUCAACAAAUUAAACUUUAUUUUUUAUUUUGUUGUCUUAAUCAAGACCUUACAGAACACUUAAACUGCAUACAUAAAAUCAUCAUUAACUAAACUCAUCCAAUAACUUGAAAUAACUUAAUUUUCUACUGGCAUUUAAGGAAUGAUAUAUUAUUAAAUUUAUAUUCUCUUGUAGAUUUAUCAACUUGAAGGAACGGACAUUUUUACAAAGCAUUUUAAAAUAAGAAAGGAGAAAAAUGAGUGGAUAAAACACAUUCAAUUCUAAGAUGGUUGAACUCAGGAAAUAAGAAAUGGGUAGGUGGGUAAAUAGGGAAGUGAUUGCAUUGGGAACAGCCAUGAAAAUGAUUGUAUGUAAAUGAAUUCUCUGUGCUGCUUAGAGGAUCUGAAAUCAAAGAUUAUUUCAUUGUAAUUACGAGAGGGAAAGAGUAUGUAGAUAAACGACCCAUUGACUUUUUCUUUCUAAAAUGUGGCCUUAUGGUCUCGUUCUAAAAAGAAAAGCAUAUUUGAAGCAUUAAGCUGCAAACAUUGUUAUUGUUAAAUUGGUAGAACAGAUUUACAAAUUACAAACAAAUAAGGAAAUAAUAAAAAGGAAGAGAUGAUUUGUAUACAAAAUGACUAAAAUACGGUAGAUUGAUUUAUUUGGUAGAGUAUGGAAAUUGGUAUAUUAUGUAAAUUGCAUUUUUGAUGAAAGAGCGUUCCAAAAUUCUUUGGUGUUGUGUGCUUUUUUUUCUUUUUAUUUGUUUAAUCAAAAUCUGAUGCCGUGGAAAUUUCGUAAAACCACGAAAACGAGGCUCCCUCCCUCUCGGCUCUGAUAUUUUGCUCCACCGCCCCCUUCCAUCGUGCUCUACGAACCUCAAUUUUUCUCAACUUACAACUUCUUUUCCUUCUUUCUUCAACUUAUUUUGCUUCAGACCGAAGCAAUGCCGGCUCGAAAGCGCGCUUACGACUCUCUCGAUGUUGAUCUUUUGCCGCCGCGACUCCAUAAUACCUUCAACAAUGAACGCUCUCAAGAUGAACAAUCUCAGGGUACGCUUCUACUUUCUCUUCACCAACCUUAAUUUUCACGAUGUACCCUAUUCUUUCAUCUUCCUGCAUUUCAUAUAUCUUAUUAUUUCUUCUUUUAAUUAUUUUCUUUGUGUUUGUACUGAGUUCGUGGUGUUCUUUCUCGUUCCUUCUUUUCCCAGAAUCCGAUCGAAGCUCUUCGUCCAGUCAAGGAGAUGAGGACGAGUAUGUUCCGUUUAUGAGCUCUGUUUUGCGUUUGCUUCUUUUUGUUCGUCUUCUUUUUCGUGUUGUUCCCUUUUACUCUAUUUACUCUUUUGAUUUAUUUCGUCUGGUUGGUUAUGGAGUUUCUUUGGUGGCUAACUGGCUGGGAUUGAUUUGGGAUCUGCAUGGUGUGCUUCGUGGUAUUGUUCAUUGAGGUCUUGCUGUGACCGUAUUCGAAGACCAGCUGUGUAGGCUUCACGUACUGAGGCACUCGUCGAUUUUUUUCCUGCACCGGAGUUUUCCUUACUUUCAAGUUUUGCGUUCCUUUUCCGAUUAUAGUUAGUAGAAUUGGGAGCUGGAUCUUGUGGGAGAAGUGGGUUCUCGAGGUUGUAUGUGCGAUCAAUCUGUUUUUACAUAUGCUAUGAGUUGCUGGGUGGGUAAUGACGAUGGAGCUCACAUGGUUUUAGCUUCUUUAUGAUGUUAAAGCUCACAUGAUUCGAGAUCAAUUAUUGACUCAACGUGGAAUCAAGCUUACUAUAACUGAAGCGUUCACGGGAAAAUUUUGGUGGUUCCCGCCAUUGAUUAUCGGAUCCAAUUUUACGCAAUUUCCAAUAGGUUAACGACUGGAAAUCCCGGCAUUUCAUUAGGAACGACUUUACCCAAAUUCUUGACAGCUUGAGCGGUGCCCUUUCGCUCACGCGAUGAACGAACUAUUUGGGUUUGGGUCGUGUCAUAGAAUAUUUGUGUUUGAGACUAUGAACAGAAAGUUGUUUAUCGGUUCUAUAGUUGCAUGGUGAACAGUAGAAUUCCUUGAACAAUUAACACGAUCUUAGGUGUUUUGCGAUUGUUCCGGCAUCCUAAAUUUCUGUCUGGUUUUCUUUUCCAGAUUUAUCGCCGUGAAACUGUCAGACAUUCGGAAAGAAGUUCAGUGUCCAAUCUGCUUAGGUAUGUUUGACUAAUUCCUUCUUGCUGAACAUAUUUAUCUCACGUAAGAAAAGAUUUCUAUUGAUUUGAACAUUUGGUUUGAAUACUUAUACAAUUUGCGGUCUCCAAGUGCAUAAACAUGCUUACUACUUGAAAACGAUCUAGCUGUUUAAUAUAGGUUUCAAUGUGUUAUCCAGGUCUUUACUGACUUUUACAAGAUUGUUGUUACAUACUGAAAAUCAAUCAUCAUAUAUAAUUAACUUACUUUUGUUAGUUUGUAAACUGACCUACCAAUAAGGCUAUUUCAAAUAAUUUAAUUCCGGGAUGAAAUGCUGUGGAGUAGAGGAUUAAUUUUUCCACCUCCGAGUGAGUGAAUUAUUUCACAUAUGAGGCUAUGGGAUUUGGUUUUCAUUUCUUUUGGUGUUCAACGUUCCUAUUGGAACCUUACCAUUUCAGGCUACAUAUAAGUUCAUUUGGAGCCACUGGUUUGUAAUGUUGUUACAUGUUUGCACACAACAAUUUGUAAAUUAAUGCCCGUAUUGUCAAGAUUCUUGUUCCUUGCUUUCAGUUUAUGCACUGACAGCUAACACGAAAAUAUCUUCCUUAUCAUAAGACAAUAACUAAAUUCCAAAUCAAAACAUUCCUAAAAUUUGACAUUUUUCAGUGGUUGUAUUAAGUACUAUGAGCCAUGACAUUCUAAGUCUUGGCAUGUUUGGAAAAUAUAUUUAGGUGAAUUUGGUGAGGUUACCUCAGAGUCAUUUUGGAUGUUUAUGCAUGAGUAGUUUUCUUAAGGUGGUCGUUAAGUGUUUUUCAAUUCAUAAUGUGCAGGAAUCAUAAAAAAAACCAGAACAGUUAUGGAAUGUCUGCACCGCUUCUGCAGGGAAUGUAUAGACAAAUCGAUGCGUCUAGGGUAUGUCCUUAUGUAAUUUUUAUUUUGAUUUUUCUAAUUGAUGUACAGCUCAAGAAAAUAAAUAAGUAUCGUCGCAAAGUUUCCCUCUACCUUCCAGUAAACUUGUACUAAAAUUUGCUGCAGUAACAAGGAGUGCCCUGCUUGCCGCACUCAUUGUGCCAGUCGACGCUCUCUGAGAGAUGAUCCAAACUAUGAUACCUUGAUUGCUGUGUUGUAUCCAGAUAUUGAAAAAUAUGAGGAAGAGGUGGGAAUAUUAUGUUUUAGCUUGCAAGCGUGGUGUUUGAUAAAUGAUAAUUGAUAUCGCCAUUUCUGCAUGCUCCAAUUUUGUUAAUUUAUCUCUUUUAUGGAUAGGAACUGGCUUUCCAAGAAGAAGAGAAAGCUCGUAAUAAGCAGGUGAGAAGGCUAAGUUCUGCGAAUUUGUUUGUUUCCAGAGUUAAUAAGUUCACUUUACAUUGUUCAAUAUACAUUAAACCACAUAUUUUGUUGUGCUAAAACCGACCAAGAGAGGGAGAGAGGAAUUAUUUAAGUCAUUAUUCGAUAUGCAAUGAAAAGUUGUGGGGGCAAUUGGGACAUGAAAUAGAGCAUGUUUUUCUUCGUUGUUGUGCUUUUCUAUUCCAUUUAACUUGGAAACAUCUCGGGCUGAACAUCAAAAUGGUUAUUAUAGAUUGUACUUGUAUUGGGUAUAUAUGAUCACGCUUACUUUUAUCUUCAUGUUUUGUUUAAAAUGUUACUUUUUGAUUAUUCUACAGAUCCAAACUUCCAUAGCUCAGACACUUCAACGACAAACUGAAUCUUUGGGUAGGAAACGUUCUAAACCUUCGAGGAGAUUAAGUUCUAGAGGACCCAAAAGCUUCCAAAAUCAUAUUGAAAGUCUAUGCUUUGAUGAGAAUGAGGACGAAAAUGAUUAUGAUGUCAGCAAAAAUUCAUCUUCUGCUGAUGAGCGCAUGGACACUAGACCUAAAAGACCCAGGAGAUGUGGUCCUGUUAGAUUUUCACAGUCUUCUUCAGCUACCGGAGCAGACGGAGCAGAUGGUGGUGGUAUUGAACAUGAAUAUGAAGUUAACAAAGAAAAAGUUGGUGCAUCUUUAGGGCUUGUUGGUAGCUCGGAAAAACUUUCUUGGGGCAAAGGUGGAAUAAGAAGUCACACUAGAUAUGGGGGUACAAAUGGGGGGGCUGGUAAAAUUUCCAGGAAUAACCGCAUCGCGAAGCUGUCAGAUUAUGUUCGAAACUCAGAAAAUGUCAGUGAGGAGGAGGUAAAAACAACUAUUUGAUGUGUUACUAAACUUCCUUAUGAAUAAACUGUGGACAUGUUAACGUGUAGAAAGGGCUCGCCUACUUAAUCACAUGCAUUUUGCUAUGCCUCUUUUAGAUGCUGCUUAAGAGCUCAACAAUCUUUUAUUGUUUCUAUUCAUCAAUGACUUUUGCCUACUCUUCCUGAUUUUAGUUGGACAUCCACGUUUUGCUCGUUUCCAUGGAUAGAACUAUACCUGCAUUGCAAAGACCAUAUAUUUGCUGCAGGCCUUCAGUGAUGAUUGGACACCUAAGUCAAGUAAUCAGUUAUUUAAUGGAGCUGCACUUUAUCUGUUUAAAGUCUUUAUUCAUUUAUUUAGUUAAUUCUUGAGCUUCCUUUCUUCCACAGUACGUUGCUCUUGAAACCUCACUUUCAGUGGACGUUGUUGAAAUAUGCGUGGCAAAAGAGCUUCAGGUGAAACUCGAUCCUUCCACCUCUGAAGCGACAAAGAACCCAUGUAAAGAAAGUGUACAGAUACUAAACGAGCAAGAGACACUAUCGACAGCAAAACUCAAAGCACACAGGCUAGCUUGUGGCUAUCUGGUAAAAGUUGCACACUACAUUUAUAACCAUUUGUACAAGCCUUUUGUACCACAUUUUAAGCUUGUUCCCUUGAUUCCAGCUUUUGGCAUAUAAGAAAAAGGGCUAGAGUUCUGCUGAUGAAGAGGAAUUUGUUUGGCUAAGAAGAAAAAGCACUUGUGCUUACUAGCAAUUCAUCCUUGAAGAUUUUGGCAAAUCUCCAUACGUAUAUAUCAACUCAAGAUACCAAGGGCUAUAAGAAGUUCCUGCUACAGGUCUUUUUCCCCCAUCUGAAUGUGUUGUUUAACAACUCCCUCGUUAGUUUCUUGCUACUGCUUUCUCCAUUUCUCCAUGUAUAUGUGCCAUUUUCAUCAACCUUGCAGUAUUUAACUGACUUUAAACAGAUAAAAGUUCUGAUAAGUGAAUAUAUAUACCAUGGAGUAUGGAUUACAAUCCAUUUUCAUGAUAGUUUAUUAUUGAAUGGUGGAGUUCUUAUGAUCUUCUUUUAACAAUUUAUGUACAAAUGCUCAUGUUGCUCUAAGACAAAUGAAUUCUAAACUUAAAUGAGUUAUAACUUCGCCUAGAGACGGUGCAAAAUUUUAGUCAAACUUAGUUAUGUGGUUGAUUCCCUCUCAGAAAACCAAUUGGAAUUGAUCUCUCAACUGCUAAUUAAAAUUGGCCCAAUAAUUAAGAUUGAUGUUAUGGAAUUAAAGUAAAAUCGAUGAUGUAAGAUUGAAUAAAAUAAACGUUGUAAUAAUUCUAACCUUCAACCUAGCUCAUUGAUUACGACUCUAUCCUUAUCCAUAAACCGCUUGUAUUGUUGUUUGUUAUUAUUCCUUUUGGAUUUUCCCAAACUUUUAAUACAUUUGUGGGGCCAAGGUGGAAAUAAGUAGGCCCCCACCGUAGAGGUUUUUAAAGCUUGGUGGGUCCAUUCCAUUACUAACAUUUCAAUACAAUUACACGCCAUCUAUGUAAUCAAGAUUGGAUAUUAUCACAAUUUAAUGCGCUAUCAGCAUCAUAAAAUAUCAACUUAUUCAAUGACAGAAAAAACACCAUCUUUAUUUAAACGGCAAUCAUGAGCCAAUUUUAUCACCGCCCUGCACGGCGGACUAUAUGAAGUAGUCGUCCCAUCAUUGGCUGUGUCAGCACACUUAACCCCUACUUAACUAUAGACUCACACAAAUUUAACACUACAAUUAUAAAAACUUGCUUGGGACAACUCGGAUGCGAAGAAACCUAGUUAGAAGAUGUAUCUCACAUACACAUCCAGAACCCACCGGCUCACGUCACCACACACGACACUAUUUACAUUCAACCGCCGUCGUAGCCACCGCUUAACGGUGCUGGCUCUUGGUGUCACCGCUGUAGAGCCUGAAACCGCAAAACAAAGAGUUUCAUGUCAGUUUGAUAUACGACAAAAAUAGAGGACUCAUCCAAGCCCUCAGAUGUCAGAACCAUGACCAAGUCAACAGAUCUGACGGCUUUGGAUUUCACUCGGGGGAAUCAGAACUUCGAAUCGUUUUUUUUAUCAUCCACCAACUGUUGGGAAUAUUAAGGACAAGAUACCCCAGAAUCUAAUUUUACUUCACCAUCACCAUAAUUAUAUUCCACUCGGCGGCGCGUGGAUUACAGUCGCCCCAGUGAAAAGUUGAUGUACGUACCAGUCAUAAACAGUUGGAGAAUUGGGUUGAGGUUUGUCGAAGACUUGAGCACCAAUAGUCUUGGUAGCAAAGUUUCUACCAGGGUUGAAGACGCUUCUCCAAACAUUAUCCUUACGCGCCGCUGUUAACGGCGUGACAGGUGUGACCGGAGUGGUGGGUGUUGCCGGACUGGCUGGCAUAGACGUGGAUCUUUGGUAUUUGCUUCCAUCUCCU
rnacentral:lncRNA from 1 species